UUUUUCAAUGUGAAUUAUGGCAUUUGAGCUACUGUUUUGCAAGUUUACUACCCCCAGUAAAAGUUUACUAGGGGUAGUAAACUUCAUUUUUUGCCGGUAUGCUUCCGGCAAGAUCCGAUGGGUUCUUGUGACAUUUUUUUCAAAAAAAUUCAGUGAGACUCGGCGAUUUUCCGAUCACCAUCAAUUUUCCGGCGACCGGUGACCGGAAUCCGGCGGCCAGUGUCCGGUGAUGAGAAUCAGGCAACCGGUGUUCGGUGACCGGAAUCCGGUGACCGGCGCUGGUGUCCGGUGUACUUCCAGGAAAGUCUUCUCUUCUUCUUUUUCUUUUUUUCUCUUUAAAUAAAGGUUAAGGGUAAAAAAGUCUUUUAAAAUAUCAUUUUAUUAUAUUUUAAUAAAAAUUUGUGUAUUUGGGCUUAAAAUAAGUACCUUGUAUUCAAAUGGGCUAAUAAAAAAGAUUAUCAUUGAAAUGGGGUUUGACUUUUUCUAUUUUGUGCAAAUGGUCUUUUUCCCAUUAAUGACUAACCAUGAAUCUUUUUGUCAAUUACUACAAAAGAUUAUUUUGUGUAGUUUAAACUAGAAAAAGUUUAUAUUCCAUGCCCCAUUAAUUGAUCUAUUAAUUUGAUCCAGUAUGACGGUGUGUUGAUCAAAAAUAUGCUAGUUCACGACAAUAUAUGAAACCAUCUGAUCGAGAUUAUGUAUGCAUAUACUAUUGACUAUGAGAUCGAUAUAGAAUGCAUCAAUGAGAUCACAUCAUAUCAUUUUAUUUCGGAGCCAUGAAAUGCAUGGAUGCAUCAUGGACCAGUUCUCUUGACUCUGACGAUACAUGAUCGAGCUAGUGAUUGGUUUUGACUCUGCAAGAACUACUUGAUCGAAGAAUAAUUUCUUGAUCGGAUCUCAAAAGUAGCUAAUUAACUAAUAUGCAUGAACAGUCAUAAUCACCUAGUCAGAAAAUGACCGACAUUUCAACUCAGCGGAGGAGAGAAACCAUAAAAACUUCACUGAUUUCUUUAAUGAGUUAGAGAGAGAGGAUUGUCCUUGUUUAUGAUUGUAGACAUAUAAAAUUUAACGAUAAAUAAUAAUCGUUGAAUUGUCAAACAACAAGUGGGCCUGACAAAUUGCAUACGUGGCUCGUGAGUUGGCAAAGUUAAAAAGUCUUCGGAGAUGCCACAUGGCGACACGCAAAUGGUCAGUCAACAACUAAAUCAUCGAAUCUCGUCUGAAAGCAAAUGUUAAAUGUCAACCGUUGAUCGAACGUCAAUCAAAUUAAAUUGGUCAUCGGAAUGGAAAGUAGACAUUUAAUCAAAUUAGUUAUACCUUAUCGGUUAUAAUUAAAUUAAUCAAUUAAGAUUGAUUGAUUUAUUUAUGUUAACAAUAAUAAUUGAAUUAAUCAAUUUAAAAUUGAUUGAUUUGGUUAUUACCGUUAAGGAAUGACAAUUAAGGCGGUGUCUUCAAAACCUACCAUAAAUGAAAUGGUGUCGACACUAUAAAUACCCCUUCUCAUAUCAAGAGGAGGACUUCGGACAAUAGAGAGAAAAAUCACUCCCGAGAACUCAGAAGUCUCGAAAUCCCCCGAAGAACUAUCAAGCUACCAAAUAGCCAGUUCUUCACCAAACUCAAAUCCCAAAUACUCGUCGCGUGAUCAACUCUCGUGACCCCUUACGUCUCAAGAACAAGUGCUUGUCACCCUUGAGUCAAAUCCAUAUUCGGAGAUAGAAUCAGAGGAAUUCACAAAGAUUUGUAACCCGCAUUCAUAUCAAUAAAAUUAUAUUAUUCUUUGUACACGUGUUGUUCUGUAAUUUGUCGCAGAUUAUUCGUGUUUACAAUGAUCAAACUCACAAGCACAAGUUCUUUACUUUUGAUUAUAAAACACAAUUAGAAUCUUAAUACAUAUACUAAAAUAAACUAUAAAGACCAAGAUUAGUUCUUUACUGGAAUUAUAAUUCACCAGACCACCAACUUGUUUAAUUAUGAUACUAAUCAAGACGACAUAGACUCUCUUCAUAUCCAACCACAUGCGGUGCAUGAGUCUCAAUCACAUAGAUGUCGGAGUUCUCUUCUUCAUUACGAUAAUGACUGGUAGACAGGAGUUUAGAAUUUUCUGGUUCUAGUGGACAUCUAUUCCUCACUAAUGCACUAGUCUCUGAAACCGAAAUUGAUUCAAGCGACAGAUACCAAUGCUUUCGUGCAGGCUGACUGGGAAUCUUUACGCCGAAUGAUCUAGUCCAAGAAUCAUUGUUGCCAUAGUCUCUCAUGACCCAAUAUUCAACCAUAUAAUAGUCCAAUUCACCAUCCCUGUACACAUUUUUGUGGACCAUUACAUACAAGCACCCUUCACGAGUAACACCAUGGUUCCACGUUCUGAUGUCUAGUGUUUGAAGAGCACUAGGCAGCUGCAUUAUCGAAAACUCCUCCUUUUCUAAAUCGAAAGCAUACAUAUGACAUACCCGUUGUGGUCGACUACGCCGACUACGCCGACAACGCCGACUACGCCGACAACGCGCUAGCCAAUGCAGUGCGUCACGGAAAAACACACCAGGUGACAUCCAGAUGUCGGCGCCGGGAGGCAAUAUUUCCAUGGGCUUCCAUGUUUCAGUCUUGGACGACAGGAUCGCAUCAUUCUUCACAAGUAUGUAUUCGUCGGUUUUGGACACAUACCCAAACCCCGAUUUGUACUCAUGAUUACUAAAACCCCGGCGGCAGGGAAAUUUCUUGAAGAACCCGGUGGAUGGGUUCCAUAUAAGAAAGCAUUCUUCUUCUUGAUUGGAUGGACAAAUGACACGUACAGCCACCAGCCCAUUGCAGGAGCCUAAAAACUCGACGUUCUUGUGAUGGAAAGGGAAAGGGGAAUUCAGAUUUCGGAGAACCAGAGAUUCCUUCUCAAUCAAGGUUGUAUCACUCAAAUCAAGACCUAGGGUUUCGAGUUUCAUGAGGUGUUGAAAUAUUAGGGCUCGAUGCUUGGGGGCUAACUGGAAGUGCGAUUUCGCAAAAUGGGGAUCGGAGAAGAGAGAGCGCCACCGUGUAGAUACACAUCUGCAUCGCCCCACCGAUUUGACCGGUAGCCUAGUCACGAUUUGUAGUAUGAUCUCUUCGGGUAAGAACGCAACAGCCGCCAUGGCGCCCGAGUUACAAUACUGCUCUUAAAGUUGCUUUUUAGGGUUUAUGAAGACGAGCCGAACAUGAACCUGCAUAACUCUGUGGUAAGUUCACCUUAAGCAUUUUGGGCAUUUGCCGUUUGGACCUAAACAUCCAUAACUUCAGAAUAAUUUUUAAAAAAAAAGAAAAAAAGAAAUUCCCAAUAAUAAUCAUCUUAAAGAGUAGCUACCACCUAAACUCUAAACCCCUAGACUUGAAAAGAUGGUCAUGAGAUCACUACAUCGCACAUAGUUGAAUCAGUAAUCAGAUUUUGUAAGCCAACAAUGGCGAAGUGGAUUCUGACAAUGUGUGAUGGUGAAUUUUCCGACAACUAAUCGGCGUUCUUGGCAGUAUUGAUUGAACUUACUUAUCAUCCGAUCGAAUUAGCCCACACUUAGAAAUAAGGUUGCAGAGGCAAGUAGCCACUAACUCGACUGCUCGAUCAUGUAUCGACAGAGUGAAAAAAGAGAACUAGCUCAUGAUGUGUGGCUGUGUGCAUGCAUUUCAUGACUCCAUUUACCACCAAGAGUGGCCGCGCGCUGCUGUGAUUUUUUUAGUUCAUAACUCAGUUUCCAGAUUCAUUUCAUUAGCUUUGUGGAUGAUGCAGGAGCUAUGCUUGGAGAUGAACCAAGAGCCAAGAGGAAUGUACAUGCGCCAGAAUAUCUUAAGGACUAUGUUUGGUCCAAGAGAUGAUUCCUUAUUAUAAUAUGCUUUGAUUAUUUACCUAUUAAGUGGUGGUAGUUUUAACGUUGUUGCUUACUUCCUUUUAAAGACUAGGUUUUGUUCUCUAUUUAAAGAGAUGUAUUGGCUCUUGUAAGGGGUCUUUGGAUCAUUCAUAUAUUAUAAAUAUUGGCAGCCGCCAGAGCAUCAUUAUCUUCUUCUCUUGUUGUCUUGUGUGUUUGAGUUCAGAGCUUUGAGUUGUUGUGGAUCGCUGAUCUGCAUCAGCUGGUAUCAGAGCCAAUGGCUCAUAAUAGGCGUGUUGGUUUCGCGGUGGGGCGUUGUAACAACCGCAACAAUGACAUGGAAGAAAUUAGAGGAUUGAUGCAGCAACUCAAUGAUCAUGUUGCUCGCUUCGAGACCCGAGGCCGGGGUGGUGAGGGCUCUGAUGAAGAGGAGGACGUGAACCCUUUUCAUGGUCGCGCUCUGUUGAGGGAGCCGCGUGGAGAGGGACAAGGUAACCGAUAUUUUGACAUGAAGGUUGAGAUUCCUGAGUUUGAAGGUAGGAAUCGAUCAGAUGAGUUUAUUGAUUGGCUCAAUUCUGUUGAGCGUAUCUUUGAUUUCAAAGAGGUGCCAGAGAACAAGAAAGUCAAGGCGGUGGCUGUCAAACUAACGAAAUUUGCAUCAGCCUGGUGGGAACAGCUAAAAGUUCGACGAGAGCGGUUGGGAAAACCGAAGAUUACUUCUUGGGAGAAAAUGAAGAAAGAGAUGAGGAAAAGGUUCUUACCGGAGAAUUACAUACAGAACAAUUAUUUGAAGUUGCAUAGCCUACGCCAAGGAGCUCGGUCAGUUGAUGAAUUUACUGAGGAAUUUGACCUCCUAACAAUCAGAAGUGGUGUGACUGAGGACGAAGAACACACAAUAGCCCGCAACCUCGGGGGACUACGACCUGAGAUUCGUGAUGUGGUUGUACUGCAACCUUAUUGGAGCUAUAAUGAUGUGUACAAACUAGCUAUCCAAGUUGAGAAAUAACAGAGGCAACGCCAAAGGCGAGCUGUAAAUGAGGAGAAGGGAAGUAAAAUGGGUGGUAAGUUUACAAAUGAUGUAGAGAAGCAAAGGUCUCAAUCUAAUGAGCCUCAAAGACACCCCAAUCCAAGUGGAAGGCAAAAGGUUGUGAAGUGUUUCAAGUGCUCAAGUAUUGGCCAUAUUCAAUAUGAGUCCCCUAACCGAAGGGUUGUUAAUCUCAUUGAAGAAUUUGGAGAGUCCUCUGAGUUAAAAGAAGACCCUCCUAUCUAUGACAAUUACAACGAUCAUGAAGACGAUGAAAUUACGUGGAGUGACCAGGGAGAAGCAUUAGUCAUACAACGAGCAAUGAGUGCUUCUAAAGUAGAGGAAGAUCCUGAGUGGUUACGACAUAAUAUUUUCCACACAAGGUGCACUUCAAAUGGGAAAAUAUGUGACCUCAUCAUCGAUAGCGGGAGUUGUGAAAAUGUGGUGGCUCAAGAAAUGGUAGACAAACUUAAUUUGAAGACGGAGAGGAGGCCUACAUCCUACAAGUUGGCUUGGUUCAAAAACGGGAAUGAGGUAACUGUCAAUCGGCGUUGCUUAGUGACAUUUUCCAUUGGUAAACAUUACAAUGAUUCUCAAUGGUGUGAUGUGGUGCCGAUGGAUGCUUGUCAUUUACUAUUGGGCCGUCCGUGGCAAUAUGAUCAGAGGGCAGUUCAUGACGGAUAUAAAAACACUUACACUUUUCAUAAAGAGGGUGUCAAGGUGAUUCUAGGUCCUUCGAAGUUGGGGAGCACUCCUAAGCCUACAAAAAAAGAUGGGGGAAUUAACUAUUUGUCUAUGGCUGAGUUUCUAGAAGAAGUGAAAGCUGGAGAUGAUGUGUAUAUGCUUAUGGUGAAAGAGAUAGAUUCUGAAAGGACUCUCCCUUCUCAACUUAAGCCUUUGUUAGGGGAAUUUAGUGAUGUUAUCCCAGAUGAACUUCCUGCAGGCCUACCUCCAAUGAGGGAUAUACAACACCAUAUAGAUCUUGUCCUGGGUUCAAGCUUGCCAAACAGACCGCAUUAUCGUAUGAGUCCGCAAGAGCAUGAGGAGCUUAAUAGACAAGUCACUGAAUUAUUAAAUAAGGGUGUGAUUCGUGAGAGUAUGAGUCCUUGCGCUGUUCCAGCUUUGCUAACUCCAAAGAAAGAUGGUACUUGGCGGAUGUGUGUGGACAGCAGGGCAAUUAAUAAAAUCACAGUGAAAUAUAGGUUUCCCAUUCCUCGUUUGGAUGACAUGCUGGACCAUUUGUCAGGUUCAAGUAUAUUUUCUAAGAUUGAUCUUCGAAGUGGGUAUCAUCAAAUUCGAAUGCGACCGGGUGAUGAAUGGAAGACGGGAUUUAAGACACGUGAUGGGUUGUUUGAAUGGAUGGUGAUGCCGUUUGGGUUAUCAAAUGCACCAAGUAUGUUUAUGCGGCUGAUGAACCAGAUUUUUCGUCCAUAUAUUGGGAAGUUUGUAGUGGUGUAUUUUGAUGACAUCCUUGUCUUUAGUUGCAAUGUUGAGCAACAUAUGGAGCACUUGCGCAAAGUUUUUGAAGUGUUGAGAGAGCAAAAGUUAUAUGCCAAUUUGAAGAAUUGUGAGUUCAUGACCAAAAGCUUGAUUUUUUUGGGCUACGUCAUCUCUUCAGAAGGAGUCAAGGUUGACCCAAAGAAGGUUGAAGCAAUAUUGAAGUGGCCAACACCCAUGUCAAUCCACGACAUUAGAAGCUUUCAUGGCUUAGCCUCAUUUUAUCGCAGGUUCAUUCGCAAUUUCAGUUCACUUGUUGCACCUAUGACUGAUUGCUUGAAAUCUAGUGUAUUUAAGUGGACAGAUGCAGCUGAGAGUAGUUUUCAGGCGGUGAAAAAAGCUAUGACAGAAGCUCCCAUUUUGACCCUACCAGACUAUGAGAAAGUCUUUGAAGUUGAUUGUGAUGCAUCCCGAAUCGGGAUUGGGGCUGUUCUGAGCCAAGAGGGUAAGCCGGUAGCCUUUUAUAGUGAAAAGCUCAAUGAUACGAGGAGAAAGUACUCCACUUAUGAUGUGGAAUUUUAUGCCAUCAUGCAAGCUUUGCGAGAGUGGAAACAGUACUUGAUAUACAAAGAACUUAUCCUUUACUCGGAUCAUGAAGCAUUGAAAUUUAUCAAUGGGCAACAAAAGCUUAACCGGCGUCAUGCGAAGUGGGUAGAAGAGCUUCAGGAAUACAACUUUGUUAUCCGUCACAAAGCCGGAGUACAAAACAGAGUGGCAGACGCAUUAAGUCGACGACAUGUUUUAUUAACAACAAUGGAGAUCAAGGUUGUUGGGUUUGAGAGAUUACGGGAUUUGUACAAAGACGAUGUGGAUUUUGGACAUAUAUGGACAGAAUGUGAGGCUCAACGUCCCUUCCAAGAUUUUCAUAUGAAUGAUGGGUUUUUAUUUAAAGGGAGCAGAUUGUGCAUUCCUAAUUGUUCAAUGAGGUUAUGGAUAAUUGAAGAGCAGCAUGGUGGUGGUCUUGGGGGGCAUUUUGGACGAGACAAAACAAUUGCUCUAGUUGGGGAAAAAUUUUACUGGCCAAAGUUGAAUAGAGAUGUGAUGAGGUAUGUUCAACGGUGUAAAGUGUGUCAUGUUGCUAAAGGGCAUUCUCAAAACACUGGUAUGUAUACUCCUCUACCUGAACCGAAUGCUCCAUGGGAGGAUGUGAGUAUGGACUUUGUAUUGGGACUCCCUCGUACUAAGAAUGGUCAUGAUUCUAUACUGGUUGUGGUGGAUAGAUUUCAAAGAUGGCACAUUUUGUGCCAUGCUCCAAAACCAUGGAUGCUAGUCACAUUGCAAAACUCUAUUUUCGAGAAGUAGUCAAGCUACAUGGUAUUCCAAUUACCAUCACUUCUGAUCGAGAUUCAAAGUUUGUGGGACACUUUUGGCGUACUCUUUGGCGAAGGAUGGGGACUAAACUUCAGUAUAGCAGUGCUCACCAUCCACAAACUGAUGGCCAAACUGAGGUAGUCAACAGGACAUUGGGAAAUCUAUUAAGAUCACUUGUGGGGAAAAAUAAAUCAAGCUGGUCUGAAGUCUUACCACAAGCAGAGUUUGCCUACAAUAAGUCAACUAGCCGAACCAUUGAGAUGAGCCCCUUUGAAGUGGUGUACUGCCGAAACCCUGUCAGCCCUGUGGACUUGGUUCCGCUGCCCACCAACGACCGUAUUAGUGGUGAUGCACAAGAUAUGGCUGAAUACAUCAAGAAGUUGCAUGAGCAGGUUCGUCAAAAGCUUGAAGCAAGUAAUAAAAAGUACAAGGAGAAAGCUGACAAGCAUAGAAGACAUGUUGAGUUCAAGGCGGGAGAUCUUGUGUGGGUAAAUCUGAGUAAAGAAAGGUUUCCGCGUGGAAAACAUGCGAAAUUGCGUGAUCGGGCUGAUGGACCAUUCCAAGUAUUGGAGCGUGUUGGAGAGAAUGCUUAUGUACUUGACCUUCCAAGCAACAUGAAUGUCUCUGCUACUUUUAAUGUUGCUGAUCUACAAGCUUACCAAGAGCCAAGAGGAAUGUAACUCAGACUCGAGGACGAGUCUUUUUCAACCUGGGGAGUCUGAUGCAGGAGCUAUGCUUGGAGAUGAACCAAGAGCCAAGAGGAAUGUACAUUCGCCAGAAUAUCUUAAGGACUAUGUUUGGUCCAAGAGAUGAUUCCUUAUUAUAUUAUGCUUUGAUUAUUUACCUAUUAAGUGGUGGUAGUUUUAACGUUGUUGCUUACUUCCUUUUAAAGACUAGGUUUUGUUCUCUAUUUAAAGAGAUGUAUUGGCUCUUGUAAGGGGUCUUUGGAUCAUUCAUAUAUUAUAAAUAUUGGCAGCUGCCAGAGCAUCAUUAUCUUCUUUUCUUGUUGUCUUGUGUGUUUGAGUCCAGAGAGGCUUUGAGUUGUUGUGGAUCGCUGAUCUGCAUCAGUGGAAUAGAAAAAAAAAUAUUUGGAUCAAACUACACAAAUUACUAGUUAGCUUGCUUGUAAUCAGCGGAGGAGAGAAACCAUUACUUCUCUAAUUUCUGUAAUGAGAGAGAAAGAGAGGAUGUCCUUGUUUAUGAUCAGACUAACAAGGACAAGUUCUUUAGUUUCGAUUAUUAUAAAGACUAUUAAAAUCUUAAUACAUAUACUAACUACAAAGACCAUGACUAUUGGAAUUACAUUCCACCAUAUCAUCAGACCACCAACUUGUUUAAGUAUGAUACUAAUCAAGACGAUAUAGACUCUCUUCGUAUACAACCAUGUCUGGUUCAUUAUUCUCAAUCAUCCAGAUGUCAGAGUUCUCUUCUUCAUUACGAUAAUGACUGGUAGGCAUGAGUUUAUAAUUUGCUGGUUUCCCUACUGGACAGUUAGUCAUCACUGAUGCACUAGUCUCCGAAACCGAAAUUGAUCCAACCCACAGAUACCAAUGUCUUCGUGCAGUACUGGGAAUCUUUACGCCGAAUGAUCUAGUCCAGCAAUAAUCAUUGUUGCCAUAGUCUCUCAUGACCCAUAAUUCAACCACAUAAUAGUCAAAUUCAACACAAUCCCUGUACACUUUUCUCAGGACCAUUGCAUACAAGCACCCUUCACGAGUAACACCAUGGUUCCACGUUCUGAUGUCUAGUGUUUGAAGAGCACUAGGCAGCUGCAUUAUCGAAAACUCCUCCUUUUCUAAAUCGAAAGCAUACAUAUGACGUGCCUGAUCUUGUUCCUGGUGUCGACUACACUCUAGCCAAUAUAGUGCAUCACGAAAAAACACACCAUCUAUCAUCCAGACGUCGGCGCCGGGAGGCAAUAUUUCCAUCAGCUUCCAUGAUUCAGUCUUGGACGACAAGAUCGCAUCACCCAUCACAAGUUUGUAUUCGUCGGUUUUGGACACAUACCCAAACCCGCAUUUGAUCCCUUUAUGAUUAUCCAUAUGACCCCGCCCGGGAAAAUUCUUGAAGAACCCGGUGGAUGGGUUCCAUAUAAGAAAGCUUUCUGUUUCUUGUUCGGAGUAUGGAUGAAACACAUGAAAGACACGUACAGCCACCAGCCCAUUGCAUGAGCCUAAAAACUGGACGUGCUUGUGAUAGAAAGGGGAAUUCAGAUUUCGGAGAACCAGAGAUUCCUUCUCGAACAAAGAUGUGUUACUUAAAUCAGAAGCUAGGGUUUCGAGUUUUAUGAGGUGUUGAAUUAUUAAGGCUCGAUGCUUGGGGCCUAACUGGAAGUGCGAUUUCGCGAAGUGGGGAUCGGAGAAUAGAGAGCGCCACCGUGUAGAGACGCAUCUGCAUCGCCCCACUGAUUUGACCGGUAGCCUGGCCACGAUUUCCAAAAUGAUCUCUUCGGGUAAGAAUGCAUUAGCUGCCAUGGCGCUUGAUCGAGUUGAAAGAGAGUAUAUAUAUUGAGACUCAACAAUAGUACUGCUCCUUCCCUUUUUAUUUAGGGUUUAUGAUUAAUUACGAGCCGAACACACGGAAUAUAAACAUGCAUAACUUUGUGCAGGGGGUAGGCCGGUAGGGGAAGUUUAAGGCUUCACCAAAAGCAUCUUGGGCAUUUGUCGAUCGUUUGGGCCUAAACAUGCAUAACUUCACAAUAAUCUUUUUCUUGAUGAAUGAUAAAGUGUAGAGACAAAGAGAUAGCAAGAGAAUCAUCAUCUUAUUCAUUGAUAGGAGCCCUUUAUAUAGGGAAUUACACAAUACCAAUAUGGUAAGGAUAUGAAUACAUAGAUCUAGUCUAACUACAUAUCCUAUUGGCAUAAGGCCAAGGCACACAUAGAGAAUAUCCUAGAACACUCCCCCUUGUGCCGCGCGCUGAUAUGCCGAUGGUGCUGAUCNNNNNNNNNNNNNNNNNNNNNNNNNNNNNNNNNNNNNNNNNNNNNNNNNNNNNNNNNNNNNNNNNNNNNNNNNNNNNNNNNNNNNNNNNNNNNNNNNNNNNNNNNNNNNNNNNNNNNNNNNNNNNNNNNNNNNNNNNNNNNNNNNNNNNNNNNNNNNNNNNNNNNNNNNNNNNNNNNNNNNNNNNNNNNNNNNNNNNNNNNNNNNNNNNNNNNNNNNNNNNNNNNNNNNNNNNNNNNNNNNNNNNNNNNNNNNNNNNNNNNNNNNNNNNNNNNNNNNNNNNNNNNNNNNNNNNNNNNNNNNNNNNNNNNNNNNNNNNNNNNNNNNNNNNNNNNNNNNNNNNNNNNNNNNNNNNNNNNNNNNNNNNNNNNNNNNNNNNNNNNNNNNNNNNNNNNNNNNNNNNNNNNNNNNNNNNNNNNNNNNNNNNNNNNNNNNNNNNNNNNNNNNNNNNNNNNNNNNNNNNNNNNNNNNNNNNNNNNNNNNNNNNNNNNNNNNNNNNNNNNNNNNNNNNNNNNNNNNNNNNNNNNNNNNNNNNNNNNNNNNNNNNNNNNNNNNNNNNNNNNNNNNNNNNNNNNNNNNNNNNNNNNNNNNNNNNNNNNNNNNNNNNNNNNNNNNNNNNNNNNNNNNNNNNNNNNNNNNNNNNNNNNNNNNNNNNNNNNNNNNNNNNNNNNNNNNNNNNNNNNNNNNNNNNNNNNNNNNNNNNNNNNNNNNNNNNNNNNNNNNNNNNNNNNNNNNNNNNNNNNNNNNNNNNNNNNNNNNNNNNNNNNNNNNNNNNNNNNNNNNNNNNNNNNNNNNNNNNNNNNNNNNNNNNNNNNNNNNNNNNNNNNNNNNNNNNNNNNNNNNNNNNNNNNNNNNNNNNNNNNNNNNNNNNNNNNNNNNNNNNNNNNNNNNNNNNNNNNNNNNNNNNNNNNNNNNNNNNNNNNNNNNNNNNNNNNNNNNNNNNNNNNNNNNNNNNNNNNNNNNNNNNNNNNNNNNNNNNNNNNNNNNNNNNNNNNNNNNNNNNNNNNNNNNNNNNNNNNNNNNNNNNNNNNNNNNNNNNNNNNNNNNNNNNNNNNNNNNNNNNNNNNNNNNNNNNNNNNNNNNNNNNNNNNNNNNNNNNNNNNNNNNNNNNNNNNNNNNNNNNNNNNNNNNNNNNNNNNNNNNNNNNNNNNNNNNNNNNNNNNNNNNNNNNNNNNNNNNNNNNNNNNNNNNNNNNNNNNNNNNNNNNNNNNNNNNNNNNNNNNNNNNNNNNNNNNNNNNNNNNNNNNNNNNNNNNNNNNNNNNNNNNNNNNNNNNNNNNNNNNNNNNNNNNNNNNNNNNNNNNNNNNNNNNNNNNNNNNNNNNNNNNNNNNNNNNNNNNNNNNNNNNNNNNNNNNNNNNNNNNNNNNNNNNNNNNNNNNNNNNNNNNNNNNNNNNNNNNNNNNNNNNNNNNNNNNNNNNNNNNNNNNNNNNNNNNNNNNNNNNNNNNNNNNNNNNNNNNNNNNNNNNNNNNNNNNNNNNNNNNNNNNNNNNNNNNNNNNNNNNNNNNNNNNNNNNNNNNNNNNNNNNNNNNNNNNNNNNNNNNNNNNNNNNNNNNNNNNNNNNNNNNNNNNNNNNNNNNNNNNNNNNNNNNNNNNNNNNNNNNNNNNNNNNNNNNNNNNNNNNNNNNNNNNNNNNNNNNNNNNNNNNNNNNNNNNNNNNNNNNNNNNNNNNNNNNNNNNNNNNNNNNNNNNNNNNNNNNNNNNNNNNNNNNNNNNNNNNNNNNNNNNNNNNNNNNNNNNNNNNNNNNNNNNNNNNNNNNNNNNNNNNNNNNNNNNNNNNNNNNNNNNNNNNNNNNNNNNNNNNNNNNNNNNNNNNNNNNNNNNNNNNNNNNNNNNNNNNNNNNNNNNNNNNNNNNNNNNNNNNNNNNNNNNNNNNNNNNNNNNNNNNNNNNNNNNNNNNNNNNNNNNNNNNNNNNNNNNNNNNNNNNNNNNNNNNNNNNNNNNNNNNNNNNNNNNNNNNNNNNNNNNNNNNNNNNNNNNNNNNNNNNNNNNNNNNNNNNNNNNNNNNNNNNNNNNNNNNNNNNNNNNNNNNNNNNNNNNNNNNNNNNNNNNNNNNNNNNNNNNNNNNNNNNNNNNNNNNNNNNNNNNNNNNNNNNNNNNNNNNNNNNNNNNNNNNNNNNNNNNNNNNNNNNNNNNNNNNNNNNNNNNNNNNNNNNNNNNNNNNNNNNNNNNNNNNNNNNNNNNNNNNNNNNNNNNNNNNNNNNNNNNNNNNNNNNNNNNNNNNNNNNNNNNNNNNNNNNNNNNNNNNNNNNNNNNNNNNNNNNNNNNNNNNNNNNNNNNNNNNNNNNNNNNNNNNNNNNNNNNNNNNNNNNNNNNNNNNNNNNNNNNNNNNNNNNNNNNNNNNNNNNNNNNNNNNNNNNNNNNNNNNNNNNNNNNNNNNNNNNNNNNNNNNNNNNNNNNNNNNNNNNNNNNNNNNNNNNNNNNNNNNNNNNNNNNNNNNNNNNNNNNNNNNNNNNNNNNNNNNNNNNNNNNNNNNNNNNNNNNNNNNNNNNNNNNNNNNNNNNNNNNNNNNNNNNNNNNNNNNNNNNNNNNNNNNNNNNNNNNNNNNNNNNNNNNNNNNNNNNNNNNNNNNNNNNNNNNNNNNNNNNNNNNNNNNNNNNNNNNNNNNNNNNNNNNNNNNNNNNNNNNNNNNNNNNNNNNNNNNNNNNNNNNNNNNNNNNNNNNNNNNNNNNNNNNNNNNNNNNNNNNNNNNNNNNNNNNNNNNNNNNNNNNNNNNNNNNNNNNNNNNNNNNNNNNNNNNNNNNNNNNNNNNNNNNNNNNNNNNNNNNNNNNNNNNNNNNNNNNNNNNNNNNNNNNNNNNNNNNNNNNNNNNNNNNNNNNNNNNNNNNNNNNNNNNNNNNNNNNNNNNNNNNNNNNNNNNNNNNNNNNNNNNNNNNNNNNNNNNNNNNNNNNNNNNNNNNNNNNNNNNNNNNNNNNNNNNNNNNNNNNNNNNNNNNNNNNNNNNNNNNNNNNNNNNNNNNNNNNNNNNNNNNNNNNNNNNNNNNNNNNNNNNNNNNNNNNNNNNNNNNNNNNNNNNNNNNNNNNNNNNNNNNNNNNNNNNNNNNNNNNNNNNNNNNNNNNNNNNNNNNNNNNNNNNNNNNNNNNNNNNNNNNNNNNNNNNNNNNNNNNNNNNNNNNNNNNNNNNNNNNNNNNNNNNNNNNNNNNNNNNNNNNNNNNNNNNNNNNNNNNNNNNNNNNNNNNNNNNNNNNNNNNNNNNNNNNNNNNNNNNNNNNNNNNNNNNNNNNNNNNNNNNNNNNNNNNNNNNNNNNNNNNNNNNNNNNNNNNNNNNNNNNNNNNNNNNNNNNNNNNNNNNNNNNNNNNNNNNNNNNNNNNNNNNNNNNNNNNNNNNNNNNNNNNNNNNNNNNNNNNNNNNNNNNNNNNNNNNNNNNNNNNNNNNNNNNNNNNNNNNNNNNNNNNNNNNNNNNNNNNNNNNNNNNNNNNNNNNNNNNNNNNNNNNNNNNNNNNNNNNNNNNNNNNNNNNNNNNNNNNNNNNNNNNNNNNNNNNNNNNNNNNNNNNNNNNNNNNNNNNNNNNNNNNNNNNNNNNNNNNNNNNNNNNNNNNNNNNNNNNNNNNNNNNNNNNNNNNNNNNNNNNNNNNNNNNNNNNNNNNNNNNNNNNNNNNNNNNNNNNNNNNNNNNNNNNNNNNNNNNNNNNNNNNNNNNNNNNNNNNNNNNNNNNNNNNNNNNNNNNNNNNNNNNNNNNNNNNNNNNNNNNNNNNNNNNNNNNNNNNNNNNNNNNNNNNNNNNNNNNNNNNNNNNNNNNNNNNNNNNNNNNNNNNNNNNNNNNNNNNNNNNNNNNNNNNNNNNNNNNNNNNNNNNNNNNNNNNNNNNNNNNNNNNNNNNNNNNNNNNNNNNNNNNNNNNNNNNNNNNNNNNNNNNNNNNNNNNNNNNNNNNNNNNNNNNNNNNNNNNNNNNNNNNNNNNNNNNNNNNNNNNNNNNNNNNNNNNNNNNNNNNNNNNNNNNNNNNNNNNNNNNNNNNNNNNNNNNNNNNNNNNNNNNNNNNNNNNNNNNNNNNNNNNNNNNNNNNNNNNNNNNNNNNNNNNNNNNNNNNNNNNNNNNNNNNNNNNNNNNNNNNNNNNNNNNNNNNNNNNNNNNNNNNNNNNNNNNNNNNNNNNNNNNNNNNNNNNNNNNNNNNNNNNNNNNNNNNNNNNAGAAUGUUACAUUGCUCUUGUCAUACAAAACCAAAGCUGUUAUGAGACUCGAUAGAGGUCACAAACGAUGCUUUUAAUGGUUUGUCCUUCGGAUUGAUCAUACACAAUCCGGAAAAGCCGCGAAUUGAUCAAACACAAUUCGGAAAAAGGCCUCGGAUUGAUCAAACACAAUCUGGUGAAAGGUCGGGGUUGAUCAAACACAACCCGGACAAAGAAACAAGAGUGAUCCAACAUACUCUUGACCCGCGAAUAAAAUUUCGGGAUUUUUGGUACCUGCACACACAAAAUCCCAAGCAUAGAAUGGAGAUGGAGAAGGGAGGAAAUGAUUUUAUCCUCCCCGAGUUAUUGAACUUAGAAAAGUUUAAGGUUUCAAAACAUACCUUUCUAAAGGCUGCCGAGAGGAGAAAUAACGUUUCGCCUACUUAUACUUCGAAUUUGGGGCUAAAAAUUUGACAGGAGGAGCAGCUCUGGAUGGGGAAGCUUCUGUCAAAAUUUCAGGUUGAUCAGAGCAAGGGAAGGUGGUGAACCGGUGGUCGGUAGCGGCGGCGGUCUGGAAUUUUCCGGCGGCCGGUUCGGAGACUUUCCGGCCGGUUCUCAGGGUGAGACCGGUGGCGUUGGAUCCAGGGCGGAGAGAGCUUUCUGGGGAUAUAAAAUUCCGGCGGAGGGCAGUCGGAAUUUUGGUCGGAAAUAGGGAAAAACAAGGCUGCCCGAUGUUAGGGUUUUGGUUUUUAGGGUUUAGAAAAAAAUGGUAGGCUAUUGGCUCUAGGGUUAGAACAAAGUGCAUGAUAACGUGAUGAAAGAUAAAGUGUAGAGACAAAGAGAUAGCAAGAGAAUCAUCAUCUUAUUCAUUGAUAGGAGCCCUUUAUAUAGGGAAUUACACAAUACCAAUAUGGUAAGGAUAUGAAUACAUAGAUCUAGUCUAACUACAUAUCCUAUUGGCAUAAGGCCAAGGCACACAUAGAGAAUAUCCUAGAACAUUUCUUUUAAAAAUUCCCAAUAAUCAUCUUAAAAGAGUAGCUACACUAGGAGACUAGAAAAGAUCAUCAGAUUUCUUAAGCCAGAUUUCACGAUGUGCAGAUUCGUAUGAAUUACCGGCUCUUAAUUAUACCAGCGAAGGAAAGAAAUUAAGCAUAACUGAUAGCGCUACAGGGCCAGAUGGAUUUAAUGGUCACUUAUUUGUUUCUUGUUGGGAUAUUGUGGGUGUAGAAGUGAUCAAAGCGGUGCAAUAUUUUUUUACACAUGGUCAGUUAUCUGCUUCUUUUAAUUCAGGGCUUAUUAUUCUUAUUCCAAAGGUGGAUCAUGCCGAUUCCAUCGAGCAAUUUCGUCCUAUUACUCUUACCAACUUAGUUUUCAAGAUUAUUCUAAAGAUUCUUGCACUUCGAUUAUCUUCAAUUGCAUCUCGUAUUGUGUCUCCUCAGCAGCAUGCUUUUGUUGUUGGCAGAAAUAUAUCAGACUGUAUCUUGGUGACUUCUGAGUGUUUCAAUCUUUUGGACUCAAAAUGUUAUGGUGGAAAUGUAGCAAUUAAAACAGAUAUCACCAAGGCGUUUGAUACACUCUCAUGGGACUUUCUUUUACAUGUUCUCCAAGCCUUCGGUUUUCAUGAAAGUUUUGUGCAGGUCCGAGUUUUAUUAUUAUCUGCCAGGCUUUCUUUGCUCAUUAAUGGUAGAACCUAUGGUUAUUUUUCUUGUGGGCAAGGUGUGAGGCAAGGUGACCCACUAUCUCCUUUACUGUUCUGUUUGGCGGAGGAGGUUUUAAGCCGUGGUAUUUCAAUGCUUGUAUCUUCUGGGCAGGUGAAACGUAUCCACUCUCCUAGAGGUACUCUAUCUCCUUCCUAUGUAUUGUUUGCAGGUGAUGUUAUUGUUUUCUGUAGGGGGAAUCGUCAGAAUCUAUUGAGGGUAAUGAGUUUUUUUUAUGAAUACGGUAGUGUUUCUGGCCAGAUUAUUAACAAGGACAAGUCCCAAGUUUUUAUUGGGAAACAUAACCGCCGACGUCACUCUAUCUCUGAUUGCUUGGGUAUUCCUUUAGGUACUGCUCCGUUCAUGUACUUGGGUGCCCCAAUCUUUCAUGGAAAGCCUCGUGUUGCCCAUUUUCAAGCUAUUGUUGACAAAGUCAGAUUGAAGCUUUCAAGUUGGGUGGGUUCAUUUUUGUCUAUGGCUGGGCGUCUCCAACUUAUAAAGUCUGUAAUAUAUAGCAUGUUUGUCUACACGUUUCAAGUGUAUGAAUGGCCAGUGUCCUUAUUAAGAAAAGUUGAGAGAUGGUGCCGAAACUUCCUUUGGUCUGGUGAUAUUGAUAAACGUGGAAUUCCUCUGGUCUCUUGGACGUCUUGUUGUGCGCCAAUUGAUGAAGGAGGUUUGGGGCUUAAGAAACUUGAUGUGCUAAAUAGCUCUCUUUUGCUCAAGCGUUGUUGGGAAAUUUUUACCUCAUCUUUUGAAGGUUGUUGCUUUAUUCGAAAUCGUUUUUCAAAGCGUCGUUCUUAUGCUCCAUCUUCUAUAUGGCCUGGAGUGCGCAAGUUUUGGGGGUUGGUGCAGAAUAACACUCGGUGGUUGGUUGGUACAGGUGACAAAAUCUCAUUUUGGAGAGACAAUUUUUUGGGCAGACCUCUCAUUGAAUUUUUUGGUAAUCAUGGUGCUCUGAAUGAUAAUUCUUCUUUGGUCUCAGACUAUAUUGAUAAUGGUUCUUGGGUUUUGCCUCCUCUUUUACAACUCAAUCUAUCGGCAGUGUGCAAUUUGAUCUGUCAAGUUCCUAUUUCCAUAAAUCCUUCAAUGGAGGACAAAUUGAUUUGGCAAGCUUCUUCUACCGGUGAACUUACCGCUAAGCAGGCCUUUCUCUUUCUGCAACAAGCAUCUCCUGUAGUGCCAUGGGGUAAGCCUUUAUGGUCUAAAUUUAUUUUGCCUCGUAUGUCUUUGCAUGCUUGGAAGGUUAUGAGAGGUACAGUAAUUUCAUAUCAUCUUUUGCAACGUAGAGGAGUAGCAUUGGUUUCACGGUGUGAAUUUUGUGGUAAUAGUACUGAAUCUCUAGAUCAUAUCUUUCUCCAUUGUUCUUUUGCUGCAUCAGUUUGGAAUCACUUCAUUUACAUUUUUGAAAUUGGACUUGUUCCAAACACAAUUGCUGAGGUUUUUAGUUUGGGUUUAGCCAUGGAUAGAAGUCCUCAGCUUAAAGAACUUUGGUUAAUAUGUUUCACUUCUAUUCUCUGGUAUAUCUGGCAUGCAAGAAAUCAGAUCAGGUUUGACAGCAGGACAUUUUCAGUUGCUGGGGUUUGUCGCCUAGUUUCAAGGCAUAUCCAAGCUUCUAGUAGAUUAGCAACUGGUCACAUGCAUAACACAAUUCAUGAUUUGUGUAUCUUAAAAAGUUUUGGUGCCUGUUGUCGAUCGAGGCGUAUUCCUAGAAUGGUUGAGGUCAUUUGGCAUCCCCCUUCCAUUGGAUGGAUUAAGAUAAAUUCAGAUGGUGCUUGGAAGCAUGAAGAGGGUAUUGGAGGUUUUGGCGCUGUUUUUCGCUAUUAUAAAGGUCAAUUUGUUGGAGCUUUUGCUUCCCAUAUUGAUAUUCCUAGUUCCAUUGCGGCAAAGGUAAUGGUAGUGAUCACAGCUAUAGAGCUUGCUUGGGUUCGUGAUUGGAAGCAUGUUUGGUUGGAGGUAGAUUUUUCUACUGUACUCGACUAUAUCCGUUCUCCUUCACUUGUGCCUUGGCAACUUCGAGUUAGGUGGUUGAAUUGCCUAUACAGGAUCUCUACAAUGACUUUUAAAUCUUCUCACAUUUUCAGAGAAGGAAAUAGGGUAGCAGAUGCUCUAGCUAAUCAUGGAACAUCUAUGUCUGAGGAGGUAUGGUGGGAUGUGCCUCCUUCAUUUAUCUUGUCCUAUUAUGAGCGGGAUCUUUUGGGUAUGCCAAAUUUUAGGUUUCGGUAAUUCAUUUGUUUUCCUAUAUUGUUUUUCUCUCUUAGUAUUAGACGUUUUUUAUACUAUAUGGCUGGUAUUGGCCUAGUCCUCUGGCUUAUUGUAUUUUUUUCUUAUUUUUUCAAUAAAUUUUAGUAGGGGGACGAUGUUUGUCUCUCUAUGCUUACCAAAAAAAAAAAAAAGAUCUCAGACUAAAAAGGACAAGUUCUUUAAUUUCGAAUCACUUUCGAUUGUAAAAGACGAUUAGAAUCUUAAUACAUGUACUAAUUAACUACAAAGACCAAGACGAGUGGAUCAUUAGGCCAUCUCCAACCAUUGUCCUAAAACCUAUAAUAUGUUUAAGUUUCUCAAUUUUACAUCUCCAACCCAAAUACAACUUGAUGAUGAGUAGCAUUGUUAUUGCCCUAGCAGCUAGAAUUCCUCAUUUCCUGCACACAUGUACUCCGUUUUUGGUUGUUACUUAUUUUUGCAAUUUACAUCUCACUUCAUCACAAACAGAGAAGACAGUGAAUAAUGGAUUAUGUGAGGUUGGGGGAGUUUUGGCUCCCUCCCUUAGCAUCAAUUGGUCUCUUCUGUUCUGUUCUGCCAUAGGGAGGAUAUGCCAGAACAAUAUGUUCAGUUCCUCGGUUUGCAAUUUCCCACUAUGUUUUUGUGAGGAGUUCGAGUGGAAGAUUUGAUUCUCAACAUUGGUUAUGAUUCUGACAAGAAGACUCGCCAUUUUCCUCCCGAUCAUUUCAAUAAGUUUGUUUCCAUAAUGUCAACGAGCUGGAGGUUUUGAUGAUGCACAGUAGGACCUAUUGUGCCGACACAACAUCUCCACAAGGAAUAGGAAGGAUAUUGUGCGUUAUUGAGAGAGCAGCCCAGCUUGAGCUCUGUUAGUCUCUAACAAGCUUGCUAGGUUAACUUUGACUUGAAAAAUGAGUUGCAGACAAAUCUUUAAUUCUCAUUAUCAAAAGUUUACUCUUGAUUAUGAUUCCAGUCGUCAAUUCAAGCUAGGCAAUCUUGAUAUAUAUAACUUAAAACAUAAGAGUAUUUGAAGUUUUGAACGUCCACUGAUAAUGAAUCUGUUAAACUCUGGUAACAACGUACAGUUUUCUUUUAUACGUGUUGUAUCGGCAACAGAAUGAUCCAUAUUCUGUCUGUUCUACAAGAUGAUGCUAUUGAUCAUAUGCAAGCACAUAUCCAAUUUUAGAGGUAACUGCUAAGAUGAUACCGAACGAGUAACCAAAAAGAUGAGCUGCCAGAAACACCAGUGACCACAGGAGUUUAUAUGGCUUUGGUUUUGAUCACCUAUCUUUUUCCUCAAAAAAUGAGGACAUACAGGUAUACGUAUAGUGCAACAUUGUGUGCAAUAUCAAACAUAGAUAUAUGGUUUGAGAGGCUAAAGAAAAUACGAUAGAUAAUCAAACAAGGUAAUACAGUGCAUGUCACAACGCAUAUGUAUGACAUUAGAUUGGUGUGCCAUAAUAACAAGUAGCUAGGCCAUAAUAAUAAGUAGCUAGGGUAGAUAGUUGAAACAAGAGUGUCAUACACACAAAACAUUACUUGGGACUUGCUGAGCCUGUGUCAGGAGUCAUGACUAGAGUGUCUCAACUGAGACAAAAAGAUCAUUGUUCUUCUGGAACUCUAUGGCCUGCGGAAUAGUGUGUCAACUGAGACAAAAAGAUCAUUCUUCUUCUGGAACUCUAUGGCCUGCGGAGUAUCCUUGAUUGAGCAUUGGUCAGUCAUGUGUUUUCCACCACAGUGAAAGCAUAAUAUCUUACUUACAUAAGUUUUUCCAGUCCCCCCAAGGAAGGCAGAAACCCAUGCAAAUCCCUCUGGUAAAGGUUUGUCAGGAUCGUAUAGUGGAUCCUUGCCAUCCCUUGGAUCACGUUUGGCCGCACCUUUGCACCCAUAAAAAAAGAGGAGGUUAAAAUCAGAACCCCGAAUGGGAUAAUCAAAGAAAAAGUCAUGAUAAUGAAAUUCAUGUUUUAUGAGUGUUACGAUCCUAACCCAGAAAUGCCAUUGCAAGAAAUGAAAAACGAGAAAGGAAAGGAAAACUAAAAUUCAAUAUAUUCUUCAAUACCAUUACAAGCAUCCUAGAUUGCCUUGUAUAGUAGGAGAAUAGGAACCCUAAAGACCCAUGUAAGAGAGAACCCCGUUUCAUUAACAAACUACUAUUUCUAGGAGGCUCAAACCAACAAAUAGCUCACCUAAACAUUUAGAUAAUGAGCAGCAAAUCAUCAAAUCAAAAUGAGUUCAUAAGUAGUCUUGGGGAUCACUACGGAAUCGAUCGAGGACAUAACUCAUCCCUAACUCUGAUAGUAAACACACACAAAACAGAAAGGCAUGAAGAGAAAUUCCAAAAACAGCUAAAUAGUAAAAUCAAGAGCAUGCAUACGUUCUGCAUCGGCCAAGUCAGAGGCCACCAAAAUCUUUUCAAACUUUUCUGCGAACGAGAGUUUUAGAUCUUCGCGAGUCAAAAAGCGGGCGGCUAAUUCAGAAUCUGAUAACUCCUCCAUCCUGUUCCGCUUCGGCGAUGAGGAUUCGAGGCUGGGGAUCAUCUCCAACGGUGAGGGUCGUCAUCGCUCGCUUCGAUUAGGGUUUCGCGUCGCCUUCAAUUUGGUUGUUGAUUUCGAUCUGAGGACGACUCGCUUUUUUACAUUAUAUAUAGAAUCAGGAUUUGGGCUUUGGGCCGGGUUUGUUCCGUCUUUCCUUUUCCUUCUUGCUUUUGGACAAGGUUUUCGUAACCACGUAUCGUUAGCCAAUAAGAAGAAGACAAGCGUCCUGUUGAAGAGCCACCACAGCAUCAGGGUUGUUGGCUUCUACGACAGUAUGGAUUGGGUCUGAAAUCACAUUUGGGCUUGGGGCCGAUUUCUUUCUUUUCGUUUCUUCCCCAGUAGGCCAAUUUGAGAUUGGAUCCGCUAGUUUAUCAAUGUAGAUAUUGAGCAGGUAUAAGUAUUCAUUAUCAGUACAAUGUACCGUCUAUGAAUAAAGAGAUUUGGAUCGUUUGUUAAGGAGGUGGCCAUUAUAAUUUAGUUUAAGUAACAUGGGUGUCUAUAGAAACUUAACAGAACUACGAUGUGACCGAAGUGUUAUUUGAAAUUUAUUGUGGGAAUAAGCAUCGUGUUUUCCUCAUUAUUUCAUGUGUGGGAAGCUGAAAAUGCAGCAUGUAUCAUGUACGAUAAUCCUUAUGAGGAUGAUAUAUUUAUGAUUUUUGUAAGUCGUUUCUUGUUGACGAUGGUUGAGUUAUUAAAGAGGGAUGUGAUUCCUUCUGUCAUUAUUGGUCGUCGAAAACUGUGAAAUAUUGAUGCCGACGACGUUGACUCAUUCUUUUUUGAGUCGGUAAGUCCAGAAGGACUUGAUUUCUCAUUUGGGUGGGUGAGUAUGCCUACGUUAGGACUUGAAAUCUUAGAUGAAAUUUUAUGUUAUACGGAGAGAUAUAGCCCACUAAAGGCCCAAUUCUCCUUAAAUUGCCAUGUCUUGAAAUGUUGUCCUCUCUUCUUCUCACAGUCACUCGCUCUCUCACUCACCAAGUUCAACACUUGCAGGAGCUCAAAAACCCAGAAAGCUCCAAUCUUUUCGAAAACCCAGAAAGCUCAAACCUUUCUCAAACAACCCAGAAAGACUCCAUUUUUAUAAGAAACCCAGAUGAGCAACAAGACGUUGCUGCAGGAGGUUUGCGCCAAAAAGGGGUGGGCUGCACCCAAGUACUGUAUCACCAAGCAAGGCCCUGAUCACAUUCCUCAGUUCUCCGCCACCGUUGUCGCCAAUGACGUCAGCUUCGUCUCUCAGGGCUUCCUCGGCUCCAAGAAGGAAGCUGAGGCCUCUGCUGCCGGAAUGGCGUUGCAAAAGCAUCUUGGUUAUCAAAGCCAACAGCCCAUUAGCCCAAAUGUCGAGUCUUUGUCUUCCCCAGGUAACAAGGUUUUACAAGUGUUUAAGCUUUUAUUGAUCAAGGAAGUUCUGUUGUGGAAUUUUGACUGUUUGAAUUUGUGAUGCAGUGAAAGUUGGCUGUGUGAACAAAGUUGAGGGCAAUCCCACAUCGGUGAGUCUCAGUUUCCUCAUAAUUGGAGUUAAAGUUUCCGACUUUAAGAGUUUAAGUUGAGGGAUUGUAAGACUAGCUUACAAUAUUGUUCAUGAUAUGCUGUUGAAUUAGAAUAUUACGAUAUAAUGCACUUGAAAACUUUGAGAAUUGGUAUGCUUAGAAGCCUUGUUAGAUAGAGCUCGAGGUUAAUAAGAUGUAGACUUGAUUAAUUGUUUCUGCUUUGCGUCCUGCAAUGUACUGUUCUUUAAUUGUUGAGUGUACAAGGAUUCAGGAUUGUGCAGUGUGUCUUGUUCAUUUAGUAACUCCUCCUUAUGAAUUAUAUUUUGGUUGUUUACUUGGCUCAUUUUUGUUAAGAGGCUUUGGGUUAAGGGUUUUGAAGAUUAGCUUACAUUAUUGUUCAUCAUAUGUCGUUAAAUGGGAAUAUUACAAUGAAAUGUACUUGACUGAUAUGCUUAGAGUAUGAUUAAGCCUUGUUAGAUAGAGCUUAAGGUUAAUAAGAUGUAGUGUUGAUUAAUUGUUGUUUGAAUCAGGAUUCAUGGUUGUGCAGUGCUGUCUUGUUUGAUUAGUAACUCCACAUUUUACUAAUGAACUUUUGGUGGUUUACUUAUCUCGUUUUUGCACUACUGUGUCCUGCAAUUUUGACUCUUAAAUGUACUGUUUGUGACUUUAGAGUAGGAAAAAGCCUUGCUAGAUAGAGCUUAAUGUUAAUAAGAUGUUGUGUUGAUGAAUUGUUGUUUGUAUAAGGAUUCCCGGUGCUACUGUAUUUGUAGAGCUUCAGGUUAACUUUUGGUGGUUUACUUAUCUUGAUUUUGUGCUACUGUGUCCUGCAAUUUUGACUCUUAAAUGUACUGUUUGUGACUUUUUGAUGGGGGAUAAAGUAGUUGUCUUUCUCUUGCAGAGUGAUACUAAUAUCACACCGAAGAAGAAGGGUGCAGAUGAAGUGGAGCAGUUGUUGGCUCAGGAACAGAAGGUAUGCUUUGAGUUAUUUGGUUUUACUUGGUGGUUAUGGUUGGAUGAAGUCGCGAGCCUCUGAAACAUGUUGUUUUAUGAUUAACCAGCUAUGGCAGAAAGAGAAGCUUGAGCUUGAGCUGAAGAACCUUGAAUUGGCGAUUGCAACUGAUGUGAAGAGUAAUGAGAUUCAACAAUUUGAGAAGAAACUGCAAGAUAUGGUAAUCAGUACUCUGUUGAUGUCAAUGAAUUCUGUAUCUAUUUGUGGGUGGGUAAUCUAGUAGCUAGAAUAUGGUUGGCUGACAUUCUCUUGGCCAUUAUGUAUAAUGUGAGCAACUGCUGUGCUUUUUCCUUUCAGAAAGAGAUGGCAACAAUGGAGCAGAUGAAAACUAGGAGGGUGAUAUCAUUGGUAGAAGAGAAAAAGGUUUGUUGUCAGUUAUCUUUUUGAAAUUAUCAGAUUUGGAUGAACAAAUCUCUUUGUUUGUUUGUUUUGGUAACUGAUGAACGAAUCGAUGAAUUCUUAAAUUUGCUUAUUGACUUGCAAUUGCAGGGAGAAAAUGAGAAACUCCAUAUGAAAGUGGCUGAACUGGAAAAGCAACUCCAGGCAGUGAGUGGGGAUAUGGAAGGGGGAAAGAAGAUAAUCGGUCUCUCCGACUCUUUCCGAAAGGAGCAAAGCUAUAAAAAUGAACUCGAGGAGACUCGUAAGGCGUUGAUCAAUGUAUGUCAGUUUGUUCGUUCCAUUUGGGUGGUUUGUCAAAUAUGUUAUUGUUCUAAUAUUAUCUCUAAAAUGUUUCCUUAGCUAUACUUGUAGUUUAUAUUGGAUUAAUUUACUGAUAUUGAUAAGCCUUAAACAUAUUGAAGCCUCUUGGCCUGAUUUGCUGAUUUGCUAAUCUUAAUAUGCUCUGAAUUGAUGCCUUAAACAUAUUGGAAUCUACGGUUCUACAAACUGCUGGGACUGUUGCUCUUGACAUUUUUACCUACCAAUUUGGAUCUUUGAAAUGUAAUUGUUAUAAUAAUACCUCUAAAAUGUUUCUUUAGCUAUACUUGUAGUUUAUACUGGAUUUGUUUACUGAUUUUGAUAAGCCUCAAACAUACUGGAUUAAUUUACUGGCACCGUUACCUACCACUUAGGAUCUCUAAUAUGUGAUUGCUUUAAUGUUAUCUCUAAAAUGUUUCCCUAGCUAUACUUGUAGUUCAUACUGGAUUAAUUUACUGAUAUUGAUAAGCCUUAAACAUAUUGGAGCCUCUUGGCCAGAUCUGUUGAUUUGCUAAUCUUAAUAUGCUCUGAAUUAGUUCGGAAGUUUGGGAGAAUUGUAGUGGAAUUAUAGUGUGCCGUCUGUAUUUUGAGCAAUACAGUGGAAAACCCAAGAAUGUUUGAGUGAUUUUUUCAGUGUUGUGCGUCUUAAGGAGCAUAAUGUUGCUAUCGUUCUUGUGUUAUCUUUGUUAUUUGCAGGUAUUACGUGAUGGUUCAAAAGAGAAUAUUGGGGUUAAAAGAUUGGGAGAUCUUGAAUGGGAAUAAUAGUCUUACUAAUUUAUUGAUAGAUAGAGUCACCCGAAUGAUUUAGAACAUCUAUCAAAACUAUAAUCUAUUCUAAUAAGAAAACGAAUAGGUCAAGACAUAUAACAGAAGGACAGAAAAGUAAUUUUCUUAAACAUUAUGUAGUUAAAAACAUGUUUUAACCAUAAAUUACCCAAAUGUAGUGGAGCUAAUCACUCGAUGUAAAUUACCAUGUACCCUCUUUUGGUUUUAAACUUUGGCCCAGUUUGGGACAGCUGUGCUGUGAGAAGAAUUGCUUCUGGAAUUGCUGUAAGAAGAAUUGCUUCUGGAAUUGCUGUGAGAGGAAUUAGUUGAGAUGUUUGAUAAACUGUUUUUAAAAGGGCAAAAUAGGAUUUAGGAAAAAUUCAUUUAAUCUUUUUAUGUUUCUGAGAUUGAUUCUCGCAAAAGCACCUCUUACCCUGUUUCUCUAAAACCCGUUUUUAAGAGAAUCUAUUCCUCUAAAAUCAGUUCUACGGGUGGUUACCAAACACUCAAGUUGUCCCAAAAUCACUUUUGACCCUAAAAGCAGUUUCAAAAUCGUUCCCAAACUGGCAUUUUAAUGUGAAGUAAGUUUAUAGAGAUUGUACAAAAAAAUUGAAAAGAAAAAAUAAAAUAAAAUAAAAAUAAAGGCGGAAACCAGGUAAACUCGCCUUCGCGCACAACUCACUCACCAAUGCAAACUUCGAUGUGACCACCGCCUCAUCUUCCCCUCCCUUUCAAUUCCCCGAUUUAAUGGCCCUCCGAUUCUACCCCUCCCCUUCGCUAGAUCUUCAAGCGGCGGCGAUGUGACGAGGCGGGCCUUGACGGAUCUGAAGAGGUGGAGCGGAUGAUGCCGCCGGCGAGCGAGGAGUGGAUGAUUCCGUCGACGAGACGCAGAGGAUGGAGAGGGAGACUCGGCGGAUCGCGCCGCCGCGAGAGGAAAAGCUGGGUUUCGAUAAUAGUAGCAGUCAUGGGUCGUGAAUUAGGCAUGUGGUCAUACGGAUUUUGGAUGACAGCGAACCUUGAAAUUUGGUUAUUCAUGUCCUGCUCAUGGUGAUUGAUUACUAGGAAAUUUUCGGUCUUUUUUUUAUCCAAUAACCAAGAAGCAUUGAUGGAAACAAAAGCACUGUAUGUUGCUCAAAUUAGUUACUCAUUUCCUUUUCAGGGAGAAAAGCAUUGCUGGUUUCAAUUCCUCUGGAUUGUCUUUAUUGAUGUUAGUUCUUUAUUUGAUGUUGUCAAUUUUGAGCUUGAUAUCUGUAUUUUUUGUUUUUCUAUUUUGUGUUUCACCUCUUAGCAUGUUGCUUUUGCUGUUUGAGCACUAGCUUUUUGAUGUUACUCUUAACGAUAGUAACGUUUCUGUUUGUUUCACUAAUUGACAGAUACUAGUAACAUGUUGGUUGGAAGGUCAACUAAGGCAUUGUCAGGAGGAGCCAGGAUUGAGUACAUUUUCCAGGAGACAGGAGACAGCCUUUACUAUCAUGUUUGAUUUAGGCAAAUUCUGCGAAGAGUCAAAUCGGCAAAUUCUGCUUUUGAUUGUAAUAGUUCUGGUGUCUUUAUAGAACCAUUUGUUCAGAUUAAGACUAACAGUGUUCAAAAGUGUUCUUGUUCGCUCAUUGAUGGCUUAGAUGCUUGGAUUCUGGAUCAGAUAUCUCUGUGUUUGUUGAUCUACUGUUGCAGAAGGUUAUUCUGAGGUAACAUUUGAGACUAGUAAUACACAUAUUUGAGAUUUGGUAUCUGGUGCUUUCUUUUGUUGACAUCGAAGCAUAUGUCCUGCUAAUUCCUUGAAAUUCGAUUAUGGGGUUUAGCAUUUAUUUCCUUGAAACUUGGAUUUCAGUACAAGAUUUCUUGUGGUUGUGGGUAGUUUUUAGUACUAUUUCCUUGUGUAUCCUUCUCAUCUUGAAACGUAACAACCCAUUCCUAGUAAUGUGCUCCAUUAUUUUAUCGGUUACAUGAAUUGAUUUAGUUGUUGUCAUCUUCAUUUCUGUUAAAGGAAUAAUGAUCCCAGCUCUUAAGUAAAGUUCUAUGUUUAAGUCUGGGACUGCUGAAGUUUAUUUUUCUACUAAUUAUGUCUGUGCUUUAUCUUAGUUGAUUGGUUUUGACAACAAUUGUUUUUAUGCGUUUAAAUUGUGCAUGUAGAUUGAGCCAUAUAUAUUCAUAAGCGUUUUCUGAAGUCAAAACACAUGCAUGAAGGUGAAGCUAUGUUUACGUUGUGUGGGGAGUUCUAGCAUUAAAGAGCAUGUCUAACCAUUUUCAAUAAUAAGUGUUAGGUUGUGUGGCUUGGUUAAUCAUGUUUCUUUGGUGCUUGAUCAUAGUUAGAGGUGAUAAUUGAUCCAGUUGUCAUGCUGUUGGUGUUGUUUUGCUGUUGCGGAUAGAGCUAUGACAUACUUUCAAACCAUGGUCCAUUAUGUUGUUGUUGUUUAUUGCUUAGCAAAGUACUUCAGUAUUGCUUUUGUUAUUGUUCAUUGAUAUGAGGAGUUAACAGAAACAGAAUUCUCUCAUCAUCAUGCUCUCAGACUAAACUUAAAACGUUCAAACUAAACUAUAGGAGGAUGAAGUCUGCCCAGUCUUGUGUCAUGCUCGCAGAUUAAACUUGAAACAUUCAGAACUAAAGUAUAGGAUGAUGGAGUUGUUGUGUUUUGGCUCGUUGAUAUGAUUUGGAAGUUAGGAUUCAGUAAGCAAAUCCAAAUCCAGAAAGGAAAGAGGUUUUUUCUAUAAGUUCUAGGAAAGUAAUCUUUCAAGAUCUGUUAGGAUUUUGUCGACUAGGUUUAGGAGUCCUAAAACCUUAUUGUAUCAGCAGCCCCUAUUCACUAGAAAUAGGAGCUGCAGGGGGUUAAGAUUGAGAGCACAGAAAACCGAGAGCUAAGGGUGAUAGAGAGAUCUAUCAGGGAGUUGGGGAUUAGCAUAGGGAUUUCAAUAAGUACUUGUAAUCAGGUUGUUAUUCUCCAUAGUGCUAGUGAUCUCUCAAGAGAGAUCACAUAAGUGGACAUAGGCCAGGGUUUUGGCUGAACCACUAUAAAAUUGUGUGUGCUGUGUUUCUAUCUUCAAGUUCAUCUAUCUACUUUGCUUAAGUCGUAAAGUACCAGAAAAGAUCCUAGGGCGCUAACCACAAUAGGAGUCUGCCCUGUUCCGUGUUGAAGGGAUAGGCGUUAGGCUUCUGUCGUUUUUGGGCACAUCACAAGUAGAUCAGGCUAGCAAGCUCCGCCCAGUCAUUUAUGUUAAGAAUACGUUGUCUUGUAUGAAUCUUUGGGGUGCUAGUUUCAUAGUCAUGGUAGUAGUACUACAUUUAAGUAAUUAUUAAUACAUGUAUUUGAAGAAAAUACAAUGUCUUAUUUCCAUCAAUUUAUAUAGGUUCAAUUUUCCUUUGGUAUAUAGUUAUAUCACUAUUUUCAUUUAUUGAUACAUAUAUUUUGGCUAUUUAUGCUGCUUAUAUAUUUCAAGUUGUACUUAUUGCAGGUUCUGUUCAAAAUUUCAGUUAAAAGUCUAAAUAGGUUGCAUGUAUGCUUAUAGUCAAAAGACAAACACCCAUUGUAUGUAUGCUUAUAAAAACUGACUCUGACUUCUAGUCUCUAUAUGUUACUUAUUUUUGUUCAAUGGUCACACUGUACGCAUAAGUAAAUCAUAAAAACAGGGAGAAGGAUUAUAUGUGUUUUGGUACUGUAUUUGUUUUUAUUAUUAAAACCGUUCUCUUUUGGACUUGAAAUUGAUCCACUCUUCUAAAAUCUGCAUCCAAUGGUUCUUGUUCUCAUUGUUUUGUCACCACUGUAUGAAUUCUUUUAUUUUUGAGUUAAUCAGGAAAGGUUAAAAAAUAAGAAACAGCGGGAGUAAAUUUUUUUGCUUGUCUUCACCUUGUUGAAAGCUUUUCGUUUGCCUGAUGGAAAAUGAAUUUUGGACACCUUGUUAGUGCGAGAAUAAGAGAAUUUUGAACAUAAGAACUUUAAAGUCCUUGUAUUUUUGAAGUAACAGGAAUCCUUAUGGUCAGUGGGAGUAAUGUCUGGUGAACUAUGAUUUUUGGUCUUGCUGCAUGUUUUACUAAAUUCAUUUUGAAAGCCCAGAUUCAAUUUGGUUCACGCAGAAUUGUGCUUAUUCAGGAAUACUUUUUAGUAAAUAUAUAUAGUAUGGUUUACCUGUUGGUAUAGUGUGUGUACAUGCUGGUUAGCUGACUGAUUCUUUCGUAACUGCAUUUUCAAAUAGAUUUAGUUUUUCAUGGAAUUUAAGUUGAAUUUGCAGUAAGAUUGGUUGUUUUCUACUAGAUUAAGUCAUGCUUGCAAAUGAUUAUUUUUGCGUAUAAUGGUAUUAAGUUUUAAUACAAUGUUUUAAGUAUUAUAGCAUGAAGAUUUGUGAGGUCACUUUGUGUUUUUCUGUUUGACUUGGCUGCAAAAGACUAGGUUUCAGUAACAAGAGAACAUAAUGUGGUUUGCCUGCUGGUCUGAUCAGACGAAUAGUUAAAAUGACAAAUAUACUGACGGUUUUUGCAUAUGAUGUUGGAAGGAGAUUGACUCAUCUCGAUCUGGACAUUGAGAUUAAGGAUGUAACGAGACUCCUGUGAUAGAUUGGUGAUCUGUGGCCUAGUUGAGUUGGAGAUUCAUGUAAUUGGACAAAAAAAAGAACUAGACAAUGACCUUUUUUCAGAAGAAAAUAGAUAGUGACCUUGACUAAUAAAUUGUGACGGCGGUUGUUUUCUGAAGAAGAAAUGAAAGAGGGAAUUAGACAUGGAGGUGUCACGGUGUUCAGGUCGAAGGGAUCAAGGGAAUCAGAUUAUUAAACAUGGCUUUAUAUUUCGUUCUUUAGAAAUAGUGGAAUAGACAUUUCCCUCAGUGAUGAAGUUAGAAUGCCUGAAUAUGCACACAGUGGAAAGUUCUACGGUACAUCUUCCUGCAUCUUAGAGUACACUGCUUCUUAAACUGAAACUAUAUUCACAUUAGCUACACCUAGGAGUACAGCCUAUAGAGUCUACCAUGCUAAUUGUUCUCAUCCAGUGUUCUGUGUUACCCAACUCAGUAACUCAGUAAAGCUGAAGGCUCCCUCUCAUCCUAAAUAUAACGAAAGAGCGAGCGCUAUCAGAGAGGACAUGGCAAUCCAAUCUUGACGACUGGGUUUCUCCCAUUAGUUCAUUGUAUCAUUUCUCUCCUCGUUCAGUUGAUAAAUAUGUAAUCCGGGCAGCUUAAUCUGAAUUUAAAAGCAAAGGUAGAAGAGAAAAUGGACCUGGUCUAAUAUAUCUGAUACCUUCUCUUGAUUAUCAGUGUAACAUAUGCUUCACAAACCGGUGUAUGGUAAAAUUUCUCUGUUCAACUUUCCAAUUUUUCAUUCAGUUUUUUUUAUCUCUGGCCAUUGAUACUAAUUAACCAAUGAGUCCCAAAAGCAAUUUCCUCAGGAAACAGUGUGAUAAUGGAAAAAUUGUCAUCAUAACAAAUGAAGGUUCUAGUUAUUAGGUGAACUACGCAUCUGUCAUUGCUUUGUUUGUUCAAAUGGUAAUAUGAUGAUAUAAAGACAGCCAAAACAUAAGGAUUUAUGACUUUGUCAUGUAGACAUGUACGUAUAUACUUGACCUUCAGUGUUUUGUUGUACCAUAAUAUCACACGAAAUUAGAGAGGUCUCAACUUCGAUGACUAGUGUUGGGUAGAUAAAAAAUAAAAAAAAAAUAAAAAAAACAACCACUUAUGAGUCAAAGGGAAGCUCAUCAGAAACGUUGGGAUUCAGUAAGCUGCUCAGCUAUGCCGACGGAUGGGAUUGGAUUAUGAUGGUAUUGGGGACUUUGGGUUCUGUUGUCCAUGGUAUGGCUUUUCCAGUUGGAUAUCUACUGCUUGGCAGAGCACUCAAUGCCUUUGGGAGCAAUAUUAACGACACAGCUGCCAUAGUUAAAGCACUGAACAAGGUAAACUUUUCGGAGAACUAGUCGUUUUUGAGAAAGUAUAAAUUGCUUGUGAGAGGGGUUAACUCAUUAGUUUGUACAUUUUUUUGUGUUUGUUCAGGUUAUUCCCUUUGUGUGGUACAUGGCCUUCGCCACAUUUCCGGCUGGAAUACUUGGUACGUUUCCUUAACCACUCUGCAAAUUCUUUGAAAAUCACAUACUUGUGACUUUCCUAAUCAUCCAUGGUGUUUUGGAUUUUGCAGAAGUUGGAUGCUGGAUGUAUUCAAGUGAAAGACAAGUGGCACGUCUAAGACUGGCAUAUCUAAGAGCAGUGCUCAGCCAGGAGGUUGGGGCUUUCGAUACAGACUUAACCAGUGGAAAAGUGAUCACCGGAAUUAGUAACCACACGAGUAUCAUACACGAUGCAAUCGGAGAGAAGGUAUCUACUGUAUAGAUGUAUAUACCUGCUGUCUACCAGUCAUUCUUGCUUUAGUUACUUACAAGUUUCUCAUGAUGAACUUACAGUUGGGUCAUUUUCUUUCAAGUUUGGCAACUUUCUUUUCGGGAAUUUUGAUUGCUGCAAUAUGCUGUUGGGAAGUUGCACUGCUUACCUUGUUGGUUGUUCCUUUGAUUCUUGUAAUCGGAGCCACUUACACUAAGAAAAUGAACGCCAUUUCGGCUGCUAGGAUGGUUUACCUGUCGGAAACUACCUCUAUGGUAGAACAGGUAAAGUCCAUGUUCAUUUCCAACAAUAGUAUCAAUAUAUACUCGUAUCUAUUCUAUAUAUCUCACUAACUGAUCAUAUUCCUGCAUUCCAGACCAUAUGUCAGAUCAAGACAGUAUACGCAUUCGUUGGAGAAAACUCGGCGAUCAAAUCUUUCUCAAACUGCAUGGCCAAACAGUAUUUGCUAAGCAAAGGAGAGGCUCUAAUCAAGGGAGUUGGAACAGGAAUGCUUCAAACUGUGACCUUCAUUUCUUGGGCUAUCAUCAUUUGGGUUGGUGCUGUUGUAGUCACUGCCAAGAGGGCAAGCGGUGGGGAUAUUAUAGCUGCUGUCAUGAGCAUUCUCUUUGAAGCCAUGUAAGCAACAUAAUAUAUAGUUCCACUCUUGUGGUAAAAGAUCAGAAAGUUCUACAUAAGUUCAAGCCAUUUACUUGUAUGAAUUUCAGUUCACUCACUUAUGCUGCGCCGGACAUGCAAGUCUUCAAUCAGGCAAAGGCUGCAGGAACUGAAGUUUUCAAGGUGAUCAAUAGAAAGCCAGCUAUAAGUUAUGAUUCACCCGGGAAGGAACUUGAUAAGAUUUACGGCAACAUUGACAUACGCGAUGUUUACUUUUCCUACCCUUCCCGGCCUGACAGAGCCAUCCUUCAAGGCUUUUCAUUAUCAAUUCCAGCAGGAAAAACGGUAGUCUUUGUAGGUAGCAGUGGCUGUGGAAAGAGUACUAUCAUCUCACUAGUUGCAAGAUUCUAUGAUCCUGCAAAAGGUUUGUACAUACCUCCUUAAUCUUCAACUUGACACAAAUGGGCAAGUUUCUUCUCCUAUUUGCCUUAAACUUUCAUCUUCAGGGGAGAUUCUGAUUGACAACCACAACAUCAAGGAUCUUGACUUGAAAUUCCUGAGGAAAAACAUAGGAGCUGUUUCGCAAGAACCAUCACUGUUUGCAGGCACCAUUGCAGACAAUAUGAAAGUUGGUAAGAUGGAUGCGGAAGAUGUAGAGAUCCAGAAAAUGCACACACUUUCAUAUCCCAACUUCCAAAUCAGUACUCCACAGAGGUCAGCUACUCAACUCAUCCACUAGCCAAGGCGGAGUAACCUGCAAUCUGUUAAUACGUGUUUUAUGACUCUUGAUUUGUAACACCUCGUCUGAAAUGCGGUACAGGUAGGACAAAGGGGAGUACAGUUAUCUGGAGGACAGAAGCAGAGAAUCGCCAUAGCAAGAGCCAUUCUCAAGAAUCCUCCUAUUCUUCUGCUUGAAAAAGGCAACAAGUGCUCUUGACUCGGAAUCUGAGAAGAUGGUUCAAGAAGCUCUUGACAAGGCUAUGCAGGGAAGGACAGUUAUCUUGAUUGCACAUAGACUAUCAACUAUAGUUAAUGCAGAUAUGAUUGCGGUUGUAGAGAAUGGACAAGUUACAGAAUCAGGAACUCACCGGAGCUUACUUGAAAGCAGUAAAUUUUACAACAACUUAUUUAGCAUGCAAAAUCUCAACCCAGUUCAUAAAUAAGGUUAAUUCACACUUAGUCUCCAUUGCAUGUAACUAUACAUGUAGAGCCAUAGAUAUCUAACCAGAAUUCAUUUGCAUACUGAAUGACUAACAGAGAAGAUGGUCCCUCUGAAAAAUCUGAAAGCAUCCACCAAAAGUGUUCACCUGAACAGAUAAGACAAGCCAAAGAGCCCCACAGCGACCGAUAUCCUAAUGAGCCUCCCAAGCAAGAAGAAGAGGCAAUAAGAAAAAGAGCCAUAUUCUUCAGAAUCUGGUUUGGCUUGAAAAAGAGAGAACUUGUAAAGAUUUGACUCUUGGUUCUUUUGCAGCAGCUUUCUCUGGUAUAUCAAAGCCUGUCUUUGGGUAUUACAUCAUAACAAUAGGAGUAGCAUACUACCACAAGCAUGCUGAGAGAGAAGUCUCAAAAUAUUCAAUCACAUUUGCUCUAAUUGGAUUCAUUUCAUUGUUCUCUCACACCUUGCAACACUACUUGUUCGGAAUGGUUGGAGAGAAGGCCAUGACAAACCUGAGACGCGCUCUCUAUUCAGGUUCAUUUCUAUAUACAGUGCAACUGUUUCAUCACCUCAUGUAUCCAUUUCAGUAAUGCAACGUUUCUUCUUCCUGAAGGUAUUACUAAACAUUAGCAUUGAAAUCUUGCAGGUGUGCUACGCAAUGAAAUCGGAUGGUAUGAGAAACCUGAGAAUGGCAUUGGACAGCUCACCUCAAGGAUCAUCAAUGAUACUUCAAUGGUCAAAGUGGUAAUUGCUGACCGGAUGUCUGUCAUUGUCCAGUGCAUUUCCUCCAUACUGAUUGCAACCGUUGUGAGCAUGUAUGUCAACUGGAGAAUGGGGUUGGUAGCUUGGGCUGUGAUGCCUUGCCACUUCAUUGGUGGUCUCAUUCAAGCCAAGUCUGCAAAGGGUUUUGCAGGAGACUCAGCUGCUGCACAUAAUGAACUUGUUUCUGUUGCUUCUGAGUCUGCACAAAACAUAAGAACCGUUGCAUCGUUUUGCCAUGAAGAUCAUAUACUCAAAAAAGCCGAAAUAUCUCUGGAAACCCCCAAGAAAAGGAGCAUGAGACAAAGUAUUAAGUUUGGCAUAAUUCAGGGAGUUUCUCUUUGCUUAUGGAACAUUGCACAUGCUGUGGCGUUGUGGUACACAACAGUUUUAGUUCACAAGAAUCAAUCGAGCUUCAAAAAUGGCAUAAGAUCAUACCAGAUUUUCUCUCUCACAGUACCUUCAAUCACAGAAUUGUGGACAUUGAUUCCGACUGUCAUUUCUGCCAUCAACGUGCUUACCUGCAUUCGAGACCCCUUGACCGCAAAACUGAGAUAGAUCCAUCUACACCAGAAACUUCAAAUCAGGAGAGAAUCAAAGGGAACAUUGAAUUUCAAAAUGUUGAGUUUAAUUACCCUUUGAGACCAGAAGUAACUAUCCUGAACAACUUCAGUGUACAAAUUAAAGCUGGAACAAAGGUGGCUCUUGUCAGUCGAAGCGGAGCUGGUAAAUCUUCAGUUCUCGCCCUUCUGCUAAGAUUUUAUGAUCCCUUGAAAGGAAAGAUACUCAUUGAUGGAAAGGAGAUAAGGGAAUACAACUUGAGAUGGCUGAGAACACAAAUAGGGUUUGUGCAACAAGAGCCUCUACUUUUCAGCUCCUCAAUCAGAGACAAUAUCUGCUAUGGAAACGAAAGUGCUUCUGAAACUGAGAUUGUGGAGGUAUCAAGGGAAGCAAACAUUGAUGAGUUCAUAAGUAACUUGCCUGAUGGAUAUCGAACAGUUGUUGGGGACAAGGGAUGCCAACUUUCAGGAGGACAAAAGCAAGGAAUAGCCAUAGCUAGAACACUGCUAAAGAGGCCAGCAAUCUUGCUUCUGGAUGAAGCAACAAGUGCCCUUGAUGCUGAAUCUGAGAAAUCUGUGGUGAGUGCAUUGGAAGCAAUAAAUUUAAAAAAGAAUGGGGGCCUGCUGUCAAGAACGACGCAGUUCACUGUUGCACAUAGGCUCUCCACAGUCAUAAACUCGGAUAAAAUUGUUGUCAUGGAUAAAGGUGAGAUUGUGGAGAUAGGUUCCCACUCAACCCUAAUAACAGCAUCUGAGGGAGCAUCUGAGGGAGUUUAUUCAAGAUUAUAUCAUAUACAGAGCAUGACAGAAGAGUAAGAUAUCACAUCUGUAAUCUUUGAAACGUGCAAAACAGCAAGAAAACUUAAUAUAAGAGCUUAUAUAUGUCUUUAAGAGCUACAAGUAACUUAAUUUCAUUGCAUUGCUUGGAAAAGAAAGAUGGGAUGUAAUACACUUGGACGAACACUAGGAGUCAUUUGCCUUGAGCUGUUCCCUUGAUACAGAUGUAUUGCCUUUUCUUUUCAAAGUUUGCUGCUUUUUAUAGAGAACUCAUCCAUAUACCAGAUGUUAGAUGAUGCCAUUUCGGCUCUAACACUAGUAGACAUGCAUUGUUGGCAACAUCACAAGGAGCGUAAUUCACUUAUGUCCUGCAACUCAUCAUUUUCAAUAUCUUAAGAUGGAUCGCUCAUUUUUCGUAUGAUUGUGUUAUAGCUCAUUUUUAUGGACGGACAAGCACAGCUAACAAGGAAUGUAAUUUAUCAAACAUAGACAGAUUGGCGGCUACAGAAAAUAUGUUAGUUUCAAACAGUCGAUCAGAAAGACAAAUCAUUAAACAAGACGGUAAUACGAUGCGUUAGAUGGAGCAGUUGACAAUAACACAAGAUAACAUAUAAUGCCAGACUUGGUAGAUCCUCAUAAGAUAACAGACAAACAUCAUUGCAAUUAUUUAUUAGUAUCUAUUAAAAUUCCUCUUGAUCGAACUCAUCAUCAUCACUCACCAGUACUACCCUGGACCUUUUUCUUGGGGCAGUCGGCAGGCCAGUGAUCUAGAAAGCCGCCACAGUGAUCACAACACAUCUUAACAAUAUAAUCUUUUUGAUCACUAAAAGGAUCGAAAGAAGCCCACUCAUGUCCCUUUGGUAAAGGAUCGUCAGGACCGUAUUCUGGUUCAGGGAAAGAAUCCCACUCCCAAGGAAAAUCACCCUCUUCAGCAGCAAGUUCUGAACGUCACCCACAACAAACAACAAGGUUAAAACAUAGAGGAAAAGUUGAUGAUCCUAAUAACGAAAUCAGAUGCAUUGUUAACUUGAAAUAAAUUACCAACAUGAAAAAAGAUACAUACUUUGGAGAGAAACAUUGUAAGACUUGGCCAUCCGGUCGUCUUCAGAGAGCUUUAGAUCCUCGCGAGUAAGAUGCACGCUGUCUAACCAAUCAUCUGGUAUUUCGUUUAUUACGGAUUCUGGUAAGUGGUCUAAUAAUCUUGUGGUAUCUCAUCGGUGACAAUCAUCUCCGAUUUCUCGUCUGUCAUGGCUGCCUUCGUUUAGGUUCGAUUUGAUUGUUAUUUCGAUGGUGCAUGGAUUCGCGUUUAGAUAUAUAUAUAGAUCACGAUUUGGGGUUUGGGCCGGGUAUUUUCUUCUUUUCCUUCUGUUAGAUAAGGCGUCGUUUGUAACCAAAAAAUAGAAAGAUAAGGCUUUGGAGGGAAAGAAGACUUAGAACAGUGAACUUUCAUUCUUCAGAAAUCCAAAUUUUCUUUUACUAUGCAUUUAAUACGAUAGCAUAGCAACUGAGAAGUCAUAAUGUUGAACAGGGUCCUCUAGAGUUCAAGAAAAACACUAUCUACAGUCUUGAGCAACUCCAGUUCAUCUCCACUUGCAAUGCCAGAAUCAAUAUAACACAACUGAAGCAAAAUCAAUGCAUCAGGCCUGAUUCUAAAUAGCAAUAUAACCAAAGCAACUGUUAUGUCUCAUUAGCCGUUACCUGGUACUGUGGCUUUCUCAGUGUGUGAACCCCUCUUUUUAUAAACUUCUGCCAUCCUCUCUUUUCCCUCAGUGAUCUUUCCAGCUCUGCUGUCCUCUGUAAUCAUGUUGCAGACAAGUCAAAAGUGAUUAAGAUGUUUAGUGAUCAGAUUUAAAACAUACAAGCUAACCGUAAGAUGCCACAUAGAUUUCAUAGGAAUAGAAGAUUACGUGACCAGGGUCCAAAAUUAAGAGAGUAUGUUGUUGCAUCCCGUUAUGUUGAUUUUUGACUUGAAUCCCAACAAUGGUUCUCGAAUGCCCAUCAUGUUGAAAGUACAAGGGUCUGCUCAAAGAACUCUAUGAAUUAGGACACAACAUAAAACAUGUUCAUCAAACAAUAAAUCACAGGGAUAGAGAAACUCACGUUUUGUUACUAAUUAUCACUCGGUGAUUUCCGUUUCUGCUAACGUUGCCAUCAUUAAAGUAAUUCCAGAUCCAAUCCAUGAGAACCUGAUGACCCUUGCUUUUCCUUGAAAACUUAUUUUCCGAAUUAUAAUCACAUUUCCUACCCCAAGAGUCACCUCCUUUCUGGCUAGUAGAACAACUUGAUUUUUCACAGCAACUCGAACUCGCUUGGUUAAUAUCAUGACUCCUUCCGGGAAGAUAUCUAUCCAUUGGUCCACGAACCUGAAUUGCUUUCCUCUUUCCACCAUUAUGUAUUCUCUUGACCUCAUCCCCAAGACUUGAACCAGGAAGAGAAAGAUAAUAUGGUUCAAGUUCUUUGGGACCAAAAUCCACUAUCCUUGCUCGCAGCCCAAAAGAACGGAAAAGGGCAGCACAUUCAGUUGUUCCAAUCCAUCUUCUCAAGCCAUAAAUUUUGUUAUUAAAGUGAUCAGACCCAGCUACAUCAAAUCCCUUUCCCCAAGCUAUCUCAAGCCAUCUUUGGAGUGAUGGGAUAUCAGGAACAAAUCCUGCACCACCAAACAAAACAUCUCGAGUCUCUUGCCUUUGCAUAAGCAAAUGGGAGCUCAGCAUUUGGAUAUUACGCCACCCACAACCCCAGCCAGAAUCUUCGGAUCGAAUGCUCUGAAUAUGAUCAGUAUAACCACACAAAAUAGUAGUCGUAUUUCUAGGUUCCAACUCCAAACACCCUCUCAGCAAAGCCGUCACACCACCUUCAAUCUCAUAGAAAGUAGUUCUAGUCUGUAAAGCAACCAGACUGGAGAUACCCUCCUCCAUGCCACAUUGCCCAUCAGAUCUCACAAAUGGCAAGUCUCUAAUUGUUUGAUUAUUCUGCAUAUAUAUACAUAUGAAACUACAAAGUUACUGGACUAAACUUCAAAUUCCUUUAUCAAAGAAGAACAUAACACAAACAUGUAACUUCUUACACCCAAAACAUCAAAUACAAUCAUUCUAACAACCAAACCAUAGUUGCACAUUGACAUAUGACACUUCAAUCUUUCAACACAUAAAUUCCAAUAAUCACUGCAAGCAUAGAACCACAUCACUCUAAUCCUAAGCUAAGGAAAACAGCAAUACAUACAAGAAAUACUAAAAAAGAAAGCAAAACUAACAAGUAACAUGGAUGGCGGUGAAGAAGGAGCUAAAGCAAGCUGGUGGGCAAACUCCAAGUCCAUAGCCAGUUGUUCAUCUUCAGCCUCAAAGUGACUAUUCGCAUGCCUGCAAUCCAAUUUCACAUAAUCACCAACACAAAACCCCUAAAGUCUUAAACUUUAUAUCCAAAAACUUCUGAUUCCUAGAAACAGCCAAAAAGGUUUGAACUUUCUUGCAGCUUAAUGUAAUUACCGUUCGAGUUGUGAUGAUGGAAUUGUGAGACUACAGAAUGGGCAACACGAAGAAUAAUCAUCCAUGGAACUGAUUUGAUCAGUACCCAAUUGCCCAAAUCAUUCAAAAUGGCGAGUAGAGGAAGAUGAUGAAUCGAGGCUCGCUCUCGUAAUUUGAAUUGUGUUUAUUUACUGGAGAGUGUUCCUCUUUCGUUUCGGAUCAAGACAAAACCCGGAUUCGAUAUAGUGGGUCAUAAUGAUUGGGCUUAUGGGCUUAUCGUUGGGCUUAUUGAUAGAUUUCCCUUAAAAGAUACGGGCAGAAUUAGGCAAUUAGCCCAAGACGUAGCAAAAUGCGAAUUAUAUGUCAUGGAAAAAAAAAAAAAAAGUGAUUUUUGCCAAAACCAGUGAGGUUACGAAGGUCCAAACUCCAAAGUCAUGGUACCCUGUUCGUGAAUUUUCUCCAAUUUCUAGUUUUUUGGUAAAAAAAUCUUGUUUUGCACACGUUUUCUUGGAUAUAAAUGUAUGUUCUUAUUUUUCUACAAAAAUUUUCUCAUAUUUAGAUCAUGAUUUACGGGAACUUUAAGAACUGAAAAAUCUCGAGCCGAUUGGUUCAUAAGAAUCACUCCAGCUUCAAGAAUGGCAUAAGAUCGACCAUACCAGAUUUUCUCUCUCACAGUACCUUCGAUCACAGAAUUGUGGACAUUGAUUCCCACUGUCAUUUCUGCCAUCAAUGUGCUUACUCCAGCAUUCGAGACACUUGAGCGCAAAACUGAAAUAGAUCCAUCUACACCAGAAACUUCAAACCAGGAGAGAAUCAAAGGGAAAUGUUGAGUUUAAUUACCCUUUGAGACCAGAAGUAACUAUCCUGUACAACUUCAAUGUACAAAUUAAAGCCGGAACAAAGGUGGCUCUUGUCGGUCCAAGUGGAGCUGGUAAAUCUUCAGUUCCGGCCCUUCUGCUAAGAUUUUAUGAUCCUUAAAAGGAAGGAUACUCAUUGAUGAAAAGGAGAUAAAAGAAUACAAUUUGAGAUGGCUGAGAACACAAACAGAGUUGGUGCAACAAGGACCUCUACUUUUCAGCUCCUCAAUCACUCAAUCAGAGACAGUAUCUGCUAUGGAAACGAAAGUGCUUCUGAAACUGAGAUUAUGAAGGUAUCAAGGGAAGCAAACAUUGAUGAGUUCAUAAGUAACUUGCCUGAUGCAUAUCAAAUAGUUUUUGGGGACAAGGGAUGCCAACUUUCAGGAGGACAAUGGCAAAGAAUAGCCAUAGCUAGAACACGGCUAAAGAGGCCAGCAAUGAAGCAACAAGUGCCCUUGAUGCUGAAUCUGAGAAAUCUGUGGUGAGUGCAUUGGAGGCAAUAAAUUUGAAAAAGAAUGGGGGGCCUGCUGUCAAAAACGACACAGAUCACUGUUGCACAUAGGCUCUCUACAGUAAUAAACUCGGAUAAAAAUUGUUGUCAUGGAUAAAGGUGAGAUUGUGGAGAUAGGUUNNNNNNNNNNNNNNNNNNNNNNNNNNNNNNNNNNNNNNNNNNNNNNNNNNNNNNNNNNNNNNNNNNNNNNNNNNNNNNNNNNNNNNNNNNNNNNNNNNNNNNNNNNNNNNNNNNNNNNNNNNNNNNNNNNNNNNNNNNNNNNNNNNNNNNNNNNNNNNNNNNNNNNNNNNNNNNNNNNNNNNNNNNNNNNNNNNNNNNNNNNNNNNNNNNNNNNNNNNNNNNNNNNNNNNNNNNNNNNNNNNNNNNNNNNNNNNNNNNNNNNNNNNNNNNNNNNNNNNNNNNNNNNNNNNNNNNNNNNNNNNNNNNNNNNNNNNNNNNNNNNNNNNNNNNNNNNNNNNNNNNNNNNNNNNNNNNNNNNNNNNNNNNNNNNNNNNNNNNNNNNNNCUGCUGGACAUUGUUAACUGACUGCACUAGUUACUCUUAAAACUAGGUGAUUGUUUAUGAAAAGUCAGCAUCAAUGCUCUGAUGGAGAGAAUAGCAAUAUCCUCAAAGCGUUGCUUAGCAAAGAAAGAUGGGAUGUAAUACAUUUGGACCAACACUAGAGUAAUUUGCCCUGAGCUGUUCCCUUAAUACAGAUGUAUUGCCUUCUCUUUUCAAAAGUAAUUUGCUGAGAAAUCGUCCAUAUACCAGAUUUUAAAUGAUGCUAUUUCGGUUGCAACACACUCAUGUCCUACAAAUCAUAAUUUUCAGUAUCUUAAGAUGGAUCGCAUAUUUUUCGGAUGAUUAUGUAAUAACUCAUUUUUAUGGACGGGAGCACAGCUAAACAUAUACAGUUUGCCGGCUACAGAAAAAAUGCCAGUUUCAAAAACACUCCAGGUAAAGUCGAUCAUUAAACAAGGUGGUAAGUCGAUCACAAUGACAAUCAUUAAACAAGGUGGUAAUACGAUGCAUAUUACAUUAGAUGGAACAGUUCACAGUAAAAUAAGAUAAUAUCUUGGUACAGACUUGGUAGAUCAUAAGAUAACAAACAUCAUUGCAAUUAGUAGAUAUUUAAUUAAGAUCCCUCUUGAUCGAACUCAUCACUUACCAGUGCUACCCUGGACAGUGUUUUUGGGGCAGUCGGCAGGCCAGUGAUCAAAAAACACGCCACAGACAUCACAUCACAUCCAAAGAACAAUAUGUUUUUCUGGUUCAGGGAAGUCCCUAACAUCAUCUUCACCAGGAGGUGCUGAGCAUCACCCAGAACAAACAACAAGGUUAAGACAUAGAGGAAAAGUUAAAAAUCCUAAUAACCAAAUCGAAUGAAUAAGAAACACAAAGGCCAACCGCCUCCUUAGCAAUUAAUCUAGUGGAUCAAUCAAGUCACAAACUUAAUUUGAAAUAAAAUUAACAAAAAGAAAAUUCAAAUCAGGAGGAGAAUAUAUACCUUCGAGAGUACACAGGAGAGCCACGUCCAUCGGCUCCAUCGGCUCGUCAUCAGUGACCUUUAGAUCCUCGCGAGUAAGAUGCAGUCUGUCUAACACAUCAUCUGGUAUUUCGUCUUUUAGGGAUUCUGGUAAGUAUUUUAAUAAUUCUGGCAUCUCUUCGAAAUUAAUCAUCUUCGACUCCUCGCCCUGCUUCAACUUCUUCGCAUCUGGCUCCUCCUCGCCCGUUGGUGGAUCCGGCUGCCUCUUGCCUGAGGGAGGGAUCGGUGCGGAUGCGGAUGCGGAUGCGGCUGUGUCCGUCAUGGCUGGCUUCGCUUAGGGUUUGGCGUCUCCUUUGAUUUGAUUGUUUAUUUCGAGCAUGGGUUCGCGUUUACCAUCAGGACUUGGGCUUUGGGCCUGGGUAUUUUCUUCUUGUUCCGUCUUUUCUUUUCCUUCUAUAAGAUAAGGCUUCGUCCGUUUGUAGGAGACGUCUGGUGUUUGUAGACAGGUGUCAGCAGGCGGGCAUGACACGGGUUGACAGCGUCUAUAUGUCGUUAACUAGAGAGAUGGUAAAUACGGGGAUGUAUUUGGGGGUCUGGGUUAGUUUGUUGAGGUAGAUACGGGGAUGUAUUCAGAGGGUGAAUGGAGACCAGGGUCAAAUGAGAGUCGUGGGGUUAACUUUAUCAGUGUUUAGUAUUGGGUUUCGUUUGGAAUUAGGAUUAGUGGGGUGUUUUGUAUGUUGAGGUUUUACUCUCCUAGUUUCAAAUUUACUAAUUCAGAAGUGUGGAAUUGAGUGGCAAAUUGAUAUUGGGUUAAUGAGGAAAUGUGGAUACAGUUGUUGUUCAUUAGCUACAAAAUGGGUCAAGACUGGCAAUGUUUCAAUGUCGCUCGAAACCAUUGAUAGUAUUGGUGAGACCAGACAUUCAUGGUGCCGAGGGGCACCAAUAUAAAAGUAUGAACUCUUUAAUUAUACUGGAGUGGUUAUAGCUUUUACAUUAAAAAAUUUGUCCUCUUUCUCUUCAGCAUAGGGUUUGUUCAAUUGAUAUUGCUAACAUGGGUUUGACCUCUUUUUUCUAACAAUCUAAAUGUAAUAGUAUUAAGUGAUGGAGAUGGUUUUGGGUGCUUGUGUAGCGUGAUUUCUGUUGGACAUGCUUGGCUACUGAUAUGUAAGAUAUGUGAUAGGCAAGGCAACUUUUCUUUAUUGCUGUGAUUCUAAUUUAGCAUGUUAUUAGUGUGUUUGUGGAAGUUUUCUCUGUGAUUGUUUUAAAUGUGUGUUGAUGUAAAUAGUUGGCUCAUCAACUUGAUAUUCUACUGAACUUCAUCGAUAUGAUGCUCCUUUGGGUUCUAAAUGCCUUCUUAUGAUAUUGUUAUGAAUUUGUAGUUACCAACUUGUUCAUAGUAACAAGUAUCCUUGUUUGGAUGUCUUGAUCAUGAAUAUAAACUAGCCUUUGAGUAUCUUAUUCGGAAAUCAUUGAAAUAUGCACAGCAGACCUUGUCUAUUUAUAUUGUUUAAAUUCCUUCUUCUCAAGUUAAGUUGCAGUCAUGACUCCUUCGAAUUUGGUACUUAUCAGUAUUGUUGUAUUCAAAGUCUGAGCUAUGUCUACCUUGUUCUGUAGUAGCACUUUGUAAUUUCUGAGGAAGCUUUACAUGGCUGCAUUUGAGUCUAUUUCCUAUCAAAUUAUUGUUGUUCGUUUGUAUUCAGAAUUCAUUCGUUCAAAGCUCUUCAUGCUAGUCUUCAUGCUAGUGUCCUUAUUAAGCUCUAAUUCUUAUCAAAUUCUUUGUUGUUCGGUUGUGUUCCUAAAUCCCAACCCACCAGUACAUAUAUAACAUUGUUGCUGAACCAAAACUGAAAUAUGAAGAUUUCAGGAACACUCUUAAAAUUAUGGCCACAGUCUAGUUUCAUUGUUAUUAUCUUGUUCCCUUCUAGCAAAGCUUGUGCAGCGUGUUAAGUUCCUGCUUCUUGUUCUCUUCCCAUCUUUCCAAUGAUCCUAUCAUCAAGUUUUAUCUCAGAAAUGAUUCCUUGAAUUCACAUGAUUGUUGGUCAUUGCCUUAUUAAACGUUAAAAACACUCCAACUGGUAGUAUUCCUUAAAACAAAUCCUAUUGUGAACUAGUCUUGCUGCAAAUUACUUUGGAGUUUGAACAGAUAUCCAUGUCCAUUAUCAGUUUACUAAGUAUACACCAGGUCCCUUCACAUAUGCCUAUAUUUGGGGAAAGUUUCAAAUACUAAAAAGAAAACAGAUUGUUCCCUGUUUUUUCUUACUAAGCUUAGGUUGCUGCGAUGAGCAAAUCACAUAUGUAUAUUUGCAUUGUUUGUUCAGUUGUUAAAUGAAGUUCUGAUUUCCUCAUCAAGUCUGGGGUCAAAACUGAAUUUAAUCAAUUGUUUUUUUUUUAUAGGAAACAGAGGUCCAUUCUUUUGCAACCUUACUUCUGAUUUUGUGUUUGUCUCGUACUGUACCCCUUUUGAGAUUUCCAGACCUAUACGUAUACCCCUGUUUGUUCUCCUUUUAAGUUUCCUGUUUACUAUCAGUUUGGUGGUUCUUUACUUCUCAUGCUUACAUGUUUCCUCAUUAAAGUAUAUCUGAGCCAAAGCUAUGUUGCCUGCUGCUUUAAAGUCUCAAGCUCGAGUUGAGAACAAACAUGAGUUUGUUCAUAAAGCAUGAGUUGUUAAAGUUGUGUUUCUUGACAAACACAAAAAGAAAUUUACCUUUCAAGGUUUACUUCAUGGCAAAACUUCUCUAUAAGAAAGAGUAUUUCAGUCUCUUGAAAUCCCUUAAUGAUUGUUUUGGUUUCAGUCUCUUGAAAUCCCUUAAUGAUUGUUUUGGCUUAAAGAAGCCAAAAGGUUUACAAAAAGGACAUGUUUGGUUUUGAACGGUAUUAUUUGAUUAGGCCCGGGAUAAGUUAAGUAGGGGAUUGUGCCUCCCUGGGGUGAAUAGACCAACAGUUUUGUAAUGAUCAGGAUUCCGCUUAGUACGGGGUGUCCUCGUUGGCUUUAAUACAAGGGUUUUCCGCUUGUACGGGUUGUGCUCAUUGGCCUUAAUACGAGCAAUGGGCUCCAACUGGAAAAGGAAGGAUUUCAAGGAUUUCGUUGGAAAAGAAGAAUAAGGGUUUCUGAACGUUGAACAAAGUGUUUGAAAGAAAAAGAAGACUCUCUGGUCUUAUUGCAAUUGUUGGAUUUGCGUUGGGUUUAAUUUUCUAAUGUCACAAGUGUGACUCAAAAGUGUUGGUCUCAGUUUGUUGUUCCUUUUACAUGUUCAGUUGUUUAUUUAAGUGUCCCAAGCUAAAUGUCGUAUUUGUUGAAAGCUGAGUAACCUUAUAUCAAUUGACUCAUUGAUUCCAUUCUCAUAAUUCUCAGCAACAACCUUCAUAAUUUAAUUCUAUUUCAUUCCGUUUACUACUGAUAUUCUUUCACAUUACUCCAAUUGCAUUCUAAAUUUGAAUCAUAGUACUAUUGAUUAUCUUCUGUACCUACUGAGCUUGUGAAGCUCACUUCCCUAUGUUUCAUUUGUUCUCAAGAAAGAAGUGUGGUGAUGUUUCUGAUAUUCCAGAGUUGACUUAAAUCAGAGUUCAUUACCCAGUUAUGCUUGCUUGUGGACUGAGUGCCUCACUUUUGCUUUAUUGAGUAUGUGCUGCUGCCUUCAUUAGAUUGUGCUCAGUACGUAUUUGUUUGGAAUGGUGGCAUUUUGUUAAUAUAGUGGUAUGAAGUAGAAAGUCCNNNNNNNNNNNNNNNNNNNNNNNNNNNNNNNNNNNNNNNNNNNNNNNNNNNNNNNNNNNNNNNNNNNNNNNNNNNNNNNNNNNNNNNNNNNNNNNNNNNNNNNNNNNNNNNNNNNNNNNNNNNNNNNNNNNNNNNNNNNNNNNNNNNNNNNNNNNNNNNNNNNNNNNNNNNNNNNNNNNNNNNNNNNNNNNNNNNNNNNNNNNNNNNNNNNNNNNNNNNNNNNNNNNNNNNNNNNNNNNNNNNNNNNNNNNNNNNNNNNNNNNNNNNNNNNNNNNNNNNNNNNNNNNNNNNNNNNNNNNNNNNNNNNNNNNNNNNNNNNNNNNNNNNNNNNNNNNNNNNNNNNNNNNNNNNAAAGUCCACUCUGAUCUGGGUACAUCUGAUGUAAAUUUUGAUACCAUGUGAUGGACAGCUUUGUAAAUAAAAUGCAAUCAGUUGCAUGUGUAUAUAAAGGAUCGUUUUCUUACUCUCUUUUACCUUGCUGGAUUAUGGCAGUCGAAUUUAGAGGGUGGCUUUCGAUUGAGAUUGGUGUAAAAAAGGAUCAACUGAUGUACUUCCUUUGCCUCCAAACCCGCAUCAAGGUAGAUACGAGAAGCACGAAAAAAGAAAGCAAUCACAAAACACAAUCCAUAGCAUUUGCUUGAAUGUAUAAUUCAUUACCUAAUACCAUUUUAAUUGUUGUAUUGUCCUGUCGAUUUCGCAUCAAUGUUAACAAUACAAUGUAGUUACAACUCGGAAGUACAAUAAUAUAUCUGAAAUCUGUGAUCACAACAACAUUAUUUUCAUUAAUAAUCUCAAAACAAUCACAAUGCAAGUGUCAUUGAUCAAAUUACACAUCUCUGCGUUCUCUCAGCUAGUCAACAUGUUUCCCUACCUUGUGUGCUCUUGAUACAAAUCCUAAUAAAUUAUUUACUCUCUAAAGCAGAUCUAAAACUCUUGAUGCUGAGAUACUUAGCCACUUAUCAAAAAGUGACUUGAAGGUGACUAAAACUCUUCAAUUUUGAAGUUGAGCUCUUCCACUUAUAUGUCAAUUUAAAUCUUGUUUCUUUAGCAUUCAUCUAGCUGUAUCUUGCCUGCAUGUUGUGUAAAGAAGAAUGAACUUAAUAGUAAAAGACUCAUAACUGAGCUACAUAAACCGAAUAACCAGUAAAAUAUCAUAGAAUGAGUAUAUCAUUAAAUUACAAUGAAUUGAACAACAAAAAGAGCAAAGCAAUCGAAGUGGUCCAAAUAAAAGGGCAACCAAAGCUAAAUACCUGAACAAUAUGUCGAGUUAGAACAUCAACUAGAUUGUAGGUUUUUCUCUUAGCUAGUUGCCAUUGUCCAGCUGUAGUUGAUCAAACAAAACCCUUCAAACAAUAAAAGUCAGUGUGUGUGUAUAUAUAUAGACACACAAUCGGUUAUCUACACACAGAGACACACCUGAAAAAAAAAAAUGAAGGUAAGAAAGCACAUUUUGCAUACCCAACAAGCCAUAAAUUAUAACCCUCUAGGCUUAACUUCCAAACUGAUAAGACUAGAAUAAUCUGUGCUUUUCAUUUACAAUUAUAUGGUUCUUGUAGUAAACCUUUACAACAGGGUUCCUUAGAGAAAUCAUUGUAUCAUGUCAAGCACUGUGCAACACCCUGACCCUUUGCAAAUGGGACUGUAAAACCCAAGCAACCAAAAACAGUGCCGGAGUCAAUGACGAGGACGUCAAAACGAAACUAUUGAAGUCAGUUAAGCGCCAAGAAUCUGUCGAAAUUGAAAAUCCCCGACAAACCCAGACAAGCACCCGUCUUUGUAAUCUCGCCGUCACUGGCUAUUUGAAGAAGGCGAACCAGACUCCUCUUCACGUCAAUGAGAGGAGACUAAGGAAAUUUUCCCCCACCUCUCUUCAAGUGAGGCCCUAUCUCCCCGCAUGAAAUGGUAAAGAAAAUCAUAGUCUUCCUGCAUAAACCCACGUUAGAAACGUAUGGCUCAAACGGUUAUAGACAAAGCAACUGAACCUCAUUAUAGUUAACAUUACUACGGAUAGACAAUAUCAACACUUGGCUGUACAAUAGUAACUAUAUUAAUUGCAGAAAUACAAUAGUUUACCUGAAGUGAUGCCAAUGAUCAAAUCAUAGAUUGAUGUCCUGAAGACACUCGAUUCUGUUGGCUCAUCCCAUGCCUCCAUAUACCAACUCAUACAUAUGAUUUCCAUAUACAAAUGCUUAAACCAACAAUACCUUGAUAUGACUAAAAUAUAAAUGCAAAUAUUGACUAUAUGACAUGCUUUCAAAUCCAACCUUUCCAACCACUUGGCAAAAGAUAACAAUAUCAUAUAGUCAAUAUUUACUUCUAGAUGGCUAUAGAAUAGAAUUCUGCAAUAUGCUAAAUUAUUGAAAUUACUCUUUAUCUAAAUGAACCCAGAUUUUAAUCUACACAUAUAUGAAUCUCAUUGUAAGAUGUAUUAGUAAGUAAAUGUUACCUCUUCUGAUCAUACCAUAGAAGUACUUGCUCAUCUGUCACCUCAUGUUCUGGUCUCUUCUGCUCCUUCACUCUCUUUUCUUCUAAAGAUUAAUUACAGUAUCCGGUAAUAACAGAAGAUAAAAAGAUUCCAAUUACAUGAACAUAACUAAGAAUUUCUCAGGAAAAAUUUAUAAUUUACAACAAAUCAUUACUAUCCUCUAGCUCCAGUUGUUUCUCAUGUGCAAUUAUAAACCAAUCUAUAAAUAUAUACAUAAUCAGGUUGCCUUUACCUGCUGUCCAGAGAUGUGUCCUCAUAGAUCCAGUAUCUAAGUACUUGUAUACACAUCCAGAAACUUAAACGAUAAUAAGUACUUUAUUCACCUUGCCAACAAAUAAAUUUAUUUAUCGCCAAACAGCGUAAGCAACAGGGUAUGGAUGUUCCCUGAAUUUGAUCCAGGGACAACCAUGAAUGAGGUGAAGGUCAGUCUGCAGACUUCAAAGCCAAGAAAGAGCCAUCAUUUUUAAAUUUAGCCACGAGUUCCUCCAAACCAAGAGAUAUGUCUCUAAACUUUAGAAAAAAAAAAUACAUAUAGGGGGAAUCUAGCAGCCAGUUAUUAUUGAAGUGUGUAGGUUUCUAUACCUCUGGUAACAAUAUAUAGUGCUUACUAUAAUAGAUAAUCUAAAUGAAACAGGCACCUACCUAGUUAAAUUUUAACUCCAUAGGCAACAAAUUGCUUCAUCACAGUAACAACAGCAAUCAAAAAACACAAAGAAGAGCCUUCACAGUUACCCACGCUUGAGAACAAAAUUUCAAAUUGUUGGUGCAAAAAUUUUCGGGAGAGAGAUUUCCCAACAUAAAUCUCACUCCGUUGAUCUUCGAGAAGCCUUGGACACAUCCAUACGACAAUCUAUCAAGGGAAAGAGGUACCGUUGUUAUUACUCAUGAUUGUUCCUCCUUCUUCAUCCCCCUGUUCUUCUCCAUAAGCGUGCGAAUUUAUAGACUUUUGAUUCCUUGGUCCUCACUUCCCGUCGUAGUGGGAGUCGUGGAAGGAGUUGUGUUUUCACGUUCUUCAUAAUCUUCUCGUGCUUCACGUUGUUUUUUCUUAUCUACUUGUUAGUUAAUAUGGACUUCGAUCAUCGGGCCUAAUUCAUAUAGUAGUGGCCCAAGCCAAAAUUUUAUACGCCCACAAUGCCCCCUUUUUCCUUUCCGUACGAGAUCCGAGUGCGGGAAGGAAAAACACAUAAAAAGCAAUCACUAGUAUAUGAGGAUAAAUAGGAACUACGACAUGCUUUUGCUAACUCUUAGAAAAUGAUUAGAAUAUCAUAUAAUAUUUCGUGAAUUUUGAAUCAUUUAACGUCCGGGGACUAAUAUCUCAUGAAUUUUGAAUCAUUUAACGUUCGGGGACGGAUAUCUAUUGAAUUUCGAAUCAUUUAACGUCCGGGGACAAAUAUCUCAUGAAUUUCGAAUCAUUUAACGUCCGUCUCUUGGACUGCGAUUUCAUUUACUGUCUAUUGGACUGCGAUAUCAAUUACUGUCUCUUGGACUGCGAUUUCAUUUACUGACUGCGAUUUCAUUUACUGUCUCUUGGACUGCGAUAUCAUUUACUGUCUCUUAGACUGCGAUUCAUUUACUGUCUCUUGGACUGCGUAUCUUUUAAUGUCCGAGGACGAAUCAUUUAAUGCCUCCGAGGAGGUCUUUCAAUCGAAGUUCAUAACCUCCCCAUCUCUAGAUUAGCUCCAAGUUGCCUAGGCCCCGAUCAAUCCUCUCCUUAACAAACUUCCUUUUACCUGCGUCCACAUCGCUUAUAGCAACCUCUGCAACUUCCUCAAUCAGUAGCUUCCGACGCGAUACAUUAACUUUUCUACUCCCAGCAGAUCUCCCACCUAACUGAUCGUACUUGGUUUCACUCAAGCUCCGAGGUACUACAGCUGCAGAGAACUGUCCAUGGUUUCCAAACACAUCAAGAUUACUGCUAGAUGCCGAAUCAAAUACAUGUUUGAAAAUCAUCCCCAAAGACCUCGCAGUACCCCUAUCAGGCACAUCUGACAGUGCCGCCAGUUUCUGCUCCUGCUUCUCAUUUAUCACCAGCUCCUGCUUCUCAUUUAACAUCCCCACCGAAUCCCCAGGAACCUCCUCCACCUUAUUCUGUUUCAGCCCAAAAGUACCAAUGUUAUCUAGACUCCCACAUAAGUCAACCACACCACCCCUACUUCCAGCAUCUUGGAGUUGAGAAUUACAAGACUGAACGUACUCUUCCAAACUGGGAGAUGUUACAAGUUAGAGUUCAUGCUCUCUGCAGCUCAUUAUAUUGGGACAGAGAAGCUAGGGGAUAAAUCAUCCUCCACUUGGACCAAGAAGGAUCAAAAGGAAUGGUAUAAAAUUAUGAAGGAAUUUAAGAUGGUACACUGGAAGGUGGUGUCACUGACAAACUCACUUACUCCCCACAAGAAUACAUUUAAUGGUCAGUGAAGUCUGAUUAUGUUGCUGCAGGUCUAUAUUAUGGGGUCAACAUAUCCUGUGUUGAUGAGGUUGUGCCUGUCUUCACAAGUCGUAAACCUGCAUUUCAAUUCUAGUUUAAGUAACGGUUGUAUUCUCAUUUCGGAUUAUCAAUGAAGAAUAUGAAUCUUUAACUUCAUUUCCUCUCAGUUUGUGCAAUUUAUCUCUUCAAUUUCCUUCCAUGGAUUACGCUCCUAACAGGAACUUAAUAUAAGAGCUUAUAUAUGUCUUUUAAGAGCUAAAUGUUAUAGUAUGGUAGUAGUUUGUCACCAAAAUAGAGGUGGCACAAGGUUAAUGACAGAAUAAAGUUGGGUGGAAGAACAAAAUUUGCAAUAUAUGAAUAUAUCGGAAGUAGUUCACUGUUAAAAAAGACGUAUGCAAGAGAAUAAACUCGCAUCAAAGUAAACUAUGGUAGGUCACAUAAUUUAGCCAAGACACCCCAGAUUAAGAGCUGACAGAAGAUCAGAGUUCCUAGCAGCUGAAUAGUAGGAUAGGAGUGAUUCCCCAACUUUCUGUUCCUCUUGCACAUACAAAAUCCUUGAACAAUGACUCAGUGAAGCGUUUCCACCAGUUUAACCUCAACAGUCAAAAACUUGGUCAAGAAUAGCGCACAAACUUCUGCACUUGGACCGACAAGAGCCACCUUUGUUCCACCUUUGUUCCUGCAAUUUUGCUUCUGGAUGAAGCAACAAGUGCCCUUGAUGCUGAAUCUGAGAAAUCUGUGGUGAGUGCAUUGGAAGCGAUAAAUUUAAAAAAGAAUGGGGCCUGCUGUCAAAAACGACAUAGAUCACUGUUGCACAUAGGCUCUCUACAAUAAUAAACUCGGAUAAAAUUGUUGUCAUGGAUAAAGGUGAGAUUGUGGAGAUAGGUUCCCACUCAACCCUAAUAAGAGCAUCUGAGGGAGUUUAUUCAAGAUUAUAUCAUAUACAGAGCAUGACAGAAGAGUAACAUCACAUACUGUAAUCUUUGAAAUGUGCAAAACAGCAAGGCAACUUAAUAUAAGAGCUUAUAUAUGUCUUUUAGAGCUACAAGUAACUCAAUUUCAUUGCAAUUAGUAAGCUGGCUUUGAUUAUUUCUGAUUGGGUUUUGCACAGCCCCAGGUAAAUGUUCAUGUGACAUCCCUCCCUCUAUUUGAAGUCCACAAACGUCAAAGAACUGCAGAAAUUAUUAGGUGAGUUUACGUUUUGGGCUUUAUGAAUGAUUUUCCUAUUGACAAUCUGAUUAUGUUGUGGUUACUUUUCAACCGAUAAGCCAACAGUUUCACCUCAUCGUUUUGGAUUGUAUUAAUCUGAACAGUAAUAGCUGCUGGAAAUUGUUAACCAACGUACUGCACUAGUUACUCUUGGUGAUUGUUUAUGAAAAGUCAGCUUCAAUGCUGAAAGAAAGUAGCAAUAUGGGAUGUUAUACGAUGCUUAGCAAAGAAAGAUGGGAUGUUAUACACUUGGACGUCCAACUCUAGGAGUCAUUUGCCUUGAGCUAGCUGUUCCCUUAAUACAGAUGUAUUGCCUUUUCUUUGCAACACAAGUAGCAAGGGAAAGGCUGCUGUAAACCAUGCAAUAUAUGUUGGAUCCGGAUCCUCUCCUGAGCUUUUUUUUUACCUGAGCUGCCUAAGCUUUUAAGGAGAUUAUGACACGUGGAAACAUCAAUCUAAUGGUCCAGAAGGGUACAACACGACUGAAAUGUUCCUCUCUCUUCUCAAAUCUCAAAGUUGUCUUUCUCCUCACUCACUUAUUCUCUUCCUCUCUUCUCUUCGGAGACUGCAUUUUCAUUUUCAGAUUCCACUUCUCAACUGAGCAUCUCUCUUUCUACCAAUAUAAAUUGGGCAUAUCAUUAUAACUUUGAGAAAACCAAAUCAAAGAAACUCAUCUUCGUGGGUUUAAAUCAAACACCCAGUUCAUCAUUCUCAUUGAUUCAAAGAAACAAAUAAAAUUUGAAGACAUACACCCAGUGGCGGAAGCAUUCUUGUGGCUAUCAGGGCUAUAGCCAUACCCAGAAUUAGCUGAAUCAACAGCUGAUGCAUGUAUAUUAGCCUAUAGAAGUAUUAGCCAUACCCAAAUUAGCCCACUAAAUAACAAAUAGCCCACAGGCUACAGCCCAAAUUAACCCACUAAAUAUCAAAUAGCCCACAACCCAAAUUAGCCCAUUUCUCAAUUCCUCAAAAGUCUCAAACCAAACUGCAGUCUAUCAUUCAUUUUUCAUCAUCACGCUCUGUCGCUCUCCUCCUCCUGCUUUCUCUCCUUCUCCUCCUCUCCUCCGUUGUCGCCUCCACCGUAACCGACGUCGGCGAUGCGCUGACCAGACAAGUCGUAUCAGGCGCUGCCGAGGAGGACGAGCUCCUCCACACGGACUCGCGGAGCGUCACUUGACUCACUUCUCGAACUUUAAAGCGACGUUCUCCGAUCUCAGUCCUAAGGAGUUUUGCCGGAAUUUCCUCGGGCUUAAGAAGAAGCGUCGUCUGCGUCGACUCCGGCUACCGGCAAACGCUAACAAGGCUCCGAUCCUUCCGACGAAUGAUCUUCCCACCGAGUUUGACUGGCGCGAGAAAUCUGCAGGUAUGAUCUUGUGUCCAUACAAAAUUAGCCAUACCCAUUAUGCAAUCCUGGUUCCGCCACUGCAUACACCACCAUCUCAUCCUCAAUUGCAUAGCUGAAAACCGAUAUGCAGCAGAAGCUUUAACUCAAACCCAUACAAAUUUGAUUAGUAUGAAACUCAAGCAGUCAAACAUCACCUUUACUCUCAAAUUCGCAGGAGAUUUGCUUUCAUAAAUUUGAAUGGGUUUAGAAAGAUUGUGGAAAUGAAAUUGAUUCAAAGUGAUUAUAGUCAAGGUGAUUCAUGAGAGAAUUUUGACUUAUAGUAGAAGAGAUUCAUAUGGAAGUGAUGAAGAGUAGAAGGAAAAGAAGAGGGAAGGGAGAGAAAUGCGAAAGUGAGAAAGGAAGGAAAGAGGCAACGAACUAAGGAAGAGAGAGAGAGAGAGAGAAAAGAAACAUAGAUGAAGAAGAAUUAUAGACCAUUAGAUCUCAAAUAAGCCACGUGUCUUCAUCUCCUCAGAAGCUCAGGAAGCUCAGGCAAAAAAUUAGCUCAGGAGAGGAUCCGAAUCCAUAUAUGUUGGCAACAUCACAAAGGGACUGACAAGUACAGGUAACUUGGUAUGUAAUAUAUCAAACAUUACAGUUUGCCGGCUUUUGAAAAUAUGCUAGUUUCAAACAUAAUCCAGGUAAAGUCGAUCAGAAAAACAAUCAUUAAACAAGAUGAUAAUACGAUGCAUAUUACACUACAUGGAGAAGUUCACAGUAUACGUAGCACGAUAAUAUCUAGGUUUGGAAUGUCAGACUUGGUAGAUCAUAAAAAAUAAAAAUAAAAAUAAUGAAAAAAACCUUGGUAGAUCAUAAGAUUAACAAACAAACAUCAUUGCAAUUAGUAGAUAUUAAAAUUCCUCUUGAUCGAACUCAUCAUCAUCACUCACCAGUACUACCCUGGACCUUUUUUUUGGGGCACUCGUCAGGCCAGUGAUCUAGAGCCACACCACAGACAAAACAAGACUUCUUAACAAUAAAAUCUUUUUGAUCACUCCAAGGAUGGUAAGAAGACCACACAUGUCCCUUUGGAUCGUCAGGACCGUAUUCUGGUUCAGGGUAAAGGAUCUCCCUAGGAAAAUCAUCACCCUCUUCAGCAGCAAGUUCUACCGAGCAUCAUCCACAACAAACAACAAGGUUAAAACAUAGAGGAAAAGUUGAUGAUCCUAAUAAAAAAAUGAGAUGCAUUGUUGAUUCGAAAUAAAAUUACCAACAUGAAAAAAGAUUCAUACUUUGGAGAGCAGCAUUGCAAGACUUGGCCAUCCGGUCAUCUUGAGAGAGCAUUAGAGCAUUAGAUCCUCGCGAGUAAGAUCCAUGCUGUCUAACAUAUCAUCUGUUAUUUGGUUUCUUACGGAUUCUGGUAAGUGGUCUAAUGCUUCUUGUCGCAUCUCAUCGGUGAUAAUCAGCUCCGAUUUCUCGUCCGUCAUGGCUGCCUUCGUUUAGGUUCGAUUUGAUUGUUAUUUCGAUGGUAGCAAAAUGCGAAUUAUAUGUCAUGGAAAAAAAAAAAAAAAAGUAAGAUUUUUGCCAAAAACCAGUGAGGUUACGAAGGUCCAAACUCCAGAGUCAUGGUAGCCUGUUCGUGAAUUUUCUCCAAUUUCUAGUUUUUUGGUAAAAAAAUCUUGUUUUGCACACGUUUUCUUGGUUAUAAAUGCAUGUUCUUAUUUUUCUACAAAAAUUUUCUCAUAUUUAGAUCAUGAUUUACGAGAACUUUAAGAACUGAAAAAUCUCGAGCCGAUUGGUUCAUAAGAAUCACUCCAGCUUCAAGAAUGGCAUAAGAUCGACCAUACCAGAUUUUCUCUCUCACAGUACCUUCGAUCACAGAAUUGUGGACAUUGAUUCCCACUGUCAUUUCUACCAUCAAUGUGCUUACUCCAGCAUUCGAGACACUUGAGCGCAAAACUGAAAUAGAUCCAUCUACACCAGAAACUUCAAACCAGGAGAGAAUCAAAGGGAACAUUGAAUUUCAAAAUGUUGAGUUUAAUUACCCUUUGAGACCAGAAGUAACUAUCCUGUACAACUUCAGUGUACAAAUUAAAGCCGGAACAAAGGUGGCUCUUGUCGGUCCAAGUGGAGCUGGUAAAUCUUCAGUUCCGGCCCUUCUGCUAAGAUUUUAUGAUCCUUGAAAGGAAGGAUACUCAUUGAUGAAAAGGAGAUAAAAGAAUACAAUUUGAGAUGGCUGAGAACACAAACAGAGUUGGUGCAACAAGAACCUCUACUUUUCAGCUCCUCAAUCACUCAAUCAGAGACAAUAUCUGCUAUCUGAAACUGAGAUUAUGAAGGUAUCAAGGGAAGCAAACAUUGAUGAGUUCAUAAGUAACUUGCCUGAUGCAUAUCAAAUAGUUUUUGGGGACAAGGGAUGCCAACUUUCAGGAGGACAAUGGCAAAGAAUAGCCAUAGCUAGAACACGGCUAAAGAGGCCAGCAAUGAAGCAACAAGUGUCCUUGAUGCUGAAUCUGAGAAAUCUGUGGUGAGUGCAUUGGAGGCAAUAAAUUUGAAAAAGAAUGGGGGGCCUGCUGUCAAAAACGACACAGAUCACUGUUGCACAUAGGCUCNNNNNNNNNNNNNNNNNNNNNNNNNNNNNNNNNNNNNNNNNNNNNNNNNNNNNNNNNNNNNNNNNNNNNNNNNNNNNNNNNNNNNNNNNNNNNNNNNNNNNNNNNNNNNNNNNNNNNNNNNNNNNNNNNNNNNNNNNNNNNNNNNNNNNNNNNNNNNNNNNNNNNNNNNNNNNNNNNNNNNNNNNNNNNNNNNNNNNNNNNNNNNNNNNNNNNNNNNNNNNNNNNNNNNNNNNNNNNNNNNNNNNNNNNNNNNNNNNNNNNNNNAAAGAUGGGAUGUAAUACAUUUGGACCAACACUAGAGUAAUUUGCCCUGAGCUGUUCCCUUAAUACAGAUGUAUUGCCUUCUCUUUUCAAAAGUAAUUUGCUGAGAAAUCGUCCAUAUACCAGAUUUUAAAUGAUGCCAUUUCGGUUGCAACACACUCAUGUCCUACAAAUCAUAAUUUUCAGUAUCUUAAGAUGGAUCGCAUAUUUUUCGGAUGAUUAUGUAAUAACUCAUUUUUAUGGACGGGCAAGCACAGCUAAACAUAUACAGUUUGCCGGCUACAGAAAAAAUGCCAGUUUCAAAAACACUCCAGGUAAAGUCGAUCAUUAAACAAGGUGGUAAGUCGAUCACAAUGACAAUCAUUAAACAAGGUGGUAAUACGAUGCAUAUUACAUUAGAUGGAACAGUUCACAGUAAAAUAAGAUAAUAUCUUGGUACAGACUUGGUAGAUCAUAAGAUAACAAACAUCAUUGCAAUUAGUAGAUAUUUAAGAUCCCUCUUGAUCGAACUCAUCACUUACCAGUGCUACCCUGGACAGUGUUUUUGGGGCAGUCGGCAGGCCAGUGAUCAAAAGUGAUCAAAAACCACGCCACAGACAUCAGAACACAUCCCACCAAGAAUAUGUUUUUCUGGUUCAGGGAAGUCCCUAACAUCAUCUUCACCAGGAGGUGCUGAGCAUCACCCAGAACAAACAACAAGGUUAAGACAUAGAGGAAAAGUUAAAAAUCCUAAUAACCAAAUCGAAUGAAUAAGAAACACAAAGGCCAACCGCCUCCUUAGCAAUUAAUCUAGUGGAUCAAUCAAGUCACAAACUUAAUAAUACACAGGUAAGGUCCUGACUUUGAAUAAUCACACACACACACACCAAAACGAGCUAACUUGAUCGAUGCUAUUUUCUGAUUACUUUUCUAUUAUUCAAUUCAUUAAUUCAAAUUCAGCACAGACAAUUGUAUUGAUUCUUUCAAAAAUUAGAAAACACAUAAACAAAAGUUAAUUUGAAAUAAAAUUAACAAAAAGAAAAUUCAAAUCAGGAGGAGAAUAUAUACCUUCGAGAGUACACAGGAGAGCCACGUCCAUCGGCUCCAUCGGCUCGUCAUCAGUGACCUUUAGAUCCUCGCGAGUAAGAUGCAGUCUGUCUAACACAUCAUCUGGUAUUUCGUCUUUUAGGGAUUCUGGUAAGUAUUUUAAUAAUUCUGGCAUCUCUUCGAAAUUAAUCAUCUUCGACUCCUCGCCCUGCGUCAACUUCUUCGCAUCUGGCUCCUCCUCGCCCGUUGGUGGAUCCGGCUGCCCCUUGCCUGAGGGAGGGAUCGGUGCGGAUGCGGAUGCGGCUGUGUCCGUCAUGGCUGGCUUCGCUUAGGGUUUGGCGUCUCCUUUGAUUUGAUUGUUUAUUUCGAGCAUGGGUUCGCGUUUAGAUAGAUGAAGAAGAAUUAUAGACCAUUAGAUCUCAAAUAAGCCACGUGUCUUCAUCUCCUCAGAAGCUCAGGCAAAAAAUUAGCUCAGGAGAGGAUUCGAAUCCAUGUAUGUUGGCAACAUCACAAAGGGACUGACAAGCACAGGUAACUUGGUAUGUAAUAUAUCAAACAUAUACAGUUUGCCGGCUAUUGAAAAUAUGCUAGUUUGAAGGUAAAAGGUUGUUGGCAAUCCUUAUAUAGAACAAAACACAACCUAUGAAGCCUAAAGCAAUGAAGCCUAAAACAAUUGGGAGUUUGGUCUUCCACAUCUGAAGAACAAGUUGAAGAAGNNNNNNNNNNNNNNNNNNNNGAUAUUAAAAUUACCUCUUGAUCGAACUCAUCAUCAUCACUCACCAGUACUACCCUGGACCUUUUUUUUGGGCACUCGUCAGGCCAGUGAUCUAGAGCCACACCACAGACAAAACAAGACUUCUUAACAAUAAAAUCUUUUUGAUCACUCCAAGGAUGGUAAGAAGACCACACAUGUCCCUUUGGUAAAGGAUCGUCAGGACCGUAUUCUGGUUCAGGGUAAAUAUCAGCGUUAGCUUACACACUUGGCCUCAAAUUCUUGCCAUGAGAAGAUUCAAAGAAGAGGGACCGAGACAAGAACAUCGCCGCCCUUCCCUUCCAAGUCGACAUCAUGGAGCCCUCCCUCCUCGAUAUAGGUCACUUUCUAUGGAUUCAUUGGUUUGGUUUAGUUUUGUGAAGAAGAAAGAGAGAAAUAUUGAAGGGAAGAAGAUGGUUUCUGAAGGAAUUGAUGCGUCCCAAGGACAAGUUGAAGUUGAUGAUAAUGGUACGUGGUGACUGGAUGCCUGCUGUUAGUCGGAGUACACAUUGAAGCUAGGUUUUUGAGAAUAAAAGCUAGAAGUGAGUCUUAUGAGGCGGCAUCGAUCGGCUGAUAAUAAUGAAGGGCUAGCUGGAUCACUUGGAGAUCUCAAGUGAUAAUGAUGCGAGUGUUCAUACAUCAAAUGUGAACAAUAUAAUGGUCCAAUGAGAUCGAGUAGUGAUGAGCAGAGCUGGAUGCUGAGAUCCUUGUCUGAGUCUAGUGUGGCUAGUAUAACAAGUGAUAUUGCAAUGCAAAAUGUUAUCCUGCAGAUCCGCCAGCUGAAGAGGUAUAUGCAUUUGAUACAUAUUCCCCAUUUUAUUAACCUUUCUCAUUUUUUUACUAAGUGCAUUCAUUAAGGACUUGUUUCAUUGUGUUGUUUUUUCUUUCUAUUUCAUAUAAGUUUCUUUGGAUAAAUUUAAACAUUAUGUCCUCUAGUUUUGGGGCCUCUACUGCAUGAUUGAUGAACUAAAUAUACGUAUCAUAUAAGCAUGUAAUAGUUGAUCUCUCAUCUUAAUCUCCGGCGGAAAGAAACUCAUAUGGUAUUAAGGGGUUUAGAACUCUGUCUCUUGCUGCCCAAUGUUUCAACUAGACUUGUAAACAAAUCUUAAGUAAGGCAUAUACAAGGGAACUAUCAUAGUAGUAAACGAGGUCAAUGUCACUGAUGGGAAAGUAUGCAAGUGCUAUAACCUGUAAACAGAGUAACAGAUGGAGAAUGUAGCUGUGAAGAAGCACCAUUAGACAUAUAUGGUGGAUCAGGAUCCUGUAGUCUCCUCAUGAAGAUUUUUGAGCCAUCCAAUAAUCUACUCAUAUAUGGUGGCGACCAUACUGCCCCAAAAUCCAAAGUGUGAAAGGAAAUGUCUCUUUAUGAAGACAUGUGAGUUCAUGGGGACCUUUGAGUGCAAAGAAGGAUCCAAUAAUUUAUGAGUGGCUAAGGUACCUUUAGGUUCACCCAAGGAUAAAGCAAACAGAUAGCAAAGUUGUGGAGAAGCACCAUGCAUGGUAAAUGCGAUAGAAAACAAAGAACCACCCCAGUUGCUAGAAAGUAGAAACUAGAAACAAUCCAAAUUUGUUAGGGUUUUACCCCAAUCAUAAUAAUAUUACAUCUUCUAAAAGAAAAAGAAAAAAAAAAAAAAAAAAGAAUCCAAAAUACAUCUGAGCUUCGCCUGAAGCCUGAAGCCUGAAGGUACACUACUAGUCGUCGCCGGCACCACUGCUGCCGUCGGAGAACCGUUCAUGCCAUUUUCUGCAUUCUUAACAGAGGUUUUGUUUUGAUAACAUUUAUAUAUCAUUCAAUUAUCAUAACACACUGCUAGAUCUGUUAAGAGUCUUCAAACGUGGGGCCCACCUAAAUUUAUCAUAGCAAAUGACCACAGUUACUAAUGACAGAGCCCACAUUUCAAAAACAAAAUUUUCCCUUUUAAUAUAUUUUUGAUUCCCAAUACUAUUCCAUAAAAGAAUAAUGUUUUUUUUUUUGGAUAUAAAAAAAAUAUUGUUUUUUUAGCUGUUGAUAUAUUGAUAAUUGAAAUUCGGAUUACAACUUGAACAUAACACACCCUCGCGGCCAAACGUUAUAGAAAAAUUUAAGUGUAGUUAUUGAUAAAAAAUUAAAUAAAAUUUGAGUGUAGUUAAAAAUAUAUAAUAAGAUUUUAAAUUUUAGGGUUCAAGUUAAGUUAAAAACACCAAUAAUUAUUAUUUAUAUUAACAACUGAUUCGGUUAAAAUAAUUAAAUUUGAUGAGAAAACGACCUACUUUUUAUCUGUAAUUGCAUAUAUCGUGCGUUUAUGGUUACAUGCUCUAAUCCGCAUGCAACGUCAUGUCAUGUGGAGCAUGUGAACUGGGCUGUUUUUUAAUUAUUAUUUUAUUUUAUAAUUUCUAAUUGUUUUUGUUUUAAUUUCUAACGGUUAGACGGCUUAACAUAGACGUGACCUAGUUGUUUUUACGGCCUUGAUUAUUCCUUCCCCUAUUCCUUUCACGUUUUUGACAACAAACCACCGUGAAGCCUUCCUUCUUCUCCAGUCCGUCGCCGGUGCUCUGGCUCAGGAAGGGACUACGUAGCAUACGUGCCGGACAAGUCAUCGUAACUCAUGGAGUUGAAACCCUCCUUCCUCGAGAAACAGAGCAGGACAGCAGCCGUCUGCCGUACGUUACGCCGGGAGACCUCUGUUUCGUAUCUCCCCUUGUCGUCCUUGCACAGAAUAACAAGGUACGUAUUAAGAUCUGCCACCCAGUAUCACACGAUGAGUGACUUCUCUCUCUCCUCUCUCUCUCCUCUCUCUCUCUUGAAUGGGAGGAGUUGACUAUGCUCUUGAAGGCUCUGAAUCCUACUGUGGAUAUUAUUAUGUAUUCAAACUUUGUUUUGAUGAGAAGAACAUGGUCGCAGGCGGACUGGAAUCACCAUAUUAGUUUGUAUAGUUUGUGAAGGACUGGUUGUUGAUGUUUGUUGAGUAGAAGAUGGUCGCAAACGGACCUGCUUGACUGGAUGGUGUGGUUAGCCUCUGCUUGCUGUUAUAGGUUAUGGAUUUUCCACCGUUAGUAGUUUGCUUAGUUGCUCUGUCUUGCUUUAACUUGAACCCAACAAUACAAUGAGUCUUCGAUCUUGGUGUAGAAGAAUGUGAAACUGUAAAGGGUCCAAACUUAUGAAUCUCAACCAAGUGGAGGCAUAUAUCAGGUUGCUGUCUUCACCCUAGUCUGAUUGAUUGUUUUAUUUCCGAAACAGCUUUGAUGGUUGCGCGAAAGUUACUGUUGUUGGAUAUUUGUUCAUUUUUUCUAUGAAGAGAAAGCUGCAGUAUUGAUUCAAUGAAGGCUCCUCUUGUAGUACUCAUAUAAAGUGUUGUUACAUGUUUACAGAAUGCAGAGGAACAGUUGGUGUCCUGAAAAUGAAUAUGCAACCUUUCUCUGCUUCAUAAUCUUUGGUGAAUUCCUGGUGUGCGUAUUGGAUUUAGUCAGUGAUGAAGCCUGAACCCUGAAGUGGGUUGCUGUUUUCGUGGUUUCAACUCAAUUGUCUGUGAUCUGCACCGCACUGUUGGAAUGCGGUCAAAAAGGGAAGUUUACGAACUAGAUCAGCUGAAAUAUUUUCUGGUUUACCGGCUUCUUUGGAGAGCAGCUGAGGUCCAUCUCAUAGGUAAAAUAGAAAGUUGAAGAAACUCUCUGCGGUUUAAAGUUGAAGAAAGUUGUAAAACAGAACUGGUUCCUGGAUGUUACAUGCAGAAGAUGAAUGUAAAGAAGUUGAUGGGUAUCUUUUCGCUUUGGUUCAAUUCAACUGCCUGAUGAUGAUACUCAUCUUGUCAGCUGGAAUGGUCACGACCGGGUUUCAAGAUGACAAAAGCACGCUGCUGAUGUUCAUUGUUCAGAAAUUGAUCUUGAAUGUGAUAAUCUGUGGUUCAGUUUGUCAGCCAUGCAAUCACAAUUUAUGGUCUUCACCAACUAUAAAUAAGAAAUCGCGGUACCAGCUAUAUCGUAUCAAUUGAUGUACAAUACAGUGGAAAGCUUGUUAUGUCUAAUCAGGUUGAUACCAAGUGUCUCUGUGCGUUAUUUCUCAUUAAUUUUGGGCUAUGUUUUAUAUUUUCCUUUUCUGAGUGUUGUAUCUCCAGGAGGGAAAAUAUGGUUGCUAAAUGUUCUGUCAUCUUGAAAAUAUGAUUAUCAACAAUGUAGCUCCAAGUUGGAUGAGAUAAAACAAUCACUUCAGGAGUCGGCCAUGUUCCCUCUCUGAAUGCAAGAUGUUUUAAAGGUGGGACUCAACUGUGCUGAUUGAGUGUUCUAUUCUCGAAACAGCUUUGAUGAUUGUGUGAAAGUUACCGUUAUUGGAUAUUUAUUGAUUUUUUCUAUUAAGGAAGCUGCACUGUUGAUUAAAGUUUGGGUCCUCAUAGAUUAGUACUUAUAUAUAGUCUUGUUACAUGUUUACAGAAUGCAGAGGAGGGAGCAUCUCCAGUGCUCUCCAGCGGAUGAGCAAUGAGACCGUGAUCAACGAGAAAGUCCUAAACGUGUUCGUCAAGGAGAUCACACGCACUCUCCUCCAAUCCGACUUGCAAUUCAAGCAAUAUCAAGAAGAUUGUCAGUUUGGAGGAUGUCGCUGCUGGUCACAACAAGCUUAGAAUCAUCCGGAUCUGUAUUGUUCAGGCUGCGUUUGAUCAAGCUCAAGCAUUUAAGCAAAGUGCUGAAGUUGGGGCUGUUGUUGUUGUUACCAAAAUGGAUGCUCAUGCAAAGGGAGAUGGUGCUCACAUAUACUAGUUAACUGUCCGCUGCAGCAACAAAGUGUCCUGUUAUAUUUAUUGGAACAGGAAAGCAUAUGGAUGAGUCUGAUGUUUUUGAUGUUAAUCCUUUUGUCAAUCGUCUACUAGGCAUGAGUGACUUGUUUGGAUUUAUGAACAAGACUCGGGAAGUUGCUCCUAAACUUGAAACCAGACAGAGCUUUUGCAAAAGUUUUCAGAAGGGACCUUCACGUUGAGGAUUAUGUAUGAGCAGUUUCACAACUUGCUUUAGAUGAGUUCACUUAGCCAGCUUACUUCAAUGUAAUGAUAAGGAAAGCCAGGCCAAAAUCAAGCGGUACAUGAUCAUGAUGGACUCGUCAACAAAUGAAAGAGUCGGACAGCCCAAAUACAAAAAUCUUUUCCGAGUUCCAUAUACGAAGUUCUGGUCGUCUGGUAAGAGAAGUAGUAUAUCGCUUGAUUUAGAAUACAGUGGAAAGCUUGUUAUAUCUACACAGCUUUUUAUAUCUAAGGUCAUUGUGCAUUAUUUCUCAAUAAUUUCGGGAUACCUGUUAUCUUACUAAAUUUUAUGGUGUUUAUGCAGGAUGUUCACCCUGAUAAUGAAUUUGCGAAGGCAUAAGACUAGAUCUUAUCCCUCCACAUAAGAUAAUGGUAACAUUUGCCAGUGUUGUCACAUUUUUUUUCGGUAUCGUCACACUUUCUAGUAUGGUCACAUUUUUAAGUGUUGGUCACGUCUUUUGGUCCUUUUUUUCUUCCAUUUUGUUUUUCAUUUUCUAGCAGCUAGCUUCUGGUUUGGUUUUUUGAGGUCUUUCACUUAUUAGAGUUUAGAAGUAAUAGAAGAAUUUUAUCGGAUAAAAACAGAUCUUACAAAUUGGGAAAUUGAGGUUAUGAUUAGAAGAAAUUGAGAGUAUCUUCAGUACACGGCGUGUAUCUUCACAUACAUACAUGAAUGGUUAGAAUUAGAGGAAAUAAUAUAGAAAUAUGAUAGUCAAACAUAUGAAUUGUUAUAAACGGUUAAGAUUGUGUUUUAUAAAUACACGUCGUGCAUAUGAAAAUUAAAUUAAAUUGAGAUUACACAUAAUUUUGACCCGGCCCAUCUAAUCCCACCGGGCCUGGUUGUCUGGCCUAUAAACCCUUUCAGAAGAGUCUGCUGCUGGUUAACAAACGAAAAUUCUUGUAUGCACCGAUGUACACUUGAAUAAGAUGUUUUAUUUAAUCUUAACCGUUCAUUUGAUCAGCUGUUGAUAUGAUACUAACGUCGAGACUUACACCGUCAAAGAGCAAACAAAAAAAGAAAAAUACUUCUCUGUCGCCGUCGCUCUUGUGGCAUCAGAGCUUCUACGCAUCUGCUUUCGAUUCAUUCAUUCUUUGUUUACCCACAUAUGAGAUCUCAGAAAUUGCUUUCUGUCUUAGCUGGAGAGAUUUGAAUUCGUGCUCCGCACGGUGGAUCCGGUCCAGACGAACAUAACUAAUCAUCCUCCAAUCGUCGUCGUCUUCAAUUUCUGGAAAGGUAUGAUUGAAAGGAUCAAUAGGCAUGUUGUUGUGGUUGCUCUGACAUUUGGGUAUUGAUUAUCUGUUGAUGAUUGCAGAUAUCGUAGACUUAUUAAGUAUUCAUGUAGAAGUAAUUAAAUGCAAGCAAUCUGUGAGUGAUAGGAGCCGUGAGGAGUUUGUGGCUUUGGCAUGGGAAUUCAUCAGCCUUGGGAACGAUUAACGCUGUUAUUCAACUGUUAGUGCACUUGACUUAGCUUAUAAACCCUUCAGCCUUCACACCCUCUCCCAUACUUGUCUCUUUCUCUUCCCCAAACAAAUCCCAGUCGCCUUUGAAAUUCGAAAACAGCUCUGAAAACCCUAAAGGUUGCAGCUUUAUUGAUGGAAGCAGAUACCCACAUGCUUAAGGUAAGAAAAGUUUCAACCUUUUAGAGCUUUUGAUUCACAUUGCUUGAGAUCAGUGUGGCGUUUUGUGGGUUUAGGGUUAGAAAAUGUAUUAAAGAUUUGGUUUUUAUGAACAGUGUUUAGUGUUUUUGCUUUGUUAAUGAAGAAAGUAAUAAGCUUGUUUUUGGUUUUGCAAAAGUUGUAGAAAUUUCAAGAUUUUAUUGGCUGUUUGAACAGAUUUUAGCUCUGUGUUCUUUAGAAAUUUGUUACUUCUGCUUGUUCUUUAUCUUUGUGAUGUUGUUUGAAUAGACUGGUAAAGUGUCACUGUGAGUUUGACUCUGCCUUUGAUAAAGCAUCACAUUCAAGGAAACUAUGUGUUGGCUUUGAGAUAAAUCAAUAAAUCAUAAAUGCAAGUCUUUAACCUUCCAUUUUGGAUUUUUCUGGCAAAACCUGCAUCUUUCCCCUGUUUUUAUUCCAAUUGUACUUUAGAUAAUGCAGUAUUUACACUUGUUCACACAGAUGAAAGAAUGUGUAUUAUUAUGUGGGCUGGAUGAAUACAAAGAGCAUACUGUGUAUUUUCUUUUCAAUUAACAUGGUAAUGUGUAUUUAUAAAUUACAGUGGUAGUUACUUUAUUUCACUUUCAGGUUCCUGUAGUGCAACCUGUAACAGAUAAAUAUGAGCAUCUUCUCAUCAAAAAAGAGAAGCAAUAUGAGUCUCCAACUCCGUGGGAGGUUUCUCCGCUCCAAGAGUUUGCGCAGCAAGUAGGGAUCUUAAGGGUAUGUAUUGUGAAUAGUGCGAACCUACAGAAACAAAUGUUGCUUAUAGUUAGCUGUGGGUCACUGAAGUUCAUUAUUUUCACUGGCCACAUGGUAAUUUCGUGAUCAGGUUUCAAAAAUUUCAAACAAUCAAUUCAUGGGAGAUGUGAUUGGAUUGGUUGCUCAACUUGGCACAAUUGGUACUGGUGAUCUUAGCAGGUUGGUGACCCCUUUGAUGUUUUUAACGCUUUCCUUCCAUCAUAUUUAAGAGUUUAAGACAUGAUAUAUGUUUCUUGAUAUUCACUUGUAUGCAGGGUAUUGGCUGAAUAUUUGGGCCAAGAUCAGAUGCUUGCUAUUGUCUGUAGAUCCUUUGAAGCUGCUGGUGCUCUUGAGAAGUUUGUACAGAAACCUAAGAAACCUAUGCGUGGGGAAGUGGAUUCUAUGCAUUUUCUCUGUGAACCAGCUCUACUUCAGAAACCUACACAUGGUCGAUCGUUUGUUUUUUGUCUGGAAGACAUAAGGUACCACAAGAGGCUUCCUAUUUGCAUUUUCUCUAGAGGGCUAAAAAAUGCUGUAUCAUGAAAAGGGAAUUUGAAUUUGUAUUGCAGGCCUUACACUGGUGACUUUGACCGUAGUGACCCUCAAAGGAAACUGGCAUUACCAGAUCCAGUCCUGCCAAGUGGAAUGGCUCCUGAUGGUUUCCUAGGAUAUGCUGUCAAUAUGGUUGACCUGGAUAGCCAUCAUAUACACACAGUGACAUCUGCAGGCCAUGGUCUCAGGGAAACAGUAUUAUAUUGUCUUCUAGGCGAGCUCCAAGUAUAUGAUACCAGGGAGGAUAUGUUGGCUGCUCAUGAUUGUAUUAAACAUGGUGCUAUUUCUUUGGGUGGAGGAAUUCUGAAACAGAAUGGAGUAACUUCUUUUGGAGUCGGGUAUCUCUCUCUUUUUUCCUCUGCUUAACUGUCUGGUUCUUGUUGGUAGUUCUCCUUGGUUCAAAAGUCAUGUCUCAUAGACUCAUACUCACUCGAAAAUCCACUAAAUCUUGAUGCUAGCAAGAGCAUAAACAACUCCUCAAGUCGUCUAAUAUAACAUUGAAGCAUUCUGAUAAGUUUGCAUUGUACUAUUCCAUGAUGUUUCUUCAAAAAUGUGUGUGACCCUAGUUUGGUGAUUUUUCCUUCAGGGACGUUGAAAUAUGUUUUUCAGUAGCAAAAAAUCUGGAGCUUCUGCCAUCAACAAAUGUUGUUGGUGUUGAGAAGCAGAUUGAGGAGAAGAGUGCGAGCGGAGCCAUCUUCCAAGGUUGGAAAGUGGGCCCGUUUAGAUGAUGUUCAGCCUCCACAUUCCCGAGUGAGGUAAGUUUUUUUCUCCAUGGUACUUGGGUAGACAUAAAAGUAACUUUUCGCAAUUAUAUAUCCUAGUUAGUAUUUUCUGUAUUGACCUUUGAGCAUGCAUCCUCAACAGUUUGCCAUAUUUGUCGACUAUACUCAUAUCAAUUCUCUUGUCAAACAGAGUUGGUUCAGUAUUUCCACCUCUCUCUAUAGCAUGUUACGAUGUAAAUGGCAAUCAAAUACCAUUUGCAACUACUCUGGAAGUCGCGGUGAAAGUUCAAACAAAUGAGGGUUUGCUUUUCCGUGUAGAGAAAUUCAACAAGGAAUUGUCAAACCAUACUUUGACAAUAAAGGUAUUUUAUGCAUGUAGAUUGGCACAUUUAUAGUGUAUGUUGUAUGUAGAGAAGCCUUUGAUUUUCUUUCUUUCUUUACAACUUGCAGAAUAUGCUGAUGGAGAGUGGCGAGUUAGACAAACUUUGACCUACAUAUGAAUCUACUUUAGUUGUAUGUUCAGAAGACGACAAAUUUUCAGUUUUGGUUCCAUGCGAAGGUAUUUACAGUAAAAGUACUUGUUUAUGGAAAAGAACCCAGCAUCGCAAUCUACUUUUCUCAUUUUUCUGUAUUGAAAACACUUUUUUUUCUUCUUUUUUUUUUGUUCAUUGUAUGUAUUGGGACUUUCUAAGUUCUGUUUUUGAUUUUGUUAUUUCAGUUAUUCCCGGAUAUCUACAGAGCGUCAAGGCUGUUCCUCCUAUUUUCGACAACCAAGUGCUCCCAGGUUACAUUAUCAAGCAGUUUAUUUUAGAGGUACAGAGAAAUUCUGUGGUUUCAUAGCUAAAUCAUGGUCAAUUUAUUUAAGAAUUCAAGCUAGAAAAUAUUCAUUGAAAAACAGCAAUACCUAUUUUAAUCAUGUAUCUCUUUCCCAGAUGUUUGAUCAAUAUGGCAAUCAUGUUAUAGAAGGCACUGAAGUGCUACUGAAGCUGGAUGGGUUUUCGAUUCAAGAUCAACUUGGUACAGCAUGUACGGUAAGACUCAUUUCCAUUGCUGAUUUUUUUUCCUUGGUCCUCAAGUUCUGUAUUGGCUUUACUCCCCACAUUAAUGAUAAUGAUGCCACCUAAUUACUUGCAUUAUGCGUUGGCACUUCUAUUUUCAUGCAUUCUUUUGUUAUAGAGUCGGAACCAAGUCAAAUAGUUUAAUUCUUUCAUACCUGAUUCAAUGCAGGUUAAUCAUCAGGGAUGCAAUGACCUCAGUGGCCUGUUGAAAGUAACCGCAGGUUAUGAGAAAAGUGGUAUGUACUUUUACUUGACAGAAUGUUGUUUUAUGGCUUAUUGUUUUAUGGAAUUGUGGUAAUAGUCAGUAUUUGGUUGUCAAGUAGAGUACUUGAUUUCUCUUUCCUAAACAAUGGUUGGCUUAUUCUCGCAAGUCUAACUAUACUGCUUUUUGGAUCAUUAAUUUCACCUAAUGAUAUUUUUAUAUUCUUCCCUUGGUUGCAGUAUCAAUUUCUGUACUGAAUCUUCAGUUUCAAACUGAGAAAAGGGUGUUGAUUAUGCAUACUCCAUCUGAGGCUGCAUGUGGAAUGGGAACUACGCUUGGGUCUCUUAAGUUUAAUAGGGGACUUUUAGGGUUCCAUGAUUCUCGUGAAACGAAAAUUUAUCGAUCAUCUGAAACGAAGUAUAUUUGUGAGUUUUUAAACUUCUUUUUCAGCCAAUUCUGUAAAUCUGAUUCUGCAAAUGUUCAUAGUAUAUAUUCUUUCAUGGUCUAAUGUUUUUUCAUACGUUCUUUUUCAGGCGAUUCAAAAGAUAAAUUUCGUGUAAUUUCAGAAACAUCAAACUUAUGUUAUAUGAUGCCGGGGGUUACAGACGUGUGAAAGUCUAGCAAUAACUAUAUCUGCUGAAGAAGUUUGGUUACUUGAACAACUAUUACCGGGAGGAUUUGUCAACAUUGAAACUGCGUUACAGAUCACCCAAACCAUUCUAGAACGUAAGAAAGUCAGUAUGUGAGCAUGAAUUGCACGCAACCCAGUAGUACCGGGUGGUUGAGAAGAGAGGAUAUCUAUAAUACCGGGUGGCGUGUGACACUGCUGUGCUUGCCAACUCUGUUUUUGAGAACUUGGUCAUGGAGAAUGGGGGGGGGCUACUCCACGCGAUGAUGACCUCCCUAAGGCAUUCCAUAGGAUUUAAUAUAACAUGGAUGGGAAAAUCUUAAAUGUGCAUGUGGCUCACAUACUCACUUUCUUACGUUCUAGAAUGGUUUGGGUGAUCUGUAACGCAGUUUCAAUGUUGACAAAUCCUCCCGGUAAUAGUUGUUUCAAGUAACCAAACUUCUUCAGCAGAUAUAGUUAUGGCUAGACUUUCACACGUCUAUAACCCCCGGCAUCAUAUAACAUAAGUUUGAUGUUUCUGAAAUUACACGAAAUUUAUCUUUUGAAUUGCCUGAAAAAACAUUAGACCAUGAAAGAAAUAUAUACUAUGAACAUAGGCUUCUUUUUUUUAUUCUCAUAUGGCGGAAUAAGUUUCCCUCAAGAUCUAGCUAUUUAAUUUUUCUAUUUUUGUUGGAUUUUCUUUGUAGAUUUAGUUUACAUAUUGAAUGGGUUUGCCUAUCAUACCAUAUGGUAUGACAUACCUACUGCAAAUGUUUCUAAUUAUAUGACACAUGAGGGUUGUUGAAAAGAGGUAAAUAGUUAUUACAUGGUCAUUUAGUUGUUUAAUGAUAGUCACUGAUUUUGUGAGGCAUGUUAUACUAUAUGAUAUAUUAGAAUUUUUUUCCGAAUUCAAAUGACAUCAGUCCCAUGGAAGAUGAAAACAGGGGCAUGUGGGGUUUUUAGAAAUCACAUAUAAGAUGGUGAGAUGAGGGUAGAAGAAGAAAGAAAUAUUUAAUCCAAAAAACAAAAGAGGAAGAAGAACAAAUACGGGUGAGAUGAUACAAAUUUGCUCCCCGAUUUAUUUUCCCCCGCCUUUAUCCUCAUCCAUCUAAAUGCAUAACACAUGUCCCAUAUUAUUUAUGAUCACACUAAAAGAAGGUUAGCCAGAAUCUUACUAUAUAUACAUGCACUAGUUCAACAACAAAUUAAUUAAGACACAGGGACGUACUAAUGGAAUUACAUUCCACCAUUAAGAACAAAUCGAUUAAGGACCGAAUUAAUCUACAGCUAGCUAGCAUCAUAUAGUGACCGGGCGGCUCUGCUUGUUUUGACUAGCUGUAAUAAUCCCUACCAUUACUUAAUUUAAUCAUCAUCAGUGUGUGUACUAAAUCACUAAUAUAAUGCAAAAGACAGAUCAAAGGCCAAUGCAAAAGCAGUGUUUCAUAUUUUAUAGACCAUAUCGUUCUCUACAUUUGAUCGACCUUGGAUUUUUCACAUUAUUCAACAAUUUUAUAUGUCUUCUCCUACCGACCAUUCAUGGAAAGUUCGAAACACAAGAGAUAAAAGAGACCUCCAAAGGCCCCAACUCAAACUUCCUGCUUCCAUGCAUGUAUAAGAUUAUUCCCUUUCAUUUACAUAAAGCUUUAUGAUCGAGUACAAAUUUUGUUAUAUUUAUUCCUAUCCAUAGCCUAAACUUUACGUCUUUUCGUGCUGUUUACUGAUUUCAGUAAUGCAUCGAUGGAUGAACGUCCAUAAGGGAGCUAGUGACUAAUAAUUUAUUUGUCCACUGCCAACUUCGUAUGGUAUAUAUGAUUUACUAAUCCAAAAAACAAAAAGAUAAAUUAUAAUCUUAUAUCGAUUUCUAAUUUUCUAUAUAUAUAUAUCAUAUCUUAUUGUUUUUUUGUUUUUUUUUUUUCAAACAUUGAUUAAUGAAACUGUCGAAUACAAGAAUGAGACAUUAAGCUUAAACCUCUAAUUACAAAGACAUGAAAUAAGUUAUGUGUUCUUAUACGUACCAUGACGUGCAAUUGAAGAAGAAUCGUGACAUCUUAUGGGUUAUGACAAUAUAUGCUGGCAUAUAUCAUAUAUGUAUGAUCAUCGCAAAGAUAGCAUAUGAUGGUACUGGAUGGUUUCAAUUGAUCACAUGUUUGAAGUGCGGGAUUAGUGAAUGAAUGAAUUAACUAGUACUCCAUUAUCAUCUAUAUCAUCUAAAUGAAUUAUGACCACGAAGUUGGAAAGCGAUUGGUAGUGGAAACUUAGAUUCUUAAAUUCUGGAACGCUUUCUUGAGAUUUGAUCAUGUUAUAUAUUAUUUGAUGAUCGAUUUGUUUGUCCAUGUUCCUUAUCCUUAUACCUACCGGAGUUGCCCUUCUUCACAGGAGCCAAUACCAUAGCGAAACUUGUAUGUUGUAUUGACUUGAAUAGUUGUCAUAUAUUCCUUUAUUACUACUAUAUAAAGGGCAGAAGCUCCAAGUCUUCUAAGCACUCAACCUGCACUUCAUAGCUUCAAGCAUACUUAAAGGGCAGUCCAUGGAUAUGUGUGAUCUGCAGAAGCAGACAUGGUGUGAUAUUGAGUCGGCUCAUCAAUCAAUCCCAGUCAUAUUCGUGUUCAAACUGAUGAUCACGUUAAUAAUAUGAUUUCUGAGACGAGCCGAACCAAUAUCACUCUUGUAUUCUUCUUUGCAUAAUGAUUCAGGGCUCAGGGAUAUGCAUGGUUAGGGCUAGAGCUAGCUAGCUUAGCUGCAGCAGCAAUUCAUGAUGCAGUUGCAGGUCAAUCACUCCCUGUUCGAUAAUAUAUCCGUGUUAAUUUAGAGACACUAUAUAAUAUUGCAUAAAUGCAAGUUAUAUACAUACGUAUAUAUGGAAACUAUAAUAAUCUAAAACCAUCGUUGCCGAUGGAGUAGUAGUACUUAACAUAUAUGCUGCCAUUCAGUUUUAGGUGACAUAGAUAAUCCUAAUUCUUUAGUUUCUUCAACUUGUUAUCGAUCAUAUACGUACCCAUUUCAUUCAGCUCCUUUAACUUCCAAGGAAAUUUUACAAACCAUAUCUCAAAUAAAUGUCAUUUAUCAGUUCAAUACACCAUAUUCAAAAACUAUCAUAUUGGUACUCAAACAAUGGAACAAAUUAAAAUCACUUUUAGUAUUUGCUAUCAAUGACGGCGUUAGUUCUCUACUUUUAAAAUGGUAUUUUUGUUUCCUUGAUUGAUACAAUUUUCUUUGACGACGGAGGCCGUUUUGCUACCACUCUCUUCUAAGAGUAUUGGAUCUUACGACGGUCUGACGAGAUUCAACAGCCAGAGACCCAGAGUAUGUCUUUCUUUUGUAUCCUAGUGAACCCAAUGCCCCAUUAAAAUAGGUGGCAUGAACUUAUUUCAAUAUUUGGAUUCACAAAUUUUGCUAUUCAUAGAUUUGCUACUUGUGCUUCUUCUGCAACUACUUUUCUUAAUUACCAACCAAAACAUCAAUCUCUGACAGAGCCAAUGAGUUCUAACAGAGAGGAUUCUUGGGUCGAGUUCUCCAUCAAGUUGGGUCGGAAACUUGGAAUGGAGAUCAGAAAAUUGGGAAUUGUUUACUGGAGAAACAAUAAAGUUUCGUGGCUAGUUGGAAUCUGGAUUCUAAACUUUGGAGGAGUUUUAAUUAUUGGAGAACUAAUGCAAGUACAAAAAGAAAACAAUGAAAAACAAGAAGAAGACUGUUCAGUUUGUAGGAAUUUUGUGUCUGAUUAAAGAGAUAUAUAGAUGAGAACAUGUGCUCAGGUGUGGUUGUGUGCGGCGGAGGGAGAGGGAGAGAGGAAAGCCAGGAAAAAUAAAAAGACGUAAUUGCCCAUGAAACAGUUUUUGUAGCAGUUGACUUGACACCAUUAGAGACGGAAUGUAUCAAAUUUAUCUAAGCUUUAUAUGUUGAGGUACCAAUAUUAUAGUUUUGAAAUGUCAUAUAUCAUAGUGAUGAAUUGAUGUUAUAUGUGGUACCAUUAGUAAAAUUUCCUCUUAACUUCCUAUCUAUCAUAUUCAAGAUAUCCAUUUCUACUUUUCUAGCAAUAAGACAGAUGCAGUCUCGUAUGGAAUAAAAACUUAGAAAUUUCCCUCAUUCUAAAUCUAUGGUUGGCCGGGAUUCGUAAGCGUAUGCAUGUAUCUAUUCUACAUAUAUCGAUGAUUGAUUUAUGUAUAGAAGUCUAUACAUAAAGUCUUAGUCUUCUGAGUUCAGACCAUGGAAGUGUCAUCCUCCACAGUUCAUGAAAACUAAACAGAUACAAACUAGCUAGUUCAAGGAUUUCUACACAAGCACUUGAAGCAAAUACUCUCUCCAUCAAAUUUGCAAUCUCAAACCCCAAAGGAACAUGUAAGUCUCAAGUCUCCAUGUUGGGCCGGGUCAUUUGCAUAACGGGCCAUAGAAUCAAGUCCAUGCCAGCUCAAGAGUAUCGCAUCGUUCAACACGAGAAAUUUUUCUGUCCUCCAGGAGGACCACGUCAGUAUGUCUAGUGGUCCUCCUUGGCCAAUAGGAAGCCGCUAUGUAGUAUUUUUUGACAUGUCAUAAUAGGAUAAAACAAUUAUUAUAUUUAACUUAAGUAAAUUCAACUUAAAAAAAAUAAAUUAAGUAAAACCAAAUAAGAUCAAACAAAAAAAGAACUCAAAUCUAGGGUUCAUCAUCUCCUUACCAAAAAGAAGAAGAAAAAAAAAUUCUAGAUCUCCAUGGUAGUUGAAAGAGGAUGGAGGUCGAAGAAACGAGUAAAGAAAAACCUUAAAUUGAACAACAAAGAGAUUUGUAUGCCUUCGGAGCUGGGUUUGAACUGCUCCAAAAUAAUUAUUAAACCCUUCACAUUUCUUUCAAAUGUCCCAAUGUCCUCAUAAAAGAGUUUCUAGAAUGUCUAUAGUACUAAGUGAGUGAUCUUAAUUUAGUGAACUAUCAUGGAGAUUUGAUUUUUUUUUCUUUUCGGUAAGGAGAUGAGAUGAACCCUAGAUCUAGAUCUGGGUUUUUUAUGUUUGAUCUUGUUUGGUUUUACUUAAUUCAUUUUUAAAGUUGAAUUUACUUAAGUUAAAUACAAUAAUUGUUUUACCUUAUUAUGACAUGUCAAAAAAUACUACAUGACGACUUCCUAUUGAUCGAUGAGAACCACUACUGGAGGACAGAAAAAUUUCUCGUUCAACACAGUGGAACCUUGCAUCUAGCGAGAGUUGACUAGGCUGGCAGGUUUGUUUGUCCAUGCCAGCUGCUCGACGUAAAUUAAGCUACUUGGAAAAAAGAACACACAAAACAGAACAAACAGAAAUUCCUCAACUUAAUUGUAAACUAAUCAAACAUAUUAAUUUUCUGGGUUCCCAGAAAGACUCCAUCAGAGAAAAGAGAACACAGAGUUGUGUUUUGGGGAAGACAAGCUAGCUAGCUCUACAAGGCCUUGUGCUUUUCUGUGUGGUGUGGAGGUGAACACAUACUCUGUUGACUUGUACGUCAGGUCAACUCCCCCCCCCCCCCCCCCCCCACCCAUUGUUAUAAGGUCAGUACUGUAGUUUAUAUCACUUUAGUUCAAAGUUCAAACUGAGGUUAUACUCUGAGCUAUAUCUACUUGUUUGUAAUGGGAUUAACCAAUUUGAACUGAGGUUAUACUCUGAGCUAUACUCUGAGGUUUGAACUGAGGUUAUACUCUGAGCUAUAUCUACUUGUUUGUAAUGGGAUUAACCAAUUUGAAGAUAUUGCUGAUCAUGGUGUUGGACUUGACCUUGAAUAUGAGUGUUUCAAGUUCAUAAAGCAAAGUUCAUGGUUAGUCAAUACUUCUUUGGUUUAGUUCAUAUAUACCUAGGAUCGGAUGAGGGUUAGAGAAGAAAGUGGAAAUGAGUAACGAGCUUUAUUGAUUUAUAUUGGCCUAAAUUUUUUUAACUGUAUAUUAAGGGAUGAACUAAAAGAAAUAUGACAAUUAAACCAAUGUCUUGUUUCAGAUUACUUUCUCGGUCCCUUAGCAAAUAGCAAUUUUUUGUUGUUGGUACCUUCGGUCUAAGAAAAACAAAGUAGUACAAAACCAAUAACGUACAUAGAAUGGUUGUUUUUGCAGAUGAAAUCUUGGUCAGUGUUCUUCCUUUGUGUUUAGAAUGUGGUUCAGCCAUAGCUGAGGGUCUAUAUUCAUAGAUUAUCUCAUACAAAGAUGGCAAAGGAUAUAGUUAUCGGUGCAUCUUUUGUUCCGGUGUCUGAAUUACUCUCUCAGACAGUGUUUGCCAUGUUUGAUACUGUAAAAUCAGCCAAGGAAGUCCUCAUUCACAAAGAGAACUUCAAAGUAUUUGCUACAUACCUGGAGAGAACAUCUUCUAUAUUGAAAGAGUUGUCAAAGCAAAACAUUGAGCAUUCAGAAGGCCUAGUUAAUGCUUUGGAGAUUGUCAAUCGAGAGGUGGAAGUUGCCAAGCAUCUAGCUCUUGAUUGCAGAAAGAAAAACAAGGUUCAUCUGUUGAUCAAUUGCCGGAAGAUUGUUAAGGCGCUAGAGAGCAGUACAAAAGACAUUGGUAGAGCACUUAGUCUACUCUCACUGCCUUCUUUGGAUGUUUCAUUGGGUAUAAACAACCAGAUUAGCAAUCUAUGCAAGGACAUGUUGGAUGCUGAAUAUAGAGCAGCUGUAGCUGAGGAAGAGAUUUUGGCGAAAAUUGAGCUAGGAUUACAAGAAGGAAAUGCUGAUCUGUCCCACACAACUGAUUUGCUUCUUCGUAUCGCUGAGACUCUUGGAAUCUCUAGUGAGCAUUCUGAACUGAAAAAGGAAUUUGAGGAGUUCAAACGUGAAUUGGAUGAUACCAACUUGAGAAAAGGGUCUGAAGAAGAUUUGCAAAUGGAACAGAUUUGUCACAUUAUAGAAUUGCUUGAAAAGACUAAUGCUGACACAGCUGCUGAGGAGAAAGUGAACGAGUAUUCAGAAAGGUCAGUUUCAUUGGGAAGGCAACCGUUGGAACCUCUUCGGCAAUUUUAUUGCCCUCUCACUCAAGAAAUCAUGGUGGACCCUGUGGAAACUUCAUCUCAGCAGACAUUUGAAAGAAGUGCAAUAGAGAAAUGGUUUGCAGAAGGUAAGAAUCUAUGUCCUUUGACUGAUAUUCCUUUGGACACAUCAGUUUUAAGGCCGAACAAAGCUCUAAAACAAUCCAUUGAAGAGUGGAGAGAUAGGAAUACCAGGAUCAUCAUUGCCUCUAUUAAACCAACUCUUCAGUCGAGUGAAGAGCAAGAAGUGCUUCAAUCCUUAGACAAGCUGCAGAAUCUAUGCUUGGAAAGUGACAUUCACCAAGAAUGGGUGACAAUGGAGGAAUACAUUCCAGUCCUCGUUGGACUUCUUGGUUCAAAAAAUAAAGAAAUAAAAAAGAAUGCUCUUGCCAUCCUAUCAAUCCUUGCGAAAGAUAGCGCAGAAAAUAAGGUACCUUCUAAUAGGUCAUGCACUAUUAUAUAAGAUUGAUGAUGCAUUUCAAAAUUUCCUAAUUUCCUAAUUUUCAUCAUGAGUAUGUUUAUUAAACUUUACAGGGUAGAAUCACAGCAGUGGAUAAAGCACUUGAAGCCAUUGUCCGCUCACUUGCACGGCAAAGUGGGGAAAGCAAGGUAGCAUUGCAGCUGCUAUUGGAACUGUCGAAAAGUAGAGUUGCGCGAGAUUUAAUGGGAAAUGUUCAGGGAUGCAUACUGCUCGUAGGAACAAUGUUAAGCAGCGAAGAUGAUCAAGUCACCGGACAUGCAAAAGAGCUUCUAGAGAAUCUUUCUUGCAUUGAUCAGAAUGUUAUACAGAUGGCAAGAGCGAAUUAUUUCAAACCUUUGUUGAAACUUCUUUCUUCAGGUACGCUUGGAACUUCUGUUGCAAUUAUUAUGUCAUUUCCUUCUUGUAUUGUGUAUUGUAACAAUCUAUAUUUGAUGCAGGACCAGAAGAUGUUAAAAUGGUUAUGGCAGGAACUUUGUCGGAAAUUGAGUUGACUGAUCACAACAAAUUAUCUAUAGUUAAAGAUGGGGCACUAGAACCACUUCUUGAACUGCUUUCAAAUGGUGAUUUAGAGAAGAGAAAAGUGGGUGUUAAAGCUCUUCUUCACCUCUCUAGCUUACCUCAAAAUGGCCUGGAGAUGAUUAGAAAAGGUGCAGUUGGACCACUGUUUGAGCUUCUCUAUUCUCACAGCUCAUCAUCACCAGCCUUGCGUGAGCAGGUAGCCGAAACAGUCAUGCACCUAGCCAUAUCAACCACCACUCAAGAAGCCGCAGAGGAUCAUGUCUCAUUGUUACACUCUGAAGAUGAUAUUUUCAAACUUUUUUCACUAAUAUCUUUAACUGGACCUGACAUACAAAGAAGCAUCCUCAAAACUUUCCAUGCAAUGUGCCAAUCAUCUUCUGGUUUAGACAUCAGAAUAAAGUUGAGACAGGUAAUUAACAUAACAAAAUUGAAACUUUUUUUUGGGGGGACUAAUAGUAAUAUAUACCCCCGGCUUCUUGUGAUCUUUCUAUUUACUUACAUAUGUGCAAUUCACAGCUCUCUGCUGUCCAAGUAUUGGUUCAGUUGAGCGAGGCUGAUAAUCCUACUGUCCGAGCAGAUGCCAUCAAGUUGUUCUCAUGCUUGACAAAAGAUGGUGAUGACAGCACCUUUUUGGAGCAUAUAAGUCAGAGAUGUAUACAUUCCUUGCUAAGGAUUAUAAAAAGUUCUAGUGAUGUGGAAGAGAUGGCUGCCGCAAUGGGUAUUAUUGCUAAUCUUCCAAAGGAUCACCCGCAGAUUACUGGUUGGCUUCUAGAUACCGAGGCGCUUCACAUCAUCUGGACUUGCCUAAGUGAUGGGAAUAGAGAUGCCUCAUAUAGAAGACAAUUAGUAGAGAAUGCUGUUGGAGCUCUUAGUCAUUUCACAGUAGCAUCAAAUCAGGAAUGGCAGAGAAAAGUAGCUCAAGCUGGUAUUAUCCCAGUGCUAGUGCAGCUACUGGCUUCUGGAACUGCUUUGACGAAACAAAAUGCAGCUGUAUCACUCAAACAGCUAUCCGAGAGUUCCAAAAGCUUGAGCAAGCCGAUAAAGCAUGGCAUUUUUGUGUGCUGCUUCUCUGCACCUGAACCUGGCUGCCCUGCACACUUAGGCAUUUGCACAGUUGAAUCUUCAUUCUGCCUAGUAAAGGCCAAAGCUCUUGAUCCACUUGUGAGAAUGCUUGGGGAGGCAGAUGUUGGUGCAUGUGAAGCUUCUCUAGAUGCACUUCUGACAUUGAUAGAUGGUGAAAGACUAGAACAAGGCGGCAAGGUGCUAGACGACGCAAAAGCCAUCGGUCUGAUUGUUAAGCUACUGAGCUCACAGUCUGCCAGGUUACAAAGAAAAUCUCUCAUGGCUUUGGAAAGGAUUUUUCAAGUAAAUGAGUUAACUCUCAAGUAUGGAACUUUAGCUCAUAUGGCAUUAGUGGACAUUGCUCAGAAGAAAAAUAACGACAUGAAAUCUUUGGCUGCCAGGGUACUUGGUCAAUUGGGUGUGCUUGGUAAACAGUCUUCUUACUUUUGAUUGAUCUCAAUACACUUCUCAUUCGUGAUUGAUGUAAAUUUGACAUUCGCUUCUCAUAUCAUACUCAACGAUUUCUUUGUUCAGUCUUUUCCUCGUAUAAGAUCAGUUUUUUGGUUAAUUCUAAGUUCACUUUUUCUGAGCCCGGCUAAUUAGGUAAACGGUGUAAUUCGUAUGAUAUGCAAUUUGGUAGGAGGCAAUUUUGGUGCCUGAUGUUGCAGUUAGGGCUCUGUAGAACACUGCUCAUAUCAUAGAAAUAUGGAGAGUAUAAUGUCAUUUAUUCAAACACAUCUCUACAUCAAACGCUCUUAAGUUUCUUCAUCAUCAAUAUAUGAAAUCUAAAUAAAAGUUGCCUACAAAAGAACCCAAGACAAGCAAUUUACAGACUAAAGUAAAGAUUGUUUCUUCUAAAAGAUCUAAAAUUAUGAAAUUUCAUCUUAGAGGACCGGGCAGCCAUCAACAAUAACCCCUUUGGCAGUAGGGCAUGUAGCCAAGGGACAUGGCUCUCCUUUGUUCCCCCACCACUCGAGAUUAAUGUUCUGGGACUGCAAGGUAAGGAAUAACAAUAUUGUAACAAAGGCAGUUCCGGCAUCAAGACCACCAGAGACAACAUAGUUAUACUUCUUCCACCAAUCUUGCCGGUACCUGAAGACAACAAAGCCUGAAACAAAUGCCACAAAUAUCCAACUUGUAAAGUUUAUAGCCGUGGCAGGGGGCAUCAUCCCCGUCGCACCUAGCAGGACAGGCAUGUUAACAGCGAGAAUCCAUUUUUGUUUGGGGAAAGCCCUAUGCGCAAGCCAAACAAGAACUGGAGCAACGGCGCCCCCGAGGAAAAACCAGUUGAUGUUACUGUAUUCACCAAGGUUUCCAAAAAUUCUGCGUGGUCCAACGAGACCCCAGAUAACAGAUGCAUCAAAGAACACGCGGUCCAUUGGACAAGUCCAAGGGCUGCCUGGUGGUAGCAGGGAGGUAUCACAGAGGUUGCGAAUGUCUGACAUCAGCCACCACGCUGUGCAUUGGUAUACAACCACUGCUACAACGGUUCCUACCAUCUGUGCUGUGAACAUUGCUCUUGGCGGAAUCUUCAUGUAGUGACCAAGCUUAAAAUCCAUUACAAAUUGUAGGGCUUGUGUCAUGCUAAUGUAACCAUACACUUUGAAGCACAUGUUAGCUACAGGGCGCUCAGGGUACAGGUAUCCAAUCACAUAUUCUGUGAUGACAUUCAAACCUGGUUCCUAUUGAAAAGAUGGGACAAAAUGUCAGAACCAAUACAAGCUUACAGUUAACAACAAGGAAAAAAAUUAAGUUAGUUACCAUGUUUGUUGUGGCAUAGAUGACACCAAUUGGGUAUGUGAACGCAAAGGCCAUGAAACAAGCAAGCAUUGCACCCCACCAAGGCAAUUGAAGUGACUCCUUGUAAUACACAGAAGCAAAAAUGAUAAGAGCAAUAUUGAUCACAAGGAUGAUGAUAAACCACAAUGUUGGCACCGAUUUGUAACUCUUCAUAAGCCUUGUGUGGACAUCCUUUUUCUUAUUUCCAUGAAACGCGUCCAGUAUAUCCCUGCAUAGAAAAUUAUCAAGUAAAAGAGUCCAAUGAUGUUUCCUUGCACAUAAAAGUCAAGCCAGAGCAUGAGCAUAACAAUCUACUUGAUGUUUUUAAGUCGAUGCUGAAAGUUUAAUUUACCUUGCAUUAAAGAGUAGAACAUGCAUAACUGUAGCAGAAAGUGCAGCAAAUCCAAGACCAUAAGUACAAGCGAAAAAGGUGCUCAAAUGCAGAGGCCCCUUCUUUGCAUAUUCGCCGUGAUCAAGUUGAAACCUGGAAUCAAUGACAUCGAGGACCUCAUACAUAGAACCAUUCGCCAUGAACAAGUGGCUAGAAAAUAUUGGGAAUGUUUUGGCGCUGUAUAUAUUAGACCAGUAUGUGAUGGGUGUCAUCACAUACAUGACAAGGAAAAAUCCAACAGCAACGUUGGCUGAGGCGAACCAUGGGCUAGCCAAAGGAGUACCAAGAUAUGAUGAAAUAGUAGACCAAUCAAUUGCAAAAGAACCAAUUCCAAGGCCAUUCAUGCCAGAACCCAGCUGGUUAACUAGAAUAGACUUGGGUCGAAUCCAACAAACCCAAGAGAUAGUUGUUAGCAUAAUUAAAAGAUAACCGGGGAAGAUAUAGUAAGCAAAACUGGCAAUCAUCACUACGAGGAAGAACUGGGUACGAGUCAUGCUUCCUUUAGGCCUUUUGCUCUUCUCAUGCAGAGCACUGCAAGCAAUCAGACAUUAAGAGAUUCAAUACUAUUAAGUAAACAAUAAAAGAAAUCAACUGGCUAAUACUAAGGAAGUAAGGAGCUAAGGAAAGUUUACCUGAACAAUGAAACCUGAACCAGAUUACCGGGCCACCACAUCUUCUCUGGCUCAACCAGAUAUUUUCUGAAAAUUCCAGCCCAACCAAACCCCAAAACCUAUAAUUUUAAACGGCAAUGAAUAUAAUAUACUCAAAUCUUUGUACUAUAUCAGCAUAAAACCAAUCAAAAAUCCAAAGAAAGUGAGCAACAAAAGUACCUGAGUGGUGAGCAUAACAAUAAAGGCAGGAAGAAAAGUGAGCUUCCUCUUGUAUAAGAGCUUAACAGCAGUCAAGAUAUGACUAGCAUAAACAGUCCCAGCCCCGCAAUUCGCAAAUAUGGUGAUCAAAACAUGUUCCUUGACAUUGAAAGGCCCCGGAUUCAUGGUGAACUCUAACUGAGUACCUUGGAAAAAGCUGCGCGUGGGAAGCACUCUCGCCAUGAAAUGUCCGAGUGGCACCACAGCAAUCUGUGCACUGAUGGCUGAGAUAGUCAAGGGCUGAGUCCUGUACCAGAAAAACUGGUUCACAAAGGAGAGAAGGAUACAUGAGACCAAACCGAGAACCCACAUUCGGAAUGUGAGCACCGGCAAGGUGGGAUCAUCGGUUUUCGGCACCGUCAACUCCACUUGCUCAAUGAGACAACGGUCAUCUUCCUUCUCCAUGUCCACAGCACUACGACUAUCUAUCUCCAUGAUUCACACUAGAAAACCGAAAACCAAAAGAAAAUCAAACCAAUGACCUCCUUGCUGUGUGCAUAACACACAACGCAGAGAGAAACAAACUAGGACGAAAGAUAUGUGUUAUUGGGGUAUGGUGUAUGAAGAGAUAGAUAAGAAGAUGCAGAUAAAGAAUCUGAAUCCAAGUGAAUAAUGCAUUUACUGAACAGAACAGAUAGGUAUACCUGAGAAGAAGAUAGAGGUUCAGUAGGUGUGGGACUCAGUUAAAACAACGAGAAAGAUUCUACGAUGCAUGUGAGAAUCCUAAUUAUUGUAGCAAGUUAGAUUCAAAUAGAAGUCCCCGCAUCUGUGUUAAGAUGUCAAGAUGGGCCCGCUGAGAAGUUAUUGUAGUUUACUGAACAACUAACCAGAACUUUGAAACAGAGUAUGACUCUUUUAGUCAGAAUCUGAGUGAGUGAGACCUCGAAAGAGAACGCCUAAAUUGGACUCACUUAACAUUUAAAAAAAAAAAUUCGACUCACUUAGAAAAUGAAAGACGACUUUAUCCAAAAAAAAAAAAAAAAUACUUAACAACACUACCAAAACGCAUGCGCUUCUACAUAGACAGUUUCUUUCAGUUCAGGAGGAUGAGAUGUAGUUGCUAGAACGUAAGUUUCAAGAUUUCAUAAUUUGAUUUUGAAUACUCUAAAUCCAUGAAUUAUUAAAUUUUUUUUUCUUAGAUUAUGUUUGAAUCAUAUAAAUUCUAAUUUCUAAACUGUGCGAGUAAUGAGGUAUUCGAGUUGGAAAAAUCUUCAUCGACUAGUGGAUCUUCCUAACUUGGGCUAUGGAACAGUACCUUGGCCCACUUCUGUCUCAAAGCCCACAUCACUCAACUUGGUCAUCAGUACUUCUGGUUUAACGGAAUUGGAUCCCAACUAUGCCUAUUUUAAUUUUUAACUAGCGUUUACAAGUCUCAGGUAAAUUCCCAAGGUCGGCAUCAUCUUACAACUUGUUUACUUGUUGAUUUGAUCAUUUAAAUACAUGGAAAGCAAAUACAACUUCUGCGUCAGAGAAAACCUAUCUGAUAAAUCAAAACGUCCCCCUUUCAAUAAAUUGAUUAUGAAUGGAACGGACGAUCACCGCAAAACUACUCAACUUUUCCACCUCCACAUUCACUUUCUCAUCGUCACCACAGUGAACACAGCCGACAGUAGCAAAGCAGAACUAAACCCGUGGAAGAAAAUCACAAUGGGUCAUUGUCUCCUUAGCUGGGUACAACUAAGUUGAAGUUGUAAAUACAAGCUAACAUGGGGAGGGCGAUGCACAAUCAGAGGUGCAUAUGUAUGACCCUGGACUUGGGGUGGGGCAAAGGUCACAUUGAUGAUCCUCUUAUGUUUUCUGUGAUAUCGCAUCCUCCAUCGACAUAUGAGUAUGAAACCAUUGAAUUUCCAAGUGGUUACAAUGGAAGCAUGCUGCAAUUGACUAUACUUUAAUAGACAUGGAACCUAACUCGGAAGUAGCUCUUCAAUACGGCAUGCAAUGAGGAACAUCAUAAAAGGUCGCAUACGGUUAAAAGACUGUAGCAAACCGUAUCUAAUACUUCGCCCCUGACAUAUGGUCAUGUUAUACUAAUGGAAUCAGAAACUGAAAGAAUCAGAUGCAACCCAAAUGACCAUAUGCUAACCUUUUGUUUUCAAGAUAAAGAAAAAGAAAAACACCUAGCUAAAAGGAGGCAAUACAAAAGGCAAAAUGAAAUGCAGCAAUUUGAAACCAGCUUUUCACAAGAACUUUUAAAAACUGAUUGUAUCAUUGAUUAAGGACAUUUUUAUAACAAAAUGCAGCAGCAAUCAUUAGAAACCUGUUCUUGGUAAAGAAAACAAUACGAACUAAGAAAAUGUGUAAAUGCUUGAAACAAUUCUCUCAAGGACAGGGGCAUAAACAUUAAGUUGCCAGCAACACUCAUCCUACACACAGACCAUAUGCCAAGAUAACCUAUAUACACACCUGUAUCCAGACCUGUAUCCAGUUUAGCAUGGAUUCUUCAAGGAUUAUCUAUAACUGACAGCAGAGAGCCAUGACACAAAUCGCAAUAUUUUCAAUACAUAAGAUAUCUACUUCAUCAGUUACCACAGUUUCAUCACUAAAUAGAUAUCAAACACUGAUUCAAGAGAAUGUGCAAAUGAAAGAGAUUUCAACACGUUCUACUAAAAAUAAGUUUACAAUAUCUAACGAAACGCAUAUGGCAUUACGGCGUAAGUAGUCAUAAUUAAAGUGCAUAUGGAAAAGUCUGAAAUAAAUAUAUAAAAUUGUCUGCAGAUGCCAAACAAGAAACCACUCUAGCGAUUUGCCCACGAUAAUCGAGAACCACAUAAUCUGAGUUGGUCCUAACUAUGCGCCUUAUAAAAAUCUUGAAACUGCAUGUUUGUUGUACGGCCCCUCAUUAUCACAACCUCCCAAAUCAUGCAAGUCCUACAGAGAAGAGUCGUCCCACGAUUUAAGUGAAUUUUCUUUUUAACUUUUACUCAGCACCUAACGGCCAUAAAUGAAAAAAGGUCGUGUGGAUCAAAGUCGGUAAUCACCUGAAAACCGCAUAAUUCAACGCUUCCCUCGGUGCCCACCACCUGACCUCGCACCAGGAUAGCGAGCAAAUUGCAACCUUAAAUUGACCGAGUCACGGUCAUGCUCAUCGAACGUAUAACCUGCAAAAUUGAGGUUGCCCAUUUACGCUAUAACUAAGGUACGUUUUAACGGCGAAUUAGGGCAUCAGCAGAUAGAUGUUAUAAGACGAGAAAUCAUUAGCUUAAAUACAUUAGGCCUAUCACUUUUCAAUACAGCUAAUCAGAAAAUGUGUUUCAGCACACUUCCUAAAACGUGUCACAUGCUUUCUCUCCUAAAAUAAAGUAUACAGUGAUUAGGGAAACCUUAAGAGAAUAAGGGUUUAACUGCCAAUAACAAAGAAAGUGUCUGUUAACACAUGAGAUGACUAUCAGCUCCACAUUCUUAGACAGCGAUUAAGAAUGUGGCUGAAAAUGAUCACUCAGCUUUCUAAACCGAGUUUCAGUAGUCCAUUUGAGUAAUGAAUCUUCAACCAAUCAAGGCCCCAAGAACCAACGGCCAGUCCUAUUGUUUAGAAGAAUUUGGAUUGGGGCACUGGGUGACUUUCUUGGGUAAACCUGCAACUAGGGAAGUAUCACGUGAAACCAAGACCUAACAAACGAAACUGACAUAUUCUCCUGAAACACAAAAUGGGCUGUGACAUAAGGGCAACAGAAACGUUCACUACCUCCUUCAACUUCAAUGUAUACCGGAUCAAAAGACAUACACCAUUCUUCUUAAAUCCCACGCUAAUCUCUUUAAAUGGAUAAGCUACAUAACUAAAUAAAUGAGAAGCUUUAAGGAUUUAAAUGUUGGUAAGCUGUGGAAGUUAGAAGUUUCGCCUCACAACUUUAGGGUACUGAUUUUCCACAUGAAUUAUGUUCGAAUGAUGCAGGUGUAAUCAUUCCUUUCUCAUAGUCAUAUUAUCACUGCUACCGUCUUUUUUUUGUUUUUGGUUAAUUGUCAAUUCCAUAGAGCAGUCAAACAGCAAUCGACUACAUAAAACUUUUCCUUCUAUCUUGUUCAUUUAAAAAGAAAAAUGCAUCAUGAAUGAUUUGGCAGUGCCACUUCUUGCGAAGUGACUAAAUAAUGUUAGGAAAUGCAACUCCACCACAAUUGUAUAAGAGGAUCUAACAACAAGCAAUUAUCUGGAAUGACCGGCACAAAUAUGUGGCUUUGGUCGAUAAAAGUUGAAAUAAAAUUGUGAGCUUACCUUGCAAGGCAUCCAUAGCCGUGGCUGCAUGGGCAGGGCUCAUAAAAUCAACAAAACAAAGUACCAAAGGUUCACCUCCAGGCUGCAUAAAUAGGUUAUUAGUGAAUCCACCAACCAUUAGUCAUUGAAUCUACCCUUGAAGAAAUAUAAACUUACAUGUCUUGACUCCUUGCUUACAAGUCUCACUUCUUUGUAACCAACAAAUGGGCGAAAGAUGUCUUAAACAUAGUGAAGGAAAAUCUAUUGUGAAGGUAAAAUGCAAAGGAAGAUAAGAAACUGAGCGCUAUACGAAGUUCAUCACUAAAAGGAUACGAGCUACUUCACGUCGCGUACAAUUGGCAGGCAAUCCUUCCACAAAAAGUGUACUCGUCGCACCAGGAGGAAGAGGAACCUCAGGCCUCCCACCUCCCAUUCCCAAGACCCUCUCUUUUACAGGCCCGGGUUCAACCAUUCCCAUCAUUCGUGGGUCAUCAACAGAACGACCAGGUAGUCCCCCGCUCAUGUUUCUAGCAGACUGUCCCCCACUAUAAGAUGACAUUUGCUGAAAGAUUACUUGUUACAUUAGCCUCCUACUAUACAUAAAAUAGACAGAUUGUGAUAUGUAAGUGAGAUGCAAAAAGUGAGUACCGCAGAACGAAGGUAGCGAUCAUAUGAUGCGUUAAUGGAGUCUGUAUCUCUCAUCCCACGGAGUGAACCUCUAUCAUCUUCGUGGGGAUAAUAACUAGGCAGGUCAUGGCCACUAUGGGAAUCUGAAAGAAGGAUGUACUUCAGUUAUAACUUUUGUAUCCACAUGAUUCUAAGAAAUCAAACUACAACAGCGUGAGCAUACAGAACAUAUAGUGUCAAUUAAAUAUUGCAGAAAACAUAACAGAAGUCAAUCGUUGUGAUCACUUGAAACACAUUACUAGUCCUAACCAGGUUACUAAGUAGUUAAGACCCAUCAAGAUGCCCAGAUAUCAAAAGAAUAUGCAUCUGCUAACAGGAUCACUUGACUUAAUUUGGCAUCCAAAGUGACAGCUUCGUAGUAUAUAUGCUAGCUAUAAUAAUCCGGAGUAAUAUCAUAGCUCCAGAAUAACUAAAACUAAAUAUGUGGAUGAUAUGAUCUGAAUACCUACCCAAUGAAUCCAGGAUUCAGACAUAAACAAGAUAACCCGUAGAUGAAAGUAAUUCUUAAAUGAUUGAUAAGUAUAGUCUAUAGAUAGCCUUAAAGGAUAUUUAGUCACUAUCCAGAAAAUAAACAUAAUUUCAAAACAUGAGUGCAGCAAAGCGCCAGCACAAAGCCUGGAUUUAAAUAUUAGGUAAAAAAACAGAUAAAGAAUCCAAAAAUUGUAUCCUAAGAGUCGGAACCAGCCAAGAUGCUAAAUUAAUUGAAUGAUUUGAAUCAAUACUGAUCAUCAAAAGCAACAAAUGAGUGUCCGCGUUAUAAGACUGCCUAUCCUGAUUAUGAAUGCAGUUCGAAGGGAUUGACAAAUCUUCACAAAAUUGACCAUUUGAAAUCAGCAAUGCUCAUUUUCAGCUAACAUAUGCAUGCUCGGCUUACAGUCAUGACUGUGCAACCAACACACCACAUGCAGAUACACAACUAAACUUAUCAUCUAAUGCAAUCGAGUACACCCUAAUAACAAACGCAAGCACCUAUUCUAUGCAUCAAAAUCCAACACAGCAGCACCUCAAUAAGUUGAUUUAACACACACAUCAACAGUGACGGAAUCGAUACAGCACAGAUCAUACGAAAAUCAUAUCACCACCACUAAAAAUCUCCAUUAAAUCGCUCAAACAGUAGCUAAAUCUAGCAUUUCAAACACAUACAAAAGAAUCCGCACUCCAUUUUCCAAUUCCUCACCCCAAUAAACCCUAGCUCGAACACUACUGAGCUCUCCUUUUACCAUUAAAAUAAUUAAAUAAAUAAAGCUCCAUCUCACUUUAAAUUCAGCUCUAUCAGCACAAUCGAAACAGAUCCUAUCCACAGUAGCCCUAAUUUCUCAUCAACCAAUCAAAUCAACAACAACUAAACCCUGCGGAUUCUACUAGAUUCAAGAAGGAACUCGAUGCGUACCGUAAUCUGGACGCGGACGCUUUCCCAUGCCGGAAUUCAUCCCCGACGGCGGCGGCUGCCGUCCGUCGCUGUACCUCCAGUAAGCGUCGGCCAUCUCAGAAGUAUCUGCAAGGUCUUGCAGAGCAGAGCAGAGCAGAGAGAGAUGAGAGCAGGAAAAAGAAGAGGAGAAAUGAGAUCAGAAAGUGUUGAGAGUCUCUGAAGUGGCGAAGUGCGGAGCGAAGAGUCUCUGCAGUUAACGUUUUUUUUGCUUUUUCAUACAAUCGUCUCUUUAUUUUCCCAAUUAAAAGCUUUUACCUCCGAGGUAAAUUCUUCUGUAUUAUUAGAGGGAACUGAAAUUUACAUUUCUAAUUUUACAAUUCACACCCCCGUUUAUCUCUUUUGGUAAUUUAAAUCUUGUUUUUAGUGAUAUGUGUUUUGUCUUUCUGUGAAAACUUUACCUAAAAAUAAAAGGUGGAAGUGUAGAUUGUAAAAUAAAAAGUGUAAAUUUCAUCUCCCUUAAUUUUUUUCGUUCGAUUAAUAAAUAAAAUAAAAUAAAAGUCACAACUCAGAAGAGCAUCAUCUUUCGAGCAUCAAUUAGAAUUAUUGAGCCAAUGCUUGAAAUGAAAAUGUAAAGUAAUUUCAUUGUCUUUGCCACUCAUUGUUCGUGUUAUAACUUUUCCAAAAGAUUGGAUCUCUUGAAAUAUAGUGUAUAAGACAUUGAAUUUUGAUUUAGUUGAUUUUUUUUUCUGUCUUUUCAAGUAGAUAUACUUUAUGAAGACAUACACCUAGAGAGUUAAAAAUGAAAGUUACUAGUAUUCAUUAAUUUGAUGUACACCAAAAAUACAUUACAAGAGCUCUUCAUAUCUUUCUUUUUUGUACAAAUGAGACAUUACCUUACUCCUUAGGUUUCAACAUUAGGCUCCCUGAUAGAAUGAGUGAGAUAUUAAUAGUUAACAAACCAAGAAGUCAUUGCUUUUCUUGAGGGCUUGUGGCUGAGCACAUUGACCAAUGACCAUAUACCUCAGUACAAACAUAGUAUAAGACUUAGUUUGGUAUUGUGAUUUAAAAACUCAAUUUUUUAAAAACUCAGUUUUAAAUAAGCAACCGUUAACCCAUUUUUUAAAAUCGUGGUUAUUUAAAUAAAAAAGUUCUAGAUAAUCACGUUUUAAAAUUUUUCUAAACAGAAAAUCUAACUAAAAUGAUGAUUAUAAUUUCCAAAACUCAAUAUCAAAUUGGGUCUAAAUCAUUCCCCAAAUAUCAUCUCUUUUUUGGGCUAUGAUACAUCAACUCCAUACAUUUCUCUUAUCCCUCCUAAGUCAGUCAGUCAGCUGGUCACCUACUUACUAAAAAACGUAUGGUCAAGUUACCCAUUUAAAUCCGAAAGUUGAAGUUAAUUGAAUUAAAUGUUUUAUUAUAUUACAAUUAGAUGACAAUUAAGUUUAAUUAAUAAGAUGAGAGCCAGACGUUUUCUCCUCUGUUCUUGUCUUCUCCUCACCCCCAAAAUCUGAAAAUUUGCUGAUGACCCAGAUUGAAAUAUGCCAAGGAUGAUCUGUGUGAUUCAUAUAUAAGUGAAGUGCUGCCAUAUUCAUCCAACCAAAAGCAAUGAACUAAAUGUUGUAAGGUAUUCCUAACAACUAAGAAUCUCCAGAUUCAUAGCUUCUUUACUGUAUUUCCCCAAAAGAAUGAAACUUAUUCAUAACAAUAUGAAAUCUACUCUUUCAGUAAUCAACAGAACACUUAAAACCAAUCAUAAUGCAUAUAAACACCAUCUCACUGGACACCAAACUUAUUGAUAUUAGAGAAAAAACAUGUAAAGGGAAGAGUAAUUUUUGGUUCAGUUUUGAACAAGAACACUACAAAUCAGAGCUUGGUUGAUCAUCCCAAGAAUUAGGGUUAUGUCUGAAUUUCAGAAUUUCUCAGAGAAGGCGAGGAGAAAGACGGGGAAGACGUCUUGCCGGUCUUGGUAUUGAUAUUAGUUAUUAAUUAGAAAUACAAUUUAAUAUAUUUUACUUCAAUUAACUCCAGCCCUUAGAUUUAAAUGGGUAAGAUCUGAUGGCUGAUGGCUAUUGACAGGUGAACAGGACUGUCAGGUCAGUUCCACACUUCCACUUGAUUAUGAUUGUAACUUGUUUAAUCAUUCUUUCUCCUUUAGUUCUUUUCAUCACCUAAUCUUGUCUGUAUAUAUCAGCCUCAAUUCCAGCUAUAAUAAAUAAAAGUCUCUAUUAUACUAAAACUGUUCCAAGUCAACUUUCUUAUCCAGCUUAGUUGGCUGGGCCUCCUGAUCAUAUAUAGUCAUCCACUCUAUAAAUUUGUUCACCUUGUGCUGUUGAUCAACUCAUCUCAGGGAGCAUAGUUUCUUGACACUCCUCCAUACCAUGUAUGCAGAUUUCAAUUCCUCUUUUGUUUCAUUAACCUUGCCUUCUCAUUUAUAACUGAUUACUUCCAUAUUAAUUGGAAUAGAAUGUGAAUCUGUGAUUAUGAUUGACUCAAUCACUAUUAGUGUUGUUAAGCUUUCAGUUUAAUGGCGGUAUAUAGUGGAAACCCCUUCUUCAGCUGCACGAAUUGCAAAAACCCUGUGGCGCUACGUGAAGAUCUUUUGUCGAAAAAAUUUGUGGUGAAAAUCAAAGAUUAUCUUAUUAUUGCAGUAGUUUAUACUAAGUUGUUAUAUAUUUGAAGUGUAAUAGUGUUAACUAUGUUCCUUUGCUGCUGCUAUUUGGAUGUUUAGGCAAAAUCUGGGGCAGCAUACAUGUUCUCUCAUGCAAUGAACGUCAUUGUGGGGCAAAAGGAGGACAAGAAAUUGAUCACUGGUGUUUUUUCUGUUGCUGGCAUACAUUGCAGCAAUUGUGGCCAAGAGUUAGGAUGGAAGUAUAUUCGAGCUUAUGAUCCGCAACAGAAGUUCAAGGAAGGCAGGUUUAUAAUCGAGAGAGCAAAGAUUGUCAAGGUGUACUACUAGUGUCACAUCAGAGAGGAACAAGGCAACACAUAUUACUACUGAGAAUAAUGUCAUUACCAUUUCCCAUUUGGAUGUUUAGUGUGCCUCUGUAAAUAUUGUGUCUGCUUAUUGGUUCUGCUUGUUUUUGCAGUACCUGAUGUGGUGUAAUGGUUAUCUGAGCAAUAAGAUUAUGUGCUAUAUGUACCUAAAGAUGAAAUUUGAGCUUGCUACUGCAAUUUCUCUUAAUUAUAUUGAGUGAGACUGCUGCUCACCUUACCUGACUUCAAGAUUUAAGGCUUGAUUAUGUGGCUCAAUGUUUGGAAGGGAGAGUACUCCAAUUCCCUAAUAUUGUCAAAGAGUACAGAUAAAUAGUUUCACAUAUGAACAAUAUAUAUAAUGUUACUACUGAUAGUAAAUCCCAUUACAAUUAAUCUAUGAGAUUAUGUUGGCUUUCAGCUCCUUGUAACCAAACAGUGCAAGGCAAGUUAACUAAAUGAGCGUUUAUUACCAAACAAUCGUUUAAUGUGAAUGCCGGGUGGACAAUAUACUUGCAGGAAAUAGGAAUCACAUUCAGUAGUCUUGAAAUAAUUCGUUGAAUUCAGAACCGGAACCUUCUUUAAGUCGCAUAUGAACUGCGAGUUCACAUUCCAAUACUUCUUAAACGCCUCCUUAGGGACUGCAGUGUUCUGAAGAUAGAGUCUGACAACAAUGUCAUAACUAUUAUUAGCUGAUCCAACAUUGUUGUCCUCGACGCGUGCACAUUGAUGCUGCUUAGCCUCAGAAUUAAGAUGCUUUUGAACUCCAAGAGUACUAUCCAUGUCCUGCUGCCCUUUGAAUGACAACUUGAGAAGAGUUGUACCAUCUUUCUCUUGGUAGAAGAUAUGAGAAUAGUUCUCUGCAACGAACUUCUUGUCUUGGUAAUAAGCCAUGACCGCAAUGUUAUCUUGAAGUAUGCUGAAAUCCUUGUUGGGGUUUCGGAGGGUGACAUGGAGGACGAGAUUAUAGUGGAGGGUGUCGGUGUUCUUUGUGGUGACAAAGGUGAAUUCCCUUAGCAAAGCAUCAGUGACAUGGAUGUUUUGUGAUAGGGAGUUUUUGAUUCUGUUUUCGUGACUAUACCAAUCGCGAUUACGCCAACACAGAUCAAAAGAAUGGUGGAGCAUAUCUCUGUAGAAGAAGCACCCCUCAUGGUUUCAACAACAAGGUUAUCCUAUGACCUUCAUUCUAUUUAUAAAGGGCAGACUUAGGAGAACAGGAGCUCUCAAGAAAGGUCCUCUAGAAAUAUAUUAGAUAUGGAAAGUAAAUCUAAUUGUUCAAAAGAUGGAAAGUAAAUCUAAUUUGAUUUCAUGCUUCUUAGUUCUUACUUCCUCUUUUUUUUUCUUUACUUGUAACCUCUUUUUUCUAAUUCUUUUGGGAAUAAAAUCUUCUCUAAAUCUUCUCAUGAAGAACAGUUUGCCUUAUAAGUACCAGUAUCGGGCUUAGUUUUUACUUCACCGAGCUAGCUUUCUUUGUCACCAUGAUCGGCGGUUCUAUGGAAUCUUUCGGAAUCAUCGUCAUUCUGGGUUUUGUCAUGGCCAUAAUCUAUGUGUUCAUCGAUUUAAGAAGAUGUGUUAUCGACCCCCACCACUCAUACAUUCAAGUAACUCAUGCUUCGCUUGCCGAGUUCAAUAGGACCACCAUCAACACCCUCCAUUAUAAUCUCUUACUCCAUAUCACCCUCCAAAACCCCAACAACAAUUUCGACGUCUAUUAUGAUAGCAUGGUAGUCAUGGCUUAUUAUGAAAACCAGAGGUUUAUUAUGGAGAAUCACUCGCAUGUAGUUUACCAAGGGAAGAGAAACACAACUCAUCUCACACUGUCACUCAAAGGAGAGAAGGACAUGGACAACACUAUUGGGGUGGUUGAGGAGGGGCAUCAUCAAGAGCGUCUUGAUUCCGAGGUUGAGCAGAAGCAGCAACAAUGCAGAUGUGACAACAAUGGUGAUGAAAGAAACAAGAAGUCUGGAUAUGAUAUUCUCGUCAGGUUCUAUCUUGAAACUACUGCAAUGCCAAACCCUAAGUCGUUCAUCAGGAUGAAUUGGAUGGGGAACUCUCAAUUCACAUGUAACUUGAAAAGGGUUCCAUUGAUCACAGCGUCUAAUUAUAAUCCUCGUUCCUUCAUGAAUAAUAUUGCCAAGUGUAAUACCGAUUUCUAUCGCGUAUCUCAUCCUCCUGGCAGUGGUUGAUCUAUUUGUCGAUGGAUUAUGAUACUUCAACAGGUCUACGAAUUGCCAAAAUUACUUGUUUAUUAUGGUUUUGUUUUGUGGAUUUAUUCGAAGAAUGUAUAUAUCUUAUGUGAUCUAAUCAUUAGUUUAUGUAAUGUUGAAUGAUACUUCUUAAAACUGAAAAAAGUACUAGUGGAUGAGAAAGGACUGCAUUGCUUCACUUCUCUGAAACUGGAAGGAUAUGACUAAAUUUCUAACUGCUCUGCAUCUUCAGCUAUUCUGGAACUAGCAAGGAAAUUUUGUCCUAUACUUAUCAGGAAACAAACCGACGCGGUAUCCUUUAUAUAUCAUGCUACUGAUUUCCUAUCACACAGUAGAUGAUUGUCUUGAACAACUUAAGUCACAUACUGAUUUACACAUGAAUACAAUGAUGGUUAAGCCUUGCACAAUUGCAGAUGGCAAAAGCUCAACAGCAUGAAACAAUGACCAAUUUUCUAGGGAUGCCAAGGUUGAUCUGUACAACACAAAUAUAUAGUACACUUACAUACAUCACCUCAAUUCCAGCUCUAAAAGUCUCUAAUAUGCUAAAACUGUUCCAAGUCAACUUUCUGAUCCAACUUAGUUGACUGGCCUCCUGAAAAUAUAUUCAUCCCCACCCUAUAAAUCUGUUCACCUUGUGCUGUUGAUCAUCUCAUCUCAGGGAGCAUAGUUUCUUGACACUCCUCCAUACCAUGUAUAUAUGCAUAUUUUAAUUCCUCUUUUGAUUACUUUCAUAUUGGAAUAGAAUGUUAAACUGUGAUAUUGUGAUUGACUCAAUCACUAUUACUAGUGUUGUUAAGCUUUCAGUUUAAUGGCAGAAUAUGGUGGCACCCUUCUUCCGCUGCAGGAACUGCAAAAACCCUCUGGCCCUGUGCGAAGAUCUUCUGUCGAAAAACUUGUGGUGAAAUUCAAAGAUAUUACUGCAGUAGUUUAUUCUAAGUUGUUGCCUAUUUAAAGUGUAAUAGUGUUAACUAUGUUCCUUCUUGCUGAUAUUUGGAUGUUUAGGUAAAAUCUGGGGCAUCAUAUAUGUUCUCUCAUGCAAUGAACGUCAUUGUGGGACAAAAAGAGGACAGGAAGUUGAUGGCUGGUGUUUUUUCUGUUGCUGGUAUACAUUGCAGCAACUGUGGCCAAUAGUUAGGAUGGAAGUAUAUUCGAGCUUAUGAUCCGCGACAUAUGUUCAAGGAAGGAAGGUUUAUUAUUGAGAGAGCAAAGAUUGUCAAGGUGUACUACUAGUGUCACAUCACAAGGCAACAAAUACUACUACUAGAUAAUUUCAUUACCAUUUCCCAUUUGGAAGUUUACUAUGCUUUGUAAAUAUUGUGUCUGCUGCUUGUUUCCGCAGUGAGUCAUUGUCAUGAGCAAUAAGAUCAUGUACCUAAAGCUGAAAUUUGAGUUUGCUACUGCAGUUAAUCUUAAUUAUGUUGGUUGAGAUUGCUUACUUCACUUGCAUAAAAAAUAAAUAAAUAAAAAAUUAAAGAUUUGAUUUUGAGCCUCAAAGUUUGGAAGGAGAGCACUGCAAUUCCCUCCGUAUUAAAGAUAUACGCUUGAUGUCCUAGAAACUGAGGAAGAAAUGUUGAUGCUUUAGAAAAUUCAGUCCUUGAAAAUCAAACACCUAGUCCAAACUCAUAAGGAACGUCUUUGAAAUGCUCUAUCUCACCCCAGAUUUUGUCUUUCUGUUCCUAAAACCAGUAUAAAUUGCUCUGCAUAUUCAACCUUGCUUUGUUAAUGCCAAUUCUUAAUCAUAAUUUACUUGCUAGUUUAUGCAUGUGAAGCUAAAGGCCUAAAGCUCCACCAUUGUGCACUAGAUUUGGGAUUCCUGUACAUGGUUAAGAUAACCGAAUAGUCUUCAUCUUUAUCUAGCUCUUGGAAAUUUGGCUGGUUAGGUGAGACCCUUUCUAAGCUUCUAGCUCUUCAGUUUUGACAAUUCAACAAGUUAUAGAUGAUUGAUACCAAACAUAACCAACAAGGUAAAGAUGCUUGCGCGUGUUCACCUCUCGCUCUCAGAGCGCGUGACUGUGUGAGUAUUGCACUUGGUGACUCGACCAGUUAAGUCAUCAAGCUCAAAAUAUUGCAGAAAGUCCUCCUUCUCCUGCCCAGUCCCCACUCUAUUAUUGUAGUUUGGAAACAAGCAACCAUGAUUCUCAAGACUCCACAGUUCACAGGUUUAGUUUUUCUUCUCUUUUCUCCACUCCAUCACCUCACUCUUCCUUUUUUAUUCAAAUCAAUGCCAUCUUGCCUUGGAUUGCACUUAUUGUUUACAAAUCAACAAGGUUUUAUUACCCUCCAAUUCUUCAAGUAAAGAGCAAAGAAGCUUCACAAUUUAUUGAAAAACUAUGAUUUAUUAGGAUUAUGAUCUUUAAUCUUACCCAAUUUUACAGUCUCAGAUCCUCAUCCAUCCCCAUUACAAUACUCAUUUUAUUGAUGGGUUUUUAUUUUUCAUGAAAUACUCCCCACCUUGCCCCGUCCUAAAUUAUUUGUCUAUUGGUUUUCACAAUCGGUUGUAAAUAUUUAUCUUCUAAAUGUUCUUGUUGCUUAUCCUUAAUUGCAAUCAUGUCACUUUCACAGCAUUAUUUUAUAUAUUUUUUCUCUAAAAAAUUUAAUUUUUUGCUUUUGGAUUCUUUGUUCAACCCCUGUAAUCCAUUGUGGUCUAAUCUUGCACGCUAACACAGUCGGUGUUCUUAUCUUUUGGUUUCAGGAUUCUGGGUUUUCAUUGAUCUUCUUCCAGGUGAUCAAAGUUUUGUUCUUGUCAUUCAUGUUUUGCUACUGUAUCGUUGUGUUGUCUGUGUUUUAACUGUCUGCUUUGUUGUUUGGUUUUCUGGUGAGCAGUGAGGUGUGUAGAGCUGAAUUAGUUAAAUUGAUGGCGGAUUUGGUAGGGCCUAGAUUAUACAGCUGCUGUAAUUGUCGAAACCAUGUUUCACUUCAUGAUGAUAUUGUUUCUAAAGCCUUUCAGGUGAGCCACAACAACAUUAGACUUAACUUGUUGGAUGCUAUUUGUUGUUGUUAUUAGUUCAUCUCGUUAUUGAUCUUUGAUUGUUGAGAAGGUUAUACUUAUGCGGUCAAGGAUCAUGUGGUUUUGAAAGAGCGUAGAUCAAAUUAUUGUAAGGAAAAUGAUCUUGUGUAGAGAAUUACAAUUGGGGUGCCAACUUUAUGUGUGUAGCUUGUUUGCUGUGAUCAAUGUUUGUGUCCUGAUAAAUAGUUUCAUAUCUGACAGACAAAAAUCAAAACCUGAAUCUUGUGACUCCAAUCUUUUGAUAAGUAUAUGAAUGCUUGUUUUCAUUUCAUAAUUGACUGUGAUAGUAAGUUUUGGACAUGUUUUAGUGAUUUAGUCCACGAUUCUGUUUAUAGGGAAAACAUGGUCGAGCUUUUCUGUUCUCCCAUGCGAUGAAUAUAGUUGUUGGGGCAAAGGAAGACAGGCAUCUUUUGACAGGUCUGCAUACUGUGGCUGACAUCUCUUGUGGCGAUUGCCAUGAGGUAUUGGGGUGGAAGUAUGAACGAGCCUAUGAGGCAUCACAGAAGUACAAGGAAGGGAAGUUCAUAUUCGAGAAGUCAAAAAUUGUCAAGGAAGGUUGGUAGCAACUAGCAAAGGGUUGUGCUUUUCUUUCCGGUUGAUGUAUAUGUGUACUAUAUAUUCGUGUUGUACAGAUCAAGCUUGGCAUUACAACAGAUCAAGCUUGGCAUCCCUUGAAAAUUGGUCAUUGUUACUUGCUGCCGAGUCUGCCAUUUGCAAUUGUGCAACGUUGUAUCAUCAUCAAAUUCAUGUGUGAAUAAAAAUUAUGGCAUUUCUCGACUCAAGUUUUGUAUGCUUUGAACAUAUGUGUAGAUCAGAAUUUGACUUGUUGUUCUAGAAAAUGAUUUACUGUGUGAGGGAAAUCAUUCAUAAAUGAUAUGGUGUCGGUUUGGUUUCCUAAUAUAUAUAGGACAAAAUUUUCUUGCAAGUUCCAGAAUAGCAGAAGAUGCAGAGCAGUUAUAAAUUUAGUCCGUCCAGAGUUCCAGUUCCAGAGAAGUGAAGCAAUGCAGUCGUGUGAAUUUUACCUCGAUUAGUUUGAAGCUUCACUUACAUGCCUGAACAUUGAACUGUAUAUUUUAUACUGCUGACCUUUCUCAUCCGUUUUCUCCUGUACGUUGGUAUAAGUGCUUUGUAGCAAAGUUCCAGACUCUUUAGGCAAACCAGACUCGAAGGCUUUUCGUUGUUUAAGAAUGUUUUAACUGAUAUAGUGAGGAAACUCAGUACAAUUUAGUUGCUUUUAUACUAAUCAAAAUCAUCAGCAUCAACUAUACAUGCUCAAUUUGGAUCCGUUCAAGCAAUUAAACGUCUCAUACUUUUUAUCUAUUCAUCCAUUCAACCUUUAAAUGCAUCAUGAUAUUAACCAUUUUUCAAACUGCACAAAGCUUACUGUGCAGUCACCAUACUUCAAUAGGUAACAAUGCAGCAGCUUUUGUUUGUCAUUACCUAAGUUCAAAACACUAUAGUUCAUCCACAUAUGUGACCUACAACCUCUGCUUAGUGCUUCAAUAGAUAUAUCUCAAGGGAAAAGUAUUUUCUUUUUUAAUCCGACACCAAUUACCAUUUUAUCAUCAGAGAACAGUGCAUCAAGCAUUCAAGCUACAGCUGUACUAUGAUUACAACAAGCAAAAAAUCUCAAUAUGUUUAUUCAAGAAUCCAUAUGCAAAUACCCUGGAAUCAGAUAAUAUAAUUUCUGUUACCUUGGAUCCAAUGAUCUCAAGUCAUCAACACACGAAGAGAAUAGAUACAGAACACACAUAUAUUUCAUAUAGUAAAGAGAACUGAACAAGAUCAACAAACCUGCAGAAGAGGCCAUUGAUCUCCAAACCUGAUCUUCUACACUUCUCAGUAUCGAAUCUCUCUAUGGGACGAGUGUAUGAAUGGUUGUACGGACCAGCUUUAUAUAUGAAUUCACUAAGCCUUAGCCAAUAAUAGAUUACAUCAUAUAUAGGAAACUAAUUACAUCUUAUAUUCCCAAUAAAAGAUCAAUCUGCUCAAUGUAUAGACAUGAGCAUAACAUAUAAUCCUGCAAACCUUGUCUAGUUUGUCUGUACCUCACUUCUGGGGUCAUGCAUGUCAUAGAAAUACCAGAGGAAGAUAGAACAAAUCCAAACCAUGUCAGGAACCUUAUCCAAAGUUGCAGUAACUUCCUCAUGAACCUUGUUUUGUUUACCUUGGACAACAAAAGGUAAACAAAACAAGGACCCAAGUCAAAUAAGGAAGAGAACGCAAAGACCCUAGCUUGCUGCUUUGGGCUGCUUCACUGAUCGUUCAAAGGUGAAAGGCCCAACUACUGUGCUGAGGUCAGAUGUCAAGGUCAAGAUUCUAUGAGGUAUGGGAUUGGUUUAUAUGAUUUGAUUCACUAGGGUUUUGUCGACUAUGAAAAUUUUCAUUUCUAUCACCCAUAGAGCAUGAAUGUAGGUUUUGUUGUUUGUAUUACUGCCAUGAACAUUGAGACAGUAAUAAAAUAUGUGACCAAGUGUUCAUUCGUAUUGAGGUACGAUUUCAUUCACUAUGAAAGAUUUCGAUCAUUUCUAUGGCGCUCAAAGAUGACUGUAGGUUUUCUUCUUAGAAUUGCAUGGUUACAAAAACUGUUCCGAUUCGCAUUUCGAUCAUGAAAUGAGGUGAUCAUGUUUUACCGGUUGGAUUCCAGGAAAGAGUUGCCUAUAUGCAAUUCAUUAAAUUUAGCUGUCUCACAUAUCUUUUGCCUCUUUGGCUUUGUAUAAAAUAGCCAGAACUUACUGCUCCAAACCCCUUCCACCAAAAAAAACAGAAAAGAAAAAAAGAAGCUGCUGCAUCUUCAUUUUCGUUUCAAGAAAUCCCUCCCAAGUCCCAAACUAUUGAGCCUGCUUACAUACUGAGGUAUGUAUCAGUAGUUCAGAAAUGAACUAAUGAUCGAUCGACUUUGAUAUUGUAGCUAAUAUAUAAUACUCUAGCUCUCGCAUCACAUUUUCGAUCAGCUUACUCUCCUUAGUUCACAGUGUAAGUUCGAUAGGUCAAUAUGUGAGGCUCAAUAGUUGAGAAAAUCAAUGUACAUAUAUAGGUCUUGACUAAUGUGUAGUACGUAUGAACACUAGGUCUUGACUAACUAAAAAGAACGAUAUUUGUUAUCACAUUUGAAGAGGCAAAACUAGUCAAAGAGUUUAUAAUACUCUUAUAUAUGAGUAAAAAUCUAAAAACAAUAGAUGUGGCUAAGUUAGUGAGAGAGGUCAAUUGAACCUCCUGCUCACCAUGUAACUACGCCCCCACUACCCGGGUAAGUUGGUGUAAGUUGUGAAACCGUGUAAGAACAUAUCCAUCAUGAAACGAUCCACGAACCAUCUCCAUAUUUGGAAAUUUCGUUACUAAUUAACUUUCCCCGAACCAUCUCCAUACUUCAUAUCAGCGAUCUUUCGAUCAAGAACCACUCCCAUGCCAUCUAUAUAUUGAUCGAGCACCCACUGUCUGUGCACUUAAACACUCAGCCAUACAUUGUUGCUCUCUCUCUCUCNNNNNNNNNNNNNNNNNNNNUGUGUUGUUGUAUAUAUAUAUAUAUAUAUAUAUAUAUAUAUUCUUGCCAAAUCGAGUUGCAGUGGAAUUGGGUAUUACCUAGUUAUAUAUGUACGUUUUCUUAGUCUAAUUAUUAAUUAAUUUGUUUUGUCAUGUAGAUACUCGGAGCUCUUUGGUACUAUUUUGCUUUUCAGCGAAACAUGGAUUGUUAGUUAUUUGUUUGUACAAGAGAAAAUGGGUGUGAACCUGGUACUUUUGCAUGUCGUGGUUAUACAAGGAGAAAUAUCACGUCGUUACUAAACGAUUUAUGUCCUAUAAAUCUUCCAAAUGCAACAUUAUUCAAUUUUGGUAUAUAUCUUGAUGCUCUCCAGUCCGGUAUGCUAAAUUCAACCGACUUCCCCCAAAAGUUUUUUCACUGUUUUUGGUGGGGUCUUCGAAAUUUGAGGUUAGAUGUUGUUAAAUAGAGCCUCUCGCUCGGAAUAUUAAUUUUGAAGUCCUUACUACUAAAGUGAUGGUUUAUUUUUGCAGUUCUUUUGGUCAAAAUCUUGAGACUAGUAUAUACGUAUGGGAAAACCUCUUUCCGGUUCUCAUUUGCUCGAUUGGCAUGCUACUGGUUUUAGUGUAUCUCAAUGCAAUCUUGCAGGUUAGUAUUCCAUUAUAAUGUAGUAUAAUCACUAUAAUGUAUGGUUGGUAUAACGUAGUGACACUAAUGCAACAAUGAACUCACUACCACAAAUAUGACCAGAGGGCACCAUCAAUAAUCAUUGGUGUGGAUCCAUAAUAGGCACGGCCCUAGCCACUAUUAUGAGAUUAGUUUGCAUUGCUCUCGUGGCUUUUCCCAACAACACACCAUCAUCUUUUUGGUGACUACAUAUAUAUUCACCAAUCCAAUCUUUGGUGACUUCAUUGAAUUAAUCCAAUAUUCGGCUCUAUCUCGUCUCUAGUAUCUCCUGCAAAGCAACAACAUGGGCAAAGAUUACUUGGCUAUAAAUCACCCCUCAUAAUUUUAUUUCCUUCAUAUAACAGAUGAUAUGUAUCCAGUGGAAAUAAAAUCAACUUGAAGCUCAUAAACUAUCAACAUGUUCAUAACCCGUGACUUCCUAAAAAUAUCAACUUGACGAACAAGUUCAUAUAAAAGCUCCCUACAUGUUAUGUAUCACAUACCGUAGUUCAUAAUACAAGAUAAUCCUCUCCUCUCUCUCCUUCCAUCACUAAAAUGCAAGUAUAGUGUACAAAGUCCACAUCUUUUCCUGCAACCAGAAAAACACACUUUGGGUAAGUUGGUCAGAAAACAUACAAUAAAAUUUCUUUUGGGUAAGAACCUUGGAAGAAACAAUUAUCAUUCACAUUUAUUAUAGUAAAACCUGGUUCAAGUUCAUAAAUUAAGCAUCUAUCGGCAUAGUUGACACAUAGAAGGUAAAAUCUGAAGCUAGAAACGAGGUUAUAGUGACCAAUAAUAUACUAUGAAUUAAGUUCCCAAUGAAUGGUAGUAUCAUAUAUAGUAAUGGUAGUAUCAGCCCACUUUUAUGGAUGAUGCAUAUUCAAUGACUGAUUCACAUUUACAAAAGAAUAUAAGUGUACCUUAUUGAGUGAACGACAUUUUUUGUCUCCUCAUUCAUACGGUCCUGCAGCUUUCUGUUUCUGAAUGAACACCCUACAAAAAAACUGCAUAUGACCAGUCAGUUAAGAAUCUUAAGAAGUUCAAAUAGAUUGAUAUGAAUCAAGGACAAUUGUAUACAAAUUAAGAACCGAUAAGGAGGGAAGAUAAAUAUGUAGGUGGAGUUUACCUCCUUCAACACCAGGGCAUCCAACUAUUCUUUUGUCAUAGUAAGACUUGACUAUAGGAGGCGCUUCCUAUAACACAAACAACAUACUAACCUUAAUACACAUUUAUACAUGUUCUAAACCAUGUAAACAUGCUUCAACUUUACCAGUUGAAAUUGACACAUAAGAGGUGCACAAUACGCAUAUUCUUUUGUCUAUUCAUUCGAUAGAGAGCACUUGACUAUGUUAACCACAAAAUUCAUAUGGUAAGAGGAGUCUGACAACUAUUAUCUCUUUUUUCAUUCAUUCACUCGAAGAUCAAAAUAUAAAUAAAAAACACCUUCCCCUCGAUAUUUAUUAGAACUCUGCAAUUAGGAAUCAAAAGACUCUUGUUUAAAGUCUAAAAGUAUAAAUGUAAAAGCCCACUUCUACGACAACAAAUGCCAAAGUCAUCUCAUAUAAUUUAUGAAUAAUGAAGCAAGAACAUGAAACAAAAAAAUUAAGUCUUUAGAGUACCGUAGUAGCAAAAGGACUAAUUGGAUUAUUAAUCUCAAGAAUUUCCUCCCCUAAAAUUAAGUCUUCGGAGUACCUUAGUACCAAAAGUCUAAACUAACAUUAAUAUGAAGUUUGACUAUCAUAUUCAUCUCAUCACCCAAAAACAGUGAUGUAAGCUACUCAAUAUAACAGACCACAAAAGCUGGAAGAAGCUAGUUAUGCAGUAAUUCUCUAUUUGGUGUAAAGAAUAUAAAACUCCAAAGAAACUGCAUUUGAUUGAAGAGUUCAUAAAAUUGAUUUCCCAUCAAGAAUAUACAUAGUCACAUUUAAGAUUAAUACAAAAGACAUAUCUACAAGUUAAAUGUGCAGAUAUACUGACAAUUAAACAUUAGUAUCUACAUGAACUCCUUUUUUUCUUAUUGAUACAUGAACUCCUUUUAUACCACAUCAAACUAAGAAUAAUCAAGUUAUUAGUAGAGUCCUUACUUAAACCUCAUGAACAUUACAAAGUAUUCAAAGCGAAUAAGCAUCCCAGAGAACUGAACUCACCAGCAGGUAAACAACUUCUAUCAAAUAAUUCUCGACAUUGUCAUUUCUGAAACAAGAGUAUCAAGAAUAAGCACCCAAAUUAGUCAGCACUUAAAAAAAUUUCAUCAAAAAACAAUUUUCAUCAAUUAAAUUAUAUCACCUUCCACCUUUCAUUAUCCUAAAGAUCAUGAAAAUGUCCAUUCCUUUUCUGUUCUUUUGACCAGUGUGAUAAGCUUUUCCAACCCUAAAAAAUUAACCCCAAAGUUCAAGUUCUGUGGUGGAGAAAGAAUGCAUGCAAGAGCCUCUAAAACCAAAAUCAAGAAAUUAUGAUGCCCAAGAAAAGAAAAGCACAACUUACCAAAGCAAUUAAAUAUAACAACUUCAUUACAGAUGUAAAAACGAAGCAGAUAGGGAGAUACACUGACUUGUUCCUCUUUCCAUUCAUCGGGUCGAAGCACCAGUUAAUCUUUCACAGCCCAUGGUGAUCUGCAAAAUUUUCAAUCGAUCAAUCGAUCAAUCUUCAUACUAUGCUAAAAGAUGAUAUCGGAAACCAAUCAAUGAAGCGAGAUUAGGAUUUAGGAUUUUCAUUAUCUGCAGUGCCGACGAGGACACGGAGUUUGAUUAGAUCGGUGUAUGGCCGAAAACAGACAGAGUAAUUUGGAGGAUUGGGGAGAAAUCCUUUGGGUUCUGUCACCAUUAGACUAAUAGUGCAUAGAAAAUGGUAUCUGAUGCCCACAUUUGUGGUAGUGACUGAUUACUGGUGUUUACUGAUCUUUUGGGAUAUAUCUGGACAGACAUACAUGCAGAUGGAAGCUAAAAAAUCAGAUUUGAAGGAAAUAGAGGAGAAGAGAACCACGGAUAUAGAAACAUGGUUAUGCGUCAAUGAUCUUUCUGGGGAGCUCAAGACUGAGAUCAUGGGAAACGUGCUAGAGAAACUGAAACCAGACGAAGAUGUCAAUAACGUGAAAGUUCUGUCUGUCAUACCAUGGCGACUUUCACUCGACAUCAAGAAAAACCUCUGUUUAGAUAUGCUGCAGAAAGUAAGUCCAACUCCAAACCUAAUGAUACAUAAUGGCGGGCCUAAUUAAUCUGUUAAUAAUUAUUCUCUUUUAUUUUGUUAAAUUCAGGUUCCCAUGUUUAGUGCUGGAGGAGAAAGAACGAUGGAAUUAAUCUGUGGGUAUCUUAAGCCAAUCAUCUAUAACGAGAACAGCUUUAUACUUCAAGAGGGGGAUCCAGUUGAUAAGAUGCUUUUCAUCACACAAGGUGUCGCUUUCCUCUACAGAACUACUAGUCCCGACGGAAGUGGCUCCUCAAACACGAGUUUUAUAAGUAAAGGUGAUCAUUACGGUGAACAACUUCUGAAUUUGGCACCAGAUGUUGAUCCUUUGAGCUUACCCAGAUCGAACUGGAGUGUCAAGUGCAGCACAAACGUUGAAGCUUUUUUCCUCAUGGCUGAAGACUUGAGAAAGAUAAAGAUUGAUCUAGUAGAGUCUGGUUAUAUAAUAGAUGGUUUGGUUACAAACACAAUGUAAACAUCAUCUGUAGGUAAAAACCUAUUUUCAUGUUUGAAGAGGUAUUGGACCUCAAUAACAAGCGUUGCCCACCCAGUCACUAAGCCCAAGUGCUAACUUUGUCAGUGAAGUCCAGCCUCCUGCUGUACUAGUGGAGGAAGUGUCGUCGGUGUACUUAAUUAGCUCAGUCUAGGCUGACUAGGAUCUACAUUAGUCAAACCUCUUUUUUCUUCUCAGCGUUAGGGCACCCCAAAUGUAUCACAUGCCAAGAUUAAUGAAUGUGAAAUACUUCAAGUAUGUGUUAUAUUACAAUGUCUGACCACUUGAACAGCUUCAUAGUUUGAACCUGCGUCGGUAACACGUUCAAUCAACUAGACAAUAACCACUACACCACUUGUAAUGGUUUAUAUAUUAGUUAUGUAACUUGGUUUUUGGCUCAAAUAUAUGAACAUACACAGAGAAUUGUAAUUACGUAAGGGGGCAUUUGAGAAAUAUAUAUAUAUAUAUAUAUAUAGCAAUAAACUUGUUAAAUUUAUCAAUUCCCACGAACCUGAUCAUCACCACCAGCAGUACGUUGUGACUGAUUGUCAACUCGUUACACCGCAUAUAUAUGCUAAUUAGUUCAGUAAGUUAAGAAAAGUAGAGCUAGAUUAUCAUACGAUGACAUAUUUAGAGAGCGAAAGACAACUAAUUGAGAGAGUCCAAAAGAUCAAAAUCGGUGUGGCAAUCCAUGGAUAUAACUAGCUAGCUAGCUAGCUCGAUCGGUAGCUAUAGAAUUGGAAAGAAAGGUUGUUAAGAGUAUAGGCCCAGUCAGCCCAGUCCUUAUCCUAGUAGCCCAGUCCAAUUCCAUCAACUUGAAGAACAAGUCACUCCACCAAAUUCCAGCCUUUAUAUUCUGCUUUUUUGUCCUUUUUCUCAGUUUUGUCAAUUUGCUCUUUGCUUGUAUCAAUAACCAGUUUUUCCAGAUUUUCAUUAGUCAAGUUAUCAACUUUAUGAUCAUGGUAGAUUUUUAGCAAAGGUGAUAGGAAUCAAGGAUUUAUUGAAAGCACAAAUGCAGAAAUGUAAAAAACACGUUGAAGAGGCUGAGAGACUACAUUUUGUAUUGCAUUUAUAGAUGAACAGUGUAUAUCUGAUACCAUUAUAGGGUAGGGAUUAUAGAGAAAUUACCCAAGUACCCUUAUACACUUAACAAAAGGGACCUUCACGAUGGAGGUGCCCAACCACAACAGAAACCCUAGCUAGUGCUUAAGUGCUUCCAGAAAUUAUUAAAGAUAUUCCUUACAACAAAGGAAGGCCUAUACAACAAAGGUAUUGGAGAGUGAACUCGCAGUUCAUAUGCGACUUAAAGAAGGUUCCGUAAACGAUUGUGAUUAAGUCGGCUAGUACUUUCAAGACUACUGAAUGUGAUUCCUAUUUCCUGCAAGUAUAUCAUGCGCCCGGCAUUCACAUUAAACGACUCGUUUAGUUAACUUGAAUUGCACGUACUUUGGCUUUUUUGUUGUUGUUAAUAUGUCAGUAUAAUACUGGUAUACAAGCUUGAGUCUGGAGCUUUAGCCAAAAAAAAAAAAUGAAAACACUUCACUCUGGAUCGGAGCUGUAAGGUUAAUAAAAAAAAAAAAAAAACUAAUUUCAGUUUAUUCCUAUCAACUUUAGGUCGAUCAUUAUAUUAGUCUAUUUUCUUUUAAUUUCAUCAAAAACACCUCUCACCUUUUAAUUUUCAUCAGCCGUGUCCAACUAUCUGUUUUUCAUCCAAUUCACCAGUCAUGUAAUGACUUACACUAAGAAUAAAACCAAAUUUGAAGUCGCUGAGCCCACAGAAAAAGAGCAAAAUAGACAAAUUGCAUUCAAUCCCAUCAAAAUCACUAAGCUUAGGAGAUUGUGAUAGGUACGGAUAUGUGUAUCGAUAUGGGGGAAAAAUGGCCAGAAAGUUAUUUUUUUCAGAAUUUGAUUUUCUUCUUGAUGUCAUGUAAUCACUUGAUGGAGGAAUUGAAUGGAGAACAGAGGUUUGAACACGGCUGAUAAAAAUUGAGAGUUGAGGGUGUUUUUGAUGAAAUUGAAAUAAAAAUGACUAACAUGAUGAUCGACUUAAAAUUGAUGAAAGUAAAUUGAAAUUAGUCCAAAAAAAAAAAUGAUUGAUCGAAUUGUGUUGUGACUGAUCACAUGUAUUGGCCGUGUCUGGUAGCACAGACUAAAUAGGGUCAAGUCUUGUUCAAACCUGACAAAAUUAGAUUUGCGGAUAUCUACCUUGUUAGGAUCAGAAUCCACAAAAGGUAAUGAAAUAAGUAAAACUAUUACUAGGAAACUAAAGAAAAUAAAUAUUCAUCCCUCCAUCCCCACAAUGGAAGUUUAGAACGAUAUAAAAAUUAAGUAUAACUUACGGAACUAAACAACUGUUUGAUAACUACCUAGGAUGGAUGAGAUCGUCUCCUACCUUACCUCAGCGAGCUAGCUAGCUCGGUAGCUAGAGAAGGUAAUUGCAAAGAAAAGGACCUUCACGAUGGAGGCGCUCAACUACGUACAACAGAAACCCUAGCUAGUGCUAGUGCUUAACUGCUUCCAGAAAUUGUUAAAGAUAUCAACACUACGAUUUCGUUUCUAUAUAUGGCGUUCAAAGAUGACUGUGGGUUCUCUUCUUAUGAUUAGCCAACGAGCUUACGAGCAUCGGGAUAGCUAGAAGCUAGCUAGUCAUUAUGUAUGCGACUGAUUGAUAAUUUGUAUUGGAUAUAUCAUAUAUAUAGCUAAUAUCAUGCAUGCAUAUAGAAAAGUGUCGUAUCAGUUGAUGUAUAUUUUAUACUUGGACUGCAAUUUGUUCAAGCGGCAUGGUAUCUGCAAUUAGAAUGUAGCCGGCCAGGGCUGCUUGGGAGCUUUGACAACUAAUUAAUUUGCAAUAUGAAACAUGACGUAAAUUACGGAGCGGAUUCUACGCACCAAUUAAGGUGCACUCGCACUAUUUUUAAUUAACAUAGAAAGACUAUUGCGACGUGGAUGACCAAUCAAGAUAUUACAUAUAUUUUUUAUUUUUAAUGAAAUUCCAGGAAAGAGCAAGUUUUUUUUUUUUUUUGUUCCGAUAAGGACCGGAAAGAGCAUUUGAUUUGCUUACGCCGUGUAACCAUGUAAGAAAUUAUCCAUUUAUCAAACGAGCUUCCCGGAACCAUACAUAUAUUUAAGUACUAAAUUUUCCCCGGAACCAUCUUCAUAGGUAUAUCAGCCAUAUUUCAAGAACCAUUUCCAAUUGACACAGAUAUAUAUAUAUAUAUAUAUAUAUAUAUAUAUAUAUAUAUAUUAUAUAUAUAUAUUGAGACUAUUGAGGUAAGGCACCGAGUGUCUGAACACUAAACACUCUCUCUCUCUCUCCCCUCUCUGGUAAAUUAUGGAGAUCUCCGGAUCCGCUGAAGAGACGGUAGUGGAGUAAGUUUCUUCAACCCCUCUAGCUACUAAUACCAUUUUCUCUUUUGUUCAUGCGAAUCAUUCACAAUUUAUUUAUUUUUUUGAUAUCAUGUUUGUUAUCAUGUUGAUCAGUAUUACAGCAGCUACUUCAGUGACCGCAGUUGUGACGAGAGAUGAAGAGCAUGUACCAAUAUUAUUGGAGAAAAUCAUAAACAUUCUCCUUUUAAGAAAUCGCAGAGACUCCUUUCUUCUUGUUUGCAUGCUUGCGGUCUCAUUGGAUCCUUUAUUCUUAUACAUUCCUGUCAUCGACGAAGAUCUCAAGUGUCUCAUAGUGGAUGGGAAGUUGAGGAAAGUAGCUCUGGCUUGCCGAUCGUAUACGGACUUCUUUUAUAUAAUGGACAAUCUUGCUCAAUUUUCUUCCAUGAGUAAUGAAUUCGGUGGUCGGGAUAUGUGGCGGUCGCACAUCCUAACUAACUUUUUUGCUACUGUUCCCAUUCCACAUGUAAGACAGCGCUGUUAAUUCUUGAGUAAUCAGAUAUAUUUUCUAAAUUGGUUCAAUAUUUUUCAUGUGGUUUUGUCGAUUUAAUUUGAGGAAUAGUUGGUCUAACCCUCGUUAAUUAACGUGUACGUGCAUGCAGAUAGUAUUCUAUACUUUGCAUAAAAUGAGAGGUUCGAAUUCGCAUCUAAGAAUGUUUCUGAACUCGCUUCUUGUAUUACAAUAUGUACCACGAGUUCUGCGCAUCUACCAAUUGAGAAGGGAUGUUGGGAAUGCUAAUCCCAAGUUUCAUUGGGACGGCGGGAAACCUAAACCCAGGUUCCAAUCUUCGCAUUCUAGAGCAUGGGUCGGAGGUCUUUUCAUGUUCUUUAUGUUUAUCCUUGCAAAUCAUGUAAGAUUCAAUCUUAUAUCUAUUUAUUUCAACAUGAUAUGUAGUGUGUCGGACCAAGAAAAGAAGAUAAACUCUCAAACAUAAGAUUUUAACUUUUAAACAUAAGAUUUCUCAAAGUUGCAUUAACUUCUUUUCAUCACUUUAUGGACUGAACUACCAUUUUAACCACACAAUUUACAAUCUUAAGACUAAUUGAGGACUAAUGUUGUAACUAAAUUUUUUAUAACAGUAAAAACUAAUAUUGUUACUUUAAGGAUUCAUUUUAGAGUAAAUGACACUUUAGUACUAAUUUUAAAGGUUUAUUGCCCACCCCAAUGAAAAACUUUUCCUAUGCCCAUUUCAAUUAAACUUAAUAGAAUUACUUUUCUACCCAUAACUUAUCUAUUUCUCUCCUCUCAUUCCGGAUCUCUCUNNNNNNNNNNNNNNNNNNNNNNNNNNNNNNNNNNNNNNNNNNNNNNNNNNNNNNNNNNNNNNNNNNNNNNNNNNNNNNNNNNNNNNNNNNNNNNNNNNNNNNNNNNNNNNNNNNNNNNNNNNNNNNNNNNNNNNNNNNNNNNNNNNNNNNNNNNNNNNNNNNNNNNNNNNNNNNNNNNNNNNNNNNNNNNNNNNNNNNNNNNNNNNNNNNNNNNNNNNNNNNNNNNNNNNNNNNNNNNNNNNNNNNNNNNNNNNNNNNNNNNNNNNNNNNNNNNNNNNNNNNNNNNNNNNNNNNNNNNNNNNNNNNNNNNNNNNNNNNNNNNNNNNNNNNNNNNNNNNNNNNNNNNNNNNNNNNNNNNNNNNNNNNNNNNNNNNNNNNNNNNNNNNNNNNNNNNNNNNNNNNNNNNNNNNNNNNNNNNNNNNNNNNNNNNNNNNNNNNNNNNNNNNNNNNNNNNNNNNNNNNNNNNNNNNNNNNNNNNNNNNNNNNNNNNNNNNNNNNNNNNNNNNNNNNNNNNNNNNNNNNNNNNNNNNNNNNNNNNNNNNNNNNNNNNNNNNNNNNNNNNNNNNNNNNNNNNNNNNNNNNNNNNNNNNNNNNNNNNNNNNNNNNNNNNNNNNNNNNNNNNNNNNNNNNNNNNNNNNNNNNNNNNNNNNNNNNNNNNNNNNNNNNNNNNNNNNNNNNNNNNNNNNNNNNNNNNNNNNNNNNNNNNNNNNNNNNNNNNNNNNNNNNNNNNNNNNNNNNNNNNNNNNNNNNNNNNNNNNNNNNNNNNNNNNNNNNNNNNNNNNNNNNNNNNNNNNNNNNNNNNNNNNNNNNNNNNNNNNNNNNNNNNNNNNNNNNNNNNNNNNNNNNNNNNNNNNNNNNNNNNNNNNNNNNNNNNNNNNNNNNNNNNNNNNNNNNNNNNNNNNNNNNNNNNNNNNNNNNNNNNNNNNNNNNNNNNNNNNNNNNNNNNNNNNNNNNNNNNNNNNNNNNNNNNNNNNNNNNNNNNNNNNNNNNNNNNNNNNNNNNNNNNNNNNNNNNNNNNNNNNNNNNNNNNNNNNNNNNNNNNNNNNNNNNNNNNNNNNNNNNNNNNNNNNNNNNNNNNNNNNNNNNNNNNNNNNNNNNNNNNNNNNNNNNNNNNNNNNNNNNNNNNNNNNNNNNNNNNNNNNNNNNNNNNNNNNNNNNNNNNNNNNNNNNNNNNNNNNNNNNNNNNNNNNNNNNNNNNNNNNNNNNNNNNNNNNNNNNNNNNNNNNNNNNNNNNNNNNNNNNNNNNNNNNNNNNNNNNNNNNNNNNNNNNNNNNNNNNNNNNNNNNNNNNNNNNNNNNNNNNNNNNNNNNNNNNNNNNNNNNNNNNNNNNNNNNNNNNNNNNNNNNNNNNNNNNNNNNNNNNNNNNNNNNNNNNNNNNNNNNNNNNNNNNNNNNNNNNNNNNNNNNNNNNNNNNNNNNNNNNNNNNNNNNNNNNNNNNNNNNNNNNNNNNNNNNNNNNNNNNNNNNNNNNNNNNNNNNNNNNNNNNNNNNNNNNNNNNNNNNNNNNNNNNNNNNNNNNNNNNNNNNNNNNNNNNNNNNNNNNNCGUCAUCUAAGUUGAUUUUUCUCUUUUUCAAUGUGAAUUAUGGCAUUGGAGCUACUGUUUUGCAAGUUUACUACCCCCAGUAAAAGUUUACUAGGGGUAGUAAACUUCAUUUUUUGCCGGUAUGCUUCCGGCAAGAUCCGGUGGGUUCUUGUGACAUUUUUUUCAAAAAAAUCCAGUGAGACUCCGGCGAUUUUCCGAUCACCAUCAAUUUUCCGGCGACCGGUGACCGGAAUCCGGCGGCCAGUGUCCGAUGACGGGAAUCAGGCAACCGGUGUUCGGCGACCGGAAUCCGGUGACCGGCGCUGGUGUCCGGUGUGCUUCCGGGAAAGUCUUCUCUUCUUCUUUUUCUUUUUUCUCUUUAAAUAAAGGUUAAGGGUAAAAAAGUCUUUUAAAAUAUCAUUUUAUUAUAUUUUAAUAAAGAUUUGUGUAUUUGGGCUUAAAAUAAGUACCUUGUAUUCAAAUGGGCUAAUAAAAAAGAUUAUCAUUGAAAUGGGGUUUGAAUUUUUCUAUUUUGUGCAAAUGGUCUUUUUCCUUUCAUUUUUACAACUUUUAGGAUAAAAUUGAUGAAUGUCAUGCAUUAACACAUUGUAAAAAAAAAAAAUUGUUUUUUAUUACUCUAGCUAUUUACUUUUUUUUUUUUAAUUGCAGAUACUUGGAGCUUUUUGGUACUUUUUCUCUUUUCAGCGAAACAUCGAUUGUUGGUUAUUUGCUUGUAAAAGAAAAGAUGGGUGUGAAUUGGGUACUCUUGAAUGUCGUCGUGGUUAUACAACGAGAAAUAUCACGUUACUAAACGAUUUAUGUCCUAUAAAUCUUCCAAAUGCAACAGUAUUCAAUUUUGGUAUAUUUCUUGAUGCCCUCCAAUCCGGUAUGCUAAAUUCAAUGGACUUCCCGCAAAAGUUCUUGCACUGUUUUUGGUGGGGUCUACGAAAUUUAAGGUCGGAUGAUGUUAAUUAAAUAGAGGAACUUGGAAUAUUAAUUUUUAAACCCUUGAUAUUUUAUGAUAUACUAUCUAAAAAAAAAGUGCUUGAUAACAUACUGAAGUGACCUUAUGGUUUAUUUUUGCAGUUCUUUUGGUCAAAAUCUUGAGACCAGUACGUACGCAUGGGAAAACCUCUUUGCCAUUCUCAUUGGCAUGAUUGGCAUGCUAGUGGUAUUAGUAUAUCUCAAUGCAAUUUUGCAGGUCGGUACCCAUUAUUAACCGAUAUAUAUAUAUAGAUUUUCUCAGGUAUGGAUGUUCGCAUUUAUUCUUACGGUACGGAUUUCCACUUUACACUCAUUUUUCAAUCGAAUUUUCACAUCUUCACCGUCUGAUAUUUAGAUAUUAAUGUAUAGAUCAUCUCUGUAAAAUUUCAGCUAAUUUGGUUAUCAUUAAGACACUCAAACUUGAUUAAACCAAUGGAUGAACAUAAUUCUGUCGAACUUGAACAGUUUAUGUUUAUAACAGAAAAACGCAGUUUUGAAUGUCUUAAUGAUAACUAACUUGGCUGAAAUUUUACAGAGAUGAUCUAUAUAUUAAUAUCUAAAUACAAGACGAUGCAGAUAUGAAAAUUCGAUUGAAAAGUGAGUGUAAAGUGAAAAUCUGCACCGCAAGAAUAAAUGUGGACGUCCGCAACUGAGAAAUGCUGUAUAUAUAUGGCGGAUAUGAAGCGGAUGUCCGCAACUAUGUUAAAGUGUGGACGUCGGCUCAAAUCAACUCCGGUAGCUGCAUAUGACAGCUCUUCUUCCAUCCUCAGACGCCAUUACCAUCAAGUUGAAUACCAAGGUAAUCGAAGAAGAAGGUUCGGCGCCGGAAAAAUUGCAGAAACUUGAAAAAGCUCAAUCUCGGAUUUGAAACUCAUCACCGUUGAGUCUGUCGGCGAGAAGAAGCUCAAGAUGGAGCUCUUGUUUGAAACUAGCAAGAACAACGAAGCAAUAGGUGCCGCCGGAGUUAAUUUGAGCCGGUGUUCGCACUUUAAGAUAGUUGUGGACAUCCGCUUCAUAUCCUAUAUAUAUAUGUUGUAUAAUGUAUGUUUGAUAGCACGCAACGUCGACACUAAUGCAGUGAACUGAUGUUUAUUUCUGGUGGGAUAGACAUACAUGCAGAUGCAAACUAAAAGAUCAGAUUUGAUGGAACUAAAGGAGAAGAGAACUACGGAUAUAGAAACAUGGUUAUGCGUCAAUGAUCUUUCCGGGGAGCUGAAGGCUGAGAUCAUGGAAUGCGUACUAGAUAAACUGAAUCCAGAGGAAGAUGUCAAUAACGUGAAAGUUCUUUCUAUUCUACCAAGCCAACUUUCACUGAUCAUAAAGAAAAAUCUCUGUUCAGAUAUGCUACAGAAAGUAAGAUCUAACUCCAAACUGGCAACAGAUCGAUAACCAAUUUUGGCAAUUAACACUGGCAGAACUACUAAUAAUUGCUAUAAUCUUAACAUAAAAUGAUUUUUUUAUUAGUAUUUAGUAUUUACUGAUGGUAAAUGACCAACCUCUAAUUAUUACUCUUAUCAUUUUCUAUUAUUUUUUUUAUUACCCAAAAAAAAAACAAGAAAAUAGAUAAGAGUAAUAAUUAGAGGUUGGUCAUUUACUAUCCGUAAAUACUAAUAAAGAUAUAUAUAUAUAUAUAGCUAAUUUAUCAUUCAUGAUACAUAACAUGGCCUAGUUAAUUUAUUAACUUCUUAUUUUGUUAAAUUUACGUUCCCAUGUUUAGUGCUGGAGGAGAAAGAUCGUUGGAUUUAAUCUGUGGGUAUCUUAAGCCAGUGAUUUAUACUGAGAACAGUUUUAUAAUUCAAGAGGGGGAUCCAGUUGAUAAGAUGCUUUUCAUCAUACAAGGUGUCGCGUUCAUCUACAGAUGUAGCUCCGACGGAAGUGGCUCCUAAAACACGAGUUCUAUAACUAAAGGUGAUCAUUACGGUGAAGAACUUCUGAAUUUGGCACCAGAUAUCGAUAAUUUGAGCUUACCCAAAUCGAAAUGGAGUGUCAAGUGCAGCACAUACGUUGAAGGUUUUAUCCUCAUGGCUGAAGACUUGAUAAAGAUAAAGAUUUCUCUAGAUGAUUAGGAUGCGCUCCUGAAAGUCUAAAACACAAUGUAAACAUCAUCUAUUUGGCAAAACCCUAUUUUCACGUUCAGUGUACAGUGUACACCCGUGAUUGAAGAGGUAUUGGGCCUCAAUAACAUGUGUUGCCCACCAAAUCACCAAGCCCAAGUGCUAACUUUGUCACCCAAUUAAGCCAAGCUUCAUGAUGUACUAGUGAGAAAUUUAUAAAUUGUUCUGGUUUCUGGCACACAUAUGCAUGUUGUACUUAGCUGAAAUGUUAGGUAACUGAUGAUAUAUAGAUCCUAGUCAGUACAUUUAGUAAAACCUCGAUCUUCUUUCCUCUCAACGUUAGGGCACCCCAAAUGUUUCAUAUGCUCAAAUCAAUGAAUGUGAAAUACUUCAAUUAUGUGUUAUAUCACAAUGUCUGAUCCGUUUAACAACUUCAUAGUUCGAACCUACGUCGGGUAACACGCUCGAUUAACUAGCUAGCUAGGCAAUAACCACUAAACCACUUAUAAUGGUUUAUAUAUUAGUUGUGUAAGUUGGCUCUAUAUAUAAGAACAUACACUGAGAAUUGUAAUUAUGUAAGGGGGCAUUUGAGAAAUAUAUAUAUAUAUAUAUAUAUAUAUAUAGCAAUAAACUUGUUAAAUUUAUCAAUUCCCACGAACCUGAUCAUCACCAUUCACCACCAGUAGUUGUGACUGAUUGUCAACUCGUUACACCACAUAUAUAUGCUAACUAGUUCAGUAAGUUAAGAAAAGUAGAGCUAGUUUAUCAUAUGAUGACAUAUUUAGAGAGCAAAAGAGAACUAAUUGAGAGAGUCCAAAAGAUCAAAAUCGGUGUGGCAAAAUCCAUGGAUAUAACUAGCUAGCUAGCUAGCUCGAUCGGUAGCUAGAGAAUCAGAAGGUAAUUGGAAAGAAAGGGACCUUCACGAUGGAGGUGCUCAACCACAACAGAAACCCUAGCUAGUGCUUAAUUGCUUCCAGAAAUUAUUAAAGAUAUUCCUAACAACAAAAGAAGGCCUAUACAUUUUUAAUAACUAGAUUAAUAGAGAGGUCUACAUCUGGAAGAUUUUGCAAGGUAGGAGAAAGAUUAUUUCCUAGCAUGCUUAACCAUGAGAAAGUUUCGUGGAUCCCACCUCACCUCAUUCUUGAACCAAUUCGCAAUCGAAUCGAAAAUGCCAACGUAACUAAAUCUCUACCACUGUAGAGUAACAGUAUCCUCUGAAUUCCUUCAAGAAACCAGAGGCGACGUAUGAGUUUAAGCAGAAACUAUGGAAGAGAAAUGCUUAGGUGAGUUUAACAGUAUCCUCAUCCAAAUUUGCAGUAACUUCCUCCAAAGUCUCAGGAACCUCCUCAAAAGUCUCAGGACCCACCUCCAACUGAAUUACAUUCCUGCUCAGAUAUAUGCUCUUAGCUUUCUUCCAUAUUUCCUCAUCUUCUGACCUGUGUUUUGCAGCUUCUUCCAACAUUUCAGUAAUUUCCAUAGCAUUUAAUCUUCCAGUAUCACCAGUGAUCGACAAAUCCUGGUCAUCAUUGCCUUGAGCAGACAAACUGAGAAUGCCAUUGGCAUCUGUCUUGGCUGUAACAGUAACAAUGUCACAACCCUUGGUGCAGAGCUCAAAUUUCCCCAACAAUUUGGAACUAUCUUCAAGCUAGUUUUCCUCCUUCAACCUCUCCUACAACGUUGUUGUCUCCUUCAAAUACCUUCACAACAAUGUUUCUAUCAUUUGACUGAAGAAAGCUCUUCUCAAUGGACAUCUUAAUUUGGCAUAAAUUCAGGAGUAACAUCAUCAGAUACAUACGGACUCUUUAACAGAAAGCAAUAAAUCAAGAGUAAAAUUAGAUACAGAUACGGACUCUUAAAAUACAGCAAUAAAUCAGAUACAGACCCACUCCAACUAGGCAACUACCAUAACAAAACCAAUAAAUAGAAAGAAAAAAAAAAACAACAAAGUAUAAAACAGAGGCAAUUCAAUUCAAGCAUAGAUUACUUGUUUGGAAAAAGAUACCAUACCGAAGAUUGUUAGAAUUUGAGCCUCUAUUUUGUAUUUUGAACAAAGUAUGAUCAAGAUCAAUUUGCUGUAGCAAAUGAGGCAGAAGAAAACUCAGUUGAACUUUGAAGCAAAUCUUUUCAGCUUCUGUUUCUUACUUCUGGAAUUCUUACAGAUUACACAGCAAACAUACCCUUUUUAUAGGGUGCAAAGUAACCUACAAAAUAUCUUAGAAACACCUAAUUAACUAUAUUAUAAUUGUACUUUACAUGCAACAAAAUAUCUAGAUUAAGUGGAGGAGUAAACAAUAAACCAAGUGGCUGGAAAUAUCUCACUGCUGCUGUAAGGACUUCAGCUUCCCUGCAGCUGUGAAUUUCCUACUGCUUCCUAGUAUAUUGCUGAAGGAAAGCAUUAACUUCAACACUCCCUCUUAAUGUUUUGCUUCUGCACUCCUAGCAGGCCUCUGAGGUAUUCAUACCUCUCUUUUGGUAGAGCUUUGGUGAAGAUGUAUGCAACUUGGUCAUCUGUAUUACAGUAAACCAGAUCAAUCUCAUUCUCAUCAACUGCAUCCCUGAUGUAGUGAAACUUCAAGGCAAUAUGGUUUGCCCUACUGUGAUACACAGGGUUCUUGCUCAUGGCAAUUGCAGACUUGUUAUCACUGAGAAUAGUUAUUGCAGAUGUUUGCUUCUCACCAAAGUCUUCAAUGACUCUUCUGAGCCAAAUUGCUUGUGAAAUGGCUAUUGAUGCAGAUACAUACUCUGCUUCAGCUGUAGACAAAGCUAUUGAUUUUUGCUUAUUUGAAGCCCAGGAGAAUACACCAGUUCCAAGUGUAAAAGUAUAUCCAGAUGUGUUUUUUAAGUCAUCAACACUUCCUCCCCAAUCACUAUCACAAAAGCCAAAGAGUUUUGGUUCCACAUUCCUCUCAUACAGUAUUCCAAAGUCCAUUGUACCUUGAAUGUAUCUAAGGAUUUUCCUUGCAGCUCUAUAGUGAAUCUUGGUAGGAUUAUGCAUAAAUCUGGACAUCAAACUUGCAGCAUACAUGAUAUCAGGUCUUGUUGUUGUCAAGUAAAGCAAACUUCCCACUAAACUUCUGUAUAAACUCUCAUCAGCUUUACCACUUCCAUCUUCUUUUGAAAAUUUUUCAUUGACAACUAGAGGUGUUGCAACAACAUUGCAACCAAGCAUUUUGAACUUCUCUAGAAUUGUCUUUGCAUAUUUCUUCUGAGUAAUGAAGAUUCCCUUCACUGCUUGAACAAUUUCAAUUCCUAGAAAAUAAUGCAAGAUUCCCAAAUCACUCAUUUCAUAUUUCCUCAUCAUAUCAGACUUGAAAUUUGAAAUCAUCUUUUCACAACUUCCAGUAAAUACCAAAUCAUCAACAUAUAAGGAGACAAUAAGUAUGCUUGAUUUACCUUCAGUUUUGGUGUAGAGAGCAGGUUCAUUUUCACUCCUUUGAAACCCUCUUUCUGUGAAAUAGGAAUCGAUCUCACCAUACCAAGCUCUUGGGGCUUGUUUCAAACCAUAAAGAGCUUUUUUCAGCUUAUAAACUUUUUUCUCUUUACCCUUGAUGAUGAAACCUUAUGGUUGCUCCACAAAUACUUCUUCUUUCAGCACUCCAUUUAGAAACGCCGAUUUGACAUCUAGCUGGUGCAAAAACCAGCCUUUUUGUGCUGCAAUGGAAAUCAGACCUCUGAUUGUCUCAUGCCUUGCAACUGGUGCAAAAGUUUCAUUGAAAUCAACUCCAAGUAUCUGUGAAUACCCUUUUGCCACCAAUCUUGCUUUGUUUCUUUGCACAAAACAUCUGCAUUUAGCUUGGUUUUGUAAAUCCACUUCAAACCAAUGGCAUCCUUGUUGUCUGGUUUAUCAACAAGCUCCCAUGUGUUGUUUUUCACAAUCACAUCAAUUUCCUCUUUCAUCGCAGUCCGCCAGUAAUCUUCUUUCACAGCUUCUCUAAAUCUUUCAGGCUCAAAUAAGCAUGCAUUACAGCUUUCAUACUUCAUUCAAGCUUCUCAUCCUUCUUGGUGUAGAUUGAGCAUUUGAAUGUGCUGGUGAGGGUUGAUCAGGACUGUGAGGUGGAGUUUGUUGCGGUGGAUUAAGUUCCAACCCUUCUGGAACAUCUUCAUCUUGAACAGCAUUAUCUAGCACACAUUGUUGCUGGACUGAACUUUGAUUCCAAUCCCAAGAUGAAUUCUCACUGAAGAGUACAUCUUUGCAAAUAACAAUUUUCUUCUUUUUCAUAUUAUAGAGCCUAUAGCCCUUUGUGUGCAAGCUGUAUCCCAUGAACACAGACUUCUCACUUGAUUCAUCAAGCUUCUUCCUCAACACCUUUGGGAUAUGUGCAUAGCAAAUUGAACCAAACACCCUCAAGUGAUUAACACUUGGCUUCCUUCCACUCCAUGCUUCAAAUGGUGUCAUUCCCUGCACUGCAGUAGUUGGAUAUCUGUUCAUCAAAUACACCACAGUAUUAAUUGCUUCUCCCCAGUAUUCUAGAGGCACUUUCUUGGCAUGCAGCAUAGACUUCGCCAUUUCGACGAUUGUUCUAUUUCUCCUUUCAGCUACCCCAUUUUGCUGCGGUGUGUAGCUUACUGUAAGCUGGCUCUCCAGACCAAUAUAUGCACAAAAAUCUCCAAACUCAUUUGAUGUGUAUUCACCACCUCUAUCUGAUCUAAGCUUCUUGAUUUUGAGAUCAGAUUGUCUCUCUACCAUAGCUUGAAACUUCUUGAACACAUCAGAUUUGUGCCUCAGGAAAUAAACCCAAAUCAUUCUUGAAUAAUCAUCAAUGAAUGUAAGGAAAUAUCUGUUACCUCCCCCAGUAAUUAUUUUCAUAGGACCACAGACAUCAGAAUGGACCAACUCUAGUGGUGUUUUUGCUCUCCAUGCCUUCCCUUUUGGAAAUAAGAUAAUGUGAUGUUUUCCAAGUGCACAUCCUUCACACACUUUAGUAACUUCUUUAAUUUUUGGCAAUCCCUGCACCAUUUCAUUCUGAUGCAGCAGCUUCAGACUUUGAAAAUUCAAAUGUCCAAGCCUUUGAUGCCAAAGCCAAGGAUCUUCAUGCAGCUCCAUUUUUCUUGCACUCUCAGUUGCAUACUUGAAAGUCAGAGGAAAACUUUUGUUCCUCUUCAUUUCAACUUCCACCAUCAGCUUCUUGCUACUCCCUCUCUCAAAGAUUUUGCAAGUGUCAUCACCAAAAUGCAGGUGAUAUUUAUGCUCAACGAGUUGUCCAACACUUAGCAAAUUCGAAUCAAGAUUUGGACCAAGCAUUACAUCUCUGAUGAACAUUUUUCCAUUUUUGGUUUCAACAGCAACACUUCCUUUGCCUUUUGUAUCCACCAACAUUCCAUUUGCCAUCUUCACCUUUGUAAUGUUGUUGUAGUCAAUGUCAUAGAGAAGGUUGGCAUUUGCAGUCAUAUGAUUACUGCAAGCACUAUCAACAAGCCACACAUUCUCAUUCACCACAGUGGUUACAGCAUAAGUGACACAGAACAUGCUAGCAUCACUUUGUUCUUCACUGCAGUUAGCCAGUUGAUUUCCUUUGUAGUCACAAUCCUUCUUGACAUGACCAAACUUGUUACAAAUUGAACAUUUUGGCUUCCCCUUAAACCAACAUUCACCUAUAUGCAUCUUGUCACAGAUUGAACACUUCGAAUAAUUUGAACUACUGCCUCCUUUAUUUUUUCUUUUUCCUGACUGAUCUUAUCUACCCUCCCACUUCUUGCCUUUGCCUUUCCAAUUCUUUUUCUUUUUAGAAUUUGAACUAGAUGGCUCACUGUUUGUGUUUAGGCUUAGUGUUUGAAAGGCUUUUUCUGUUGGUUCAUCAUGACUCAUCAACCUCUGAUCAAAAGCCUUAAGUGUCCCCAUUAAAUCCUGCACACCAAGAGUGUCUAUAUCCCUAGCCUCCUCUAUAAUACUUGCUAUAGCAUCAUACUUUCUAUUCAAACUCAUAAGGAUCUUUUGUACUACUCUCUUUUCAGGUAUAGGUUCAGCAUAAGUUUUCGUCUGGUUAACUAAAUCAGUCAAUCUAGUGCAAUAAUCACUUAGCAGCUCAGUUUCAUUCAUUCUAGUAUAUUCAAAAUCUCUCCUUAAGAAUUGAACUUUAACAGCUCUCACCUUAUCUGAGCCUUUGAACUCAACCUUCAGAACAUCCCAAGCUCCUUUGGCUGUUCUCUCAUUUGCAAUUCUUGGAAAGAUAGCAUCUGUGAUUGCGGUUUGCAAAAUACCAAGAGCUUUUGCAUCUUUCUUGAUAUUUGCCCUCAGCUCAGUUCUUUGAGCAUUUGUCAUCCCUUCAGCUGCUGGAACUACAUAGCCUUCAUUCACAUAGCUCAAGAGAUCACGUGAUAUGAACACGGUUUCCAUCUUUAUAAUCCAGAAAUCAAAGUUCUCUCCUGAGAAGAUAGGAACUCUAACUUCUGAACCAUUUUCUGCUGUAGUCAUUGCAGUAGCAAAAAACUAAAAAAGGUGUUUUUUGUUUUUUUUAUCCAACAUAUGGUACACCCCAGUUGAUAUUGAUCAACAGGGCUCUGAUACCAUGUUAGAAUUUGAGCCUCUACUUUGUAUUUUGAACAAAGUAUGAUCAAAAUCAAUUUGCUGUAGCAAAUGAGGCAGAAGAAAACUCAGUUGAACUUUGAAACAAAUCUUUUCAGCUUCUGUUUCUUACUUCUAGAAUUCUUACAGAUUACACAGCAAACAUACCCCUUUUAUAGGGUGCAAAGUAACCUACAAAAUAUCUUAGAAACACAUAAUUAACUAGAUUAUAAUUGUACUUUACGUACAACAAAUUAUCUAGAUUAAGUGGAGGAGUAAACAAUAAACCAAGUGGCUGGAAAUAUCUCACUGCAGUAAGGACUUCAGCUUCCCUGCAGCUGUGAAUUUCCUACUGCUUCCUAGUAUAUUGCUGAAGGGAAGCAUUAACUUUAACAAAGAUAGUGUUCUCGAGGUUAGACCUCAUCUGAGUCACAUCAUAGGCAGCAAUACCAAUCAAACGAUGGGAUUCAUUGAAAGCCACACACGAAGGAAUCCGAGUUUUGCCGUACUCGUCGGUGAUGAGUUUGACACAACCGAGGCUUGGAUCCCAAACUCUGACGGACGAGUAGGCGGUGCUGAUGUCGAUUCCGAUCACAGGAGCUUUUUCAGAGGAAGACAUUGUCCCAAAUCGAUUAGGGCUUCGAAGAGAACUGUGGCUCAACGAGAACGUUGCGAGUUGAGACUUAAGGUUUAAGGUUGUUGCCCACUCUUUGUUUACCUUGGACAACAAAACAAGGACCCAAGUAGAAGAGAACACAAAGACCCUAGCUUGCUGCUUUGGGCUGCGUCACUGAUCGUUCAAAGGCCGAACUACUGUGCUGAGGUCAUAUGUCAAGGUCAAGAUUCUAUGAGGUAUGGUAUUGGUUUAUAUGAUUUGAUUCACUAGGGUUUUGUCGACUAUGAAAAUUUCCAUUUCUAUCACCCAUAGAGCAUGAAUGUAGGUUUUGUUGUUUGUAUUACUGCCAUGAACAGCGAGACAGUAAUGAAAUAUGUGACCAAGUGUUCAUUUGUAUUGAGGUACGAUUUCAUUCACUAGGGUUUUGUUACAUGUUAAUGUUGUUCAACUAUUUAUGAAAUAUUUCAUUUCUAUGGCGCUCAAAGAUGACUGUAGGUUUUAUUCUUAGAAUUGCAUGGUUAUAUCAAAAACUGUUCCGAUUUGCAUCUCUAUAAUCCCAGUUUACGUGGGAUUCUUUCCUUCAAUAGUAGUUAACACUAGCUCUCGCAUCACAUUUUCAGUGAAUAUGUGAGGCUCAAUAGUUGAGAAAAUCAAUCUCUAGUGGUCCCAAAACAAUAGUGGCGCUCGAUCAAUCAGUUCCUAGAAAGAAAUAUCGAUCAAACAUGGCUUUAAGUUUUCUGAUUCUUUAUUGCUCUAGCGGGAUUCCAGGAAAGAAUAGCUGUUUUGGUGUUUUCUUUUUAUGAAAUUCCAGGAAAGAGCAUGAGUUGGUGUAAGUUAGCGUAACUCCCGGCAUGUAAGAACAUAACAUCUCUCUCUCUCUCNNNNNNNNNNNNNNNNNNNNNNNNNNNNNNNNNNNNNNNNNNNNNNNNNNNNNNNNNNNNNNNNNNNNNNNNNNNNNNNNNNNNNNNNNNNNNNNNNNNNNNNNNNNNNNNNNNNNNNNNNNNNNNNNNNNNNNNNNNNNNNNNNNNNNNNNNNNNNNNNNNNNNNNNNNNNNNNNNNNNNNNNNNNNNNNNNNNNNNNNNNNNNNNNNNNNNNNNNNNNNNNNNNNNNNNNNNNNNNNNNNNNNNNNNNNNNNNNNNNNNNNNNNNNNNNNNNNNNNNNNNNNNNNNNNNNNNNNNNNNNNNNNNNNNNNNNNNNNNNNNNNNNNNNNNNNNNNNNNNNNNNNNNNNNNNNNNNNNNNNNNNNNNNNNNNNNNNNNNNNNNNNNNNNNNNNNNNNNNNNNNNNNNNNNNNNNNNNNNNNNNNNNNNNNNNNNNNNNNNNNNNNNNNNNNNNNNNNNNNNNNNNNNNNNNNNNNNNNNNNNNNNNNNNNNNNNNNNNNNNNNNNNNNNNNNNNNNNNNNNNNNNNNNNNNNNNNNNNNNNNNNNNNNNNNNNNNNNNNNNNNNNNNNNNNNNNNNNNNNNNNNNNNNNNNNNNNNNNNNNNNNNNNNNNNNNNNNNNNNNNNNNNNNNNNNNNNNNNNNNNNNNNNNNNNNNNNNNNNNNNNNNNNNNNNNNNNNNNNNNNNNNNNNNNNNNNNNNNNNNNNNNNNNNNNNNNNNNNNNNNNNNNNNNNNNNNNNNNNNNNNNNNNNNNNNNNNNNNNNNNNNNNNNNNNNNNNNNNNNNNNNNNNNNNNNNNNNNNNNNNNNNNNNNNNNNNNNNNNNNNNNNNNNNNNNNNNNNNNNNNNNNNNNNNNNNNNNNNNNNNNNNNNNNNNNNNNNNNNNNNNNNNNNNNNNNNNNNNNNNNNNNNNNNNNNNNNNNNNNNNNNNNNNNNNNNNNNNNNNNNNNNNNNNNNNNNNNNNNNNNNNNNNNNNNNNNNNNNNNNNNNNNNNNNNNNNNNNNNNNNNNNNNNNNNNNNNNNNNNNNNNNNNNNNNNNNNNNNNNNNNNNNNNNNNNNNNNNNNNNNNNNNNNNNNNNNNNNNNNNNNNNNNNNNNNNNNNNNNNNNNNNNNNNNNNNNNNNNNNNNNNNNNNNNNNNNNNNNNNNNNNNNNNNNNNNNNNNNNNNNNNNNNNNNNNNNNNNNNNNNNNNNNNNNNNNNNNNNNNNNNNNNNNNNNNNNNNNNNNNNNNNNNNNNNNNNNNNNNNNNNNNNNNNNNNNNNNNNNNNNNNNNNNNNNNNNNNNNNNNNNNNNNNNNNNNNNNNNNNNNNNNNNNNNNNNNNNNNNNNNNNNNNNNNNNNNNNNNNNNNNNNNNNNNNNNNNNNNNNNNNNNNNNNNNNNNNNNNNNNNNNNNNNNNNNNNNNNNNNNNNNNNNNNNNNNNNNNNNNNNNNNNNNNNNNNNNNNNNNNNNNNNNNNNNNNNNNNNNNNNNNNNNNNNNNNNNNNNNNNNNNNNNNNNNNNNNNNNNNNNNNNNNNNNNNNNNNNNNNNNNNNNNNNNNNNNNNNNNNNNNNNNNNNNNNNNNNNNNNNNNNNNNNNNNNNNNNNNNNNNNNNNNNNNNNNNNNNNNNNNNNNNNNNNNNNNNNNNNNNNNNNNNNNNNNNNNNNNNNNNNNNNNNNNNNNNNNNNNNNNNNNNNNNNNNNNNNNNNNNNNNNNNNNNNNNNNNNNNNNNNNNNNNNNNNNNNNNNNNNNNNNNNNNNNNNNNNNNNNNNNNNNNNNNNNNNNNNNNNNNNNNNNNNNNNNNNNNNNNNNNNNNNNNNNNNNNNNNNNNNNNNNNNNNNNNNNNNNNNNNNNNNNNNNNNNNNNNNNNNNNGAAGGGACGUGUAUAUAUAUAUAUAUAUAUAUAUAUAUUACUCUAAUAUUAAGUUAUUAACUGAUUUGUUUUGUCAUGUAGAUACUCGGAGUUUUUUGAUACUAUUUUUCGUUUCGGCGAAACAUGGAUGGUUGGUUAUUUGCUUGUAUAAGAGAAAAUCAGUGUCAAUUUGGUACUUUUGCAUGUCGUCGUGAUCAUACAACAAAAAAUAUCACGUCGUUACUGAAUGAUGCAUGUCCUAUAAAUCUUCCAAAUACAACAAUAUUCAAUUUUGGUAUAUAUCUUGAUGCUCUCCAGUCCGGUAUGCUAAAUUCAACUAACUUCCCGCAAAAGUUCUUGCACUGUUUUUGGUGGGGUCUUCGAAAUUUGAGGUCAGAUGUUGUUACAUAGAACCUCGCUCUCGGAAUAUUACUUUUGAAGUACUUAAUACUAUACUAAAGUGAUGGUUUUAUUUUUGCAGUUCUUUUGGUCAAAAUCUUGAGACUAGUACAUACGCCCGGGAGAACCUCUUUGCGGUUCUCAUUUGCAUGAUUGGCAUGCUAGUGGUUUUAGUAUAUCUCAAUGCAAUCUUGCAGGUUGGUAUCCCAUUAUAACGUAGUGACACUGUAUAAUGCAACAAUGAACUGAUUACUGAUGUUUACUGAUCUAAUUGUGGGAUAUAUCUGGACAGACAUACAUGCAGAUUGAAGCUAAAAAAUCAGAUUUGAUGGAAAUAGAGGAGAGGAGAACUAUGGAUAUAGAAACAUGGUUAUGCGUCAAUGAUCUUUCUGGGGAUCUCAAGACUGAGAUCAUGGGAAACGUGCUAGAGAAACUGAAACCAGAAGAAGAUGUCAAUAACGUGAAAAUUCUCUCUGUCAUACCAUGGCGAUUUCAACUGGACAUAAAGAAAAACCUCUGUUUAGAUAUGCUACAGAAAGUAAGUCCAGCUCCAAACCUAAUGAUACAUGGCGCGCCUAAUUAAUCUGUUAAUAAUUAUUCUCUUUUAUUUUGUUAAAUUUAGGUUCCCAUGUUUAGAGCUGGAGGAGAAAGAACGAUGGAUUUAAUCUGUGGGUAUCUUAAGCCAAUCAUCUAUAACGAGAACAACUUUAUACUUCAAGAGGGGGAUCCAGUUGAUAAGAUGCUUUUCAUCACACAAGGUGACGCAAUCAUCUACAGAACUAGUCCCGACGGAAGUGGCUCCUCAAGCACGAGUUCUAUAAGUAACGGUGAUCAUUACGGUGAACAACUUCUGAAUUUGGCACCAGAUGUUGAUCCUUUGAGCUUACCCAUAUCGAACUGGAGUGUCAAGUGCAGCACAAAAGUUGAAGCUUUUUUCCUCAUGGCUGAAGACUUGAGAAAGAUAAAGAUUCAUCUAGUAGAGUCUGGUUAUAUAAUAGAUGGUUUGGUUACAAACACAAUGUAAACAUCAUCUGUAGGUAAAACCCUAUUUUCAUGUUUGAAGAGGUAUUGGACCUCAAUAACAAGCGUUGCCCACCCAGUCACUAAGCCCAAGUGCGAUGCCCAGCCUCAUGCUGUACUAGUGGAGGAAGUGUCGUCGGUGUACUUAAUUAGCUCAGUCUAGGCUGACUAGGAUCUACAUUAGUCAAACCUCUUUUUUCCUCUCAGCGUUAAGGCACCCCAAAUGUAUCAUAUGCCCAAAUUAAUGAAUGUGAAGUAUUUCAAGUAUGUGUUUUAUCACAAUAUCUAACUACUUUAAUAGCUUAUAGUUUGAAUCUAUGCCAGUAACACGUUCAAUCAACUAGGCAAUAACUACUACACCACUUGUAAUGAUUUAUAUGUUAGUUAUAUAAGCUGUUUUUUGGCUCAAUAUAUAAGAACAUACACUGAAAAUUGUAAUCACGUAAAGGGGCAUUUGAGAAAUAUAUAUAUAGCAAUAAACUUGUUAAAUUUAUCAAUUCCCACGAACCUGAUCGUCACCACCAGCAGUUGUGACUGAUUGUCAACUCGUUACACCACAAAUAUAUAUGCUAAUUAUUUCAGUAAGUUAAGAAAAGUAGAGCUAGAUUAUCAUAUGAUGACAUAUUUAGAGAGCAAAAGACAACUAAUUGAGAGAGUCCAAAAGAUCAAAAUCGGUGUUGCAAAAUCCAUGGAUAUAACUAGCUAGCUAGCUAGCUCGAUCGGUAGCUAGAGAAUCAGAAGGUAAUUGGAAAGAAAGGGACCUUCACGAUGGAGGUGCUCAACCACAACAGAAACCCUAGCUAGUGCUUAACUGCUUCCAGAAAUUAUUAAAGAUAUUCCUUACAACAAUGGAUGGCCUAUACAUUUUUAAUAACUAGAUUAAUAGAGAGGGUCUACAUCUGGAAGAUUUUGCAGUGGGAGAAAGAUUAUUUCCUAGAAUGCUUAACCAUGAGAAUGUUUCGUGGAUCCCACCUCACCUCAUUCUUGAACCAAUUCGCAAUCGAAUCCAAAAUGCCAACGUAACUAAAUCUCUACCACUGUAGAGUAACAGUAUCCUGUUGAGAAAUGCUUAGGUGAAAACUUAUGUAACAUAAUUCAAUUUUAUGGGUCAUAUAUACAUGAUCAUACACGGUUCAUGGUGGAAGAUGAUCGACUCUGCACUAGAAUUCGUGGCUUAAUGAUGAAGGAGGGUUAGCUAAGUGGGUGGAAGAAUCUCUCAAAGUGAUCCCGCCCCAGAUGGUUCUGAAAAGAUCUGACAUUUCCUGCCCUGUUGCCAAAGCAAAAAAGAAAGAAGGAAAAAGAAGGGAGAAGCUUUUUACUACUAGGAUUGAAGCAAAUUUGCUCCCUAUCCUUCUCUUCCCAUCCUUUUUUAUAAAUGUUAAGUGUCUUUUAAAUUUAAUUAUUUUAACAAAAAAUAAAAAUAACACUUCACGUUCAUCUAAAAAGUUAGAUGAGAAAAUUUGCUUUCGAUUGACACCCACUAUCAUUUCAAGUCGACCAUUCUUUAAUUUAAUUGCCUCAAACAAGUAGAUAAUCCAUCAGUCUAGCGAAUACACAAUCAAACCACAAAUCUAACUAGAAUGAACAUAUCACGAGUCAUUCGUGUACAUAACUUAACUAAUUACCACUCUCUCUUGCUUCUCUCUGCUUGAUCAUCAUUAGGGAACCCUAAAAAGGAAUAUGGGACUUGCUUGGCCUCCUCUUGUACUCAUGAAUCUUCAUACAGCAUUUAGCAGUUGAGCAUUCCUCGUGAUCUUGAUCACAUUUGAAGCCAACCAAAAACAAUAAGCUUCAACCACGUACGCACUUCAUCAGUAGAGAGUCGACUAGCUGGUGCUUAAAGCAACACAAAAUCAGAAAGAAGAAAAUUUCUUCAUCAAAAGAAAAGCGGUGAGAGGAAAGAGAGAGAGAGAGAGAGGAGCCGAAGGAAAAUUUACUAAAAAGACCGAUAACAGAGGAAGAAAGAAAUCCCAUAUACCCUAUUAAUCUGUUAUUUUACUUAUCAAACUCCGAAGUCCAAACCCAACCCACCACCCAUGUGAAAAUCAAAACCAAAAUACCAUCUUCUUGAUCAUCAUUGUGUUCCUCUUUUACCAUGAUCCUCCACCUAACAUUCCAUUCCAAUACACACCAGAAUGAUCUCCUUCCCCUCUAUUUUGCUCAAACUCAGUACUUGUAGUAGUAGUUUCAGUAGUAGUGCUUGGAAUCUGCUUCAAAUCCUGAUCAGUAGGAAACAACAGCCUUGCAUGAUGAUGACUAGUACCAACACCUUGAAGACUUCCAUAGCCACUCUCGUACCCAUCAAGAGAAAAACUGAGACUUGGCUUAAACUCUUGCAAAUUUGGAAACCCAUGAUUAUUACCAGUAGAGAACAUCGUAAUAGUAUUCGAAUCUGCUACAGACAUGGGAGCCAUGAAAGAGUUCAUUAAUCCCCUUGAUGCAUUGAUCCCGGUACUUUUGAGCAGCUCCAUAGCCGAGAGAUUAUGAGGGGAUAAAGUACUAAUUCUAGAAGAGCUAGGGUUAAAGAUGCUAUGAUGAUCAUACUCGUGAUCCGAUGUUGGUGGGUAUGCUAGGUUGAGAUCUUGACCUUGGUGGAUCUUAGGGUUUUGAGAAUCAGCGCUUUGUUGGGUCAUCACCAGAUCAUGAUGAGCAAGCUUCUUUGAUGAAUUGGAAGUUGAUGGUGAGGAAGAUGAAGAUCUCUUGUUCUUCCUAGAGCCUCCACCCACUGGAACAUUUCUCAAAGAUCCACCGUCAGUCCAAUACCUUUUACAAGUCUUGCAGAAGUACCUUGGCUGAGAGAGACUGUAAUUGUUAUAGUAACAGAAUUUAGUGGUUGUUGAGUUGCACCUUGGACAAUUCAAAGCUUGAUCCUUUUGGGGUCUUCCUCUUCUUUCUAAGAUAGGCCUUGAAUCAGGAACUUCAGCUCCCAUGGAUUUAACUCCAAUCCCCUGAAAUUAAUAAAAUAUAAAAACAAUAAAGCAAAAGAAUAUGAACAAAGACAGGAAAAGGCCAUAACUACGGUGGUGAUUGAACUCAGAAAGUAUUUGUCUCCCAAAAAAAAUUUCAGACAGAGAUUUAUGGAGGAAGAAAGCAAAAGGAAGAAAACAAGAGAUUCAGGAUUACCACAGCAACAAAAGAAACAAGUUACUUUAUCAGAUGAUGGAAAGAAAAGCUAAGAAAGAAAGAAAAAAGUGCAGUAGUACUACUACUAUCAACUUUCCAAGACAAAAUCAAAGACCUGAGGAAGACAACAACAAUAUAAAUUCUGAUAUUAGUGGAGGGGCUGAGCUAACCCAAUAACAUAUAUAUCAUCUGUGGAGAUGCAAAAGGAUUAACUUUAGAACUAACAAUCAAGUUAAAAGAGAGGUACUCUAAUUCAGCUUUGAAAAAACACAACCCUAGAAGAUAAUUUUCAUGAUUUCAUGGAGGAAAAGGAAAAAGAAAGCAAGCUGUCUUUACCUGUGGCCAGUGAGCUGUGUCCAUGGAUUAAGAAGGAGAAAAGGGAAGAGAGAAAAAGCUAUCAAAGUCUUUCAGAAAGAGAGAAAAAGAAAAAAACAACCACUUUUGUAAGCAGGAUGGUCUAAAAGCAAAGAUGAAGCACUACUUGAGAGGAGGAGAGGGUAUAUGUGGUGUGGUUCCACGGGUUGCCCAACUAUGAGAAAAGAUGGAGAGAGUGCAUGGGUGGGGUAUUUUUGUCUUUUAAUGCCCUUUCAUUGUCAUAUAUACAUUCCCAUUUCAUUAUCUCAUUAUACACAUUCUCAUUCAUCCCUUUAAACAGAGUAUUUGGAAAUAAUGUGUACAUGCACAUAAGUAGUUUAAUUAGUAGAAUAUAAAUGUCCUUGCAUUUGUCAAAUGUCAUGAUGCUUUGUAGAAUUUAGUGGGUUCUUUUCUGAAUUCUGACCAGAGAAAGAGGAAUGAGGUUUGCAUUUUUCCUGCUCCAUUACUAUUUCUUCUUCUUCUUCUGUUACCAUUUUCAGCUGCAUUUCCUUUAUCAAAUGACCGGAGGCCUCCUUUCAUUUGUUUUCCACUGAUGCCUAUUUACUCGACAUUAAUUUUCUUUUCCAUGAAGAACAAUGUCUCUUUAUAAUUCAUCAUUCUAUGGAUUUUGGAUAGACGUUUAGUCCAAAUCUAAUCUCCUAUUGAGGAAAAGAAGAAGACAGACAGUGACCACAUUAAACCUCCAAUUUCUCACUCCAAAGCCAACACAUAUGAUAUACAUGUAGCCCCCUAAUCAAGCCAAGCUACUCCACCAUUAGGCAUAGCUAAAUCGAGCUAGAAUUCGUAGCAAACUACUCUAAAAAAGAAUAGAGAUUUCUCAUUACACAGAGGAAUAUAGCGAGGGUCUUUCUAAUCUUACCAAGCUUUGCGUUUGCGUACAAAAGUAAGAAGAAUCACCAAGCGGAAAAUGACAAGAGAGAAAAAGCUCAGUGGAGUACUAUACAGAAGUCACAGAACACAAACUCAUCGUGGUGACGGCGGCAGAGAGACGUCACUGCCGAAGCGGCAGAGGCGACGUGGCGGCAGCAGAGACGUGGCGGCAGACGAUUGGCCGGAGAGCUAGCCUGGUUGCUGAGACUUUGAAACGUGUCGGUGGAGAAUAUCUAGGACUCUGGGUUCCAUACUUCAAUCUCCAUCGAAGGAACAGUGAGAUGAGAACAGUGACGAAGGAACAGUACUAAGAAGACAAAGAAGAUGCGCGCAUGUGGCGGUGUUCUAUCUUAAACUCCGAACUCUCAACCUAAGCAACUCUAGCUGUUAAACCGUCGUACGUUUGUCUGACUCCAUUAGGGUUUGAGGCAAAUAUCAUUAGGGUUUUCAGUUCCGUACGUAACGAGGUGCUGCCACGUCUGGUUAGGGUUUUAGUCCUUAGCUGGCUGUCACUGGUAGCCGGAGCAAGCACCAUUGGUUUGUACGACUUGUUGUCAAGCUCGCUUGUGGCUUUGGAUUAGCAAUGAUUUGAGGUUUUGAUAAAAACGAGGGAAUCGAUUCCCAUAUCCGUGACAGUGUUACCCAUCACUGUGUGCAGGACUCGUUUGAUGAGAGAGAGCUCGAAUGGAAUCUAGUUUGCGUUAGCUUUGCAUAGUUGCACUAGGAAUCUAUAUAUGGUUAGCAUUCAAGGGAGUGAAGACGAUUUGUCCUUGCUCUCUUUUCCUAGUCGUUUUUGCAUUUGAUAUUUUUGCAAUUGUUUCAUAGUUUGUGUGAUCAAGAUGUUCAUUAAUGGAUGUGUUUCCAUUUUCCAUCAAUUACUUCAUUUCCAAUGUCAAUCAGAAACGCCCUCCUCAACAAAAGGGUAACAACUUCGGGCAAAGCCAGCUCCCAUAGUGAUGGAAAGUGUGUACAAAUUCACAGGAACGAAUUCACUGUCGUAGAGUAGUUCGUCUACCGUCACUAAGGAUUCUAGAUUCGUGUAUGCAAGACUCGUUGGUUAUCUAUCCUUAUAUCGUAGGUAUACCGUAUACGUUUGAAUCACAAUAGAUUACAUAUGCACAUCUUUGUCAUUCUAGUGAUUUGUAGCAUUUCUGAGAUCUUCAAUUCGGAUCUCUCGUACUACUAUCUAGUCAUGUAAUUUGGAAGAAAUCUGAAUGUAAAAACUUGAAUUUUCCACUGAAAAUGAUGUGAAAUUGCCUUGAAAGUUUUUCCAAAAUGGCUACACAAGCGACAAGAAUGAAAGCAUUCCAUAUUCAGUGAAGAAUGAGAAACGGGAAGAAUACCUCUUAUGGCUUCUCCGUCUUUACAAAGAAGAACCUACACACUGGUCCAGCAAAGGUAGUUCCACCCAGAAAAGCAACAUGAACAUGUGGGGACCUUAAGGACAUUCAAAAAAUCAACCAUGGCCUAUCCAUUCCACUACCCAUAAAGCUAUUAGCAAUGAAGCUUCCCUGGUUUUGAGUCAUUACCAAAUAAGUAGUUUUGUUCUUGUAAGGUUCCCCAUAUCUUCAUCUGAAUCUUACUUUGCCUAACUAAUAUCUUACAAUUAACCAAUUUAAAAACCAUCUGCCCCAAUUACAACAAAUCUUGGUGCCUUGGUUGCCCAACACCAAAAGUUACAGAAUCUUUAUUUAAAGGAAACUUCAAGUCCUAAAUAAAGAUUAAAAAUUUACAUGGCAAACCUAGCAAGUUAAAUGGCCCGUCUCACAUUAUUCUAAAGGACAACACACAAGACAUAUGAAAAGUUAGGCGAAGCAUGCGUGUCAAUUGUCAAGAUAGUAAUCACCCUGAACAUUCCUUUAGUUUGAAAAUGAAAAGAGAUUCAUACUUUAAAACCGGAUAACUAGGGAGAAUUUGUCCCCUGCUUUCACUUCUACAUCCAACAGAAUCUUAAAAUUAAUAGUUAUACUUCAAGAUCAAGCUGACUUCUAUGUGGGGGCAUAGAUGGAUUGGAACAAUUCAACAGGAAUAUAUUACAAGUAUUGAAACUAGACCUACAGAAAUGUGAGCGGCAACAAAUAGGCCACUGCCACACUAGUGCACAACAAUUAUCGAGUUCAACUUACUCGUUCAACUUGCAGACAUCAAUGAACUUCUGAACUGCAUUGUGGUACUGAGUUCCCUGUGACAUGAACACAAAUGAUAUCAAACACAGCUACCAACAAUGUCCAUUCAUGAAUGUGCAGGUUCAUAUCAAAAGUUCUCAGAACGUCAAAGUGAGAUGUCCAAUUAGGAGAACAAGUCAACCCAUGUGUAAUUACCAUAUGGCAAGAAUCAACAAAAAAUACUUUACGAAUUUCAACUUAUAUGAGUUUCCCGCAUAUAGAGUUCAAUGUAACAGAUACCUCCCAGUAAAGCUGGUUGCAGUCCAUGCACUGCCAAAACUGUAGAUUCUUAUCAAACAAGCAGUUAGGGAUUCUUUGGAAACCUUUGGCAGCUUCCACAGCCUCUUCAGUCGACAAGGGCUUUUGAAUAAACCUACCAUUGCAUCUGGUGCAUCUUGACAUCAGCUGAUCUUCACUAACUUUCAGUUGGAAAGUUUCAAUGACCUGCAGGUAUAAUUCAGAUUUAGCCUGAAACAACACUUCCUCUCCAUCUUAUAGCUUCAAUGAAAGGUAAAGCAGUUUCCCUUUAAAUGCAAUCGGAUUGCCACAGAAGUGGGGAGUCUUUCAAACUGAGCACAUGCGUACCUCAAGUAGCUGUUCAUUCUUUAGAAGAUUCUUCACCCUAUAUAUUUGAUUAAUGAUUAGAUACUCAUAUCUAAGUAGCUUAGCAUCCCGCGUCAAGAGCACUCUUUUCUCUCUGUUUGCAUGAUCUAUUAAUUCCCUGCAUACAAUGAAUCUAAAUUAAUAUUCUCAUGGAAAAGAUAUUAAAACAGAUUUAAGAUCUACAUAUAAAUAACAUAUAACAGCAGAAUCUUGAUAAUACCUGGAUUCAGGCUUUUUCGAAUAUGGGCUUGCAGCAUCUAUACCAACGCACCUUAAAUGUUUAGCUAAGCCUUCAACCUGAAAUAAGCAUGAUCAAGAAAGUAGCAUGUUACAUUUCAGCAGCAGAGUUAUUGCAACAAGAGUGCAGCAUAUAUGCAAAGGCUUUGUUCUUUUGAAUUUUUUCUCUGGCUUAUUUGGCAUCACUCAUGGACGAAAAAAGAGAAAAAUAAACUCAAAGCAUCAAACUUACCAUCACAUCACAUAAAAACUUUGGAUGUCCAUCGCCCCCUACAGUCAAAUCCCAUGGUGCAGGACCUUUCCAAUCAUCGUCAUAUUGUCCAUGCUUGUAACCCACUGAUGACCGCCUUUUGCCUUUUCUUUUGGCAGCUUUGGGUUUCUUAUCAGAUUCUCCCAACAAAAUAUUUUCCCCAUAUUUGCUUGCAACCAUCAAGAGAAAUUCAUCCAUGGGCUGGGUAUUCCUAGGUUGUGUCACUAUAGCUGUUCCCUCUACGGCACUUAUAUCAUUAGAAACAUCUGUAGCUCGGACCAUAUCUACAGCUUCACGAAAUUUCAUCCUUACAACUUUAUUACAUAUAUCAAACUUCUCAAGAAGUACUUGUUUCAACCCAAGGUUCACAAUGGGGGGAUGAUGUUCAGAAGAAGAGUGAACUAAGAUCCCUGCAGUUACAAUUUCAGUAACUCCACCACCAACAGGAAGUAGCAAUUUGUAUGACAAAAGGCAAGGCUUCAAAUAUAAAUAAUCUUAUCCUUUCUGUGAUUAACACAAUAACGUGCAAGAAAAGCAAAAACUCUAGUAUACGAAGCAAUUAAUGUGAUCUAGAGAUGUAGCAUGACGGACCUUCCUUGAUGACCUUCUCUCGGAAGACAUUGAAUAUUUCAAGCAAGCAAUGUGCAUCCAUAGCUGCAUAUGUUUUCUGCUCUUCUGUAAGAGGACGACAUGACCAAUCACUACAUUGUAGUUCCUAAAGAAGAGAUGUGUUACUUUUAACAACUUAUUACAUUAACUAAAAAAAAAACCAUCUCAUCACUCCAUCGCACUACUUACAGCCCAAAUUAUGAUACUGCAGAGUAGGAUAGGAACACAAAUGAUACUCAAAUUAGCAUGAAAAAAGUUUCAAAAGCCAAACCUUUGAAAGAGAAGUGCCAAGGAGUUCUUUGCAGAUAGUUGCCAAACUCUUGGUUUCCUUUGGUGCCUUCUUUCCAGGUGGUUUCUGUUGCAAAUGCUGGUAUAUGCUUGUAAUAUCCAAAUAUGGCUCCACCUGUUCACCAUAUAUUCAUGAGCAAUGAUCCCAAAAUUAAAAUCCUCUCUAUAGAAAACUACCAACAAAGACUCUACAAAACCACUCUUCACAGUUAACUAGCUUUCCAUCAUCAAGGGUGACUACUCGAAGCAGAAACUAGGUCAUAAGCAAUUCAUAUUGAACACAAUAACUCAACUUUCAACCCAAACUCACAUCACAGUGUCACACUAUCAACAAAAUGGCCUUGUUUCGCUUCUUCACUAACAUCCAUACAAUUUAAGCAAGAAUUUGAAUAUUUCCACUAAAUAAGCAUCAUUAUGAAACAGAGCAAAAAACAGAGCAAGGUAAAAAGCAUUCAACUUUGUUAAAAUUACUAACUGGGUAACUCUAAAGCAUUGAACUUUACUCAGAUAACUCUAAAUCUCUUACCCUAUCAAACCCAGAAUCACAACCCAUUGAGCUGAACGUCGAUGACAAGUAAAUCAAAUCCUGCUUAAACCUGAAACCCAGUUUCAGAACAUCAGGAGAAACAAACGCGUCCCUCAGAAGUUCCCAGAUUGAAGGAAAAGGGAGGGAGGCCAAGUCGAGGAGGAAGACGACGACCGAGUCGAGUUCGUGGCCGAGUUGGCAGGCGAGUUGGAGGAGAGAGACGGUUGGGUAAGUGGGGUGAUGGGAGCGGAGGGGCUUCCACUCGGCGUCGAGGGCAAUGAUGGUGGAGCGCGUCAGGGAGGAAGUGAGGUGAGUGAACUCGGGGGACUCGGUGGAGGAGACCAAGUGAGUUUUCAGGGGGGUUGGAUUUUGGGGAUCCAUGGUGGAAGAAGAAGAGUAGCUCUCAAAGUUUCACUUUUUUUGUUUUUGGGAAGACAGUAGCAAUUUGGGGAUGGACUAACCGGUUCGGUUCCGGUCCAAACUAAUUUUCGAAGCCGGGUUGAACUAACCGGUUCGGUUUCGGUUGAAUUCGGGUUAUGAAAUCGUCAAAAUAGAUCGAGAGAUUUGUCCGUGCUGUGAGUCUUGUCAGAGCGCUUUCUCCUCCUUGACUAUAAGGAGCGCUUUCUCCUCCUUGACUAUAAGGAGUAGAGAGAUUUAACUUUAAUCAGCAUUGACGGGAUUUGAAUCUAGGUGAGGGUUCCACAUCUAAGUUUUUACCAACUCGACUAAAUGUGGUGAUUAUAUCUUCUAGUGUUAAAAUGUCACGAAACAUGUUACUUAAAAAACCAACAUCACGUUCGGAGGCGCUAUCUCAAAUUUGUAAAAUGUUUCAUUAUUUUGCGUGUUACCAAAAUAGGUGUGGGGUUAUUGGUCAAACAAAACAUUGUAUCUUAUAUACGAAAAUAAAGACUGAAAAAUAAAAUAAAAUGUAAAUUAAUUCGUGACAUUGCUCGAAAUGAAAGAUUUGUUGUUUGAAUUGGUGCAUCAUGAAACCAAAUUUUUGAACAAUUAAUUCAGCGAGAACUCAUAUUACGAUUUUAAACACCAUGUGGUGAUACAACCUAAUAGAAUCACAACACCUAUGAACAACAAACAAACAGACGGAGUAGAAAAAACAUAUAUUAUCUCGACCAGACUAACGAGUGACAAGUACAUUUGAUAUGGGCUAAUCAUACUAGCACAUACCACCGGAUGUACUAGAAGUGCAUAAGUCAUCGUAUCAUUAAAUUUCAUAGUUACUUUUAGCACCUUAUAGUAUAAAGGAUUAAAUUCAUUUUACCCUCAUGAGGUUUCGAGUUGACUUCAUUUCUAAAUUUCAUCAGCUUUGCCUAUUUGCUAAGACUCCAUCAAAAUUGAACCUUAAUUUGACUUUAUAGCUCACUUUAAGGACUAGAACAGUCGGUUAACGACAAAACAUUUUAUGAGCUGUUUUAUAAGAUUCCAUGUUAGCAUUUAACCUUCAAAUUGGACAAAGUCUUAGACAAUAAGCUAGACAGAUGAAAAUUGGAAACUUCAGGAGGUGAAUUUUCAAAAUUGAGAGAACGGGGAGUAAAAUGAAGUUAACCCUAAAUCUUAGGAGAGUAAACUGAAUUUAAUGCUAGUAUAAAUUUGCCCAAAAAAUUUGAACCAGACCUUUGGGGUUUUAGGCCCAACACCACAUUACCCAUCUUCUAUUUCGUUUCUAUUUUUACAUCCGACCCGACCCGGCCCCGUCAACCAAACAGUGGCGCCAAAACAACACCACCACUUCCCGCCAUACGGCGCCAAACUCCAUUUCCGCGCCAAAAACCACCCAGUCCUUAAAUACCACCGCGACCCAAAUCGGGAGUCGAGAUUUCACAGACACCAAAAAAUGGUGGCGGCCCUGAGAAAGAGAACCCGAGCCUUAAACCCCCAACUCGUAAUGGAAACCGGAUCUGAAUCCGAAAACGACGACGUUUGCUGCGAGGAAUGUGGGUCCGGCCACUCUCCGGCGGAGCUUCUUCUCUGCGACGGAUGCGAUAAAGGGUAUCAUCUGUUCUGCCUCAGACCCAUUCUCGUUAAUGUGCCAAAGGGAUCUUGGUUCGGGCCGUGUUGCUCUAAACAGAAGAAACCCAAAUGUGAGUUCAUCGAGUUUUUCAGUUUUCUUUGGGUUUAGAUUUUGGAUUGGUUCCGAUGAAUUUGUUGUGUUGUUGAAUUGUUGAAUUGGGUUUUAUGGUUUUGUUGCUUUUGGGUUGUUGAAUUUGAGCUGUUUGAUUAGUUUGGUGGAUACCCAGUUUCGGUUAAAGCUGGUUUCUUUGGUUAUUGCAGCUUUUCCUCUCAUUCAGACCAAAAUUGUUGACUUCUUUCGGAUUCAGAGAAACGUCGAAACACUGGAGAAGUUAAGUCAAGGUAAAACACAAUUGAAUUACAUGGUUUAAAAUUGCCUUUCAAAUUUGGGUGUGUCUGAAAAUGUUUGUUCUAUUUUGUUGGGACUAAAAUGGAUUCUUGGAUUGGAAUUGUUUGUAGAUAAUCGGAAGAAGCGAAGGAGGGGAAGUAGUUUGGUGGUGUCGAAAAAGAGGAGGAAAAUGUUGCCAUAUCAUCCGAGUGAGGAUCCUGCAGUGAGAUUGAGGCAAAUGGCGUCCCUUGCAACAGCUUUGACGGCCACGGGAACUGAGUUUAGUAAUAAGCUAACUUAUAGGCCUGGCAUGGCGCCGAGGGAGGCCAACUGUCCAGAUUAUGAACAAGGAGGCAUGCAGGUAAUUAACAUUCACUUUUUAAACUCAGAUAUAAAUUGAUUGGUAACUAGAACUGUUCAAUCAGUGUCUGAUAGUUUAUGGUUUGUUAUGUUAUACUGUUAUAGACUGUGAACAUGUCCCUCUUUGAUUGAUAAGGAUCAGAUUUGGUGCAUUCAGCUCAAAAUUUGGACUAGUCAUUACUUGUCUAUUAAGUGGAUUGUGCCUCAGUCAAAUUUCUUGGCAAACCCAAAUCCCUAGAUAUAGUGAUCAUGAGUAGUAUUAUGGCUGGAUCAAUGUCUUUGCUUCUGUAUGUAGACUAAAGUUUACAUGGAUCAGACUUGGUUAACCACUGAUUCAACUCUCACUUUUUAAAAGGUUCUAUUGGUGUGUAGCAAAAGUAGAAGAACCAAUCACAUUACAGUAAGUUACAGUAUCUUUAAUCUGUAUAGACAAGAAUUUUAGGGUAGAAAAUGGGAGCUUUAGUUGGUUAGCUGUAGUUACGCAACGAAAACGAAACUGCUUCUAGACAACUUGGUGAAUGUGAAGUCAUUAUAUGAAACUGCUGGCCAUAUCGGACUUGCAUAGUUACAUGAUGAUGAGUAAUUAAUGGGGUUAACUCUUUUUAUAGCUUUGAUAUGGCGGUUUUAAAAAAGAAAACCGGGCCGAAAAGAAAAGGACAGAAUUCUCUUAUGAGGCCAGGGAGAGAGAUUGAUGUUUUGCUGGAAUAUGCUGAAUUUAGAAUUAGUUGUGGUGCAUAUAUGCAUAAUAUUUCAUGCCUGUGAUGCAUUGCAAGUUUCUCAUACGUAAUAUAGUGAUGUUUAUUGAUGAACUGAUUUCGUGUGUUUCAGGUUUUGUCAAAAGAAGAUUUUGAAACUUUAAAUUUAUGCAAAAUCAUGAUGGAAAGAGGAGAAUGUCCGCCCCUCAUGGUUGUUUUUGAUCCUCAGGAAGGGUGAGUAUAAGAACAACAAACAUACUUUCUCAUGAAAGCCGAUAUAAUUGAACUCCUAAUUUAUUGUUGUUUCUUAACUUUUAUAGGUUCACAGUUGAGGCUGAUAAGCCUAUUAAGGAUUGGACGAUAAUCACAGAAUAUGCUGGAGAUGUUGAUUACUUGAAGAACCGUGAAAAUGAUGAUGGGGAUAGCAUUAUGACAUUACUUUCAGCUGCUGAUCCUUCAAAAAGCCUUGUCAUUUGUCCUGACAAGUAUGGCAACAUUGCCCGCUACAUCAAUGGCAUCAACAAUCACACAAGGUUAGCUCAUCAUCUUCUUUUUGAAAUUUUGAUUGCAUGCCUUGGUGUGUGUACCUUAUUCCAACAUAUGAAAGCCCUGAAAGUCAUAUUCAACUGAAAUUUUUGUAAGUUGGAUAGCUGCAUUGUCGUCUAUAUGACUGACUCUGAAAGGAAUAACAUACCUUAUCCCCUUGAUCCUUUAUGAGUGAUAAGUUAAAAGUAAACAUUACAUGUCUUAAAAGCCAAUAUGGUCCUUAUAAGUAGAACUCUGAAUACACUACUGCAUAGUUAUCCAACAUGGUAACUGCUGUUUUUAAGUCAUUCAAAUGCUGCAUGAUGUAUUAAGCUUUGAUAAGGUGUAGAAGUGUAGAACAUUAUUAAGCAUAAAAUGUUGUCUGCAGAGAAGUGUGGAUUGCUUGUGUGACAAUAUAAUUAAAGUUACUCUAAAUUGGUGCAGGGAAGGGAGAAAGAAGCAGAACCUAAAAUGCGUAAGAUUUGAUGUCAACGGCGAGUCUCGAGUAUUACUGAUUGCCAACAGGGAUAUACCAAAGGGAGAAAGAUUGUAUUAUGAUUACAAUGCAUAUGAGAAUGAAUAUCCUACUGAGCACUUUGUGUAGCCUUCUUUGUGUCACCAACUCUCCCCUUCCCCCCAGUAAAUAAAAUGAAGCUAAUAUCAUUAGUCAUGAUUGCUUAUCUAAGACCACAAUUCUUUCGUUUAUUUACAUUCAAUCUCGAAUUACAGCGAAUGAGGAUAUGCAAUCUGCAAUUAAAAUGCACCACAUUGGUUCUUUUUUUUAUCAGAACAAAUUAUCUGCCAGUGGCAUCCCUUCACAAAGGAUUAGAAAUUGGCUAAAGCUCUGGAUUUACUUUAAGAAGAUGAUUGCUCUAGAGUCAAUGUUUUAUCACACCAUUGUAAACGAAUGUUUCUUAUCUGCGUAUGCUUCUCAAAUCCAAAAUUUUGGAUCCAAAUUCGAGGCUAAGCAUUUUUUUUCAUCUUGAUCUAUGCUCAUAUAGUUUCAGAAAUCAUCUUUGGGCCUUGUCAUAAUGGAUCAUCUUAAGCCAAGUGAAGAAAACUAAUUUGUGCAAUCUGCAAUUUAAACAUGUUGUUCCUUUUAAAUUGGGCUCGGUUUGUGUCCUCAAAAUACAAUGAGCUUACUUAUAUAAUUAUUUUUACAGAACCGUAUAACACAUCAACAAGGAUCUGUGGCGCAAUGGUAGCGCGUCUGACUCCAGAUCAGAAGGUUGCGUGUUCGAUUCACGUCAGGUUCAGUCUUUUUUUUCCUUCAUUCUUUUUCCCCUCCUCAAAUCAACUCAGGCAGAUUUUUGAGAUGCUAUGGACACUUUUAUCCUUUUGCAUUUUCUAACAGUUCAAUUUGUUUCCCUCUCUUGGCAUAUACAUACACAAGGAAAGUUAAGUUGAGGUGUUGGUUGAGAGUGAUGCAGAAACUGAUGGGCAAGAGCAGAACUGUCAAAACAGUGAAAGACUAAGUGUGGUACAACAUGACAACAGCAGAAACUGUCAGUGAUCCAUAGCAAAAGCACAGCACACUUUCCCUUACCUACUUAUAAGUUAUAACUCUCUUCAAUCUUCAUCAUCGAGUCGAGGACCACCUCAUAAUGCGCACAUAAAUCUUUCUUCACAAACAAACAACUCUCUCUAGGGUUCUUAUGUACUAAUAGACUGGUCCAGAAAAACUCAGGCAGCUAAUUUAAGCUGCUGCAGUACAUAUAUAACGACCACACUGUGUCUAACCCUAGCUGGCAAAAUCAUUCAAAAUUCGAGCAGUUGAAACUUGAAAGAGAUAGAGAACAAACAAACAGAGAAAGGAGAUCGGAAAAGUGGGCGCGCGCCAGCUGCGAUAAGAUCUGGAUGGGAUGAUGAGAUGCAUCCCCACAGUUCUGUGGUCACGCGCGUACUCUCAUCUCAUGCAUUCACUCACCCUUAUGAUCUUUAUUUGCGCUAGCUGCAGAUCGAUUAGGGUUUGAUAUACGUAUGCAGUUUUGAUCUGUAAGUUUUAGAUUUAUAUCCCCAAAUCUGUGGUCCUUUUUAUCACAUCUGUAAGCAUGAAGCCAUGAACUGAACUUUUAAUUGUACUUAUUGGCUUCGGUUGAUGUUUAGGAGGUCCAGCCAAACAAACACCUGCUUUCAGAGAUUUUUCAUCAGAAAACUAGCUAGGCAUAUAUUUCGAUCCCAGUAAGAAAUGUUCAGCACCUAUAUGCAGUAUUGCAGUUCAAGAUUUGAUACAACUGGUAUAUAAUUGGACUGAGAACGCGCAUAAUGUGUUUACAAGAGCCCUACUUGCACGUCGUGCAUACAAUAAUUUCUUUUACGUCUUGAUUAGAUGAAGAUAAGGGAUCAUUCGUACUCGAUCUAAUCAUUCUGUUGGGAUCGAGUUGUCCAUGCAAAUGAACUUAGGCAAAAUCAAUCAAAGUUCGUUGAGAACUAGCAGUACCAGCGGCAUCAACCUGUUUUGGUUUUUUCUUUUUGUCAAAACGCAAAACAGUUCAAAUAAUCGAUCCAAUACUUCUGAACAAUAUCUUAAGUACAAAUUUUGGACCACCGACAUGCAAUCGUGACUUGUCCAAAUAUGAAUCUCUGCCUUUUCUUCUGCUAGGGCUAAAUAUAUAUAAAUUGUGGGAAAAAUAUAUUGGGACCAAAUUGAAAUUCGAAAGUGUGUAUAAUUGAAUCUAUAUAUAUAAGAAAAAGAAAAGAGUUUGGUAGUAGAUCCCCAUCAUCCUAAAUUGACAUAUAUUUUCAUGGAAAUUGAACCAAUCACAGACCCUACACCAGCCUGUUUGGUGGAGAGCUGUCUCUCUACACAAACAUACACUUAUAUCUAUCUAUAUAUCUAUCUACAACAACAUGAAUCGCAUUCCACAGCUACACAUUCAUAUAUAACACAGUUUUUCUAUUACAGAAGAUUUACAGGUCGAUAUCCAAAGCCGUGGUACGUUGUAUGAUCAUAACAUUGGUGAGGACCAUAUCAUAACCACGUACGAAUUCACAUAUCAAUGUCAAUAUGACGGAUGAUGAUAAAUCCCAAUUGGGGUACAGUAGAAGAGUUGUAGUUUUCAGUUUGUUGCUUUUCAUUUGUCGAAAGAAGCUAUAGCUAGAGAUGAGCCUCUCUCCGGCUCUCCCAUAUCCAAAGGUUUGAUUCGUGCAUCAUUUCACUCGCCCUCAUCGAAAGCUUUCCUUGUCUCAAAGUAGAUCCUGGUUUAGAUUUGAUCAUGUAUUACAUGUCUUUUUUUUCGAUAGUCAACUUUGUUUGAUCGACUGGUUCUGAUGAAGGGCAACAUUUCGUCAUCAAGGUAGUGUGUUAUAUAUUCCAUUCAUGCAUCUGCUUAGCUUGUGCAUGUGCAGAUAUGUGUGAUCGAUAUAUCUAAUACGUAUACCAAGUUUCCAACCCAAAAUGUGCAUAAACAGUUCUUCUUAAUACAAACAAAGAAAUCAUCAAUCAAGGAAAUGAUUGGAUAUGGGAAAAAUGGUUAACUCGAACUAAGAAGAUAUGAUUUUUGUGUUAUGGUAUGAUGUUUCGGCUAAUUAAUAGUCAAACAAAUCGCAGUAAUGUAUGCACAAGCAAAUUUUCAAGUUAAAUAGAGCGUUAGACGAUAGGGUGCGGCUAUUGCCACCCCACCAAAUGCUUUCUUCACCCCAUAUUUCAAUUUUAAACUAAAUAUUCCAAUACUAACCCCACAAUCAAGAAUUUUUGUGAAAAUAUAAUAUUAAAAUAAAAUCCAAACAACAUCAAUUCUCUACAUCUUUACAUUGGAAAAAAAAAACAAAAAACAAAAUACUCUACAUUUUUCUAAAUCAGAUUUGUAGAAUCACUUCAAUAUUCAACAUGGUGGUUAUACAGUGUGAUAUAUGAGAUUGUUAGUUCUUAUUUUUAUUUUAUUUAUGGUUUCAAACGUAGUAUUUCAUAUAUAUAUAUAUAUAAUAUUCAUAAUCGUAAAGAAAAAACUACAAGAAAGAGAUCGAGGAGAAUAUAGGAUGUGGUUUGAGAAGAAUGGAGGUAUGCGUCAAUUAUAUUGAUGAAAUAUUAUCAUUUUUGUAAUUGUAAGUUAAAAGAAAGAAAAUAAAAACUAGAUUUUCACAAAAUUUUAAUGGCAGAAUUGGAAUUUUAAAGGUAAAAAAUUAGAUGUGAGGUGAACUGAGAAUUUAGUGGGGUGGAAAUAGCCGCACCCUAGACGAUAUUAGUUCCUUUGUCGACAACCGAUUUGGGAUGACUAGCUAACAUCGGCCCACAAUCUCAAAAUCUCAUGCACAAACUAAUUGACCGAUACUAUAUAUAUAUAUAUAUAUAUAUAUAUAUAUAUAUAUAUAUAUAUAUAUGUANCAUAGUACUAUUUAUAUAUUGUUUUUAGAAAGUAACAAGGGUGUUAUCGAUCCAUAAUCAUGAUAACUAUCGUUGUAUGUGAUUAUCAAGGAAACAAUAAUAAAUGCAUUAUUGAUGAAUAUUACACGCACAUUCAUUCGUAGUUCUAUUAACAUGUUUAGUUUGUUCUUUAAAUAGAUCAUGUUAAACUAUACACUAUAUAGUACAUAUAAUCAUCGCAUUGUGAAAUCGAAAUUUAUAUAUGUAAUCAUUAGAAUGAAUAACUUAGAUUCGUCAAUAUAUAAAUACUACAUUAUCAAGUUAGUACCAACAAAAUUCCCCAAUAUGUUUAUACCUUAUUUUAUCCAUGUCGGCUCUCAACUAUAUGGAGUAAUAUGAGGCACCAUGCACAUGUACCUAACAAGAAUGCCCUUUUCUUUAUUAAACAUGUAUGUACACACACGAACCCAGAUGGAGAUCGAGAACACUGCUCCUUGGAGUUUUAUGUGUGAUCCAUGCAUGAGCACAAUGUUUGUCUCAAAUUUGGUUUAGAAAACUAAAAUCAUAGACCAUUCCCAAUUUGUAUACAACAAGCUUGUAUGGGUCAACUACUUAUAGAAGUGAAUCACAAAUUACUAGAAGAAACCACCGUACCAAUACCAAUACCAUGGACUCUAAUUUUCGAUAAUUAUAAUUAAGAGCCAAGAAUCCUGGCUGGUGCUCUGGGGAUCUUCCUCGAUCCAGAAAAUUGAGUAUUCUUGUUGCUUGAGUCCUGGGUAUGCCUUGUUAAUUUGAUGUAAUAUAUUGUUCAUUUGGAUUCGCAACUUCCAAAUACAUAUAUACUACUACAAACUGAUCACCAAUCCAUGUACAAAUAUACGUAUAUAGUUGGCAAUUGGCAGGCCAACAAAUGAAAGAGUUCCAAUCAUACACUCAUUAUUGGUGAUUAAUUUCUGCUUAGUGUUAGUAUAGCAGUUCGAUAACCAAAUAUAAACCCUAAAAAGCUAGCUAAUAUUUGUUGUUGUGUUUAUUUGUUGGUACACCAACUUCAUUAUGUGGAUGCCAUGUGGCACGUAGGGUUUGUUUCUGGGUUUGCCUGGCCUCCAUGUGAAGGACAGAUCGAGCAUUGUGAAACAGAUGGAUAUUCCAUAACUUGAACCACAGAUUUCCUCUUAUCAAAACUAACACUUUCUUUCGUUAUAGAUGAAUGUAUUAUCAUAUGUAUAUGUACGUAUAGCUAGCGUAAAAUAGAGGCAAGCAACUCCUUUGGUAGUUUGCAUCAUGCAUGAUGCAAGGUAUCCUUGUUACUUGUUUUCAUAUCCCCUUUCCAGAUAAGUGUGCGUACUCUUAAAAUCUUGGGAUUUGCGUCGUGAAAGAUUAGGCUAAUUAACAACUUAUGCUUAAUUAAUUGGUUGUUUAGCAAUUCCAAGACAAAAAAAACUGAUGUGAAUAACAUUAUUCUGGUAAAUAAACUGUAAAUGAAUAUUUAUCGUUUUGUACUCAUAAAAGCGUUUACUUCACAUGAUCGAAGGUGUUUAAAUAUGAAAAUAAGUUAUCUUUCGACGUUUAAACGUUUUUUUUAUUUUUCAUAAACUACUCUACAUACCGAUGAAGGAACAAAACUUGACACGAAUCGUUGAAAGUUUGAAACUGAGUAUGUGCAACUUAAUUACAGACUAUAGAAAUCAAUCUGACGGUGGUUAUUUGUUGAAGAAAUGACCGCCGAUGGAUUAAUGUCGGGAAGCUCUUAUAAAGAUUGAAGUAGAUGUCACAUGUUUCUCUUUAUUCUGCAGAAAAAGCAAAGAGCGUCUUUCUGGUGUGCAUUUUGGGUGUCAAUUAGCUUUAGCAUGACUUGUACUAAUCAUCGUUGCAGUAAAAAGAAGGUUGGCCGGAAUAUUUCACACAGAGACCUACGUACCUAGCUAGCUAUAAUCAACUCAUUCUAAAGUAAAACAAGCACUAGCUUAAUCACUUUUCAUUACUUAUAUAUAUAUUUCACUUCCUUGUCUCCUUUGCUUGUUAUUUCACUUAUUUGCUUUUGUAAUCGAUCUCAGCUGAAUUCUCGUCAUAGUUCAUGCACUAUGAACUUGUAUUAGAAAUUCAAAGUUUAAGACUACAAGCGGUUAAAAACCAAAAGAAGUCCAUUUGGACCGAUCAUAUAUAACGGAACGGGUGCAGUAGUGUACAUCUGGUCAGUAAUUAACUAAAAGAUUAAUAAUUGAUCAAAAUUAGAUUUAUAUUUAAGGAUUGAAAAUAAAAUAAAUCAACUUAAAAAUAAUUUUCUUCAUCCUUAGAUUUACAUCUAACGGUGACUGAUCAUGAAUCUCUUAGUUAAUUAGUGACCAAAGAACACUACUGAUAACGGAUGACAUAAUAACAUCAAGUGCGUGUAUUAGUUAUUAUCAUAAAACAUUAAUCAAUUACCAUAAAUGGUAAGAAACUGAAAUUGCGUGUCAUGUAUUCGAUCACUUGCUCCGUCGGUGUACAAAGAACUUUUAACUACGGACAAAAACAAUCAUCAUUUUGAAUUGGAUUAACAAAGGUAAGCACUAAGCUAGCUAGGUAGUGAUAGUGUUACGUAGGUGCUGACUAUUACUUCCGCAUUGGAGGAAUUGAACAAUAUUAAAGAGAGAUUGCAAGUAAACUGCCUGGUUUAGCGGAAACAAGCUGACUUUUACUUUGGGACUUUUGAGGGUUUGUGUAUGCCUCGAUUGGUAACAAGCGAAAACCUAAUGACAAAACUCACCUAAUUUAGUACUAAUUACUUCGUGCAUUUUAUAUUGAUCGAUCAUUGUGUUUCACACUUUCACCUUUUGACUCAUAGUGUUUGUGUGGCUAACUCGAGUAACAUAAAAACAUUAUCUAUCGAAUCACAUAUAAUUGUUAGUCCAUGUUCGAUGAUCAACAAAUGAUCAAUGAUAAGAGAUUAUUCAGUUAUUCAUCGUAUAUUGUAAGUUAAAUCAAUUACUUUAGAUAUUUUAUAACUACAGUAUAUCAAGCGGAUAAAGAUUCUUCAAAACAAGAAAAAUGUUACUACUUAUUAAACAUAAAGCUUACUGAUUAUGACCCGCUACCAUUUCAUUAAUUCUCGCUUGGAUUCUUAAAAAUUGCAAAUUGCUUCCUCUAUCUCAAUUCAAACGUGCAAACACAUUAAAACUCCAAUUAACUAUGGCGGAUUUUCAUCAAUAGUUAGGUAGCACGCUUGUUUAAGCAAUGGUACUUGAUCAGUUCAAGAUUUAAAAUAGGUUAUUUUCCCUAAAUUAACUACAGUAAUGAACAUCCUAAUGGCAUGAAAUCCUCUUAGUAAAAGUUAAAACCCUUGAAUGGAAAACCCAUGCAGAACCCAUGCCCUAUAAUAUUAUCCAGAAAAAACCAGAUUUGACCUGUCAGUCUGUUUCAAGUGUUAUUGGGCAUAGCUGGAAGCAUCACAACCCAAUCCCAUCCCCUCUUAACCUCUUUUAAAUAUAUGGAUGUGAAAUUCACGUCUUUUAAAUUGUAAUUCAUACUCUCAUUUUUUAUUUUUAGUCAUUAUUUACAUAAAAAGAUAAAAAUUAAGUAAUUAAAAACAAAAUUUAAGUUACAAAAAAUAAAAAAUAGAAGUGUUAAUUAUAGGCUGAUCAUAGUCACAGUAGUAACUAGUAACUACAUUAAUAUUUUGUAUAAAAAGAAACUAAAUUCAUAUUAAUAUUAUUGGUAAUUUUGGAUGUGGCAAAAUGACAAAUAGGUAACACUCAUAUAGGUCACUGAAUUAUAUAGAGGUCUCUAAAAUUAAUAAUAUCAACAACAUAAGGGUCAUAUGUCUCUGACUAUUGACCACUACUAGGGCAUUACUAAUCGACGGUCAUAAAUUUAUUAAUUUUUGGUUCCAUGGUUCUGAUUCCUCAAUUAGACUUCUCACGUCAACAAUAUUGGCAUGGACCCAAAGUGGAAAGUGACCAACCUUACACUUAUAACUUAUUCAUUUUCCUUUUAGUCAACAAUAUAUUCUUAUUCUCUCAUAGUCAUUUAGGGAAUGGAAUAUUUGGUAAAAUGAUACCAAAAAUAUAAAAAAACUGGUGUAAAAGACAAAACUUGUUUCCGUCUACCAUUUUGGUAAUUAAUUAACCAAAAUAGCAAUAUAUAUGAAACCUUGAAAAGAAAUCCAAACAAAUCAUUAGUUAACAUCCUCAACCAAUAUCUAUAACAUAAUAACAGACACGAACAACAAAUCUCAUUAAACUAUAACAUCGACGUAAAACAAUUCUUUAUUAUCAAUAAGUUGUACUCUUUUAGACAAUCAGACUCAACAAUUAAAACGAGAAGUACCCUGAUUAGCUUUAAUACCCAAGAUGAAGCACUCGAACUAUCAUUUUCGUUUUUCAUACAACUCAAACUAUAAUUUUCACAAAUUGCCAAACAACAAAUCUACAAUGUUUUUUCUUUAUUAACUUUGAAAUUACAACCUUGAUCAUUGUGGAGAGAGAGAGAGAGCACAAAACACAUCCUAGUCUGGAAGUCUCGUUUCUCGGGCCAUCGAUUCACGAAUAUCAAGGUACAUGGCAACCAUUUCCUGUUCUACCCUUUGGCCACAUUGUCCCUCUAUUUUCCUUUCUUUUUUUUUUUAAUUUUCAAUUCCCGAAAUAAAUACUAGUAAUUUCCGCUACAAUAUUAAAUUUCUCCGCAUAUUUCUGCCCAGUGCUUCUUUGCUUCCUCGAGAGAGCCAGCGAAAGCUCUCACAAAUAUUGUCCAUGGCUGCUUCCUCUUCUUCUGCUUCGAUCCUUGCCCUCUUCUUCACUCCCCAACAAUUCUCCUAGACCCUCCUCCAAACCCAUGUAAUCAAACUCUCUAUUCCCUUCUAUUUUUUUUCUUUCACAAUUCCACUAUUUCAUGAUUGCUCUGUUUCAUUUGAAAUGAGAAUUAUAUCACAACCCAAUUGGGUUUGUGUUUCUAAUGCUGAGGAGUGUUGGGUAAUUUUUGGGUUCAUUAUUGAAUUUUGGGUCUGUUUUUUAUUUAUUUUUAAGAUAUUUAAAUUGUUUUUGUGUUGUGGGGGAAGAGAGACCAGGUUCAAUGAGUUUGGGUUGGGAUCCAUGUUGGAUCUCUUGGGUUUUGUUUUAUUGUUAUUAUUAUCAUCUUGCUGGUUUUGAUUAGCAAGUGGUUUGGUUUGUGUUAAACUGAUCUUGGUUUCUGUGUUUGGUUUUGUUUUUUAAUUGUGGUUUAUUUUGAUUUUGUAGUUAGUCAUACUCAAUCGGGGUUGCUUAUCUGGAGGGUGAUAUAGAAGCUGUCCUGUUUAUAAUGCUGGUCUGUUGAUGUGGGAUUUUCAUGGGUUGAGCUACUCGAAACCGAUAUAAUGGGGAGUCUUAGUGAAGAAGAAUUCGGGUUUUUCGAUGCCCAUGAGGAGAUUGCAUCAGUGUCUGAUGCAAGUGGUGAGAACAUUGAGGUGUUGGAUACGAGUUCUAGUGCUGUGAGUUGGGUUCGGGAUAGUUUUCCUUAUGAUGUGUGGGUUAGAAGCCCUGGGAGUGUGAAGGAGAGACGGGUUAGGUUUCUGGAUUGGAUGGAAGUUAGUGCAGAGCAGAUUGUGAGGGAGAAUUUGGUGGAAGUGUCUAGUGAUGUGUCGAGGGAAAUAAGUAGAGUUAGAGAGAGUAGUGGGGCGGUGUUGAGAUCCUUAUCUUUCGAAGGUGAGUUCUCUUCAAGUCGCUCUUCAAUGUCGUUUUGGGCUAAUGAAUUUAGGGAUGGGAGUUUGAGUGGGAGAAUGGUGUGUAAUGGAGAUGAAGUGGGGCUGGAUGGGAAGGUCAGUGAAGGUCGAGAAGUUACUGAAGAGUCCGAGGAGCGCACUUCAUGUUCAUCGUCUUCCUUAUCUCAUCGACUGAGUGAAAGAAGAGCUGAAGAGAUUACUGAUAAGGGGGCGAUACUGAAGAGAGUUAAGAAGAAGUGGUUGAGUAGAUUGCGGUCCAUGACAUGCCUUGAUGAUAAGCAAAGGAUUGCUGACAGGUCACCGGAGAAUGAUGAUGAUACAGUUAUGGGGAUAAGGUCUCAUAGAAUGAAGGUUCGCCAUUCCGGGAAGCGGUUGAAGGAACUCUCAGCUCUUUACAUGGGGCAGGAUAUCCAGGCCCAUGAGGGUUCAAUUUUCGCCAUGAAAUUUAGUCCUGAUGGACAGUACCUAGCAAGUGCUGGUGAAGAUGGGAUUGUGCGAGUCUGGCAAGUGGUGGAGAAUCAAAGGUGUAAUGAACUUGACAUUCCGGAAAUAGAUCCAUCCUGCAUAUACUUCACCGUGAAUCAUCUCUCUGAACUGAAUCCACUAUUUGCGGAUAAAGAGAAAGUGAGCAAAGCACGUAGCAUGAGGAAAACUUCAGAUUCAGCAUGUGUCAUAUUCCCCCCUAAAAUCUUUCGGAUAGUUGACAAACCAUUGCAUGAGUUUCAUGGGCAUGGUGGUGAAGUUUUGGAUCUCUCCUGGUCAAGGAACAAUGUAAGUGAUUAUUUGAAUUGCACUUAACAUUUCAUGACUGUAAUCCAGUAAAACAUGACAGACUUUCAAUUUGGUUUUCCAUUGAUAUUUUUUUUUGUAAUGCAGUAUCUCCUGUCGUCUUCAGUUGACAAAACUGUUCGUCUAUGGCAAGUGGGAUGCACUGAUUGCGUCAAGGUCUUUGCCCAUAGUAAUUAUGGUGCGCUUCUGCCUCAUUUACCUGCGUUUUAAAAUAUCUUUACUUGUUGAGGCAGUAGCCAAUGAUGAUAUACAACAGCUAGAUCCUAACCACAAUGUGUUACAUGUAAUUGAAUUUAACUGCGAACUCUUUUCUUUAUGUUGUGGACUCUUGCAGUGACCUGUGUUCAAUUCAAUCCUGUGGAUGAUAAUUACUUCAUUAGUGGUUCAAUAGAUGGCAAAGUUCGCAUUUGGGGAAUUCCUUGCAGUCAAGUUGUUGAUUACAGUGAUGUACGAGAUAUAGUUUCUGCGGUGUGCUAUCGCCCUGAUGGGCAGGUUUGGUGAUUUUCUUGCCCUUUCAUCAUGUAGAGAUAUGAUGUAUGCUCAUUAUUUAUUGAUGUUAACCAGUACUACUGAUUUCUUGUGCAGGGUGCUAUUGUAGGCUCAAUGACGGGCAUAUGCCGCUUUUAUAAUAUAUCAGGUAUGCUGUGAUAUUUAUGAUCCCCCCUGCGGCAAAUGAAUGACAGUUUAAUCACGUAGGAAAAUAUAUUCAUAUUGAUGAAUUGGUUAUGUUUCUCUCGGAACAGAUAAUCAUUUGCAAAUGGAUGCUGAAAUAUGUUUGUACAGUAAAAAGAAGGCUCCCUGCAAAAAGAUAACAGGCUUUGAGGUAGCUAAUACUUUUGUAUUCUUCUUUUGGUUUCUUGUGUUUGUUACCUAUUCGUUAGGGAUCCAUUCUUUUUUCUUUUCUAAAUUAUGUUAUUAAUGCAGUAUUUCCCUCAUGAUCCUGACAAAGUAAUGGUCACUUGCGCCGAUUCACAAGUCAGAAUUCUUCAUGGUUUGAAUGUGGUUGGAAAAUACAAGGGUAUGUGCAUUUCGUAAGCUCUUUUCAUGAGAUUCCUUUGUCUGCAAACAAAUUUUACACUCCUUUGGCAUAAUUUUAUGCCACAUGUUUGUGAAUUUUAGAUGUGAUAUAUGACAUAUCCUUUUGCUAAACCUCAUCUCUCGUCUCUUGUUUAGGAUUAAAGAAUGCAGCAAACCUGCGAUCUGCCACUUUCACUUCAGAUGGGAAACAUAUAAUAUCAGCAAGUGAGGAUUCUAAUGUAUAUAUAUGGAACUGCAGUGAUCAGGAGAAAAGCUUUUUCUCUCAGGCAAAAAGUACUAGAUCAUGUGAGCGGUUCACCAUGGAUGCUUCCGUAGCAAUACCGUGGUCUGGUUUGAAAUGUGAGGCCUUAGAACAUGCAGGAAAAUUUGGUGUUGUGGAAAAUAAAUUUCCAGAAACUCUGCCUUUUUCUUCACCUGCAUGCUUUUCUCUGAGCCAAGAAUCUUUCCUCGAGUCUAUUCCCAAAGGAUCUGCGACUUGGCCUGAGGAGAAGCUUCCGACAUCAAGCCCCUUGCCAAAGUCAUCCACAAUGCACAGAUCUGAGUACAAGUUUUUUAAAACUUCUUGCCAGAGCACAUCGAGUUCCCAUGCGUGGGGUAUGGUUAUUGUGACUGCUGGUUGGGAUGGACGGAUCAAAUCGUUCCACAAUUAUGGGCUACCAGUGCCUGUUCGAUAGUAAAGUGCUUUGGCAUGGUUUCAAAGGAUUGUUCCUAUCACAGUUUGCAGGACACUCAACCUGUGAUGCGCUCUUCAGCUGAUUACAAGCUACAAAUCUAAUGGAUUGACGAGUGACUACAUUAUCUUCGGCUGCAUCAAUUGCCACAGCAGGUCCAGGUUGACUACUCUAGCAGGCAUGUGCUUGAUGGUUGGACUAAAGCAUUUGCUUCUUCAGUGGGUCCCUUCUCAGAUUCAGAGGUAACAGUGACUGAUUUAUGUCCUGACAAGUGGCAGUGAUUCAAUGGUUGCAACAUAAUCCAUUUUGGAAUGAGCAAGUGGCUGAAUUGAGGCUCCGUGGGAUGUUUUUGAUUUGCCGGUUUGCCGAAGUUGAUGUGGAAGCCAUUUGCUAGGCGAGGCCAACUUGAGAUAUCAUCCCUGUAUAAUUGCAGGUGCUCUGUGGGCCUUGUAGAACUUCUUUUGUUCUCUCAGAUGGGAUAGGGGAAUCAAGAGCUGGUGGCUGAAAUUUGUUUCUGAAAAAAAUGGUGGGGAACUUCACAAUACUAUCAUGCUGGCCGGACAGAAUUAUUGAAUUGUUUGUCUGCCAUUUUUUUGUACGGUCUCAUGGUGGGUGUAUGUGACCUUUGGUUAGCAGUGAUUGUUUAGGGCGUCAAUUUCCUCUAUAGUGGCUAGUUUAUUUCAGCAGCCAGGGGAUGGGUAAUCAGACCAUCCAAGCACGCUCUCGGGGAAGGUGUUUUCUGGCUGGAACGGUUGCUUUUGCUCGAAUCCAUGGUGGACGAGCAUUGUGAAAGUUGCGGAAUCCCCUUUUGCUAACAAACAUUGUAUAUUUAUACUCCUAGUUCAGUCUUACUCUAACAGUUGCUCAGAUUAGACUCCAGUAGAUAGGGCUUUUGUUAACAGGAAUUUACUUUGAGAUUUUGAUAAUGUAACUACAGUUUCAUCUUGGAGUAUUUAAAUGAUAUAUUCAUGUAGUUCUCUACAUUUUCAUAGCUAAGAACAACAAUGGAAUUGGAUAUGUUUUGCAAAACCACCAAUCGAGGUUUCGAUUUGCAUAUGAGGCGGCUUUGCCAUUAGCAAUGAAUGAAUAUGCAUAGAAGAAAAGAAUCUAAACAAACAGUUGAGAAGUGAGGCAGGACAUGUGAGAAAUCAAGGCAAUGGAGCACAUUGCAGGUAAAGAUAGCACUAUUAGGAGACAAUGGGAACAAACUAAUGACCAAUUAUGAAGAAAAGAGCAUAAAGAAGUGAUUUAGGAGAUCGAUUAUAAUUGGACAUCCAGAUUCUUCUCUUCUCAUCAUUACUUUUAUGAUCAAUCAUAAUUGGACAUGAUAUUAUUAUUUUUCCCUAAUCACUGAGUGCAAAAAAACAAAACGUACAAUUUUGAAAGAUUCUUGGCUGCUAAUACAAUUAUGCCAAGACAAGCUUCAUAUCUUGAUCUUAUGGACCUAUCCUUACUUCCAAAUAAAACCCAACGAUGAUGAUCAUGAAAUGCAAUCCACCAUAUGUAGCAGAGCAGUGAAAAAGAACUACUGCAUUUUGGUGUAUCUUGUUUUGCAGCCAGAGUUUGGUUCACUGUGGACGGUGGCGGAAUGGUGGUGAUGGUUUGGAACAGAGGCCAGGGCAAGGCGGACGAGAGAUGGGCCUAGGCGGAAUCGAUGCGGGCUGGGUCUGCGGGCUAAAGGGAUCCGUCAUUUAAAAAAAGAAAUAUAAAAUUUUUUUAUUUCGAAAUAAUUAUAUGGGGGUAAAAACGGAAAACAAAAAUCAACUUCCUGCGGCCUGGCGGGGAUGACACUAAAACUACCAGUGCAACGAGUGUCUCUCGCCGGCGGCAGUCGACGAACCAGACUCGGCCGUCAACGCCUGCUCUUCUUCAUCAGGUACUUUGUUCAACAAUCUUUCUCCAUUAUCUUCACUCCAAUUCAUGCUUUACGAUUCCAGUAGUAAUCAAAGUUUCAAAAAACGAAAAGAAAAAUAAUUCGGGGGUAUGUGUUAAUUUGCAUGCGUUCUUUGAACUGAUCGAUUUGGCUAGAAAUUUACAAAUGCUUAUUUGAUCCUAAACGUACUAUGUAAUCCAUUUCGAUCUCCGGUAGCUGUCGAUCAUCAGACUAACAAUCAAAUGAAUCUAACCGGCUGUAUUCAUGUGCGGAACUGAUCAAACAAAACUCGAUUGUAUAUAGAAAAACACAAGAGAUACCAAUUUGGUUGAAGAAAAAGAAACUCGAUCUCUUUGCACACAGACAUUUAUCAUUCAAAACCAACCCAUUUUAUUUACACCAUCACCUUCAUGCAUGCAUUGCAACGCCAAAAAAAUCCACACAUGCAAAUCGGAUCAGGUCUGAAUCCAAACCCCACAAACUCGAAACAAAAACAGAAAACAAACCUAGAGCAACAAAAACAAACCCCAGCUUUCACCUUCUUAAUAAUCAGACGGGGAGCUUGGCGACGUCGUUUUGGUGGGGAUGGCCGGACGUCGUCGGCGUGGAUGGGAUGAACAGCUGGGGGCGGUGAUCGCUGAGGUUGACGGAGCGAGAGAAGAGCAUGAGAGGGCGGUCGUGGGCCUCCUCGGGGUUGGUGGUGAAGUCGUUGUCGUCGUGGGUGGAGAGGUUGAUGCAUGCGCACCGCUCCAGCGACGUGAAGAAGGCCGAGGCCACGUGCGUCCCCAGCCAGCUCAGACACGAGCUCUGCUGGCUCUCCAUCGACGGCGACGAGAAAACGGAACGUCGACGGCGGCGAAUGUUGUUAAAAUAUGGGAUCUGAGAUUUAAUGCAGGGAGUGGUAGAGAGAAAGGGAAGCUCAAACCGAUGAGAAGGUCAAGUAUACGAAACAAAGCGCGUCCAUGGAUUAUUGCUUGGAAUUAGGGGAAAGACUGUUUCUAUUUAUGUAAUAGUUUUAUUUUAAAGGGAGGUUUAGAUGGGUAUACGAGGACGAAUGACUAUGAGUGCAAUUGUAACGCUCUGAUUUUGCACAAUUUCACCUCAUCACAUCGAGCCUGUUACAGUGUUUGUGUAUUCGUAGAGCAUGAGUAAUGGAUCUUAGAAUUCAAAUCGGAGCGUUACAAACAAUAGUGUAGGCUUCAGAGUCGAACAAUAGUGUUAGGGUCUUUCUAUGUUUCAUAGUUUCAUAUAUCAUAAAUCACAAGCAACCAAACCUCUAAAUAGGUUUAACAACAACAAAGUACACUGUACAAUAAUUUAGGGGUGGGCGCGGGUUGGUGUGGUGCGGGUUAGAGCUCAACCCUAAUCCAAUCUACUUGAAAAAUGAUUUGGCAAUGAGUAAAUGACACUUUAGUACUAAUUUUAAAGGUUUAUUGCCUAUUCCAAUGAAAAACUCUUUAUCAACCUCAUUCCAAUGAAUUCUAAUAAAAGGACGUCAUUACCCUUGACCUCAUUUAACUCUCUUUGUUUCUUACUUUCUCCUCUCUUUAUCCCGAUCAAAAACUCUCUCUCAUCUCCUCACUUUUCUCUCAUCUCAUUCUGACCUCUCUCUCUCUCCUCUCUCUCUCUCUCUCUCUCUCUCUCUCUACGUCACUUACUCGUCUNUCUCNCUUACNCUCGUACNCUUCUNUACUCNCUUCUCUACCUCUACUCUCUCUCNCUCUACUCUCUCUCUCUCUCUCUCUCUCUCUCUCUCUCUCUCUCUCUCUCUCUCUCUCUCUCUCUCUCUUCUUCUUCUUCUUCUAAAACCCUAAUACCAAUCCAACCAGUCAAUCACCAAAGCGUAUUGGAUUCCACUCCUCCGAUCCAAUUGCAAUCGAUCCGAGCACCGCCUCUGUUGGAUCGGAUCAACUCAAUUUGAGGACCUUGUGAAUCAAUCAUGGAUUCGAGUCGGAGAGCUGUGGAGUCGUACUGGAGGUCGAGGAUGGUCGACGUAGCUACCUCCAACGAGGACAAGGUCGCGCCGGUCUACAAGUUGGAGGAGAUUUGCCAGCUCCUGAGGUCAUCGCAUGUCAGCAUCGUCAAGGAGGUCUCUGACUUUGUCUUGAAGCGUCUCGACCAUAAAAGCCCCAUUGUUAAACAAAAGGUGUUGUCCUAUUUCAUUCUUCUUGUUUAGAUCAAACUGGUGAAUUUCAUGUUUGAGUCUAAAUGUGUUGCGUGCGAUAUGAAAUCAUGUUAAAAAUUGAAAUCAAGUUUACUACCCCCAGUAAAAGUUUAAUGAGGGUAGUAAACUUUAUUUUUUUGCAUCUAAGUUGUUCUUCCUCUGUUUUAGUCUGUAUUAUGGCCUUGAAAAUAUUAUUUUGCAAGUUUACUACCCCCAAUAAAAGUUUACUGGGGGUAGUAAACUUUAGUUUUUCGAAUCUAAAUUGUUCUUCCUCUGUUUUAGUGAGUAUUAUGAUCUUGAAAAUACUGUUUUGCAAGUUUACUACCCCCAGUAAAAGUUUACUAGGGGUAGUAAACUUCAUUUUUUUCUCAUCUAAGUUGAUUUUUCUCCGUUUGUAAUAUUGAAUUAUAACAUUUGAGCUAUUGUUUUGCAAGUUUACUACCCCCCAGGUAAAAAGUUUACUAGGGGUAGUAAAUUUUAUUUUUGCAUCUAAGUUGAUUUUUCUCCCGUUUUAAAAGUUUACUAGAGGUUAGUAAAUUUUAUUUUUUCGCAUCUAAGUUGAUUUUUCUCCUUUUCAAUGUGAAUUAUGGCAUUGGAGCUACUGUUUGCAAGUUUACUACCCCCAGUAAAAGUUUACUAGGGGUAGUAAACUUUAUUUUUUCGCAUCUAAGUUGAUUUUUCUCCUUUUCAAUGUGAAUUAUGACAUUGGAGCUACUGUUUUGCAAGUUUACUACCCCCAGUAAAAGUUUACUACCUCCAGCAAAAGUUUACUAGGGGUAGUAAACUUUAUUUUUCUGCAUCUAAGUUGAUUUUUCAUUGUUUUAAGGUGUAUAAUGAUCAUGGAGAAACUUUAUUUUGAGUUUACUACCCCCAGUAAAAGUUUACUAGGGGUAGUAAACUUUUUUUUUCGUACUUGGGUUAAGAUCACGUAAAUUCCGAUGGCAUUUAAAAAAAUCCAGUGAGAUUUCCGGAAAAUUCCAGCCACCGGAUGCUGGCAAUUUUCCGGCUGUCGAAAAAUUCCGGUCACCGGUGACCGGAUUCCGGCGGCCGGAGUUCGGAGUGCGGCGACCGGAAUGCGGCCGCCGGAGCCCGAUGUGCUUCCGGCAAAGUCUUCCCUCCAUCUUUUUCACUUUUUCUCUUUAAGUAAAAGGUAAGGGUAAAAAAGUCUUUAAAAAUAUAAUUUUAUUAUAUUUUAAUAAAGAUUUGUGUAUUUGGGCUUAAAAUAAGUACCUUGUAUUCAAAUGGGCUAAUAAAAAAGAUUAUCAUUGUAAUAGGGUUUGACUUUUUCUAUUUUGUGCAUUAGGGCUUUUUCCCUUUGGCAAUUAAUUCUUCAAACCGUAUCCAUAUUCCAAAAAGCCUAAUCUAGAUAUCUGGGUGACCCGCAUUCCGGAUUGGUUUCGGAUAUGAUUCAACCCAUAUUAUUUAAAAUAUUUUUCUUGAAUCAAUCUAACUCGCUUUCCAUGCGAGUCUGCAAGAGAGACGAAAGUACUGAGAUAGAUAAAAAUGAGAGACGGUGGGAACCCUAGCUAAGAGAGAAGCCAGAGGCGUUUCCAGUUCUUUUAUCGUCGUCAAGGGAUAAGAGUUGGGCCUGAAAUGUUAUGGGCUCAAGGUUUGAAACUAUAAAUCAAAUCAUAAUCUAUUUAUAGUUCAUCAAAUUUGUAUUACAAAUAAUAUAAUUAAUUAAUUAAUUAAAACUGGUGUGGGUUGGUUUGAAUUAGAUUGAAAUUUUCCCAAUCCUAAUCCAGUCCGCUUUCAUGCCGGUUGGAGUUUUCUCAAUGAUUCGAUCCACUACAACCGAUGCAGUUUGAAAUAAGGCUUGAACCGGUACUGUAUGGUGCGGUACCUACAAUAAUUAUCAAGUAACCAACCAAACAAACAUAUUAGUGUAUAACAACAAAAUAUGAUCACAGUAGGGCAAGACUCAGAUUCUAUCAACAUCAGCAUCCUCAAACUCUAUGUUAUCAUCGCCGUUGUUGUCCUCGUCAUCAUCAUCACCCUCAUUAGGUCUGAAAUUGUCAUUCAACUUUCCAUUAGCUUUGAGCGAUCGUGCCUCGUCGGGCAUGUACCUGUGGAUGACACUAGCCUUACCAUCCUGGUAGUCUCUUAAAUUUACGAGGACAAUAUCGUCGGUAGAGAUCCAAACCUUCUUCUGUAACUUGCCAGCGAUGUUGCGGAGGCGAGACAGCGAUGUUGCAGAGGCGAGUCACGCCGUCGUGGCACUUGACAUCUAGUCGGCUGUUGCCUAACAUGCGUGUGACUUGCCCGUAUUCCGUGCCAUCUACUUUAAAGAGAAGCUCUCGCUUCUCAUCUUCGGCUUUGUUUGUUCUCAUCUUGCGGUUCUUUCCUCCUUUUCCUUUGUUCUUCGGCAUCUUGUUUUCUUCUUCAACUUAUACUUCUUUUUCUUCUUGGUCCUGUUUGUUGUGUUCUUAUAUAUAGGAUUUUCUUUGGUCGCCAGGUGAAAAAGGAAAUCCUAGAACCACAAGGAUUAAAUAUCAUCACAUGUUGCUUUGGGAGAAAGUUUCGUUUCAUUUCAUUUAUGUACGACAUGUCGCUCUUUGUAAUAUCUCCCUUGACAAUUCGAUUGGCCAUACGCGAUCCCACGUGUCAUGCCACGUGGCGUUGAUCUUUCUAACAGCUAUAACGGAUAAGGAGUUGAAGAUUGAAACAGAGGAAGCAAAAACCAUGGCUGCUUCUCUAUCAAUUCCACUGUCGACCCGGUUCUCUCCGGCAAAACGUCAUCGUUUAAAUGCGCUAGAGCUCCGUUCACCUCUCCGUGUUUGUUGCUCUGGUAAUUAGUUCAUCUCAUUUUAAUUGUUUUGAUUAAACUCUGAAAGUUAUAUUGGGAUGUGACUUAAAAGACAGUUGCUUUGAUUUUAGGUUUCUCUAAGAAUAAAAGAUAUAGAACUUUGUUGGUUUUUGUUGCAGCUUCUAGGGAUGGUGCUGAAUUGGAGGGAAAGUUGCCUCAGUUGAAGAAGCAGCUAAAGAAUGUAGCUUGUGGCAUUCUGGCUGUUUGGGCUGUAACUACUGCCUCACCUGUUAUUGCUGCUAAUCAGGUUCAGAACAUAGUUUAGCUCAUUCUGAAUUUACUGACUGACUUACUCUGUUAAUUUACUGAUGAAAGGAACCUUAAGUGACUUUAGGGGAUCUUAAUCCUGUUCACCUUACUAAUGACUAUCUUUUUCCAUUAUAUAUAGAGAGAUAUACCAAUGGACUACUGAAUGUCCCAUUGGAGAUUAUAAUUUGAGAUAACAUUUUGAAAGAACCAAACAAAACUAGGACAUACAAGUGAUACAACCAGCUAAGUAGUUUACGAGCUGAUAGAAUAGUUGGACUAGGAAAUACAGUUUGGUAUGCAACUUCAGCUGAAUGCCGGAUCUCAAAGAAUCUGUUGACUGUUGCCUUUGUAGCAAAUUUGGUUGAAAGCUUAGCAUGAUCGAAUAAACAGCCGAGAAAUAAACUUUGUUUUAGUGAGUAACCCAUAUAGGUAUAUACCAUAAUACCAAUUCACUUUAGCAACCUUGCCUGGGAAUAGCAUACUAUGUAGCAUCAACAGUUUAGAACUCCUGAUUUUCCCGUACCAUUUUAUGGUAUGAAUUGAAAAUCAAAUACUUUGCACCACAUUUUACUAUCUAGCUAGGUUUAUAAGUAUUCUAUCGAGUUAGGUUCCUGUUUCCUUAGGCUCUCAGGAUAUGGUUGUUAAAUUAGUUGAAGCUGAAAUUUCACCCUCCAAAGUAGUUAUAUAUGGUAAUGACAACAGUGAAUUGAAGACUACUAGUUUAUGCCUUGACUUAUGAUCAUGGAAGUUACUAAUUAGAUUUACAUUAAUUUUUGCAUCAAUCAGAGGCUGCCUCCAUUGUCAACUGACCCAAAAAGAUGUGAGCUUGCGUUUGUUGGUAACACGAUAGGUCAAGCAAAUGGAGUUUAUGACAAGGCAAUUGAUCUCCGCUUCUGUGAUUUCACAAAUGAAAAGGCCAACCUGAAGGGGAAGAGUCUUGCAGCAGCACUCAUGUCUGAGGCAAAAUUUGAUGGUGCAGACAUGACAGAAGUUGUAAUGUCAAAGGCUUAUGCUGCAGGAGCUAGCUUCAAGGGUAAGAUUGCGUAUUGUCUACCGUUACUGUCAAAUGUAUGGAUCAAAAUAUGGUUAGUUUAUAAACGAGCAAAAUUUUCGUUGUUCUUUACAGGUACAGACUUCACAAAUGCAGUUCUAGACAGGGUUAACUUUGAGAAAGCCAAUCUACAAGGAGCUUUAUUUGUGAACACUGUGUUAUCAGGCUCCACUUUCGACAAUGCACAACUUGAGGGUGCAGUGUUUGAGGACACCAUUAUAGGAUACAUUGAUCUUCAGAAAAUUUGUAGAAAUACAACUAUCAAUGAAGAAGGAAGAGCUGUUCUGGGGUGCCGAUAACAAUUUUCUCACUAGUAAUUAUCGAGUUUCUUUGUUAGCUGAUACAGUGAGAUCCAUCUGUUGAAGAAGAAGAAGAAGCAACCUCUGGUGCCUCAUGUAUUUCAAGUUUACUUUUUGCUUACUUAAGUGUAUAUCCAUAUAGAAAGCCUGCUUUGUGUGUAUUAAGUGUUUGCAUAUAGUGGAAACAGGAGGCUUUCUUCUUUUUAUGAUUAUGUUUUCCAUUCCGAACAAUACAAAACAAAAAGAAUUUAUAUUGAGAACUGUUCAUCAAAUUCUUUAAAUAAGAAAAAGGUAGUUAGAUCAGAUUGCACAUCACCAACCAACUUCGAAGCAAACCAGUUAUUGUUUUUUUUUUUUUUGAAAUGCUUAAACCUGUUAUUAUACACAUAGUUAGUGUCUAUAUAGAAUUCUCAUACAUUAUGCUCAAUUAUGUAAAAUAUAUUGUUUAGAUUCUUGAGAAUGGAAAGUAUCCAAUGCUCCUUCCAGGAUCGGUGAACGUGUUCUCUACUCCCCAGUCCUUAAAGCAUAUAUAUAAACACAGGGACUAAACCACUUGGUUUACCAACUCAACAAGUUUCUAGUUCUUGAAAGACUAUGAAAGUGACCCUCCAUUCUUCAGGGACAGGUCAAGUUAGAUGAGGCCUGAUAGCAACAAUUCCAUUCGACAUGUACAAGUUUGACAUCUCGCAUCAAAACUCCUUUGAAUUCAUCAUGAUUUGAUUCCUGCAUAUACUUAGUAUAUGAUGUUGAGAUAAUAUACCCAGUUUCGUAGAAAUGUCAUCUCCCUUUCAUCGUUUCUUCUACCUAAUUUCAAUCUGAACUUGGACGCAGGCAACCAAGGACACAAGAAAUUAAGAAAUUUAAGUGCAACAGUGAUCUUUUAGCCGCAAAUCUUGAAUUGCAGAAUAAUGAACGCAUUAAUAUUUUUAAGCUGCAUGUGUAUAUAUAUAUAGCUAUGUGAAAAUAGUGGUUGAUCUAAUUUUAAUGAAUACUGUACUUUGGAAAUUAGCUAACACUGUUAUAUAUAAUGUACCAACCAUUCCAGAUCAACACCUAAAAUUCUCUAUUGGUGUGUGUUUACUAUGCAGCCAGUACCUAUAUAUCCAUGUCAUAGACUUCUGAACGGACCGUCAAAAAUGAACCGACAAAUGACCAACUCUGCAAGUCUACAUCUCCAUUCCAAACCAUUCCUCAUAUGCAUGCUAACACCCAACAAUCUUCCCUUUUCACCUCAUCAUCUAUACUAAGCUCGCUAGCUAGUUACAUAAAAUGGGAAAAAUCAAACUCAACGACUCAGAAUUAAAGGUAGCUCUCACUUACUGUGCUUUCACACUAGAUCCUUGACCUACUCAAACCCACUUACCAAAGCCAGUGGCUUACCUAAGCUUGUUUUGUUUUGAGUGGCCAUGAGCAGCCCUAUUUAUGUUUGAAGACUCUUACAAAAGAGUUGUGCAUAUAUGUGGUACUAGUAAGAACUCUUGUGGAGGAGAGAGAAGCUUUUGGAGCAUACUUGAUAUCCUCUUUGUAAUAUUUCUUGCUCAAAUGAGUAUUCCAGCCGCGACAGUUGUUUUGGCUGGUGCAUGCUGGCUAGCUACUGCUGCAGAUCAAUCUGAGAUACUCAUUUGAGCAAGCAACGUUAGAAGCAGAGGAAGUUUUGAUAGAUUAAAACAUCCAUGUACUUGAUUAGAGCAUUAUAUCAGAGACGAUCAGAUCGAUAAGCCAUCUUUGUCUUCUUUGCUGGCUGCACUAAUUGAGAUCUGUGGAAGAUAUAUGAUAAACAGAUAAGUGAAUAGCCUUACAUUUCCUCUUGCCAUAGCUAAUGCAUAUGUACAGUAGUAUUUUGUUGUUGUUGGUUUGCUCACCUUGAUGAUUAAAAUUAAGAUAGUAUCUAGCUAAUUUCACCAAAAAGAUCAUUUUAGCUUCAUUUUAAUUUGUUGUGUUUUAUAGCUUAGAUUAAUUUUGAUCAUCAUGAAUUCAUGGAAAUCUUAUUUCUCAGUAACAUGCUUAAUAUAUACCUGUAUAUAUAGGUAAAGAUUUCCUGGAAAUCUUUUUUCUCAUUAACAAGCUUAACCUCCUAGCUAGUUAGCCUAGAAAUCUCAGCAUGCAUAUAUGCUAAGCUAGCUGAUUUUCUUACAAGGAAAGUCAUUCAAAGUGCAUGUGGUGAUUAGUUUCUGUUGGUUCUUUGGAUUAUUCAAAAUAGGGUAGUUUCUAUUGGUUCUUUGGAUGAUUCAAAGUAGGUUAGUUUCUGUUGGUUCUUUAGAUGAUUCGUUUAUAUAUAUAUAUACACAACCGGACGGGCGGUGGGCUCCCAGAAUGUGGCAGACCCUUCUUAUUUGAGAAUGAGGGUGUGACUUGUUCCUUAUAUUGUCUGUCUCCGAGAAGCUAAUAUCGUCUACUCAUUUAUUAUUUAUUAUAAAUAAAUAAAUACACGACCAAGUAGGCUUCUUUUUAACAACCAUAUUGUGAUCUCAUCAUCAUUAUGCAAUACUAAUUGGAACAUGCAAAUUCUAAUUAGAACAAAAUUCGACUUAAUUAAUAAGAGCAUUAUGUUAUUACUAGUCUUAGUCACUUAUGGAUUAAAGUAUAUCUGAUCCAUAAGAGUUAAAGAGUCCAUUAGCAACCAUUAUCUGUGUUGGUGAUGCAUAUGGAAACGUUAUAUGAGGUUUCUUUGGUUACUAAGUCGUGUCUCUGUGGAAGAACAUUUGGAAGGGUACGUCAAUGUGUCUCUAAAACUAAGGUGAUUUGGUCCUUGUUCUCUCUACAACAAGACAUUCAGGUCAUCCCAUCUAUGGUGUCUAAAGCUAGCAGAGAGGAGAAGACAAAAGCUAAGAACUCGUCAGAUGUAGACCGUCUAGCUGAUCUGUUAGGAGCUAUAAAAAUCAACGAAGGUAUGUUCAUGAUCCCAUUAAGUACAAUAAGUUCAUGUAUAGAUAAUAACUAAUAAGAACGUGUUUAUGCAUAUGUUUGUGAACGAUUUUGUUAAGCUCAUGUAGAAUUUACGUUCUUUUGCUCAGAAUCUCAUCAGAUCAUCAAGCAAUAUAGCAAUCUGGAUUCUCAUCUCCAUAGCUUGAUAUUGCUCAUUGUUUUCUCAGCCACCCUUAUUGCAGUAUGUGCAGAAAUACGCUAGCAGAGUUCCAAUCCCACAUGUCUCAACAUGUUAUAUUCAAGCUCUCUGGUCAAGAGAAGGGACUGUCGUGGAUAUGAAGUCGAUUGGACUAAAGAUACUUCGCAUGUAGGCGGAGGAAUAAUACCGAGCCCCGUAAGCCCUGUACGACAACAAGGAUUCAAAUGUGGUAAGACGGUAAGACUGUAGCUUAGCAUAUAUAGAAAUGUAAAUAUUGUUUUUCAAUAUUUUUUUGGUUGUCGGAGACGUACGUGACUGACUGCCAUAUAUACUUCUGUACGAUAUAUGAUGUAGGUGCUUGCUGGGCUGUAGCAUCGGUGGCGGCAGUAGAAUCGGCUACCAGAAUCAGUUCAGGACCUGAGGUAUCACUUCCGCCACUUUCAGUCCAACAAAUUCUGGACUGUGCCCGCGGUGACGGUUGUAGAGGAGGAUUGGAAACUGAUGCUUAUUGUUACAUAAUAAAGAAUAGAGGACUGGCAAGCGAAGAAAGAUACGGGUCCACGGAGAAGAAUGGAAUAUGUGACAAGAGCCGAGCAAGUCAGGUUGUCGGAGGUAGCAUCAUGGCAUUCGCGCUGGUACGUCCACAAACGGAGACGGCGCUCGAGGAAGCCCUCUGCCGGGGACCAGUGACCGCUGGAAUUGCUGCAAACAGCUUAGACUUUGUUAAAUAUUCAGGCGGAAUAUUUCGUGGGGCUUGUGGGGUGGAAAGCGACCACGCUGUCUUAGUGGUCGGAUAUGGAAAAGAUGAUGACGGUACGAAGUAUUGGAAGAUUCAGAACUCUUGGGGAAAGAGUUGGGGGGAGGGAGGGUACAUGAGGAUGUCCUACGAGGCUGGAGAGGGAUGUGAAAUUACGCAGAAUGCUUCUUUUCCUUUGGUGAAUGUUACAGAUUACGAGAUCAGAUAGAUUAGAUAUAAUGAGACUAGAGAUACAAAGAUUAUACUUAAUCUUUUCCGGAAAAUUCUGUAUGCAAAUCAACCUCCUAAGUUAGCCUAGAAAUCUCAGCAUGAUGCAGAUAUGCUAAGCUAGCUAGCUGAACUGGAUUCUGGUUUUCAGCCUCGGUCUAGACUUGAAGUGCUAUGGUGUACGUGUUGUUCUUUGCCCCCAUAUUCUCAUGAUAAUUGAUACAAGAGGUUCUGUCUAGGUUGGAAAUGUUGGUGGGUUUGCUUUUCAUUUUGCAAUUCCUUCUCCAUCAUGGCAAGUAAAGAUAAUUCUCUCCCUACUUUCCAAUCAAGGUACACCCAAAACUGUUUAACUAGCUAGCUUUUACCAACAACUAUAGUAAAACCAAACUGAAAAAUCUAGUCACUUUGUUUGUUAAGCAGACGACACUAAGCUGUGCUAAAAGGAUAUUUUCCUGACUAUAUUAAGGUAUAUAUAAAUCCAAGAAGCAGAUGUAAAGGAAUGUGAUGGAACAGAUUCAAAGGUAGAGUUCUCUGAGACAUGCACAGUUCUACUCAAGUACUUAACCCUCGACAACAAGCUAGAUAAGAUUAUGUCAUACUCGCCCGAUUCCAAAGUAAAGCAUCUAGAGCUCAAAUACUUAUACUUCACCAAUGCUACCCCAUUGUCAUAUCCACCAUUGUUCUUCUUCUUCACCUCCCCAACGUACGCAUCACUACUACUCAUCAUGGAAAAUCGUCGGCCUGAUAUCACACUAACCAGAGGAAGCACUAUCGUUUUGCUGUUUCUUGCCUCGAUCUUCAAUGUUCAAGGUAUGCCUCAUCAAACGAUCUAUGAUCUAUCUCCGUUCCUCAUGCUAUAGAUAUGUUAGACAUUUCAAUCUAGUAGGAGUGAUUUAUUGACAUGAAUAAUGACUACUUAACUAAUAUAAACAUUUGUCUAGGAGUGCAAGGAUCUAUAGGGGUGAACUAUGGCACGGUGGCGAACGACCUCCCGCCACCGUCCCAAGUCGCGCACUUCCUUCUACAAUCCACCAUCAUCAACCGUGUUAGGCUCUUUGACACCAACCCUCAAAUACUCCAAGCCUUUGCUCAUUCCGGCAUUCCCCUAACAAUAACGGUCCCCAAUGACCAAAUCCCCCACUUCACAAAACUAAGGUUUGCCCAAAAUUGGCUCAAUACCAAUGUCAUACCAUACACCCCGGCCACCAACAUAGUCCGCAUCUUGCUAGGAAAUGAAGUGCUCUCCACCACCAACAAGUUGUUCAUUGGGAAUUUAGUCCCUGCUAUGCAAACCCUUCACAUGGCACUUGUAGAUGCCUCCUUGGACCGUCAAAUCAAAGUCUCUACUCCACAUUCUCUAGGCAUUCUCUCAAGCUCAAGUCCACCAUCCUCAGGUAAGUUUAGGCAAGGCUAUGACACCCAUGUCCUUAAACCACUACUCACUUUUUUGAGAGUCACUAAGGCUCCUUUCAUGGUUAACCCCUAUCCCUAUUUCGGAUACUCGGGCGACACGCUCGAUUAUGCACUUUUCCGACCAAAUGCCGGUGUGGUUGAUCCCAAUACUAAACUUCUAUACACCAACAUGUUGGAUGCCCAAUUAGAUGCUAUAUAUUCAGCUUUAAAGGUUGUGGGCUUUGCGGACCUCGAAAUUGUUAUAGCCGAAACAGGCUGGCCUUCGAAGGGUGAUGCAGGCCAAGUUGGAGUUGACCUAGAGAGCGCAGCCGACUACAACCAAAAUCUCAUUCGUCACAUGACAUCCGGUAAUGGUACCCCGUUGAUGCCAAACAGGACUUUUGAGACCUACAUAUUUGCCCUCUUCAAUGAAAACCUCAAGCCCGGCCCAACAAGCGAGAGAAACUUUGGGCUUUUCCGACCCGACAUGACACCGGUCUACAAUGUUGGCGUCCUCCGGCACACGGUAGCUGCCGCAACUGACUACCAAACUAAAAAUGUUCCCUUUUUCAUGACAUCAUUUUGUAUCUGCUUAUUUGGUUUGUGGACUUGGAUCUAACAGGCUAGUUCGUCUACACCGGGGAAUGAAAGCCCAAGCCCAAAGCAAACUCCGUCGCCGCUGCAUGCAGGAAAACAAUAUUGUUUGCCCAAAAAUGGGGCAGACACAGAGGCCUUGCAAAAGAACAUUGAUUAUGUUUGUGGGCUAGGAUUGGAUUGUGGCCCGAUUAAGCAAGGAGGGCCGUGCUUUAUGCCUAACACAGUUAGAGCUCAUGCAGCUUAUGCCAUGAACAUAUACUAUCAAGCAAUGGGAAGGAACGGCUAUGAUUGCGAUUUUGAGCAAACGGGAGCCACCACAACCGUCGAUCCAGGUAAAGUUCUUCUUCUUCUUUUUUUUUUUGGUUACAAAAAGUUCUUCUUCUUCUUUUCUUUAUAAGCAAACCAUUUAUCUUCAUUGUUGUUGUAACUCUGAAUUUUUUCUAUACCAGGCUAUGGAAAAUGCAAGUAUUGAUGAUGGAGAGAAUUGCAAUGCUGAAGAUAUAUUACCUCCACCUUAGUAGCCCUUUCUAUGUUUACCUUUUUCUAUAUAAUGAAUUCAUAGCUCAAGAUUGUAAGAUAGACAUCAACUUUGUCAUUUAGAAUGCUAUAAUGUUUAAAGAAACAUGUAGUAAAACUAUAACUGUUUGUUUGUGAAUAUCAAUUUUGUUGUAUUUGGGAGAAAUAUGAACUCGAUCAGCUUACUAUCAUGAAUAGUCAUUAUAAAUUGAAAGUAACCGUUUGUUAUGCUUUUAGUUUGGCAGCUUGAAAGUGAUCAUUGUAAAAUAACACGAGACCAUAUCGAUGAUUAAGAUAUAUGACAAAAAUACAGAUGCAAGAUGAUUUUAGCAUAUAAAUGUCUAAAAAUACUGAAAAUUCUUAUAUGCACUACGUGUAUUUACACGAUAUAAUCAUAACCGUUCAUAAUAAUUUAUAUACUUGAUCAUUAUGUUUCUAUAUUAUUUUCUCUAAUCUUAAUUAUCUAUGUAUAUAUGUGAAGAUAUACGCAGUACACUGAAAUUGUUCUUAAUACCGGAUGUGCAUUGCACGUGAGCAGGGAGAUUUGUCCGCGCAACAGCAAACACCGCACCCUUACACAGCAAGGCAGAGGAAGCAGACGCCUGGCAGACCAUCGCGUUAGUAAAACUUCAGUGCUACAAGUUAAGACGGCCCAAAUUACCAUUUUUGUCCUCUUAGAUCGGACCAACCCCUCGGGAUCUCAAUGCAAUUUGACACUAGUUACAUAAACGCCCAACUGAUCCACUGCAUGCCAAGCACCUUAACUUUCUCUAUUCACCGUCGGAUCACUACACUAUUCGCCAAAACUAUACACGCGUACAGAUCAUCCGUCUUCACCGCACAGCCCACGGUACAGACGCCCGCACCCAAUCCCUGCUCUCCAGAAAUCUAAUACCCUAUAUGACCACUUCACCCUCUGCCCAUAUAUCCACGUGCAUGGGCAGAACAGUCAUUCUCUCACUCUAUACGGUGCGCUGAGUCCCCCCACCGGCGCUCGUGAAUUCCCUCUGUUUGUGAAUUGAUCAAAUUCUAGGGUUUUGAAAUCUCCCACCGCUUUCUUUUGCUCUCCAAUUUCCUCUUACUUGGUUUAGUUUUCGAAUUAAAAUUGUAGCCGAAACCGAAAUGGGAGGCGACUGGCAGCAGCUGCUCCAAUCGGUUGUCCUCGGCCUCAUUUUCUCCUACCUACUCGCCAAGCUCAUCUCCAUAGUCGUCUCCUUCAAGGACGAAAAUCUCACCAUCACCCGCGCCGGCACCGCUCCGCCCGAGCCCAGUCCCUCCCGCCCCGACACGGCCCGCUCCGCCGACUCCGCCGCGCUGCUCCACGAGGCCGAUUCGGUCGUCGCCGAGCACGGGAGCGUCAGGAGCAGCGAGGUUGGGAGCGACGAUGACUGGGAAGGCGUGGAGAGUACGGAACUGGACGAGCUGUUCAGCGCCGCUACGGCGUUUGUGGCAGCGGCCGCGGCGGAGAGGACGAAGGUCUCGACGGAGAAACAGCUGCAGCUUUACGGACUUUACAAGAUCGCCACCGAGGGACCAUGUAGCGUGCCGCAGCCGUCGGCGCUGAAAAUGACGGCUCGCGCCAAGUGGUGAGAGCUCAGUACUGUUCUAUUGAUCUUGAUGUGAUAUUUUGUUUAGGGUGAUAUUUUGUUUAGGGUUUAGGAUCAGGAGUUUCGAGGUUUCGUGAAUUGAUAUUUUUAAUUGAUGAUUUAAACUAUAGAUUUUUGAGGUUUUGAUAUGUGGUAGGCAAGCAUGGCAGAAACUAGGUGCUAUGCCUCCUGAGGAUGCAAUGGAGAAGUACCUUGAUAUUGUUUCUGAGCUAUAUCCUACUUGGGCUGAUGGUUUGAUUGUGGUGAGUAAGUCUCGAUUUGUUUUUAAUGUUUUGCCGUAUCAGUAAUGCUGUGUGGUUACUUACUUCCUGUUUGGUUUUCUUGCUGGCUUGUUUCUGUAUUGCUAGAAGAGCAAAGGUGGAGAUGGUAGCUCGGGUGGUAAUGAUUCUAAAGGACCAAUGGGGCCGGUUUUCAGCACUUUUGUUUAUGAGGAGGGAUCUGAAAUUGAUUUGUAAGCUUCUCACUACAUAUGUUUUCUUCUGCUUUAAGUUUUACCGAAACAGUCAUAGUCAUGUUCUAGAACCCAGGAAUGCACUAGUAUUAUAUGGUGUCUUAAGUCUGUAGUUAUAUCAAUUUUGUUUUUCACAAUGCUCUGAAAAUAGUCAUCUGAAAUGAAUGAGCUAAGUAUAUCAUUUUUUAUUGUUCCCUGUCAUUAGUUAAUACAAAUUUUUUUUUCGAAAGAAAAAUUAAAAAAAUCAGGAAGUCAUGCUAAAUUGAAGUUGUUUACUUUGCAGCAAAAUGGAUGCGAUUCAUGCCUUUGCUAGAGAAGGAGAAGUGGAUAACUUGCUUAAAUGCAUUGACAGUGGUGUUUCAGUAGACACAAAGGGUUUGGUUCUUCCUCUAUCUUGCUGUGCAGCUUUACUCAAGUUCUUCUCAUCAUGAUCAUCCGUAUUGAUUACUUGAAUGUUGCUGUAACUGUUAACCGAUAGUACAUAUGUAGUGUGUUUCUGGGUUGUGAUCAGAGUAGCGUUACUCAUGAACCAGCUCUUAGGGGCUGUUUCUUGUUACGAGCCAGAUAUGAAGCUUAAUCCAUGUCUAGUUCCCUAAAAUAUAGCUUUGAGUACCACUGUUAGGAUCCUGUGGAAAUAUGAGCAAUUGAGGUUGUCGUCAGUUGUCAUCAUACUUAAUUGAAUGUGGAAAAAAUAUAUCAAGAUUAAGGUUGUGAAUAGAACCACUGCGGCAUGCGGAAAGAAUGAAACUCCAGUUUUAGUAUGGCUUGGUGGUAAAUGUGCUUACCUCAUAGGGAGCUGGGUGUGGAACUUUUGUAUGUUCUUUCGUAUUUUGUAGGUAGUAAGGUAGAGCUUAUGUUUUGUUAAUUCAUGACAAGUGCUUACUACAUUCCUUAGUAUUUUCUUCUAUUGUCUGUCACCUCUUUCCUUCACCAUUGAGAUAUUAAAAUCUUGCAUUAUUUUCAUUGAAACCACUUAAAAUGGAAUCUGGCCAAAAGUUUAUAGAGACUCUUUUUGUAUGGUAUAUCUCCGUAGUUGUCAAGCCUGGGAUGCGUAAUUGUUAUCUGUGCUGGUGAUAUCACCAUCUGAAGUAGCUUUUGUGAAAUGAUUUCAGAUAGUGAGGGAAGGACCCCAUUGCAUUGGGCUGUUGAUCGUGGCCACCUACACAUGGCUGAGAUGCUUGUUAGCAGGAAUGCUGAUGUUAAUGCAAAGGUAGAUUAAACUUAUAAGCAUCUAUUUUAUGUUCCAAUCUUGCAAUCCAAUUCCAUCUUGCUUAUGUUAUUUCAUUUUACAUAAGCUAAAGUUCUGUGUUGCUUGGUCUUGGAAGGACAAUGAGGGCCAAACUGCAUUGCAUUAUGCUGCUGUGUGCGAUAGAGAGGGCAUCGCUGAAUAUCUUGUGAAGAAAAACGCAGACACAAACGUGAAAGACAACGAUGGCAACUCUCCAUCUGAUCUUUGUGAGUCAAAAUGGUCGUGGCUGCAGCGUGCAAAGGAGUAGAGGUACUGACAGAGGGUCUACGUCUGUUCCUGCUGUACUGAUUUUUCAACUAGUCCUUGUGGAUGGCUGUAUAUGGUGAUGUAUAACCCUUCCACUAAAUUUAGCCUCUGGAAAAAUGUUAAAGUAGAGCAGUAUGUGUAUGUAGUUUUACACAUUGUCCUUGUGUAGCCUUCUUUUCCUGUUUCCCCUAUUGUGGAGAUGACAAGAAAAGUUAAAAUCACCACGCAAACUGUUACAGGCUUGCAGCAUAUGCAUAGCAAUGCCCAUGUUUCGUUUAGUAUGCCAAUGCCUCUACUUUUUUGGCCAUUGCAUUGGUAAAUCUAAUUUUCUUUUUCUAUGUCAAUGAAUCUCAUACAUGUGUUUGAGAGUCGAAUUAAUUUCAAAUUUCUUGUUGCUCUUAUAGUCCUCUCACAAAAAUUGAUCGAGACCCAAACUAGGGGAGAAAGAAUGCUCACAAAAUUACUUAGAAUAAACCAGUCUUUCUUGACCAAUCUUUAUUUCAAAACUAGAUUAUGAAUGAUUGAAAGUCUUUCAAACAAGAGGAAAUGAGGAUUGAAUAUGCCGAAAGUCUUAUGACGAGAGAUCAUCGUACACGGCGUGUAUCUUCACAUAUAUGAAUUUAUUAUAAAAUACAUGGAUAAUCAAAUACAUGAAUUGUUAUGAAAAUAUAAGCGUCGUAUAAAUAUACGUCCAUAUUUUCAAGUCUUAUAAUAUCAAAUUAUUAUAAUUGACCAAAGGAAAAUAAGAAGUUCCAGUCUUAUAAUAUCAAAUUAUUAUAAUUGACCAAGGGAAAAGAAGCAUCCCAGGUAAUCAUCAAAUCCCAGGUUCCAAGACCUGAUCUUCAAAUCCCAGGGCUCUCCUUGGCAUGAAACGGUAUCUCCGGUACAUUGGGGCUGUAGGCUUGAGAUCAUAUCGCCUACGCCUAAGGCGAGAUGGGCGGCGGCCGCAGCACCGAGAACUGAACUCCGCUGUCGUCUGGUCUGAAAAGGCAUUAAGCCCAGCAGUCCACGUGUGUCCCCCUUCAUUGUUGAACUUUUGCACAUAGAGAUAUUUGGCUUUGAAGAUCUCAAACCGUCUUGUUUUCUCUUCACUGGUGGAGUAGACACGAUUGUGCUUUGCCAUCCAAUCUUCAAAAAUCUGGGAGAUAUUAGCUGGGUUGUUUUGUUCCAAGGAACUAGCGGAAGGGGGCUGACAUACUGCUAGGGUUGCUGAGAAAACAAUGAGCAAUAUCAUUGUAGACAUGCAGAAGCUUUGGAGAUGAGAACCCAUAUUGUUUAAUGAUCUUGAGCGAAAGGCUUGACCUACUUAAUGGAUUUCACUCACAGACGAUUGAGCACAAAUACAUAAUGAGCUCGGUUAACCUUACUUGCAAGGAAACUAGUCUAAAUACAUUCCAAAACCAUAAGAUACAAAUACUGAUAUCAAGCUAUUUGUAUUGAUAUCAGAUAUUCACAUAUCAAACAUUCCUAAACAGUAAAGAUACAAAAGAUUAAUUUCUUAAAUUAUUAUUUCAUAUCUUUAAUUCAUCUUUACAUUUAAUUUAUGAUUUAGUUUUAAUUACCUUUCCAUUUUUGUUAAGAAAAACGCAGACACAAACGCGAAAGACAACGAUGGCAUAGCUCAAUCCUCCCAGUUCAAAUUUUCCCAAUUAAGUUGGUGACAGAUCUUUAUUAUACAGUUUAUUAGAUGGCUUAUUGCUUAUCACCAAUUAGGAGACGCCUAUAUAUAGCGAUGCAGAUUAUCUAUAUUAACAUCAUACCAAUACCUCUUACAGUCCAACACCUCAUUGGCUCAUUGUUCGCACCUGUAUUUUGCCAAUCAAUUAAUUAAGAGCCUCUACUUCUGAGAGAGGCGUUUAAUCUGAUUGACAACCUAGCUCGAUCAUCAGAACUAUGGCUACUUCAAAGCAAAAGUUGUUUGUGAUCAUCUUGGCUUCAUGGGCGGUUGUAGGCUUAGGCCAGUUGACGUUGGAUCUUGAUGAGGAUAUCAAGGGACCAUUUCCAUGCAUGCAGAAACUGGCGCCUUGUCAAGUAAGAAAUCAAACCACCAAUGAUCCUGUUCCUGAGACAUGUUGUAAACCGUUGAGGGAUAUGCUCUUGGGUGACGAUAAGAAAUGCAUUUGCGACGCCUUUAGCGACCCUAUGGUGUUGAAGAAGCUGAACUCAACUCAGGAUAAUGCCAUGGAUCUUGUGUAUUAUUGUGGCGGGCAGCACAAGUCAUUAUGCGACGUCGACAGUAAGGAUACUAAGGAUAACGCAAAGCCAUCUUCACCAUCUUCCCCGCCAAGUCCACCGCCAGCUCAUAAUGCAGCCUCUCGUUUCUGCAAAUCUGGUUUUGCAGCCUCGUUCAUUGCAGCUCUGGUUUUUUCAGCAGCAUUUUAAUUAUCAGGAAUGCAUUUGAUUCGUACAAUUGUAAUUCAUGUAUUUUUGGCUGUUGUUUUGAAGCGCUAGGUCGAUCGUAUUGAUUGAUAUCGAGGCAUAAUUGAAAUAAUGAAAUUUGAAAUCUAUCAUGAAGCAGAGAAGCAGAGAACAUGCAUGCACACUUUUUGUUUAUUACCAGAGGAAUUCAUUUUCUUUUUUAAGGUUGAAAUCUUUACAAGUUAGAUAAACUACCCCAAUGAGGGUUGCGACAAAAUUGAGGCAAUUUUAGGUAGCCAUAUUUCGUCUAAUGAACUACAUUGCAAGCAAAAUAAGGCAACCUAAUUUGUAACAAAAUCAUAAUAAAAAGAACAACGGACCUGGAGAAGAUCGUAAAUUUCUUUCUUUUAGAUUUCUCAGCUGGUGUUGCUGCCUUUUUGGCCGGGUUAAGCUAGAGCGUCUUGGUAAUCCUUGAUAUAGAUCGUAACUUUUAUUUUUCAUUAUUCAUAUAUCACGAUCUUUACAUUUAAUUUAUGAUUUAGCUUUAAUUACCAUUUUUAGUUAAGAUUCUUCAAGUAUUAUAAUCCUUAAGAUAAAAAUACUGAUAUCAAGCUACUGUAUUUGCAUUGAUAUCAAAUAUUCACAUAUUAAUACAUUCCAAAACAGUAAAGAUACAAAAGAUUAAUUUCUUAAAUUAUUAUUUCAAUUUUUUCAUCUCUACAUGUAAUGUAUGAUUUAGUUUUAAUUACCUUCCCAUUUUGAUUAGUUAAGAUUCUAAUAUUAUAUCUUUCUUGUUUAAGAAAAAUAUGAUUUAUUGUGUGUGCCUUAGUCAAAAUAGAAUCAGAAUAGGAUUCGAUAUCAAUGUUGUAAUAUGAAUAUAUGUAAUUUUCUUAUGUAUUGUAUCCUCUAAAUAUAGAGACUUAUUCUAUGAAUGAAAUACAACGAUAUUCUCCCCAAAUUCUCUCUCUCAGUUAAUUUCUCCCGCAACAUUUCUCUCUCCGCGUUCGGUCUUUUACAAUCGCAACCUACUUUGGUCAUAUGGAGAACUCGUUACAAAAGGCAGGAAUGGCUUCAGAAGCUUGUUGUUUGAUUCAAGAUCUAAAUCUGAAAGAUCACUAUAACGGAGCUUCUUUAGUGGAGAAGGAUGAUGCUUUGAAAGGAGGUUUUGGUGUGAGUAAAGCUUAUAGUGAUUCUUUGAUAUGUGUGAAGCCCGCUCCAACUAAAUCUAAAGUUCGUCAUAUGAUGGAGUAUAUAGUUUUGAGGGAUGAAUCUGAUGACUCUAAUGGACCUUCUGAUGCACAAUGUGUUCAAAGGAAGAGGAGAAUUCUAACUGUAGAAGAAUAUAAUAAGGUGGUCGAGGAGUUGUACGAGUGUGGGAUCCAGCUUCCUUUUAAGUAUCCAGAUGAUGUGAUAUUAAACCCUCUUCCUGUGAGGUAUCCAUCGCACCGUUAUAGCGAGGAGGAGGAGUGGCAGGUCAUAUCAGAUGACAAUGAUGAGGUCGAGGAAGAGAUGGUGGACGAGGAGGUUGUAGUAGCUUCAAAGAACUUUGUGGAACUUUGUGGCGACUAAAGCUGGGUUGUCUAAUUCAAUUUAGUGGAGUUUGAUCUGGUUAUACUUUCUUCUUGUUUGGAGUGUACUUUCUAUCUGAAUAUAGAAUUCCGUAUUUCUAAAACUGUGCUAACUCAUGAAUGGUUUUUCUGUCAAAAUAGGUCUGUCAUAUGUUAAACAAAAAAAAAAACUAGAAGAGUAGAAGUAUUACUCCAAUACAUCCUUCCAUCGAUCAGGUUAAUUAAAUUAAGAAACCCAAUAUGAAUUGGCUAUUGAUGUAAAAGUAGUGAUGAUAAUAUGUCUGUUGCAGAGUUCCUAGUCCCUCGUCUAUAUAUAUUUCAUAGCUAGAUGCAAAUCAUUUCAAUAUCGACUCUUGGUUUUGUGGUUUCAAUUGCGCAGAUCUUUGCUAUGGAUACUAAUAACAAGCAAGAACGCUAAAAUUGUGAGAGGCCAUGGUCACUUUCUUAGUAGGAUUAUCUUGAAUUGGUGCCUGGUUUAUUGGAAUCAUAAUACUAACUUUGGUUAACUUUUAUCGCCCCCUACGGAAAUUUAUUGAUAAGAUAAAAAAUAUAUAAGAAGCUAGAGAACUAAGCCAAUGUCAGCCAUAUAAUAACUUUGGUUAACUUUUAUCGUCCCCUACGAAAAUUUAUUGAUAAGAUAAAAAAUAUACAAGAAGCUAGAGAACUAAGCCACUGUCAGCCAUAUAAUGCGAAUAACAUCUGAGUGAGGUGAUAUGAAGUUAAAAUUUGUUUAAAAAAUUCAAUUUUACUUGGAUUACCAAAUUUCAUAAUACAUUUUUUCUCUAUGUUUCAUGGAUCCAAUAUAAUUGUUUGCUUUUCUAUUUCUAAUUUGGUACACAAACAAAUGGGCUGAUCCUAUAUAUGUUUAUGUACCUCCCACUUCUAACUGUCAUUAACCGUUUUCGCCACCCUUGUGCAACAUGGAUUUUGGCGGAGUAUCUCCCCACCAUGUCCCAUAUGACCUCGCCUUUCUCCUUUUUUCUGUACCCCUUUCUUCCUUUAACGCCAAGCAAUGGCGAAGGGGGUCUAUCUUCUAUUCGCCGCCGCGAUUGUUGCUCUUAUAGUCCUCUCUCCCUUUAAGCCACGCCACCAUGGCCAUCACCGCCGCCUUGGCUUCACCGGCCACGUCCCCAUUUUCGACCCUCUAGUAUCCAAGAUGGAACGGUACGUGGAGGAGAAGGGAUUAGAAGACCACAAUCAUACAAUAGAUACGGAACACGACUUGGUUAUUGCUAAUGAUGUUGAGGAAGCUCAGCAAUAUUUGAACGAGGCGGGAAACUUGAAUUUAACCAUGAGGCUGGUGAAUCUCUUCCCUUUGUUGGAUGUGGCACCCGAAGAUGGAUUUGUCAGCUACGAUGAGCUGAAGCAUUGGAUUGUGGCACAAGCCAUGGAAAGAAUGAUAUAUAGGACACGGAGAGUAAUGGCAGAAAAUGAUAGAGAUGGAGAUAGAGCCAUUUCUUUCAGGGAGUAUCUGCCACAAUUUUCCAUUGAGGAUAUUGGUACAAUACUUGUCUACCUUCUACAUGUUGCACUUUUCUUUCGAGCUCCAUUUCAUAACGUUAAGCCUUGUUUGGUUCACGGAAUGGAAAAUGUUUCAAAACUCUAGAGCACCGUAGGGUUUCAAAUAAUUUCCACCCUUUGAUUUCGGAAUCUUUUUUCAUUGCAAAAUUUCUAAUUCGCGAAGCAGAACGAUGUUGUUGUAUAUUUUGGAUUCGUUGGACAACCAUUGAUGAUGUUAAUGAUUGUGAAACAGAUAGGAAUGAUAUGGAGCAUGGAGAAGCUGGAUGGUGGAAGCAGCAAUUUGAUAAUGCUGAUGCUGAUCGGAAUGGUUUACUUACCUUCAGUGAACUUAAAGAGUAAAUUCUCUAAUUUUAUUCCCAUACUAAUAUUUUCUUCGAAGAUUUCGGCUAAUUUACCUUUCAUUUGCAGUUUUUUGCACCCAGAAGACAGUUCAAAUGACCGAAUUCAAAGAUGGCUGUUGACAGAAAAGAUGAAGUACAUUCAUUCUCAUCACAUACAAUACCGAUUUUCGCUCUUGUUUACCACAUUCCUUUUCUAUGAACAGUUUGUUGGAUCCCUAGUUUGUUACAUGCAUGAUUAAUAUUAAUUUGAAAUGUGCAGAAGGAUGGACCAUGAUAAAGAUGGCAAGCUGAGUUUUGUGGAGUUUUCGGACAAUGCUUACAAUGUCUUUAAGAAUUACGUUGAAUUUGAGACAAGCGACUUACCCAUAGCAAAAGAGAAAUUUGCAGAGCUUGAUGUGAACAAGAACAAGUACUAUACAGACAUCAAACUAGCUUGUUUCUUUUUCAUUUACUGCCUAAAUUAACAACAUGUAUGACGACUAAUUUCAAAAAUUGGGAAAUGUUUGGCAGAUUCUUGGAAGCUGAAGAAUUGAGACCGAUACUACAUUAUCUUUACCCAGGAGAACUAACCUAUGCUACUUAUUACACAAGUUUUCUAAUUCAUGAGGUCAGUUGAGUGCAGUAUAUAUACAUUGUAGUAUAUAUGAAUGUGAAAGAAAGCACUGGUUUAUUAGAUACAUUUGAGCAUUUACUGAAAAAUGUGAUGGUGGCAUUGUUCAUUUCAGGCUGAUGAUAACAAAGAUGGAAAAUUAACGUUGGAAGAGAUGCUGCAUCACGAAGAUGUUUUCUACAACACGGUCUAUGAGAGCAGCGACGACGAUGACAUCCAUGAUGAUCAUGACGAAUUCUAAACUACUUUGAUGCAAUGAAAAUGCAAUGUUUUGAUCUAUGUAAUCUGGUGGAGGAUUGUCCUACGUAUCUCAACAUUUGAAAGUUGCUAAGGAGACUCCAAUUGCAGGAAGCAAUGCAUCAAGAAGAAAAAUGUAGUUGGAAGGUUCAUUAGGAAGUACCAUUUUUGAUUUGCACAAAUCCAAGUGCCCUCCUAGCUAGACAGAUUUAUGAAGUGUUUCCUGCAAAAUCACUUGUUAUGAAAAGAACUCCAAACAUUGGAGGGAAUUUUUUUUGUAAAAAAAAACAAAAAAAACACAAACUCCAAACAAACCCUAACAAAGAAUGAUGUGCUUUGUUUGGCUGUUUCCUGUGGAAAACUUAAAGGAAAAUAGAAAUGAAGGAAAUGGAUUUUCAAUGACAGUAGCAAAGUUCCAACUUCCAACUCAUGAUGGGCUCUUUUCUUAUCUGUGCAUCAAUUAUAUAUUUCUUACUUCUUUAUGAAGAGAAAAUAAUAAUUGUUGUGGCAUUGUCAUCAUCAUUUUUAGAGUCCAGGUAAUGUGCUUUGUCUUUCCACCAAUGAGUUGCUUGGAGCCAGUAGUGCAGGUAAUGCUAUGUAGCUACUGUACAUAACAUCAACAUCUUAAAGCCAUCACAAUCUCAACCUUUGAUCACUCUAUUUUGUGCUCUCUUCCUGAUGUAAUAUGCACCCAUAUCACAAUCAGUUAAUAGAAAUGUACAAGUUUAAAGAAAGUCUUUAUAAGCUCUUAGUGUGCGUUUCACUAAUAACAACAGCUGUACGUAACAACAGUUAUACAACUAAAAAAUUACGUAUUUUAAAUGCGUACACGGUCGAAUAAGUACACAAUUCUUUCUUAGUCAUUCGUAACCAUUUCAUACGUAGUAACUACUAAUUAUCAUGCAUCUGAAUUAAUGUCAUCUAAUCGCGUAAAAUUAGUACCCCCAUUAUUUACAAUGAGAAAAACAAAAAAGGUGUACAUUUCAUCCUUAAAAAAAUAAUAGACCCAUACGAACGCGUUCUAUAAAACUGGGGCCCGCAAAUUAUUGAAAUCCAUUUCUUUUUUUUCAAAAGAAAUUAAAUGAAAUUUUUAGCCUUUCUGCAAAAUCCAAAGUCCAGCUGAGCAACUCUCUCUCUCACUAUUUCUCUGAGGAAGAAGAAGAAGAAGAAGCCCUCUCUGCUCCGAUCCGUAACCGCACGGUUUUCCAAGCUCUCUCUUCGUUUACAGGUAAUUCUAUAUAUCAAUGCUCUAUUUCAAAUCCCUAAUUUUCGUUUCAGUGCUAAAAACUAGUGUUAUGUUACAUGUACUACUGUGAUUUUGAUUUUGAUUUCAAAGCGGUUCGAUUCGCUUGAUUACUGUUCGAUUCCGCUCGAGCGGUUCAGUUUCGAUACUAGCUUGAAGCAAUUCGAUCGGUUAUGGAUUUGAAUUUUUUUUUUUUUUUUGCGAAUUUUGUUUUUAUUUAAUGUGGUGAGGAUUUUGUGAAAUCGUAUGCGUGUGAUUGUGUUUAGCCUCAUUUGAUCUGUGAAAUUGUUCGUUUGGAUUUUGGUGAUGCGGUUUUUGUGUUAUGGAUUGUUUUAGUGGAAAUGAGGGUUUUUGGUUCUGUGAGUGUAGCAGGGUUUAGGUUCAAAUUUGAUGUGUAAUGAUGAAUGGAUAGUGUAAUAUAGAUUUUUGUUAGCAGUGUUAAGGAAACUGUCCGAAUCGGCUUUAAUUGAUUAUGCUAUGGAUUGAUGGUUACUGUAAUCAUAGUGUUCACACUCACUCUUUCAGUUGUAGAAGUAUUUGUUCUGUUGGUAGAUUUGGAGUGGUUUCGGGAAUGGCUAUUUUCUGCGGUUAAUUUGGAUUAUUCAGGCAAAUUCACUAACUCAGGGGUUUGCGGUUUUGUUUUUAUGUCCAGCUGUAGGUUUAUGUUUGGUUACUUGAUGUUAAUACCUUCUCAGUCUGUAGUCCUGCAAGAAUGUGGAUGUUAUGAUCUAUUUGUCACCUGUUACCUUGAAUUGAUCUAAUUUAUUAAACAGUUAUUCUUUUUGUAGUUUCAGAUACAGUAUGGCGCUGGAAGUUACCCAGGUGCUUCUGAAUGCUCAAGCAAUAGAUGGCACUGUGCGGAAGCAGGCUGAAGAAAGCUUGAAACAGUUGCAGGAGCAAGAUCUUCCUUUGUUUUUGUUAUCUCUUUCUAGAGAGCUAGCGAAUGAAGAGAAACCUGUCGAGAGCCGAAAAUUAGCUGGUUUGAUACUGAAGAAUGCUUUGGAUGCUAAGGAACAACAUAGGAAGUCUGACCUUGUUCAGAGAUGGCUGGCACUAGAUCCUUCUGCGAAGAACCAGAUUAAAAUGUGCUUGUUACAGACCCUUUCUUCCCUUGUGGCAGAUGCUCGUUCAACUACUUCACAAGUCAUUGCGAAAGUUGCUGGUAUUGAGUUGCCUCAGAAACAGUGGCCAGAACUGAUUGGAUCACUCUUGUCGAAUAUUCACCAGUUACCGCCUCAUGUAAAGCAAGCCACUUUAGAGACUCUUGGCUACUUGUGUGAGGAAGUCUCGCCUGAAGUUGUGGAUCAAGAUCAAGUAAAUAAAAUACUGACGGCUGUAGUUCAGGGUAUGAAUGCAUCUGAAGGGAGCACUGAGGUUAGACUUGCUGCCACCCGAGCACUGUACAAUGCUUUGGGUUUUGCUCAAGCCAACUUUAGCAAUGCUAUGGAGCGUGAUUAUAUUAUGAGAGUUGUCUGUGAGGCAACUCUCUCCCCAGAUUUGAAGAUACGACUGGCUGCUUUUGAGUGUCUGGUUGCAAUUUCAUCAACUUACUACGACAAAAUAGCCCCUUACAUUCAAGACAUCUUUAACAUCACAGCAAAAGCAGUUAGGGAAGACCAGGAACCAGUUGCUCUUCAAGCCAUUGAAUUCUGGAGUUCAGUUUGUGACGAGGAGAUAGAUAUAUUGGAAGAUUAUGGGGGUGAUUUUACAGGGGACUCUGAUAUUCCUUGCUUUUACUUUAUCAAGCAGGCACUCCCUGCUCUUGUCCCUAUGCUUUUGGAGACACUACUUAAGCAGGAAGAGGAUCAGGAUCAGGAUGAAGGAGCUUGGAAUAUUGCUAUGGCUGGGGGAACAUGCCUUUGUCUAGUGGCUCGGACAGUGGGCGACGAUAUUGUUCCGCUUGUCAUGCCAUUUAUUGAAGAAAACAUAACAAAGCCAGAGUGGAGGCAAAGGGAAGCAGCGACUUAUGCUUUUGGUUCCAUCUUGGAGGGUCCGUCGGCAGACAAGUUGACACCUAUUGUUAAUGUUGCUUUGACAUUCAUGCUCAGUGCUUUGACAAAGGACCCAAACAACCAAGUGAAGGACACUACUGCUUGGACCUUAGGAAGGAUUUUUGAAUUCCUUCAUGGUUCAACUGUGGAUGCACCGAUUAUUACACCAGCAAACUGCCAACAGAUCAUCACAGUUCUUCUUCAAAGCAUGAAGGAUGUGCCAAAUGUUGCUGAGAAGGCCUGUGGCGCUCUUUAUUUUCUUGCCCAGGGUUAUGAGGAUAUAGGGGCAUCAUCUCCCCUGGCUCCUUUUUUCCAGGAAAUUGUUCAAUCUUUAAUCACUGUUACUCACAGAGAAGAUGCUGGGGAAUCACGAUUAAGGACUGCUGCAUAUGAAGCGUUGAAUGAAGUUGUUAGAUGUUCGACUGAAGAAACUGCUUCCAUGGUAUUGCAACUUGUACCUCUUAUAAUGAUUGAACUGCACAAGACUCUUGAGGGCCAGGGACUAGCAUCUGAUGAGAGAGAGCGGCAGAGUGAGUUACAGGGACUUCUCUGUGGGUGCUUACAAGUCAUUAUUCAAAAGCUAGGUUCGUCAGAGCCAACCAAAUAUGUUUUUCUGCAGUAUGCAGAUCAGAUAAUGGGACUUUUCUUGAGAGUAUUUGCUUGUAGAAGUGCUACUGUCCAUGAGGAAGCCAUGCUUGCCAUUGGGGCCCUUGCUUACGCAAGUGGCCCAGAAUUUGCAAAAUACAUGCCCGAGUUUUACAAGUAUCUGGAAAUGGGUCUUCAGAAUUUUGAGGAGUACCAAAUCUGUGCUGUCACGGUCGGUGUUGUAGGGGAUAUUGCUAGGGCAUUGGAAGAUAAGAUUCUGCCAUAUUGUGAUGGAAUAAUGACCCUACUGCUAAGGGAUUUAUCAAGUAACCAGCUGCACCGCUCUGUAAAGCCUCCUAUAUUUUCCUGCUUUGGUGAUAUAGCUCUGGCGAUAGGAGAGAACUUUGAGAAGUACUUGAUAUAUGCCAUGCCAAUGCUUCAGAGUGCUGCUGAGAUGUCGGCCCGCACAUGUGCUGAUGAUGAAUUGACAGACUAUACCAAUUCUCUAAGAAAUGGAAUCUUGGAGGCAUAUUCUGGGAUUUUCCAAGGUUUCAAGAACUCACCAAAAACACAGCUCUUGAUAGCUUAUGCUCCUCAUAUCCUGCAGUUCUUGGAUAGCAUAUACAUGGGGAAAGACAUGUGAGUCCGUCUGGUGUUUAGUACUUUUAUCUUUUUUAUAUAUUUGUGUGUGUGUGUGAUAUAUUGUUCCCCCCUAAUUUUGGAACUCUACUUGUUUGUAGGGAUGAUGUGGUGAUGAAAACAGCUAUUGGAGUUCUGGGAGAUCUAGCAGAUACACUGGGAAGUCAUGCAGGCUCUUUGAUACAGCAAUCUAUGUCUAGCAGAGAGUUUUUGAAUGAAUGCUUGUCUUCAGAAGAUCUUUUGAUUAAAGAAUCUGCAGAAUGGGCCAAGUUGGCAAUUAGUCGUGCCAUUUCUGUCUGAGGCUGCCACCUGGUGUAUUCUAUUUGUUUGGAAGUCCCUGCAUGCAUUUGGGUGUGUUGAGUUGGGUCAUAGAAUUGCAUGAGUCAAGCAUCACCAUUUUCAGUCGGGCAACGGAAGCUGUGUCAGUCUUCAAGUUGUCACUAACUUGCAUCAUCUACAAAAGUUGUGACUAACAAUUGCAUCAGCACAAAGGGCUUGGGUCCUGGUAAUUUCAUAGAAGAGUGGGCAGUGAGUGUCACUGAAGCGGUUUAAGGCAUGCAGGUCACAGAGGAUUUUGGCACCAGAGUGGACGGUAAGUGACAUUGAUGAGUGCAACUUUUCUCAGCCACUCAGGUCGAUUGGUCUUUGAAUACUGAAGGUCUUACCAAUAUGUGUGUCUCCUGCGGUGAUCUCCUCCAGUGAUUUUUGGGUCAGAAUGCAUAAAUUCCCUAAUGUUUGCUCGGGUGCUGACGCCUUAUCACCACCCGUUGUGUGCCAUGUCCCUCACGUCUUCCUUACCAGGUCUUGAUUCCUGAAUCUAGAGUCUGCAUCUAUUCAUAUCUUCAUUCAUCCGUCAUAGUUAGUGUGUAUUCCAGAAUAUCUCAUCAGCAGAUCUGACUGCUUUCUCUUAUGGGUUGAGGGUCGAGACGUGCUAUUGGAAAACGCAGAUCCUGCAUUGCAUUAUUCAUUUUUCAUAUUCACAAAGUUAUUAGAUUUAAGUCAGUUUCAUAUGUCCAAUAUACCAUGCAUUUCAUGAAAUCAUUGUAAUGCGGCUUUUUUGAAGAACAGGUUUUUCUUUUGCUCAGGAACAUGUAAUAACUUCUUGGGUUUUGCUAUCUCCACCUUUUGGAAUUUGGUAUCAUUCAACAUCACAAAGUGUAAUGGUGCUUGAUUGGGAGAGGCAUUGUAUUUGGUGGAUUGCCUCAUUUGUUAUCUUUCAAGACAUAUUACAAAUUAAACUUUAUGUGAAUUUUGUGAUAUAAUUUUCAUUACCCCUUGCAACAAGCUCUAUUCUGAUUUUGGUAUUCAUUGCAAUAUGUUUACCUAGCAAAUUAUGUUAGGCAGAUAUGGUAGAUUUUCAGCUAAAGUAGUCGUCUGAGUUUUGAAUAGGAAGAUAUGGUAGAUUUUCGAACACUGAAGACAGUUCAGAGAAGGUGCUGUAAUGUAUUGUGAAUUUGUGAUAUGACUCCCACUAGCACACACCAUUGUGCGAGUGAGUGGAAUAAUACUGAGCUCUCUGCUUUUCCAUAUUGUACCUCUUGUUUGUUUCUCUGGCAAAUCCCCCGCCACACCAUGUGAGGUGAUCUUCUUCCUUGGGAGUCUUGGACUCGUCAUUAACUUUAUGAAAACAAAAGCUUAGAAAUUAAAUAUAUAGCUAUUAAAUCUCAGUGAGCAUCCAAAAUGAAUAGCCAGUCCCACUUUGGUAAAGUCCAUUACAGUGACACUACAUUACAUUACGCUGUUCACAGCACUUACUUAUCUCAUCCAUGGCUUCCAUAGACCAAGUACCAAGCAUAGCUUCAUGUUCCAAAAAUGGACUAGCCCUCCCCAUCAUUACCAACAUAGAUUACCAGGGUCCUAAAUUAGGGCUUUAGGGGAAUAUGAUUAGUGCAAACAUGUUUUGUCUUAAUAGAAUUAGUAUAAGAUAGUAGUGUACUUGUAAAUGUUUGACUUGUCCCCUCUAUUGUGAAUACUAUGAUAGUGCUCCCCCCUCUCCCAACUCUCAACUAGUAGUGGGUCGCCAAAUUUUUCAAUUCAACCCUUGUAAUUCAUCAUAGGUUUUCAUGUAUCUAAUAUAUAUUUGCUCUCAUCUGUAGCCCACUUUGUGUAUAUGAUCCACUUUGCGAUGAAAGCCGAAAUAGAAGGACCUAAAGCAGAAUUAGGUCAUCAGUGGUGUUUUGUACUACGGAAAGUUGAAAUGAGAUCUCUUUAGGAGGUGGGAUAAUGUCACACCCCGAUUCGAAAUCGAUGUCCUUUUCCUAUCCGUUGAGGUUUGGGUUAGAUCCAAAGUUGAAACCAGAUCUUUAGGAGGUGGGAUAAAGAGAAUUUGAUGAACUUGAUCUCCAAGUCUAACAUUGUCAAAGGUCUAUUGAGAAUCACUAUUAGUUUUGUCGAGCGAAAGCCUUAAGGUUAUGAAUAUGUGAAUGUGAAGAAAUAUCUUAGCAAAUCAAAAGAUUGUUCUAAAACAGGGCCGCCUAACCCAUCUAGGAGUUACAAGCCAACCAUCCGUCCUAGUAACGUCUAGCGAGUUUUCGAACCAUAAUUAUAUGUCGUGUUACAAAACAACACCGUCCAGCACGCCUAGACGACUUCUAUACGCUCUAAGCCUGCCCUCUAAAUUGAGAGCGUCUAAUGAGUUUUCAAACUUUGAUCAUAGUAUUUGUACUUGUGUUGUAUCUUGGAACCGAUACAAGUGUUAGAUUUAUGGUACACGUAAUAUCUUUGUUGUGAUGACAUCUCAAUACACAAUUUAUCGACAAUGGCAUUGAAACAAUGGGCCUGCACUUGGAACUUGUGCACCAUUGAAAACAAUGGGAGCAUAUAAUAGCCAUGAGGGCGUCUGAUGCGUCAAUGUCGACACAUGAUCAUGAACAUUGUUGAAGAUGAGAACUGAUAAAAGAAAACGGGCAAGGAAUUCAAGCCAUGCAAGGAAUUGUUGCAGGAGUUGACUUGUGUUUGUGGGCAAAAGGGAAGUAGGGUAAAGCUAACAUUCAUCAUCAUCAUCAUGUUUCUGUUGCUAUUGGGUAGGAUGAGUGCACACAAUGAAUGCUAUAACAGCUCUCUUCUCUGCUCUCUUUAACUAUAUAUAGCUCCUUAUAAGUCAUAGCGCACAUGCUUUGCAAUUGCUUGCUUCCUACCACCCAAGUAUCUUUCAGCAACCAUAAAAGGCCACCCUCUCUUCCCCUACCUCCCUCCUCUAGAGCCGAAGACCUUUAACUUUAUCGAUAAGAGAUCACGACGAAAAUAAGCAAUGGCUCAGCUUAGAAACAACUUCGUCAUUCUUCAAGUACUUCUCCUCUCAGUGCUUCUCAUUUCCUUAGUUUCAGGUAAUUAAUUACGCCAAAUAAAAAUCUCACUCAUAAUGGCAUAUGUGUGUUUUAAACUUUUGACCUGAUAAGUACUGCAUGCAACUCUUGUAGGUAACAACACUGUUGAAGGCUUCAAGGAUGACAAUGAUCAGUUACUUCACAAGGUAUAUAUAGCACUAGUGCUUUUAUCAGAAGCUUGAUUCUGCUAGCUUACAGGAUUAGCUAACUAGAUAGUUGAUAUGGUCUGUGUUUGAAGGGUGUCAAAGUGAAUUCAAGGAAGCUGUUUAUGAUGCCAGAUGCAACAAUGCAUGACUACGAUGAUGCGGGAGCCAACCCCAAACACGACCCUCGAAGGAGACCUGGCAAUGGGAGAAACCCAUGAUCGAUUAUCGACUGCUACUAUACGACUACUACUACUACUUGAUCCACUUAUAGUAUCGAUAAUUUUGAUCAUGUACUAAGGAAUUAAAGGAGACGAUGUACGUCACCUGAUAUACAGGGCUAGCAUUAAUCCAGACUAGAGUUUCUUCAAUAAUGCUGAUAUGAUAUGCUGGUGUACUAGUCUAACGAGUUGUCCUGUGUGGCCAUUAGCCAUAUAUAGGAAUGCCAACUUCAUAUCAUAUGCAAUUCCUUUUGGCUACUGUUUCUCUAUUAUAUAUGUAUCAAGUAUGAAAUAAACUUUCUGCCAUUGGCACUGUAUGAAUAUAUUUUUUCUAGUUCGAACAGGUUUAAAGGCCUUUACCAGCACUUAACUAGCAUAAACAUCCUUUUUACUUCAUCAUCUGGACUUUUAGGUGGAUAUUAAGAGCUGAUAUGCUAUUGUGUUUGCUGCUGACUCAAGUUAAGACACUACUUUUCCUCAUCUGUUAGAAAAGCCACCACUUCUAAUGUCUGCUUGACUAUCUUUUAUGUGUGUGUUUCUCUAAUUAUCAAACUUUUGAGAUUUCUUUGAGGAUUGGGAUUCGGUCAUCUCAAAAGGGCAUAUAUUUGAUCUUAUACACGCACCUUUAGAUUUUGCUGUAGCCUGUGAAUGCAUGAGCUAGCACUUCCGCUUGAAACUUGUGAUUUCAGAACCUCAAAAGUCAUUUUCCCACAUAGUUCUUGCCCCUGAAGGAAAGGUACUCGCUACGACCUGUCGUAUUAUCUUGUCAAUUUUUGGCAAUGUCUGGCUGGUAGUGUGUGUGAGAGUGAGAGAAUUCUUAACACGAGCACACUGCACACAUUAUAGUUCAAACCACUCUCUGGUUGAUUGAUUAAUUUCUUCACUCACAAACUAUCAUUGAUCAUGUAAAAUCAUCUAAAUUUUACUAUUACACUUGCAAGAUUAUUCUAGUUCACCUAAAUAAAAAGUAUAUCAAGGCGUGAGGCAUGUACAAUUAUGAUUAUACAAAUGUAAGUGUGAAAACCUAUGUUGAUUUCCAGUAUAUACAUCAUCCUCAGGAGUCAGGAACUCAGGAUGCCUCAGAUUCAUGAAGAAAGCAACGAUGUUGACAUCCAAAUUCCAAGCGAAACGAGCCCGAUAGUAGCAAAAGCUUGCCCAAAUUCAUAUACAACAUUUUGUUUUUGGAAGGGCAAACGUUGCCAGUCUGUUCGCCUGUGGGUGAUUCAAAACCAGGGUUUAGAAACAGAAAAGAAACCAAACAAGGUGGUGAUCAAACCAUGCCUGCAUGUAGAUGUAGAACCAGAUACAUACCCUAAAUCCGCAAUGACGAUGCUGAUAUUAUCUUGUGACUUGUUAUCCUGCAGAACGUGUAAAUCUUAUGUCAUAAGAGACUACCCAAUUAAGUAAAGAAUCUAACCACUAUGGUCAGAGUAAAACAGUGUUCAGUAAUUAGUUCUUACCAGAGCAGCUUGAGCAAGCGCGUCACAAGCUAGCUGAAAUCAGAAACAAAAAGUAUAUGUAGUUAAGCACUGUUCUAGAAUCAAUGUAGUUUUCCAAAUACAAAUGUGCAGGCCAUAUAUACCUGGACAUCUCCGUGUUGUCGAAGCUGAUUCCUUACAAAUGAAACCGCAUCUGAGCUGAAAUUGACAGCAACAGAAGUUUAAAGGUGACUCCUCCUCUUUUGAAUAGAUUGAAGAGAAAAGUAUGACAAUUGGGAAAGUUUUUAAUGAGCAAUCAAGAGUGUCAUGAUACCUGUUUAUGUAAUCCCAUAAGCCAUCAGAUGCUAACACUAGAAAUUCUGAGUCUGCCCCAAGACUUGCUUGAUAAAUGUCUGGAGUUGCAGUAACAAGGUCUCCACUGAAUUGCACUCUGGAACAACAUAAAAUGAGUGGUUUUACUUUAUAACCGCUGUUUUACCAUAUACUACAGUAAAAGAAAGAACAGUCUUCUUUACGCUACUUGCUCCUAGACUAGAGUACACUAGUGUUUAAACCAUGUGUUUAUGAUAUGCUUAGUAGUGAUGAACUGACCAAACUCCAAAGAAUCCUAAAUUACAAGAGAAAAAGGCUGGGAAGAGAAAUAUUGAGGCAAGCAGUAGUCAUUAAGAUGUACAAGAUUACUCACCGAGAAACAAAUUUCUCCGUCCAUCUUCCUUCUUCAACUCCUUUCUUCAGCAUCCUUUCCAUUUAUCAAAAUGCAACAACCCUCAGUAUUGUGCAUAACUUGAUAAUCCUUAUAUCAAAAAUUACAUGAAAAACUAACAAAUGCAUCCCUAAGUUAUAGAAGAAUGAUCAGAAAGUUAGAAGACUGAACUCGUUUUUCUUUGUCUUGAACCGCAUGUCACCAAAAGCGCGAGAUACAGCAAUGUCUCCACAAAUUCUUCCAUUGACGAUCUAUAGACACCAAAUGUAAGUUGUCAACCGAUGAACAUAAGACCAAACUCAAAUGCAAUCACACAAUGGAACAAAGGAAAAACACCAAUCAGUUUUAACUGUUGUCUACAAGGUUAAUACCUUACAAUGUCUUUCAAGCAUUUACUAUCUCAAAAAAGGUAAAAACUUGGAAAUAAACGAAGAAUAGAAAAACACACCCAUCCACCUGCUUCUCUGAUUCUUUUAAUUUCUUGCAGACAGACCUUGUUGCUUCCAUAUGGUCGAUGAGGGCUAGUCAACACCUCUGCUUUUCCAGAACAAGACUGAACCUGCAUCAGUCAGUGAGCUGAUAAAUCAGCAAACUAUAUACCACCUUUCAUAUAAAAGGGGUCUAUACAUACACCAGGAGAGCAUUCAAAUAAAAGCACCAUACCACAGACGAAUCGCCAACAUGUGAAAUGAAAAGCAUAUCGUUCCCAACAAACAUAACAGUAGCUGUUGAACCAGACUCAUCUUCUUCCCCAUUCCUCUCAAGCCUUUACAAAAUGAAACACCAUCUAAACCUUCCAUGGAAUAAUAUCGAAUACAGAAUCAUGUUUGCAACUAUACUAUACAAAUUUCAUGCAAAUGCCAAUUCAACAUAUUUGCCUACCAAUUCAACAACUUUGCAUCAACUCUUUCAAAUGCCUCCUGUAAAGCCUCUCUAAUAGCUUUGAUAUCCUUCCCACUUAAUAGCGAACCGCCUUGUAAAGCCUCACAACACUCUUUGUAGAGCUCAUCUCUGUUACCAAAGAUUGAAAUUAUUCAGAAAGUUAAACCCCGGACUCAGAAAACUAUAUGAUGCUUAUACACAAUAUCAUAUUGCUCAAAUAGUAACCAACGUACUUGCUAUUAACAAACUAACCAAGAAACUUUAUUUGUCCAAAACUGCCAUUUUUCACCAAAACCGUGGACUAUAGCACACGUUUUUAUAGCCAAAUCGCAUUUUCUUAUUUUCUUCACCAAAACAAAACCUUCCCACCCUCGAAUUAUAAUAUUUUUAACAGUUCUCAUACUCAAACUCGAAAAACAAAAAAAACCAAUUCAAACAGAAAAAGUAGCAACUAUUAAUAUAACAAAACCUGAGAAACUUGACAGAGGAGAAGCCAGCAUGUCCAUCAAAAACCGCAGCAAAUGAAUAACCGUCAAGGCCAUCGGACCGGACAACAACGCCGUCUUCCAUCUCUUCCCGCGCUCCCUGCAAGCUGGUGGAGCCCCACCUGACUCCGGCGACAUCAGCAGAGGACGAUCCCGGCGCGUCUAUGGCAAUCGCUGAGCAUAGUGGGGUAGUUGACUUGUUGGAAAAGCUGCUGCUACUGUUCUUGUUGGUGUUGGUGGGUGAGGUCUUGAAUGAGCCAGUACCUCCACCGCUGCAGUUGUAUUUGGUUAAGAGGAACCUCUGCAGUUGUGGACUUAACAGAGCCAUGCAGAAGUCUCUACUACUGAGUUGAAGCGGUGAGUUAGGGAACGAGUUGUGAGUUCUGAGAAUGGUGGUGGAGGAUAAGAGGGAGACCAUAGGAGAGUGAAGCUAGGCCUUUAACUGAUUUAACGGAUUGGGGUGGGAAAGUGGGGCCAUUUGGUGCAUUAUGAUUGGACAAUGUUUGCCACGUCAGAUUGACAAAGGGUUUGACUGUCAACGGUUUAUUCAGUAAUUUUUUUCUUUUUGUUAUUUUUUGUUAUGGUGGCUGAGUGAGUUACCACUCGUAGUUGGGGGUGUAUGGCCUCUCACUAAGGGAUGUAUUUCCAUAAAUUGAGGUUCGAACCAAAUAUCUUAUUAUCAGGAAGCCUACAACGUUUGUCACAUUUACAUCAUAACAUGCUUCUAUUAGACCGGCCCUAUUAGGUGGUUUGAUUCACUACUUUGAAACCCGAUGAAGAUGAGCCGAGAAAUUUUAUGAUCAAGGUUUUAAGGAAGACAUUGUGUGUUCCACAUCUUAAAGAACAAGUGUAAUAAGAAAACAACAAUCACCGCCCAGAAAUUCCGCCCCCUUUAUUGCGGUACGCUGUUCUUCAACAAGGUACUCUCGUUGGAGUGAAAAGAACAAUUGUUGGAGAGGUGAGUAUUGUUAUAAUUUUUAGCAUGUAUGGUUUAUAGUUUAGUACAAGUUUCAGACAUGUAUGGAUUUUCUUGGCCAACCUACUGGUUUAAUCGAAUAACUGUAAAUGCUAGGAAAGAUGUUCAUGAUCUCAAAUUCAUUUUUCUUCACCAAUUUCCAAGUAAGUGUAACAGGGAGAAGAAAAAUAUUGCAAAAAAGAUACCGUAAAACAAUACCGUCUAAAGUACCAUUACAACAUGCACAACACAAAAUCAAGUAUAAAAUUCUUUCAAAUACGAUGGCCCUGGUUGGAAGGGGUCAGAUUCUUCAUAUGCUUCCGGUCUAUAAAACCCAGCAUCAUUCACACGGUUACUUAGCACCUGAAGGAUAGCUUUCUUCUUACCCCCAUAUUCAUCUCGGUUGUUCUCAACAUACUCGUUGGCCUCAGCCGCAAUUUCAUUCACAAAAUCAAACCGGUUGUCCUCUGAGAGUAGUAGUCUCUCAAUGUCCAUUCCCAUGAGCUGUCCUCCAUCCUUGACCUUCCGAACCUGUUCCUCCAGAAAAGGAACUCUGUCCAUUCCGUAUCGCAACAUGUCAUCCUUCUUUGUCUAAAGCAUGAAAAAUGUGGACAUCUUCAGUUAAUGCUCAAUAGCACAGUAUGAGAAGGUUCUGACUUACAGGGUAUACAAAACAGUAAUGAUCACUCAUGUAGCUGAAAUUUAUCAGUAAACACAGAAUUUGUGGGGGAAAGGCAAACUUGCAUAUAAAAUGCUCUCCAGUUAUACACACUAGAAUCCAAUACGAAACAAACUCAAACUUCUAUUGAACAUAAAUCAUGUUUUUCCAUCAGAAAUCAACCAAACAAUAGACUCAUCGACUUAACCUUACAAUACUUGACUCUCAAAUAUAUUAUCACUUUCUCACCUACAUUCGACCCCUUUGCUGUAAGAACCUAGUUAUGCACAAGCAACAGCGACUAAAUCUACUGCGAUUUAAAUUGCUUAAAUCUUCUGUUCAAAACCCAUCGUUCAGUUCACAAAAGUCAAAAUUUACGUACUUUCAAAUUUAUUAUGUUUCACUUAAGUAGACACUGAAGCAAGUUCACCUUCCCACAUUUCAAAUCCUCUCAACAUUGGAGUCCAGACUGUAUUGCAUGCCCGGUAGCAGCCACUGAACUUGUCACAUGAAGAAUCCCAUCUCAACAUGUCACAUAUUGUCUCCUCAUCCAGUUCCACACAACUGAUCAACUCAAUAUGAGAAAAACACCUCACUUCUUGUCUUGUAAUUCAAAACAAACCAAACAAUCCACAACUUAUAGACUCAUGACCAUAACCUUACAAUGCGAAAAACUACAAAUGGCUGCUCCUAAACCCUAAUGCCACCACCCUAUCCUUAAGCAGUUAAGCACCAACAAUAACAAUUCCACAAGCCUUUUUUCCAAACUACUUCACAAUUUCACAUAGAAGUCAUAUCUUUCACUACUAUCGUAACAUAUUCACUAGAUGGAACAAUCAAUUAGGGUUUCUCAAACAGUACCAGUUUCCUUCGCCGCCACACGCUCCGACCUUUCCCAUUCCUUUGCACCCCUGAAAUCACCUGCUUCCAAGAAAACACCAAAACCAACAUCAAAUGCCAAAAAACAAAGAUUCAGCAAAAUAAAAACAAACCCAAAAAAAAGAAAUAGAAAGGAAUGAGAACAUAUCUCUCACCUGCGUUCUGAAGAAGCAGUUGGAAGAAGCCACUGUGUUUUCCACUCUCAGUUGUACCGCACUCUGAAACAAUGAAAUAAAGACAUUCAGAAUCCAAAUUUCNNNNNNNNNNNNNNNNNNNNGAGAGAGAGAGAGAUUACAUGGGCAGAAGAUGAGAGAGAGAAGGAGGGAAGAGUGGAAGCCAUGGCUGACCAGCUCAGUUGUGUUUAUCUUCUGAGUUGAUGUUGGUUUUAGUUACUCACACGCUGUUGGGUAAAUGCACGAAAACAAACAUAGAUUUACAGGAAUACCAUAUCGGGCUAAGGAUCCGAACCCGAGUGUUUUGGACUUCUGACGGUGUUACGGGGCAAGUUGGGCGGGUUCAAGGAUAACUCUUGUUCAAGAAGUGAAGAUAUUUUUGAAGUUUUUCACUUCUUCCGUUUUGGUUAUAACUUAUAAGAAUGUAUUUUCGUAAACGCUGCAGGCAGCAUGCGUUUUUGUUCCUCGUCUCAGUUUUGGAUUAUCGUUACCAAGAGAUUCAUGGUUAGUAACCAUUAGAUUUACAUCCAAGUUAAUCACUGGUAUAUUUACAUCCAAGGAUUGAAAACAAAACAACUCAACUUAAAAAUAAUUCUCUGCAUUUUUAUAUUUAAAUCUAACGGCUACUGAUUAUGAAUCUCUUGGUCAAUUACUUACCAUAUGAACACUACUGCUUCAUGAGUUCAUGUGAAUGAAGUUCCACAUUCUACCAAAAAAAAAAAAAAAAAAAAAAAGAAAGAGAGAGAGGUAUACAUCUAAGAAUAAUUCACCUGCUAAUGAUUUGGUGACCAUUUAUUGUAUAUGACUAUAUACUUGGAUGUAAUUCAAAUAUGGAUUCAACUAUUCAAGUAGCUGCGUGUGAUUUGGUUCGACCUUUGUUUGCCAUUAAUUAUGCAUUUAAGCAACUUAAUUAAGUCGUCAAAGCCAAAUGCAAAAGUUACAAGCAAGGUUUUAGGAAUCUCAAGCAAAAAGCAAAUACAAAAUACAAAAAAGUAAUUCAAAAGCCUCAUUUUCUAUUUGUUAUACAAAAGUUAUAAGCAAGGUUUUCACUAUAGAUAAAAAACAAUUUUCAACGGUCAUUUCGUAAACCACUUUCGUCACGAGAAAAACAUCUUUAACUUGAAAAUCCUGAAAACGUGCCUAAUCCGACUUCGCUAAAGGAAACAAAUCCAACCCACCCUCACCCCCAUCACACCAAGCCUCACUCAUACAUGGAUCACUUUAAUGCAGUUUAGUUUUUCAAGAGUUUACACAUCUAGUCUAGAAAAUAAUGGAAUUUCCAUUACCUCACACCUUCUCUACUACAUUAUCCCAAAAUUCCUAAAAUAGGUUAAUCCCAAUACGACGCCGUUUCCCACCCAUAUAUAAAUAUACAUAUAUAUGUUUAUAUAUAUAUAAUAUUAAACUCUCACACACACAGUAGUGGUGUGUUGGAGAAAGUAAACUAAAAAACCAGUACACUGGGAACUGUUAAAUCUGAGAGAGAGAGAGAGAGAGGAGCAGUUUACACCUCACACUAUUCUUCUUCUCAAUCAUCUUCAUCUUUCUAGGGUUUCUAAUUUUUACAGAACCAAAAUCUGAUUCUUGAUUUUCUCACUCCACGAUUUCCCAGAACACAAAAGGACUUUUAAUUAGACGAAGCUGAAGAAGAACAAGAGGAAGCUGGUAGAAACUUUGACCUGAACAAAUCGGAAGAACUACUAUUAGACCUUUUUGAAUUUGGGGAACGAAAUGGUUGAAGAGAUUGGACGGUGUUGAGAAAACCCUAGGGGUUAUGGAGAGGUCUAGAUCCAAGAGAUCGUACUACUAUGACCAGCACCAGGACUACGACGCCGAGCCGGUACAACAACGGCAACGGCCUCGGUACAACAACCACCACUACGCCAACGGAAACAACGGCGGCGGAGGCGGUAGAAAUCACCGGCAUAACAGCGGCGGCGGCGGAGGUAGGGCGGCGGCGGUGAAGACGGGGCAGCAGGAGGCGGCGUCGGCGGCGGUGACGACGUCGUAUCGGAUACUGUGCCACGAUAUGAAGGCGGGAGGGGUGAUAGGGAAGUCCGGGAGCAUAAUCAAGUCGAUCCGGCAGCACACCGGCGCGUGGAUCAACGUGCACGAGCUGGUCCCCGGCGACGAGGAGCGGAUCAUCGAGAUUUCCGACACGCGGCGGCGGGACCCGGAGGGGAGAAUGCCGGCGUUCUCGCCGGCGCAGGAGGCGCUGUUUCUGGUCCACGAGCGGAUUCUGGAGAGCGAGGUCGGCGGCGGCGGGGCGGAGGAGGAGGACGAGUACGGCGGAGGCGGAGGAGGAAACAGAGGGACACGUGUCGCGACGAGGCUUGUGGUGUCGAGGAUGCAUGUGGGGAGUUUGCUGGGGAAAGGAGGGAAGAUAAUAGAGCAAAUGAGGAUGGAGACUAAGACGCAGAUUAGGGUUUUGCCGAGAGAUCAUAACCUGCCGCGAUGUGUUUCAAUGUCUGAGGAGAUUGUUCAGGUUUUCGGAACUUUCCAGCUCUCUGAUGCUUUACUCUCAGUUGCAUUGAUUUAGUUACACUGGUUUGCUGCUUUGGACUGAAUGAACAUUGCUAAAUAUAGACUGAACUGGACUGACCCUCUUACUAAAACUGAAAAUAAGGACAAUAAUCGGCAGCUUAAAAUGAUGAUGAACUGGUUAUAUGAUAGUGUGUGACUUGGGCUGAACUGUGCAGUAAUUUUGAUGUUCAUCGAGUAUAUUGGUAGUGUUGGGUACCUUGAUCUUUGUUAUGUUGAAGGUUCGUAGUCACUGCAUUAUUGGAUAGACACCAAGUAUGUAGGUGUAUAAUGCAAUGACUGGUUUAUGCUAUUCUUUAACUCAGUGUACUGGGUACAUUGAUUUUGUUACUGGUUUUCUGCUUUGGACUGAAUGAACACUGCUAAAUAUAGACUCAACUGGACUGACCCUCAUUCUGAUACUUGCUAAAACUGAAAAUAAGGACAAUAAUCGGCAGCUUACAAUGAUGAUGAACUGGUUAUAUGAACUGUGCAGUAAUUUUGAUGUUCAUCGAGUAUAUUGGUAGUGCUUUUGAACAUUUUGCAGCCUUUAGUUGCAUCAUGUUGGGUACCUUUGAUCCUUGUUAUGUUGAAUGUUCGUGGUCACUGCAUUUAACGAUGUGAACAUACCAUCAGUGAUAUGAUGUUGGAUUUCUGCUGCAGGUAGUAGGCGACCCGAAUAAUGUAAAGUCUGCUGUGGAAAUUAUUUCAUCUCGCUUGAGGGAGAGCCAGCACCGUGACCGCAAUAAUUUCCAUGGACGAGCUCAUUCACCAGAACGGUUCUUUCCUCCUGAGGAUGAUUAUAUUCCUCACAUGAACAAUGCAGGACGUAAGUCGUCCAUGGAUGGGUCUGGUUACGGAUCAAGAUUAUCCGGCCACAAUACGAGGAACAACAACUAUGGCUCACGUUCAUCUGGUUAUAUGAUAGAACCAGGGUCUGUUCCAAUGGAUGAUAGUGUGCAGCCCUUUUAUGGAGAAGACCUUGUGUUUCGAAUGCUUUGCCCGGUUGAUAAAGUUGAUCUUGUCCUCGGAGAAUCUGAUGGAAUUAUAGAAUUGCUUCAAAAUGAAAUUGGUGUGGAUGUCAGGGCUACUGACCCUGUGGCCGGAGCAGAUGAACAGAUAAUCAUAAUUUCUUCUGAGGAGGUACUUCAAAAUUUUCUGGUGAAAACUGAAUACAUAUAAUUAUCAAGAUCCAUUUUCUUCUGGUCGUUGUGUAAAUAUGAACAGGUGACACUGUCUCAUAUAGCACUUAUAUAUGAUCUGGAAAUGUAUCUGAUUAGUUCAAAUGAUCUGCUUUUUUCUUUUCUUUGGGAACCUCUACUCUCUUUUCUUGUUUCUGGUAACACUUGACCAACUUUUGGUUUCUUGUCUGUUACUAGGGUCCUGAUGAUGAGCUGUUUCCGGCUCAGGAAGCUUUAUUGCAUAUCCAAACUCGUAUUGUUGAUCUGAUACCAGACAGAGAUAACAUUAUAACUACAAGGUUACUUGUUUCAUCAAGUGAUAUUGGAUGCUUGGAGGGAAGAGACGGGUCUUUAUCAGACAUGAGGCGACUUACUGGUGCAAAUAUACAAAUUCUGCCUAGAGAAGAACUUCCUCCGUGUGUAUCAGGGAAUGAUAUGCUUUUACAGGUUUGUCAUUUAACCUGCUAAUUUCGUUAAGAUUUAUGGUUUGUUAAUUAUUUCCUUUAUCUGGGUUGGACUUAUUUUUAUUGGGUGAAUAAGUUCAAAACGGACUUUUGGAAUGAUCCCAAUGCCUCCUGCAGUAUGAUGGCACAUAUGCUAGUUUCACUUUACAAAUAAAGUGGAACCUGUAUAUUUAUUUAUGGAUGAUCCUGGACUGACUGUUCAAAGUGAACAAUAUGCUGGAAGAGUUGAAAUGUCAGCCCAUCCAAUUUCUGCUGUUCAGCUAGGAUAUAUUGUGAAUGCUUCUUUUCCUUGUGUCUGGGUCUGAAUAUGGCAUCAUAUGUGCUUCUGUGUUUUAUCAGAUGAAAUGUUUCUACAAAAGAUAAGGGGUCCAAUAACAUAACAAGUCUAAUAAAGGCUUGGAGUUCCUGGUGAACAGAAUCAGUUAAACUUAAGUCGAUUCUUAGUUUGUUUUUUAUGUCAUCUACAGAUAGUAGGGGAAAUAAAAGCAGCUCGAGAUGCUCUUGUUGAGGUGACAUCACGACUAAGGAGUCACUUAUACAGGGAGUUGUUUCAAAAGGAUACCAUGCCGCUUUCUGUGCCUGGCCCUGCAAGUAGUGCUCUUGAUUACAUAAAUCCUGUUCGUGAAGCUCGUACUGGAAAUGGCCCUUCUAUAGCUACCUAUCAGAAUGUGCAAACUACUCAGCCAUCUAAGGUUUUCUUUAUAUCCUUCUGUCAAUUUUACAGUUUUCUUCUCUCUCUCCUUUGAGUUUAACUGAUUUGAUGAGGGCUUCAAAAGUUAUGGUUAUUAAAGUUCUGUUCAUGUCCCCAGUUCUUGUGUUUUAAGUUUUAGUACUGGUGUUGUAGGACUCUGGAGUGGUUGUCAGUGAAGCAGUAAAGCAGAAUGAAAAUGAAAGGCGUGAAGAUGUUCUGACUGGGCUGAAUAGGUAUCACAUUAUGUCUUGUUUUCACUUUAUUUGGCAUCUGUAAAUCAAUGAAUUAUCCCUCUUUCUCUUUAGUUUUGCUAUCUAUGAGUAUCUGCCUUAUUGAUGCUUUCUAUACUUCUUCCAGUAGAAUACCCGUGACACUUGUCACUCGGAGUAUACUUGAAGUUGUCAUACCCGAGAAGGCUGUUUCAAAGCUCAUAACAAAAUCGAAAAACAUGCUUGCUCAGAUCAGUGAGGUCAGCCUAAUGAACACUUUAUUCUGAUGGUUGCUCUUAUCAUACUUCAAUUUUGGCUCUGCUAAUUGUCUUUUGAUGUGUCUUUUGGUGGAACAGUUAUCAGGAGCCAGGGUAACCCUGGUAGAGGAUAGUCCAGAGGUAGCCCAAAAGAUAAUUCAAAUUUCAGGCACUCCGGAGCAGACUGAGAGGGCUCAGAGCUUGCUCCAGGGUUUUAUCUUAAGCAGUAAGUCUCUUUCUCUGUCUAAGUGCUUGUUGCAUGUGGCUAUUGGUAUUUUGUACUUCUCUGGUUUCAUACAUGUCAAUUCUGAAUCCUCCUUUCUCAUUCAUCAGCACAAGAAGACGACCCUUGAAUGCACAGAAGCAACAUGGUUACCAAAUUUUGAGCUCAGCCUACUGGGGUAUUGCUGCUGUCAAGAUCGUUCCCGUAUUAUCCUACGCAAGGCAAGGAACUUUUUCGCUCCAGUUUAGGCACACAUAGAGCCUCUGUGAUAGAGGCUUCUGUGUUACUGUACCACUGUAAAUGUAAUAUCUGAACACGUUUUAGCUUUAGUCCCCCUGCCAUGUUUCAGUUUUCAUGUAUGAACUGGGCAGUAGAAACACAACCCAGUAACUGUUCUCUUUUAUGUUGUAUCGGCGACCAAUUCUCCACAUUCUGUUUGUUCUGCAAGAUGAAGCUAUUGAUAUGCAAGAGCAUAUCCAAUUUUAACAUACAUGACAACAUUCAGGUAGUCUUGGUAUAUGUAUAAUGUAACAUUGAAUGCUCAUGAUCAACCGUCCUUUUGUUUGUUACAUUCAGCUGAGCAAACGAUAUUUUUUUACUUUAAGUUUUUUGUAGAGGUGAUCUUUAUUAGAUUUACAAUUUUACAUUAACAAGAGAGAAUCUAAAUGCACACGUAGUCAGUAAUAUCAAGCCAUCAAGGGAAGUAACUUCCUACAACUUCCAGUUACUGCUGGGCCGAACGGGCCGUCUUACCUGCACAUUGGGCUUGGCCCUUACAAGAUAAAGAGAAUACAACCCACUAAUACUUCCCUACGCCUACUGCCAUUGUUCCAUCACCGUCGCUCCGAAACCCUAAACCCUCAUUUCCUCCGGGAGCAGCUUACGUCAUCAACCGGUACGUCUCCUCCUCCUCCUCCUCCCUUCUUUUACUUUCUCGUUCGCAAUUUCGUAAUCAGCUAAUUUCGCGAUAAUCAAAACCGAAGCGUUUUUCCGUUUCGCAAUUUCCGAUCUCUGAUUUCGUUUCUGUUCCGACGAAGCUCUGGGCUACAUGGCUUGUAUGCGAAAUGGCAGAAAUGCCCUCCGUCAGAUCAUCAACAACGUCCAUUCUUCCGAGUCGGAGCGCAUGAUGAAUCCGCUGGUCUUCGCUUGCCAAGGAGUCCGGCAUAGAAAAUUGGAAGUGAUUUUGACGACGGUGAGAAAAAAAUUUCAGAGAAAUUAUGGUUUUGGAUAAUUUAGGUUUUUAGUGAGUGGAAGUUUGUUUGAUUUAGAUGUUGCAAAUUGUAGAAUGUAGAUAAGCUCGGCAAGGCCGGUGAGACUGUGAAGGUUGCGCCGGGGCAUUUUCGCAACCACUUGAUGCCGAAAUUGCUUGCUGUACCCAACAUUGACAAGUAUGCAUAUCUAAUCCGGCAGCAGCGAAAGGUGAGUUAGUGUUUACUUUUGUCAAAUGUGUUUGUUGUUAGUGUUGAUUCGUUGCGUUUGGUUGUGUAAUGUGAAUGUUGUGUGGUUUAGAAUGCGCCGUUGGAAGAGGAGGAGGAGAAGGAGGAGGUUAAAGUGGUUACUGUGUCGGAGGAAGUUAAGAUGAAAGAGUAUGAAAAGGCAGCAAAGCGUCUGGAGAAUGCUCGUCUGGUUCGUAAGCUUAUCUACUGUCUUUUGAGUUCUGGUUGUGUUCAUAAACGUGCUACUUUUGAUACAGUAAUAGGGAUGUGUUUAGUUAUAGUUCAAUGUCGUAUUCCGAAUGGUGCUAGGAAGAGAGAUGAAUGUUGAGAAAUGUGAUUACUUUUGAUAUGAGAUUCAGAUGCUUAUUUCAUCAUAUGAAUGUUCGUAGUAAUGCAUAGUUUUGAUAUGAUAAUCAGAUAUACGGCAAGUUAUGCUUUUUGAUAGCUUAGUAUCUUCUUGGAGAUAGAUGUGAAGCUCUUUGUUAUAAUGCUGCUUUGGUUUACAAGUUAUACAGAGCAUCUGAAGUUCACAUAUAUUUGCAGGUGUUGCGGAGGGCCAUUAAUCUUGAAAGGUUCAGGACACGCGCAACAAAGGAGGAUCCUAUAGAAUUGCGAUCUGUUGUGACCAAGGAGGAUAUUGUGGCUGAGGUAUGGUUUUGUUCGUAGUUGUUUUCAAACUUCAAACCUUGAGAUGCAUAUCUUUCCUUUGUUUUCAAACUGAUACCAUCUCAAUGUCGAUUUAGGUGGCAAGGCAGCUUUGUAUUGGCUUAGAACCUGACAAUGUGCAUCUACCAUCUCCAUUGUCAACCGUGGGAGAGUAUGAGGUACCACUGCGCCUUCCGAGAUCCAUCCCUUUGCCUGCAGGGAAGGUUCAGUGGACACUUAAUGUUAAAAUCCGAUGUGCAUAAGCAUUGGUCUUUUUCAACUCGGUUCUCUCAGAAUGUCUUCUUCUAGCUCACAGUUUUGGUUUUUGUAAUCUGAGAAUUGUUGUAGUGGCUGUUGUACUUUGGAAUCAAAAACAUCCCCAUAGUAGUAAAACCAUGUUGCUUCAAGGAUCAUUUUCUCUUGGUGUCUAAUAGUAGUUGAUGAUAGGCUUACUUUCAAUAAAUGGUUUUUCCCACAUUUAUGUGGUCUAUUAGUUUCGUGACUUGCGGACAUCAAAACUGAACCAUACUGGGUUCCGCCUAGCCAGCUUAGAGCAAAUGCAGCAGAGGACUAUUUGCAUGGGUUGGACUGAGAGAUUGGACCAAAAACUGCAUCCAGUGUCAAAAAAUUGGACUGGGUUGAUGCUAGCCCCAUGCGAGACCUACCAUGAUAGACUGUGGUCUGAGUUAAGGAUUAACUCAUCUCUCAGUCCAGGACUAAUUUCUCCACGGGACCCACGUGAGACCAAAUUGCACAUGGCGAGUGGACAUGCAGAUGGGGCUGACAACUUUUUCUAAAUAACUCUUUAACAUGGGCUGUUCAGAUCAAGAUUUAACGGUUCAUAUAAAAUGUGAAUAGUAAUUGGUCUUAUGAUCGAUCUUGUUGUUGUAUUAUUGAACAAAUGACUAAAGACUGAUUUGGAUGAGUAGUAUAUUAACCCGGGUUGAAAAUUGAUCCAACCCACCCAAAAUGGGUGCAUUUGCUCUUAGGCCCGGUCUGGCUUUAGAAAAACGACGAUGCGUUUCUUGAGAAAUGAACGGCAAGUCGCUAUUUAAGAGGGUUUUAAGUUUGAACCGACCCACAAAACCCGACCCGCCCAAAUUCCCAUUAUCUCUUUGGCUCCGUCUUCACAGUUCUGCAACUCUCACUCCUCUAAUGGCUGCUUCUCUCAUUCUACCUUCUCACUUCUUCACCACCUACAAGUAAUCCCCCCUCUCUCUUUUUUUUAAUUGGGUGUUUUUGUAGUUCAAGAAUAAUUGUUGGGUUAAUCUCUAACUGCUAUUUCUAUUUGAAUAAUUUCUAGGAUAAGCAAACUGUGCUUACAUCACAUGCAGUCAGCAAAUCCACACAAAGGCAUCACCUGCUUUUUCCCGGUUAGAGCAUUGGCUUCUAGAACUUUUGCUUCAGUUGGGUCAGUAGAGAAUCACGUCUCAGCUCCAACCAACACUCAAAGGUUCUUCUUUUUUGCUUUGUAUUUUGUUUCUGUUGGUUCUUUUUUGUUAAGCACAUUUUUUCUGCAAGUGAUUUUGUUAAGUGGUGUUUGAUGAUUUGGCAGGUCUGGAGGUUCUAAAACAUCUGAUAAUGAUUUCGAGAGGGAGUUACAGGAGUUGUUUGAUGAAGUGAAAACGUUGGUUAUGAAUGGGAGUAAAGAUGAUGCUGUGGAUUUGCUUCGAGCGAAUUAUGAGGCUGUGAAGGAGAGGAUGGAUGCCGGGGUUAGAGGCAUUGAGGAAGCUGCUACCAUUGACAUCAUAGCUCUAGGGUACAUGGCUGUUGGUGACUUUAAGUUUGUCGAGUCGUUACUGGAAAUGGUGAUUUCUUUUUCCGUUUUGUAGUUGUAUUAUUGCUUUUAUGUUAUGGACUUAUGUAUAUUCCCUGCUCAAGCAUUUCUAGAGAAUGUACUCCUUCUUGCUCAUUGUAUGCCCUUUCAUGUGUUGUAUGAUUUGAACUGGUGUAGUUGGUACAUUGAUCCAUGAUUUGGGCAGUUCUUCAGGAUAUUGUUACUACAUUUCACAUACUUUAGGGAAGACAUGGUUUUUUUUCUGAAGGGCGUAUAGUUUUCUUAGCCAUAUUUGUUUGUACUUUGCAGCCUGUUAUUCCACUCUUUUUUUGUUGAUGUAUUUCAAUGGUGUGCAGUUGAAUGAGAUUGUUGGAAGUCUAAAGGAUGAUGAACCAUUGCUGGAUUCAGUUCUGGUGCAUAUGGGAAGCAUGUAUUCAACUUUGGGGAAGUUUGAGAAAUCAAUGAUUGUAUAUAGGGGAGCAAUUGAUAACAUGGAGAACAUAUAUGGUAAGGUUUUUUUUGUCUCUCAGGCCCAUUCUCAUGACUCAAAAAUUGAAAACUGUUGUGGUGUCUUAAGGUGGUGCUAUGUAGAUGUAUCUGGUCAAUAAUACUAGAUAUGGCUCAUUGACUUGAUAAUAAAUACUCAGUCAUAAUGGUUUUCAAAUUCUUUAUUAGUACAACCUAAAUGUGAAUUUACAUGAUCAUUUUUUUUUUUGGGACAAGAAUUUACAUGAUCAAUUGAAGGACCUUACAUUUGCAGUAUGAUCUGAUCGAACUGCAUGGUAGAUACUGUAGGGUACCAUUGUUCAAUUAGUGCUGUCUGCAAAUUAAGUUUUCUCUGAUAUUCAACAGUUGUUGUCACUUUUUCUUCAGGGAAACAUAGUGUUUUUCUUAUCACGCCAAUUUUGGGCAUGGCAAAAGUUCUUGGUUCUAUUGGAAGGACUACAAAAGCAGUAGAUUUUUACCAUCGUGCAAUAGCUCUUCUCGAAUCUAGCAGAGGUGCUGAAUGUGAGGAUUUGGCCAUACCUUUGUUUGGUCUCGGCAGCCUUUUACUCAAACAAGGGAAACCUACUGAGGCAGAAACUCCUUUUUUAAGGUUUAACUUUCAUCCCCUCUUUGUAGAAUGGCCUACUCUGCCCUAACUGAAAUAGGACUGUUUGGUAAUUGUUCUUUCUUGUUCUUCUUCAGAAUUUUAAAUAUAUACACAAAGUUGUAUGGAGAAGAUGAUGGAAGAGUUGGGAUGGCUAUGAGUUCCCUGGCCCAUGUCAAGUGUGCAAUGGGUAAUAGAUCUCACUCUCUAUAUGUAUAUUAGCUUCCUGGUCUCAUUUUUGGACUCAUGUGGUAAUUUUCUACAGGAAAGGCAAAUGAAGCAAUCGAUUUAUAUAAGAGCGCUCUUAAAGUCAUCAAGGAUUCCAAUUAUAUGGCUUCUGAUGACAGCAUAGUGGAGAAGAUGCGGAUAGAUCUGGCAGAAUUACUUCAUGCUGUUGGAAGGUAAUAUCAAAUUUUGUGCAAAGUUUCAUAGAUACUGGAUUAUAAAUGCAAGUUGGUGUUUAGUGCACAACAUAUAUAUUGUUUUUUGUUAUUAUAUGAUCGUGGUGGUUUUUUGGUUUAGUGGUACUCUUUGAAUAGGACAAUGACUAAUUGCCAUAUGAAAAUGAUGAUAGGUACCCUUGGUACAUGUUAUACAUUUCAUUAUCAAUCACCUUAUGUUUCUCUUUCAAGUUAAAAACCACAAUCCUACACAACCUGCAAUUGCUAUUUCUCUUUUAGUAUUAAACUUCGGUUGCUUGCAGGGGAAAGGAAGGCCGAGAGCUACUGGAGGAAUGCUUGCUGAUCACUGAGAAACAUAAGGGCAAAGAGGACCCCAGCUCAGUGACACACCUCAUCAAUCUCGCAACUUCACAUUCCCGCUCAAAGAACUAUGUGGAGGCUGAGCGCUUGCUGAGGACAAGUUUGCAGGUCUUGUCAAAGACAGUGUCACCCGAUGACCAAUCCAUCUCAUUCCCAAUGUUGCACCUCGCCGUUACUCUCUACCAAUUAAAACAGGACGAAGAAGCUGAACAACUCGCCCUCCAGGCUUUGCACAUUCGUGAGAAAGCAUUCGGAGAAGACUCCCUACCUGUUGGUAGGUUAUCAUUUCCUUCCCGGUCAAGAAACACUAGAUUCAGGAGUCAUCAAGUUAUGGUUUGACGUGUUCUAAUGUACAUUGCAGCUGAGGCUCUCGAUUGUCUGGUGUCAAUCCAAACAAGACUGACAAGGGACGACGAAGUGUUACUAGAUCAGCUGAAGAGGGUAUUGAGCAUCCAAGAGAAAGAGUUCGGCCCCGAGAGCAAGGAGGUCUUGACAACCUUAAAAAAAGUUGUACAUUUCCUAGACAAACUAGGCAGGAAAAACGACAAGCUCCUCUUGCAGAAACGACUCUCUGCCCUUAGAUCAAAAUUCAAGCAACAAAUUCAACAGUAAUAGCAAUCAGACCAUAAGUCUCGUACUCAUCUCAACUUUGUGAGCAUCACAACGUCAAGUCAAACACAGUAACAACCAUGUUUAGCUUUGCGUCACGGAACAGAACAGUGUUCUUGGAGCUUACCGCGACGUCGUUCUCUGACCAUUUUACGACACGUCGUUUCUCCUUAAGUGGUGGUGCGAGAGUGAUUUGAGAGAUAUUUUAGAUCUCCGAAAUGGUCCCAUAUGUAACUUACCAACCAUAUGUAACUUGCCAAUUUGCCGAGGAACAUUUCAUGAUGGGUACAAAGAGAAACAUGCAUGAUGCCCAAACUGAGAUUUACACCAAUUACGGUUAACAGUUAAUAACUGACCACUCCCUACUUUCCCACCAAAAUAGGACCCGGUUCACUUGCGGUUCUUGAAGCAUAAGGUACACAAGUCUAUAAAGCACAGAAGGUAAUAGUAAAUUUUCAUUCUUUUUUCUUUUGGAUAUUUUUUUUGACACUGGAAUGGAUAUUACUGAAAGCAUUAUUAUAGCAAAACGGUGAUGUAGGCUUCAAGAAAGGAGGGUCUUCGUCUCUGUCUGUAUCUCUGUCUUUGGAUCUUGGAAAACGUAUGCAAACUCCAGAAGAGAAAACCCAUCUCUUCUUAGAAGGUAGUUUCCAUUUUGGGUCUUCUCAGAUUGUAUAUAUUCUGCUUAAAGCUUGGAUCUUUUUUGUUUUUGGCAAUCAAAGUUUGAUCUUUGUAACUGUGUGAAGUUUGUUGUAUCAAAUCUUUGGGGUUAUGGAGAAACCUUUUUGGGUUUUCUUGUUUGUGUUUAGAGUCUGAGCCGUAUAAUUGAGGUGGUGAACUGUUUUGAUUUUACAGUUUCUUUGAAACCUGGAACUUGAUUAGAUACAUGAAUUCUCGGAUAUCGAAGCCUUGUAGAAUUUGAUUGGAGUUUGGAUUAUACAAUGACUAUAUGAGACUUUUUGAAAUUGUUUCUGCUAUUCUCUUAAUAUAUAGUUUUGUAGGGUUGUGAGUGUGAGUUUGUAUUGCUUUUGUUAUAGGUAGAAAUGGGUUGAAUUGGAAUGGGUUGAACUACAGGUACUGAUAGGUUGAAGUUAAGGUAGUUGUGAGAAUGGGUGAGUGGAAAUGAUAUUUAAGUAAAAUCAUCUGAUUUUGGAAGUUUGGAUCUUCGUGCUUUUUGAUAUUUCUGAUCGCCUAUUAUCAGAGUUCUAGUCAUGGUGUUGAGACUUGGGGAUCAUGCCCUGAUGAUUCAUAUUUUGAUCUAGUAGUUAAAUUUUCUGGUUUACUGCUUCCAAAUCCUUUCGAUCUGCGUAUGACUUAACGAUCCUUUCUUGAUGUGGCCACUUGUAAUCUAUGACUGAUCAUUAUCUUUUCAUUUUAAAAUCUGCUGCAGAUAGAUAAGGGUAAUGGCAGCAGCUGAAGCACGGAGAGCAUGGCAGCAUAGAGCGAAUUGUUGUUUUUCCCAAGAUGAUGGGAGGAGUGCUCAAAGAUUUUCACGUCACCCGUCAUCAUCUUCCUCAAAAGAAUCUGAUAGUGCUCAUGAGAAUGCUUCAUAUGGGAUUGAUCACCUUAUCCCAGAACGCACGCCUUAUAACUCAACUCCGGAGCUAACACCCAGCACUAGAUGGUGGUUAAACCUGGAACCAAACUUUGGGCCUCAAAAGGAAUUUAUUGAUGAUCAGCGAAAAAGCCUGGACGCUGAAGUGUUAAAUUCUGGAUAUAUCAAUAAAACUGCCAUCAUAAAUGAUUAUUAUCAGUGCAAGGAGGUAUUUAGUACUCAAAGUGAUAGUGAAAAGAGUGUCAACUGUUUUUUGGAGAAACCAUGUACUGUUUCAGUCACUUCUCCAAAAGGUGACCAAAGUAAGAGAAUACAAGAACUCAAGGCUGGAACUGGUAAUGGUCCACAGUUGCCUAAGAAAAGGGACACAGGAGAGUUUUGGUGCUGCGAUGAUGACUUCAUGAACUUGGAUUCUUUCAACAGCUUGGAUUCUGAACAAAGCAAGAAGCUGUCUCCUGAUUUGGAUACCCAAUGGGUGGGAAGUGAGAAGUCUGAACCAUGGUGGCGCUCUGCUGGUAAAGAUGAGUUGGCUUCCUUGGUUGCUCAGAAGUCACUUGAAAAUGUUGAGAAUUGUGAUCUUCCACGGCCCCAGAUUAGGAUGGGCGCUCUCGCUUCUACAAAGUUUCCUGACCCUAAUUUAUCCUUAGAUCAGAUGACUGAACUGGGUUUAUCCAAUGUCACCACUUAUACUCAGGGAAGCUUAACUUCAGGUCACUCAGCAUAUGAUCCAGAUAGUUCACUAAGGUAAUUUUGUGUCUUGAGCUGUUCUUUAUAUUAUUUCCUGGACAGUUAUGGUUUGUGUAGAUUGUCUAACCAAAUAUCUAAUUACUUGGGAAGUUAUUUUGAAUGCUUAGUUUAUGAAUUUCUACUUUGUGCCCGAGGAUUUCCUUUGGUGCAAUUUUAUGAGUUUACAACUGAAUAUUGAGGAUGCUUUAGUAACAUUGGUAUAAUUCCAUGAUCUAUCGUUGCAGUUAUAGUGUACAUUCCUUCCAUUGUUCUGAUGUUAGAAACACAACUUUACAAUGAGUUUUUUAUAUUUUGAUCCAAUUUUAUGUUUGUUUGUUUUCAGCCACAACAAUGAUUAUGCUGCAACCAACCAAGAUGAGCCAGAAGAUGAGCGGAGCAAAGCUCAGCUGCUGGAAGCGUUGUGUCAUUCUCAGACACGAGCUAGGAAAGCUGAGAAUGCUGCACAGCAGGCCUAUACAGAGAAGGAGCACAUCAUCAGUCUCUUUUUCAAACAGGCAUCACAGCUGUUUGCCUACAAGCAGUGGCUCCAUCUGCUCCAAAUUGAGAACUUUUGCCUGCAGCUGAACAAAAAAGAUGGCUUACCAUGGUCCCCAUACAAGGGCAGACCCUUAAAAAAGAAGGGUCAGCGCAGGGCGGGAAGGAGGAGCGGCGGCAGGAUAAGGUAUGAGAUCAGCAAGGGUGCUGUUGCUUUUGCUCUAGGAUUAGGUCUUGCUGGUGCGGGCUUGCUCCUCGGAUGGACUAUGGGGUGGUUGUUUCCAGCUUUUUAGACUACUCUUCAUCCUGACCAUUACCUUGUUUAGUAUGGCUCUUGAGUGGUAAUUACUAUUCCCUGAUUAUGUAGGGUUUCAAUAUCAGAUUAGUUCCUCUUUCAUCACCUCUUAAGUAAGAAUUUCAGUUGUUUAGGUUUGUUGAUUGUGUAUAUAACUAUAUACAAAAACAGGUAUUUAUGGUCAUUUUGUAAAAAGUAUGUAAUUAAUUUUAUGUAUUUUUAGUCGAUCUUUCUUCCCCUUUUCUUGUGUUUAUUGUGGAUAUUCCUCUUUUUAACUCUAUUCAGUGCAAAUAUUAUAUGCCAAAUGUGAUUCAUACUUCAGCAUGAGGGAUUAUAAUGUCUUGUCUAUAUUUGGAUUCAGCUAGAGAUUCCAUUGCUGGAUAUGAACAAGUGCAUCGACCACCUACAUGAUCUUAUCUGCUACCAUAUUCCAUCCAAUCACAUCCAUCAUUCAAAACGAAAACACGUGCUACACAUUAUUCAUAUACGUUCCAAAAUUUGGAUUGUAUUUCGAUUUGUAUUUUUGCCAUCUACACCCUCGAGUCAUACCCUGUAUUGUCUUACUUGCCACAAGUCAGAUAUAUAUUUGUUCAUUAAUAUUUUUCUCUUUAUAUCUAUUAGUUAGAGAGAAGGUUUAUUGUGCAAAAUGUAUUAAGUAUCGGAGUUAUACGUCACCUUAAAUUCAAAAGGGAGAGCUUAUUCCAUUACAUAUAGAGAUUUUUUAGUUUUGUCAGUUUGAGAAGUGCUAAAAAUCAUGAUCUAAAUGUGAGAAAAUUUUGUGAAAAAAUAAGAACAUGCGUUUUUAACAAAAAAAAAAACGUAUGUAUAAUCCCCACGGUUUUUAAUAAAAAAUGAGUUUUUGACAAAAAAAAAAUUAUAGUUUGAACAAAAUUCAGCAGUAGGCUCUCAUUGCACCUUCAUAACCUCACUAGUUUGUAAUCACAACUAUUCAGCAGUAGCCAAUAGUUGCGAUUACAUGAUUGAUCGACAAGAAUCGUGGUGAAAAUGACUCACCUUAAUUGCUCAACAAAUCAACACUAAUUAUAAGAUUUCGUUAAGAAAGUAGAUUAAACUAAUAUUCUAGUCUAGAUUAAACUAAACUAAUUAGUGAUUAAGAACACACAUUUUCAAAUGACGGUUAUACCCUUCCAUGCUUCCCAGUUCCUUCCUUCAUUGGCCGAGUUGGUUGACUCUGACCCCUUACCCUUAGGUAGCCGACCACUCUCCCACAACUCAACAAACCCGCUGGCCGCACGCCACGUGUUCCCGCCCAAUCUCUCCGAUAAAUACGCGGACCCAAAUCCCAAAGCCUCCAGAAAAUUCUGCGUCAUUUUUUUUUCAGAAUCUAAAAUCCACAGCGUGCCGAAAUUUCAGUCUCAUUUCAUUAAUUCAUUUAAUCCUCAAAACGAUGCCGUAUUGCGAAGUCGCGUCGCCGCAGAAUGCCGCCGCCGACGACGAAGCAACAAAAAUCUACUACCGGACUUACGGCCGCGGCCCCAUCAAGGUCCUCCUGAUCAUCGGUGAGCGUUUGUUUGUUUGUUUUUUUUUUUUUUGUGAAAUCGGAAUUUUCCGGUGGCUGAUGGAUUUUCCGAUCGACGGUCAGGAUUGGCCGGAACUCACGAAUCGUGGGGGCCACAGAUUCAGGGGCUCACGGGGUCGGUUACGCCGAACGACGAGGAUAGGCCGGCGGCGGAGUGUGGCGACAAUGAGGCUGGUUUCAGCGGCGGAGGUAUCGAGGUUUGCGCGUUUGAUAAUCGGGGCAUGGGCCGGAGCUCCGUGCCGGCGAAAAAGUCCGAUUACACGUGAGUGGUUUGAUAAAGUCAAUUUUGUUCUAGAAGAAUGAGAUGUGUAGUCAAUUUUGAUUCGUUAGAAAAAAAAAAUUGAAGCUUUUCGGAACCGUAGUUGUUUUGUAAAGUAAAGUUUGCAUUUUUUAAUUAAUUUGUGAAAUUUGGAAUUUUUGGAUUUGGAGUUUGACAAGUUUGGAAGGGAAUUGAAGCUGAAUUGAUGGAGUUUUUGUGUGUUGCAGAACAAGAACAAUGGCGAAGGAUGCAAUCGCUUUGAUGGAUCAUCUGGGGUGGAAGCAAGCGCAUGUUUUCGGGCAUUCAAUGGGUGAGUUCACUGUGUCGGUACAUUGUAUGAGAUUUUAGCACAGACCGAAAUGUGAGCCGAGUUUUUUUCUGUUUCGGUAAGGUUUCGAGCUUAAUGGUGAACUUUUGAUUGCGUGAUACAGGAGCUAUGAUAGCUUGUAAGUUAGCAGCGAUGGUUCCUGACAGUAAUUUUGUCAUUGGGUUUGCUCAAUGUCACCGGAGGCGGUUUUGAAUGUUUACCAAGGGUGAGUAUAUCACUUGUCAUGUUUCAUGAGCUAUCCUUUAUUUAGUUAUUUUUAUUGUUUUGGGAGUGGUUGCAUUGCAUCAACUACAUCUUAAUUGUUUCCAAGUUAGUUGUUUCUUAUUAGUAGUCAAUGUUUUGCAGCUCGACCGCCAAACAUUAUCUAUUGCUAUUCGUUUUCUAAAGGCAAAGACUCCGGAGCAAAGAGCAGCUGUUGACUUGGACACCCACUAUUCGAAGGUCCAAGUGCUCUUCAUUCUGUUAUGUUUUUGGAUGUUCUCUGAAUGGAUAAUUAAUGGACAAAAGGGUUACUACUAAUAUAGGUGUUAUAUUCUGUUGUUGUACAGGAGUAUCUUGAGGAAAAUAUUGGAUCCAACACAAGAAGGGCAAUUUUAUACCAAGUAAGAGCAUCACUAACCCCUUUGUAGCAUCUUGUCGGUCGUUGAGAAUUAAAAUAUGUUACAAAGAGUAUGAAAAUCAACUCUGAAGUCCGCUCAGAAUCAAUAUAUGGGGAUCUGUUCCCAACUAAAAUGGUAGAAACUAGUCGAGUCUUUAGUGUACUUGUGUUGAAAGAUCAAUGACCUGAUAUUAAAUUUUUCUCCAGCAAUAUGUAAAAGGUAUAUCGGCUACUGGGAUGCAGUCUAACCAUGGUUUCGAAGGUCAACUGAAUGCGUGCUGGACACAUAAAAUGACACCAACUGAAAUUGAAAUGAUCCGCUCCGCUGGGUUUCUUGUUUCAGUCAUUCAUGGCAGGUGCGCUCAUAUUUCUUUUCUUCCCUUGAGCAGUGUAUUCAAUCUGCGUUCUGUGGAGUAUCUAAGAUGUCAUUUUUUUCCCUUUGCUCUCAGUCGAGCAGAAUUUGUAGCCCUACCAAAUUGCAGUUGUAUAUAUAAACCGAAUGGAAAAUCAUCUCUGUGUCUGAAAUUCAUGUUUUUGUUGGAUCUGUUAUAUGCUGUUUCGGUGUGAUUUUUCUUCUGAAAACCAAUUUGACAUGUUACCAAAUCUGCAGGCAUGAUGUCAUUGCUCAAAUAUGUUAUGCAAAGAGAUUGGCACAGAAGCUGCAGCCUGUUGCUAGAAUGGUAGAUCUUCCUGGAGGACAUCUUGUGAGUCAUGAGAGGACUGAAGAGGUAUACCUUCAUAUCUACCACACCAAGUAUAUCUACUAUUCAUGAUAUGAUUAUCUUGAAAGUGGAAAUGAACGCUGAGCUUGCUUUGUGUCACAUAUCAGGUCAAUAAAGCCCUUCUUGAGUUGAUCAAGGCUUCAGAAGCUAAGACAGAGCCACAGGACUGGACAAAUUUGCCUGAGAAAAGUUCCGGUAAGCAAUUUUACUUUGAGAGAAUGUAUUUCUCCUCUAUCUACAUGCUAAUCUGUGUUGUUCUUUGGCAGGGUGGGUGGUUACAAGGAUGUCGUUUAUCAAAAAAAGUAAUAGCGAGGCUAACAGUGCAUGUUUGGCAUCCAGUAUGUUGCAGAAGCUACAUAUGUUCCUCUUGUACUUGUUUGGUCUCUUUGCCUUGGCGUGCGAGAAAGGAUUGAUGACUUUCAGAAGUAUAAAACCAGCUAGAGUUGCAAAUUCCAUUACAUAAGCUGUUGGUCGAUGGAAAUCCAAAUGUUUCACUGGUAAAAAUACUUCUCUUUCCAUCACCGAUAUUCUAUUCCUUCAGAACAAGCCUAUAUACAUAGAGUAAAAGAAGACUGACAUGGGAAUUUCUCUCAACAGGGGCUCAUCAGUUUUUCAUUCUAUCAGCCAUGCUAAGCGUAUUUAACUGGUUUUUUGCACAUCAAGUAAAUUUUGUGUAGAAUUCGGGGUUCCUGAUUCAUAUACCAGAGUUCAUUAACUUAAUGAGGUCCUUUAUACACAAUAAAGACAUGUUGCAGUUGGUGGAAGAAAUGGAGAGAGAUUCACUACAGCCAAUAUUUAGGCAGUUCCCAGUUCUCCUUAUGACCUUAUCCUGCAACAAAUAUUUACAGAUCCACACCUUUACUGUCCUCCAGCAGAAUGAGGGAAAAGGGAUAGGGUGUUUCUAUUUGUAUCUAUCUUCUUGUUCCUCGUGUAAUUUUACUUGCAAUUGCCAAUAUAUUUACUCUUGGCAACAGAACAACCUUAGACUUGAAGAUUCUGAGAGCAGUUCUAAACUAAACAGUCAUAUAUCAACCUUUCAUGUUAAGAAGUUAAACUUAAAUGCUUGAUACAGGAAAGUUAGCAGCAUGAAUAUAUUGUAUGCAGAAACCUAUAUUCUAUCAUAUUAUAUAACACAUAUAUAAUCUCCACAACUUUAUUGUCACACAAUUUAAACAUCAGCUGAUAUCAUACGAGAAACUCAGAAACAUUCAUUCAUGGAGAUACAUAACACAGAUUCAAGGAAACCAUGUGCUACAAAAUGUAAUAACAGCACAUACCUGUGAUUAUGUACGACAUAUACAUCCGAUUCUUCAACCUUUGACAAGAACUUAGAAAAUCCGAAACAUGUAAUACUCCGAAACAUGGUAGAACUUUGGUUAACAAACACAUGCAUGAUACAGCUUCGGGCGAGAAUUCUCAACCCUCAAAGAAGAAAAGGAUGCAACUUACUACAGAGGAAGAAGAGAGAUAGGAGAUUCGUUGCUUUGCUGAAUAAGAUGCCAUCUCCGAAGCAUUUGAGUAUUAUAUAGCAUGGCAGAUAUGCCUCUGGAAUAUGCCUAUAUUCCUUGCAAGUAAAAUUUGAGAACCCAAUCGUGUAGUUUCUUUAAAGUGCCAGGGAUAUUUUUGUCUUUGACUGACAGAUCUUGAACGGCGUCGUUUCACUUGAGCUGUAAAACCCUAAAUCGUUUUAUAACAAGUUCAAAACGCUGCCGUUUGAUCAACCAUUUCAUCUUAAACCCCCCAAAUUUGGUCAUCGUUCUCCAACUUUGUUGGGUCCAAAGGAAUGGCUGCUAUGGCUUCUGACAAGGCAGAUGGGCAGACCCAGUGGGAGUUUAGCUGGUUAUUACUCUAAGCUUCUCUCUUUUAAUCUCAAAUAUGUAUAUGGUUCUAACUCUUGCAAGAUUUAGGGUUUUGGUUAUACCAAAGUUUAUAGAUAUUUUGUUGAUAUUCCAAUGUUUUUUUGCUUGAAUUUGAUUGAAUUAGGUUUAGGUUAAAAAAGGGUAUGCUUAGUAAUCUUGAAGAUUGAUUAUUUAUUUUCAAUUUGGUUCUGCUGUUUUGUGUUUGUAGCUUCUAGGCUCUGUUCUUUUACUUCAUUCAGUUUCAGUUUAUCUGCUUCUUUUAUGCUCCCUACUUUUCAUGUGCUAAUCUUGUUUGUGAUUUCAAUACAAUAUUGCAAUAAGUUUGAGGUUGGUGAGUUGUAAUGAAAUGUAAGUUCAGGAUAUGAAACUAUGGAAGAUGUUCUUAGAUUGCUUGAUAAGAGGCACUGUUACUAUAUGAACUGAUGAACUCAAAGUUUCAAUUUCUUGGAUACAACCAACUUAGGGAGUAAUUAUAGCAUCGUGAGUACCAAUUAGGCACGAAGAAAAAUUUAGGCUAGUGUAUUGAAGUAGUGUGGUGAAUUUGGUAUAUUGAGGUAGAAUGGGUGAGAAUGCUGGGGUUAUUCUAAAGCUAGAGACUUACUAGUAGUGUUGUAGCCUAUUCUGUAUCAAGGACUAAAGGGAUAUGUAUCUCUGGGAAAUUGAGACGUUUUGCUCAACUGUCGUUGUUUACAGUUGAUCUGAAUCUGGGAAGUGUUCAAACCUGCGGAGGUGCAUUUGUUGUUUUUAAACGCAGAUUUUUUUCGUGCAGUGACAUGGAGGUAGAUUAUGAGUCUGAAGAAAUUGCUUCUAUUGUCUAUAAUACAUUAGCUGUUGAUAAGGAGGUGAUGCUUCGUAUGCUCAAGAUAUGCCUUUACUCAUUUCAUUUUGGUUUGAUUACCUUCUUAUCUUUUUCCGUUUAUGAUCUUCAGUUGCAACCAGACAAGGUAAAAAGGCAGAUGUCAGUAUCCAAUGGAAAGCUUUCAGUGUAAGCAUUUUUUUCUGUUGUGUUAGAGUUCAGUAUUUAAACUUCUAUUGAAGAUUGAUUUUGGUGGAAAUUGAUUCUGAUGCGAUAUUUAAGCUUUAUGAGGAAUUUAGGAUUACUGAAAUGCAUGUGCGCUGAAGUCAGUGACUGUUAAAAUCUAUUUUCUGCUGAAUGUAUGGUUGAUCUUAUGGACGCAGGCAUUUUGAGGCAGUUGAGGCAAGAUUUCUUCGAGCAUCAUAUAGUGCUUUUGUGGAUGUAUUGACACUUGCCACGAAAACAAUUGAAGAGUUUGGAAAAGGAAUGGAAUUGUAACAACUACAUGUACUUUGACCCGUUAACUUGGCUAGUGUUCUUCAUGAAACGAGAUGCAACUUUAUACUCUCAAAGCAUCUCCAUUGUAGUUUGAUUAGUGCUUGGAACCAAUAUCACGGAUAUUUGAAACGUUGUUCUAUUAUUUGUGGUGCGUAUCAAUUUGCAAUUUUCUGUUCUUUUUCUUUUACUCUGAGUUAAUGAGUGAAUUUCGAAGAUCGAGACAUUUUAAACGUCUAAUAUUUGGAACCUAAAAUAAGUUGUGUUUUGAAACUGAACUUGAGAAAAGUUUAGUAUAUGAAUCAAGAGAUACGAAACAUCUUUCCACGACAUGAGCUGUAACACAAUCAACCAAAAUUACUGUUUGUGGGAUCUAGCUUGAUUACUUGGUGCUCUUUUAGAAAGAAUCUUCCUUGUUACGAUUUGUGAUCCAUUGAUAAAGAGUCGACGAUAUUGAAGAUGAUUUGUAGGACAAAGAUGAAUUGUGCCCCUUGUGAUGUUGCCGACAAUGGGGUAAAUAUAUAAAACGACAAUGUAUGGUUUAGAGAAGCCGUUCCCUUCCCAAUUCUGUUGCAGCCAAAAUUGUCUACAAAUCUGAGGCUAAAAGCAGCAACUUCUGAAAUGGUAACUAUAUAACAAUUGAUAAUUUGAUAUAUGAUGUUUAUAAAGAGUCGUCAGGACAUACAUUUCUCUAUAAAAAGCAGCAGACUUUGAAAUGAAAAGGUAAUACAUCUGUAUCAAGUGAAAGGGAACAGCUGAAGGCAAAUGAUGCAGCAAUUUCCUGCUUCCAUUGACCCUACUCUUAGUAUUCGUCCAAAUAAGUGUAUAACAUGUCAUCUUUCUUUGACUUGCGUCGGCUAAGCAAGGCUUUGAGGAGGCGUUUACUUUUGCUGGGAUAUUGUUCAACCUCUUUGCUGUUCUCUCUUUCAGCAGGUAGCCGCAUUGAAGCUGAUUUUCGAGGCUCUGAAGGGUACUGGAAUAUACACAUACAAUCGGUCUAUAAGUAUUAAGGACAAAAGGGGAGGGUAAUUCUAGUUUCACACUUGGAUAACAGUUCGCAGCAGCUAUUACUGUUCAGGUUAAAAAAAUCCUACACUCACCCGUCGUCUUGCAUUAGUAAGAUUUGGAGUUGUCGGUCUACUUGAGUUUGGGGUAGUUGACCGACUUUUGCUUGGAGUCGUCGGCCUACUUGCAAGAGAACCAGACCGUAGAAGUGGAAACCGAUGAGGUGAAACUGUUCGCUUAUCUGUUGAUAGUAAACACAUCAUAAUCAGAUUGUCACAGAAGAAAAACAUUAUAAAGGUGUUAAUGUCAUAAUGUCCAAGAUGUUAACUCACCUAAUUCUUUCUUGGGCAUGGUAGAUGUAAACGAAAAAACUGCAGGUCUUUGAGGUUGUGGAGAUGGAGACCGCCCUCUACUGCACAUAACACGAUCAAAAUUUAUAAGGAUCCUCUUACAGACCCAACUUAAAAUAGAUUCCACAUGAACAAUUACCUGACUGCAGUUGGUGGGGUUUCACUGAUUGUAGCACGAACAGCUGUGCAAAAUCCAAUCAGAAUUCCAGAAAAAAUCAAAGCUAUAUUAAACCCUUAGCUUAGUAAUAUGCAUUUUGCAAUGAAACAAAACAGAAUAUAAGGCAGAAUACCAUUCCGAAACUGAUGCCAUUCAUCUUCAUCAUCUAAGUUGCAUCCUUUGUAUGUAGAUUUAGUUUUGUUUGCUCCCCCCAUGGUCUCACCAACUGAACAAAAAUUUGAGUUGUAAGAAUAGUCUUCAUCUUUGUCAACAAUUCAAGGGAAGGGGAAUGUCGAGAGUAUCAAAAAGUUAAAUUGAGAGGACAGUGAAGUAUUGCCUGGCAAGAUGUACCGCUUGUGGUAUUUGGGAGUGUCUAUAACUGAUGAUUGUUGGGAAAGGCCCUCAUGAUCAAUGUAUUCUUGACAUGUCCUCAGCCUCUAGGAUACCAAAUAAAAGAAAAGAAAAGGAAAUUAUCAACGCCUACAAAAGUAUUGGUUUCUUGUGAUUGUAACAGAUUGCUACAUAUUCAGAUGAUUCAGUUAUCAACAUAAUGCUGUCAAGUGAACCAGGUAAGCAACUCCCACUAAAGAAUGAGUACAAUUGAGAUCAGGGAGAGAAUCGUCUGAUGAGUAUCAUUUAAGAGCUUUGAACCUUAGUAAAAUUGCAUUAUACCCAAUUAUCAGUUGAAGCAGGUAUAACACAAAACCAAUCUACAGCAGCCCAAAAAGGCCAUUUUUGAGCUGUAAACAGCAACACACAUUGUAUAAACUUGUUCACAUUUUCUUUCAUAAUUGAAUUUGAAAUGCUUAUAUGAUGAUGGAAAAUUUCUUACUUUUUACAGUUACCCAUACCUGUUCAAUGCAAGAAACCCGAAAUUCUGUGCCAGAAACUUCAUCCACUUUUUCAUCCAAGAGAUCAUUGACCUUAUAUGUCACAGAACCCAAAUGGUCCACCGUAUUCACAAGAGCUUUAAUGGCAUAAUCUUUCAAUGUUUCUACCACUCUGCAAAAGAGUAGGUUUUUGUCUUUAUCUCAUUUUAUAAUUAGGUUUCUAAAGAAGAAAAAGAACCUGGAAAAACUCCAGCAGCAAGGAAACAGAAUAACUCACGUUUGUUUUUGGUCAUCAUUUGUAUAAGAAAGUUCAAAGUACUCUGCCGCGGAGUAUAACUGUGAUCUCAAAUUCUUCAAAUCCUGAAAUGGUAAUGCAAUGAACAAAGUGAACCACUGAACUUUUCAGUUUGUAAACCUUCCUUACCAGAGAUCAACACCAUUACAAAACGAGCUAUCUAAUAGAAUUCCUAAUGCACUUGUAUUCAGAUAAUAUUGAUUGAGGGAUACAAAAACCAAAGAGUUUAUUAUAAAUGAGACUAAAAAUGCCAAUAGAGACUACACCUAACUUGCAGAUUUAAUCAUUACCAAAAAACUUGCAGAUUUAAGGACCAACAGACAUAGUUUCAAAAUAGUACCUUGAGACUAUCAGAGAAGAGCAAACUUUGAUGCAUAGAAACCUCGUCAAAAUUAGACGCUACGCCAGGGAUAGGCGUAGUCAUUGUUCCCAUGAAGCCAAAAACUUUAUAGAGUGAACUCAGAUUUCCCUAUGCUGCAAACAACAGAGACAACAAUGUUACAUCCAUGAUUCCAAAGCAAAUUAUGGGACUGAAAAAACACCAGGAAAACAUCAAUAUGAAUCACCACCUCCAGUACUGGUUGUAACAAUCGAAAGACAUAACAUUGAAGUCGACUCCUAUGUUUGAAUGUUAAAUUCAACACCUAAAACUCUGAAAACUCUCAGCCAAAUCACCUCCUUGCAAAGACCAGAAACAAAAACCCUGUCUAUGUGUGAAAGAUGAAGAGAGAAGCUAUGCACCCAAAAUGAAAAACUCCGUUUCAAUUCUAAAGACUUUAAAUUGAAUUAAGUUAAUCACACCAUCAAGUGUGUCUGUGGGAGAAAGACAGAAGACUCUCCUUUAACAACUAAUAAAAUACCUGAAGCAACUAUUCAAUUAGACAACAGCCCGCUGUCAGAGAUAAACAAAUAUAUAGGAAUGAGAAAAUGAAACCACAUAAAGUUAGUGCUUUGCCACAUUUCUCCUACCAUUUGAGACAGGAAAAUCAACAUACCAAUAUUCUAAAGCACUUGGAAACAUUGAAAUCUCAUUCACAAUUAUUAAAAAGCUGUAAAAUUUAAGCACACCCUUUAGUUUAUAGUCUCAGAUAAUUAUGGUUAUACCUUUUCUUUUUCUGUUCAAACAAAGUGAAAACUCUGAAAAGGAAAAGACAAAACACAAAGAAAUCACAAAAGGACAAUGGCAUUCCAAUCCAAUCCAAACACCAAAUCUCUAAGCUGAAAUUGAAAAACAAUCACACUCUCAGUUCAAAGUAGCUAUCUUUACUAAGAGAGCAACAAAAAUCACAAUUGGGUGUUAUCACCAACCUUGUUCUGCUCUCUGGAAAUGCUCUUCUGGAGCUGAAAGCACAACCCAGAAGAUCAAAAGGCUCAAAACCCAGUAACCCACUCUCAAAACUCAAUUCAAAGUUGGAAACUUGGGAUUAUCUGAAAGCUCAAUGAUGAGGAAGAAGAACAUAAAUGAGCUACUCAGUGACAGUGACCAAAAUGGUUUGGUGUGAGAUUUGACUAAAGCAGAGAGAAAAGGACAAGCCUCGAAAGCAGAGAGGAAAGAGAGGGCAUGGAGGGACAUCCAUGAAGACGAGCACGUCUAUGUGGGCUACUACUGGACACUGUGAAUCUGAGACUGAGAGAAGCUCUUUCGUUUCUAAAGAGGGCAAAAGUCUCGACCUUUUGGUUAGCAACAAAAUGGAAAACACAGUUCCGUUUCAAAACCACUUCAGUUUUUCUCUACUUCAUUAACCUCUUUGGUGGGGUCCCAGGUCCCACCCUUCCUUAAUUUGCUCUUUAAUCCUUGUCUCAGGAUGAAACCCACAGAGAUGGGUAAAUUUAUUUAUUUAUUUUUUAACUUUUUCGAGUUAAAAAGAAAAAACUUACAACCCUAUUCUCUGAAAAAAGUCUCGAGUGCGAUGAUUAUAACAUGAAACGUCAUGUUGCUUAAGAUAUUGAUUCUUUGGUCAUUUCUCGUGGAGAGUAAGUUAAUAUGUAGCAAAGCAAUAUAAAUGUGUUACAAUUUAAAUACGUAACGUCUAAUAAUUGAUGUAUUCGUCUGAUCGUCUAACUGAAGACUCUUUCACUUUUGUGAUAUUUCGGUUACUUUCACUAAUGGUGGUUAGAUUAUAGAUGAUGAAUUUGUAAAACCGUUCUGAUUUGUGGGUUUGAACUUCAACUUGCAUUUCCCCAUCCAAAGGAAAAACGUGCAAGUUGGAACCAUUCAUGUGUUGUUUUGGGAAAAUGGAUGGUUUCCACAAUUCUCAAAAUGUUUUGAAUGGUUCAAAUCUCUACAUCACUAGCUACCCUACGAUCCAUACAUACAUUCCUUGUGAUUGCCAAAUGUGUAUCAAGUAGGAAUGGUAUUAAAUAUGAAUGGGACCUUAACUAGUGUAAUGCAUAUAUGUGAGAUUUGAGUUUGUAAGGUCUUAGAAGGUGUUUUUAAGACUUUAUGUAGCCGGUAUGAUUUUCUACAUUUCAAAACCAGGUUUAGACUCCCUUAAUAGAGAUGUUGAGAGAAUUGUGAACGAAACCGAAAGAACAAAUGCGAUUCCUCACUGUUUUUGUUGUUAUAGCAUGAUUAAUAGAUUUAAUGGAAGACGCAUAAGCUAAUGAUAGGAUUAUCAAUUUUGGAAUACUUUCCUUACAAGUAGAAUGAAUUUAGAGUUCAGAAUUUAGGCCAUAUGAAUCGGAUAUGAGAAGAUAUGUAUUGCUAGUGGAUUGAAACUUGAGAAGCACAUGGGAGUAGAGACCACGCUCAAUCAUGUAGAGAAUGGUAAUAACUAAAUGCGAGAUGUCUAAUGGAGUGGAUGGUACUGUGUACAAGUCAUUUGACCCAGGAUGUGAGCUUGGAAGGCACUCAUUGCUAAACGUGCAAUCUAAACAUUAAACUAAGUUGUCAAGGAAUGGAGAGAGAGACCCCAUCAUAACAACCUUGAAUUGUGACUUUGUAAUAAUCCUGGAAGACAAGAAAAUGAAACUUGAAGGUUUUGAGUUAGAGCAAUUGGAGAUGUGUGUGUGGAUCCUACUGUCUUUUUCUUUAGAGGAAAGUGAGGGGUUGUGGACUUGUGCAGGACUUGCAAUUCUAGCUUUUCUUGAACCUCCGUGAUUGCAGCUGGCUAUGAAAGUUGAUAGUGGCGUGAAUGGUGGCAAAGACUAGCUUCGUCAUGAUCGAACAAGUCUUCACUUGUGCGAUUUAACUAUCAGACUUGUCCGACCGUUUUAACGAUUCAACCUUAAACUUGUUUGAUUCAACUUGGUUGAUUGUCUAAUUAACUCAUCCCGUUUGUUUUGAGCAAUUACACAUUUACUUACUAAGUUGAAUGAAUGGGGCUCUAACCAAUCUAUCAGGUUUAUAGAGAACAAACAAAAUCCUACACACGAAGGCGCGUUAUGUACAGUACUGAAGUUUUAUGUAAGGCUGGAUUGGGCCUUAUAAACUUAGGUUCAUGGAUUCGUUUUACAGGAUUAGAGAGACGAGCUAACCCAUCCAAGCCACAAAAAGAUUAGAGGCCCACUGGCCCAUAACCCAUCUCCCUCCUCUCCUUUCCUCCUAAUCAAAUCUUAACUCCUCUACCAAACACGGCCAAAAUGUAAAACUCCACUUUGAUAUAGUUUGGGAGAUUUUUGGACUUCGAUAAAAGUGGCAGCAGGGCUUACAUGUCCUCUGAAAUGGUUUUCAAUGCAAGACCUGCUACCAUGAUACCAACCUACCCAACUUCACUAGAGAAACCUGGUAGUUUGCUACGAUAACUAAAAGCAAUUACUAGCAGACUUCCAAUUCUGAAACUACAAAAACCAUGUGGGGGAUGACAAUUGCAAACACAAAUCUUUCCAUUAUAUAUAAGCAUGCAUGAACCUAUGGAGCCCAACUGCAGGAGCAGGCACCAAAAUUGCCUCCUAAGUCCUACCAAAUUGCGUAUCAUACCAAUAACACAAUUUACCUAAUCAGGCCCGUUGUGAUUUCUUCAUUUUCCUAAGGAUUGAAUUUAGUUGGGCCUCUUGAUUAACCAAACAAUGGGCAUUGGCCCAGUUAAGAUGAGGGAUAAGUUCAUUCCUAUGUAUUUACAAGCCUUCAUGUAGCCUCUCAUGGUCGAGUUGGUAAGAGCCUAGGUGUGAAACCAUAUACCUAGGUUCGAAUCCUAGCCGACACUAAUUGGAGUUAAAUCCUAAUUUAUUCUUGGUGGCCAGAGGGGAUGAAGUGUUCUGACAUGAUCCCUCGACGCAGAUUAGUCUUUGAACCUGGAAAGCCUUUGAGGAUACCGUCGUUGACACUCUAACAAUAUAUAUAUAUAUAUAUAUAUAUAUAUAUAUAGUGGCUUUUCCAGUGCUAGACAAAAACUGAUUUCACGUGUAUCAUGAAGUUUGGUUUUCUCCAACUCACAGUUUCUCUAUGGAUGACCAUUACUCAUCCACCGGUUAUAGGCAAGAGAGGAAAGAGUUGUUAGGGUUGAGAUAUAUCGCAAGCGGUAACAAACAUAGAAAAAGACAUGUGAAUGAUAGUGGAAGCAAAAAGAAGACGACCAAGACCAAGAACAAGACCCAUUGUCUAGCAGUCCGAGGGAGAACCUAUCUUCUUUCUUUAAUUUCAUACCACUCGGCCACUAUAAUAAUUCAUACAACUUUACUGAAUGAAUCAUUGAUCACUCACCCAAAAAAACAAAAUAAAAGGAAUCAUUGAUACCAAAAGAAAAAAAGCUUUACCAAAUGAAGUGGAUCCUGAGCUUUUAUCAAACAAACUUGCAUGUCAAUAUAAUAGAAUGUGGUGCUAUUGAUUCACACUUAUAGUUGAUCGAGUAUAGUGCAUGUUUCUCAAUCUUUCUUUCGAAGGCGAUUCAGUUGCUGCAAAAUUUAUUUGAUCGAGUAUAGUGUAUGAUUUCUUUAGUCACUAUGUGACCAUAUGAACAAUACUAUUUGGUUUAUAACAUCGUAUACCCUCAAAAUACUCCAACAUAUGGGAAUCCCCAACGUAUGCCAGAAACUAAUAUCAAAAUCAAAAUAUGUUAUGUACACAUGUACAUAUUGACUAUUGAGGUUAUGAAAGUUUUGGAUUCAGUUUUCCGGUUGCGGUUUUUCUUCUUCUUCUUCUUCGUCGAGUACAGAGCAAGUCGGAUCCAUCUCUAUCUCACCGUCUUUCGCUAACACCCACUAACUUCACUUGUGCCUAACAUCGUUAAUUUCAAUGACGUGUGGGCAACACGCGCCAAUUCAACUGCAGUCUAUGGGCACCGCAGUCUAUACUAGACGCUCUCAAGAAACUUUAUUAUAACUUCACGGAUAGUCAAGUUCCUUCCUAGUUUCACUAAACAUAUCAGGUAAAUAAUUCUAUAUAACUUUCAUUACUUAUGUCCUUAUGAUGUAAACAUUACUCCUAUAUAAAAGGGUAUAAUGAGAAUGAAUGAUAUAAUUCUUCCUUCUCCCCCAAAAAAAAAAAAAAAAAGAAAAGUCUAUAUAACUUAAUCCAGACAUAAUUGGGUUCCAUAGGCUAGCUAUUUCAGAUUAAUCUGGUUUCAAGUUAAUGAUCAAUUCCAGCUUUCCAUCAUGCAAUCUUAUAAUGUAUGCUACUUCGAUUCUAGAGCGCCAAUCUUUGCUCUAUAGCUAGCUACCCAGUACUACUAAUUGUCUAGUUGAUCCUGCUUUCCUCAAGUAAGGAAAAAACAUACUCUUUCACUGCAUAUAUCUUCCUUAAUUGGUAAUUCUGUCUCUAUUCUUGAUUGUAAACCGUAAACUAACAAUUUUCUAGCUUCCGACCACCGUUGUUCCUCUUUCUAGCUAGAUCUAAACCACAUGCACCAGUCAUUACUGUGACUAAUUUUCAUAUUUAUAUUUUUCAAAUUUCAGUACUGCGGAUUGGAAAAUUGCUCGAGUACGAAGACUACCAUCGCGAUCGGCUGUGUUAGUAAUUCUGAGACCAUCUCAUCCAGCAUAACAGAAAGGCAUAAAAUAAUUAUGGCUAAACAUCAGGGACCAAACAAUGAAAUCCAAAUGAGGUUUGUUUUAUUAACCUAGCAAUAAGUUAGUUUUCUGCAAUUGUACUGAUAAAUUUAGGUUACGGAUUCGAUCGUUGAGCUUUUUGUUCAGUGGUCAGUUGUAGUAGUCGACGGCUUCGAUUCAUUUAAUUUACAUUAUUUUUGUUUUUCUUCUAUCAGCAUUACACCAGAUGUGUCUCAUGAUUUCGGUAGUCCUGAGGCUCAUCGAAAACCGACACCCGAACAUGGACAACCUCAAGCAAGCAGCCAAAGAUGGAAUUGGCCAACAGUUGCCGGAGUUUCUUCAGAUUUGAACCCAUGGUGGAAUAAGAUACUGGUAACUUCAUGUGUGAUUGCAGUUUUAUUUGAUCCCUUGUUCUUUUACAUUCCAUACACCAGCGAGGAAAAAAAGUGUAUGGGAAGCGACGAAAGAGUGCAGACUGCAGCUCUGAUUUUCCGAUCAGUCACAGACAUCACUUUCCUGGUGCAUAUCAUAUACCAACUAUAUGUGGCUAUCAAAUUUGCACUCUCAAGGGUGGAUGAAAGUUUGGUUUUUAGAUAUGAAUCGGUAUCCCGAGUGCAAAUGAUUCGGUUUGCAAAGGCAUUUUCUCUCAAGUUGUCAUGGCGAUCUUUCCUAACUGACGUUUUCGCUAUUUUGCCCAUACCACAAGUAAGACAUAUCGUAACUCUCUUUCUAGUUAUUAGCUAGAGAUUGGCUAAUAAUUAACUCGCUGUAAUUUACGGUCUUUUUAAAAGUUUUAACCCACGAUUUUUUGUCCAGCUGCUAAUAGUAGGAUUGUUUUUCAACAUCGGAGGCAAUGACUACUUGUUAAGAAGAAAGAUUGUGAGCGGUUUUCUUCUAGUCCAAUAUGUGCCAAGAAUCUAUCGAAUUUAUCUUUCAUCUGUCGCGAUUACAGAAUCUGCAUUAUGGGUUAGAGGUGUAUUUAACCUUUUCCUCUACAUCCUUGCGAGUCAUGUAAGUUUAUCCAUCUCACCUCUUCUCAUCAAUUUUUUAUUAUUGUUUUUUUUUUUUCUUUUCAUUGAAUUAGGUGAGUUACUUGAGUUAAGUUUGUGUUGAUAAAAAAUGUUUGUUGUUAAUUAUAGGCACUUGGAGCCUUUUGGUACUUUUUUUCUAUUCAACGACAGACAUCAUGUUGGCAUCGAACUUGCAUCGCCGAUUUAAAUCGAACAGAAUCAGAAUGCACAUUUUACUGUGAUGACAGUACUGCUGCACUUAUAACCGGUACCCCACAAUUCAAUACAACUCUAGACGAGCAAUGCGUUCUAAAAGUUCCAUAUAACAUGACCGAUCCACCAUUUGAUUUUGGAAUAUUUUUUGAUGCCCUCAAAAAUGAUAUCCAAGGGAAAAUAAAUGUUCCACAAAAGAUUGGUUACUGUUUUUGGUGGGGCUUGCGAAACUUGAGGUAAUCUUCAUUUAUAACUUAAUUCAGUCGGGUCAUUCAUCAACCAACAUUUUACAAUUACUAAUCAUUUAACAAUUUCUUCUGUGGCCGGCAGUAAUUUUGGUACAAGUUUAACAACGAGUACCUAUCUGUGGGAAAACAGCUUUGCCAUUUUAAUUUCUAUCAUCGGCUUGCUAUUGUUUUUAUACCUCAUUGGAAAUGUACAGGUUGGUAACCUAAUCGAUCACCCAUAUAUGUUAUGUUACUUAUGUAUAUACAGUAUUAUAUAUAUAUAUAUAUUUGCUAUUGUACAUAGCAAUGGUUAACUUAAUUUGAUCGAGGAGGUGAUUAAAUUGAUGGAUGGAGUUGUUAAUUAUAUGCAACAUGCAGAUUUAUAUGGAGAGGGCAACUACCAGAGCGGAUGAGGUAAGAGAGAAGCUUCGGAUCAAAAAGAACGAUAUAGAUGAUUGGAUCGAAAAUAAUGGUAUCGGGAAGGACAUGAAGGAAGAGAUCAUGAAAAACAUCAAGGAGAAGUUGGAAAAGGACAUAAGUGCAGAUCUGGAUGAUAUAUACUCUAUUCUUCCCCCGAAUACCAGGAAAGUUGUGAAGCGAUUUGUCGGCAUGAGGACGCUAAGAAAUGUAUGUCACAGUACCCUUGUUUGUGACUUGUGUCAUCAGUACGUUGUGUGUGUUGUUGAAGCUAGCUUACUAAUCAGUGGUCUGCUUAUACAUACAUAUGUAGGUACCAAUGCUUAGCGAGGUGGAUGGAAGAGUUUUGAAGAUGAUGUGCGACUAUCUGAAGCCGGUCAAGUACCAGGAGAAUACAAUGGUUUUUAAAAUGGGAAAACCAUUUGAUAGAAUGGUCUUCAUUACAGAUGGGUCAAUGUGGACUUACACGACUGCUACUGAUCAUCAGACUAGUGAUUCUGGAAAAGCAACGUCAGGAGGACUAGUUACUUCUUCGUCCACGGAAGCUCACUUCCUCGAGAAGGGUGAUGCUUAUGGACACAUGCUUCUGCAAUUAGCAUCAUCAUCUUUUACGACGCUUCCUAUCUCAGAUGCAAAUGUCAAGUGCCACACAAAGGUAGAGGCGUUUGUCCUCAUGGCCAGUGACUUGAGAAACAUAGUAACUGAGUGCGGUCGGUGCGGUCGGUGCGGAGAUUUGUGGCCGGAUUUCAAGUAUAAUGCUUCUCAAGAUGAGGAGGCUGUUCAGAAGGCACCGCCGGGGCACUUUCAGCAACAACAAGGGCCAAAGAAGCGUGGAACAACAUCAAAUAUCCAUCCUACCGGCUACAGUGGGUGAUGCAUGCGAAGCUGAAGCCUGCUGCAAAUCGCCCCUAGCUAGCCUGCAGUGAUCUAGGGCGCGCAGUACGUUGUGCAUUAUUUGCUUUUACAUAUAUAGCAGCUACAGCUAAAGCUAGCUAGCUAGCUAUCCAUCAACUCCAUCCUUCAAGCUAGCUGCUACUUACUCUUAUUGUCAUAUAUAUCAUCGUUUCUUCAUUUGUAUCGCUACGUACUUGAGCUAUGGUACUUGUUAUCGAUCAGUGAUUGCCUGUUUUAAUAUAUCAAUUAUUUGAGAAUAAAAAUAAGACUUGAGUUUUGAUAACGGAGUUAUAUGAGCAAAUUUCUUUGAUUCCCACCAGUUCAUUCAAAGAUCAACAAGACACUCAAGGAAGGCAAUUUCUAUGGAGUGGAACAACUUCUACGUUGGGUAGCAGUACCUGACGAACAUUUCUCCAAACUUCCUAGCUAGCUUGAACGAGAAUGUGAGAUCUCAAUCAAAAGUGGAAGGCUUUACUCUCAUGGCCAGCGACUUGAGAAAGGUAGCCAACAACUGCGCAGGCCUUUGGAAGUUCACCAACGCCCUGAUUGCCCUCAAUCCUGAAGAAAGAGAGGUGGCGGCACAUACUAGUACGUACUACGUACCAUAGCAGCAGCAGUAGUCAGUUGUUUCCGAAAUGCAGCAAAGAAGUCGUCCGGAGCAAACCCGUCGGCAGUUGAAUUGGCCAAUGAACAACGUUUAGCUAUAGCUUGUGUUGCCCUAGCUCGCAACUUGGUAUAUAUCCAUUUUGAUUUUACAAGGCAACUAGCUAAUAAUUAAGACAAAGUCGAUUUAAUUGGCAUACACGGGGCGUGAAAUUGUGUUGUUUUAAUUUGAAUGUUACAAUUAAGAUUGAUUAUGGUUUGUGCUUAAUUAUUGGAUUUCUCUAUCUUCAAUCACUAUAUAUAUAUUAUAAAAAAAAUCUUCAAAGAUUAUAGUGGAUAUGCUUCCGCUAGUUCCUCAGAACAAACAAAACACUAAUGAAUCUAUCCCAGAUGCUUGAAGAUUGGAUCACUGAGCACGGUCGUAUCUACGUACGUACUCCAACAAUUUGAAGAGAAAGCAAGACGGUAUCAGAUUUUUAUAGCCAAAUAUCUCUCUGUGCAAAAGUUCAACAAAGAAGGUGCGCAUAGUGAUGAUAUUCGGCUUAAAGAUUUGAAACCGCCUUGCUUCGAUCUCUUCAUUGCUGGAAUAGACACAAUAUGUACAGUACUCUGAAUUUUUAUGUAAGGCUGGAUUGGGUCUUGUAAACUUGGGUUCAUGCAUUCGUUUUACGGGAUUAGAGAGACGAGCUAACCCGUCCAAGCCACAAAAAACAGCCCAAAUAGAUUAGAGGCCCACUGGCCCAUAACCCAUCUCCCUCUUCUACUUUCCUUCAAAACUGUUUACCUUGUAUUCUAGCUACAACAUUGUUUAAGAUUGAGAAAUUUUAAAUACACACCCCUAAUAUCUUAAUACACACCCCUUACUUAAUACACCACCUAUCAAGUUUUUUAUUUCAGUAUUAUACUUAAUACACAUCCCAAACUGCCUAAAAUGCCCUGAAUUUAUGAAAUAUUCCGUUAUUUAAUAUAAUUAAUAUAUAUUUACUAUUUGGUACAUCUUUUUACAUAUUAUUUCGUCUAAUUUUUGCUAGAAAUUUGUGGUUAUCAUCGUUCAAUUUAUAAUCAAAUGAUUAUUAUUAUAUCCCAACUCCAAAUCACCAAUACAAGUUUUCAAAAUUCACAAACUAGUACAAGUGUAGAAGUAUAGUAGCUAUUAAACAUAAAUAGCUAAUUAUUCGAUAAAACAUGUCAUGAUUAAAAUGCAAUAUUUGACAAUAUGAUCUACAAGAUCAAACUAAAGCUGAUAAAGAUAUAGUACUUGACAAUAUGAUCUGUAAAAUCAAACUAAAGCUGAUACGGAUACAAAAAAAAANNNNNNNNNNNNNNNNNNNNAAAAAAAAAAAAACAAAACCCCAAAAUGAAUUGUGAAGAAGAAUUUGGGUCAUGGGAGAAUACGUGUUUUCGACUAUUUUAGGGUAGAAGACGUUGAAAAGAAUACUUCUAGCGUGAAUUUUUUUUUUUAAUUAAUAGAUGUAUGUUUUGGUCAUUUAGCUUACCUAUAAAAUCUCAAUAGAAACAAAAUAAUAGGGGUGUGUAUUAAGAGAUUAGGGGUGUGUAUUUAAAAUUUCUCUUUAAGAUUCCAUAAGAAAUUCUACUUAUUGAAGAUGAUAAUUCUAGAUAGAAAAAUUAUUGGUUUUAUAAAAAGAUUCAAUUUCAAGCACGUACUUGGUAAAACAAAAAUGAUAAGAAAAAGUUUGUAAUGUGUAACAAUGUAUUGUCCUUUAUUGUAAUUAGGUAAUUUAGUUUUUUAAUAAAUCAACAUCUUAUAGGGUGAGUAAAAUGGAUGAUAGGGUGACAUCAGCCGUACAUUUUGAAGUUGGCAUCUUCUGUCCAAUCUGAAGUCUAAUACAUUUUGAAAUCCUAAUCAAAUCUUAACUACUCUACCAAACACGGCCAAAAUGUAAAACUCCACUUUGAUAUGGUUGGGUGAUUUUUGGACUUCGAUAAAAGUGGCAGCAAGGUUUACAUGUCCUCUGAAAUGGUUUUCAAUGUAAGACCUGCUACCAUGCAUGAUACCAUCCUACCCAACUUCACUAGAGAAACCUGCUAGUUUGCUACGAUAACUAAAAGCAAUUACUAUCAGACUUCAAUUCUGAAACUACAAAAAACCAUGUGGGGGAUGACAAAUGCAAACACAAAUCUUUCCAAAUCUUUCCAUUAUAUAUAAGCAUGCAUGAACCUAACUGCAGGAGCAGGCACCAAAAUUGCCUCCUAAGUCCUACCAAAUUGCGUAUCAUACCAAUAACACCAUUUACCUAAUCAGCCCCGUUGUGAUUUCUUCAUUUUCCUAAGGAUUGAAUUUAGUUGGGCCUCUUGAUUAACCAAACAAUGGGCAUCGGCCCAGUUAAGAUGAGGGAUAAGUUCAUUCCUAUAAAUUUACAAGCCUUCCUGUAGCCUCUCAAACUGCGGAACAUAUGAAAGUAACUAUACAUCUAAGUUGGCUUUUCCAGUACUAGACAAAAACUGAUUUCACGUGUAUCAUGAAGUUUGGUUUUCUCCAACUCACAGUUUCUCUAUGGAUGACCAUUACUCAUCCACCAGUUAUAGGCAAGAGAGGAAAGAGUUGUUAAGGUUGAGAAAUAUCGUAAGCGGUAACAAACAUAGAAAAAGACAUGUGAAUGAUAGUGGAAGCAAAAAGAAGACGACCAAGACCAAGACCCAUUGUCUAACAGUGCGAGGGAGAACCUAUCUUCUUUCUUUAAUUUCAUACCACUCGGCCACUAUAAUAAUUCAUACAACUUUACCGAAUGAAUCAUUGAUCACUCACCAAAAAACAAGGUAAAAGGAAUCAUUGAUACCAAAAGGAAAAAACUUUACCAAAUGAAGUGAAUCCUGAGCUUAUAUCAAACAAACUUGUAUGUCAGUAUAAUAGAAUGUGGUGCUAUUGAUUCACACUUAUAGUUAAUCGAGUAUAGUGCACGUUUCUCAAUCUUUGUUUCGAAGGCGAUUCAGUUGCUGCAAAAUUGAGGAUUGUUAUAGAAAAACGAUUCAGUUUUGAGUCAUAUGGCCAACCCUGAAGUAGCUGUAAAUGUAGAGCACUUGGAAGAAGAGAAAACUCUGAGGUCAGUCGUUCUUCAGCUCACUUUAAGAUUAUGCAUUUUCUUCUUGUAUAUUAUAGUGAUGAGUGUAACUUGUGGUCUUGUUGUGUGAUUUUAGAUCGGUUGUUGAUGAACAUAGCGAGUUAGAGACUACUGCAACGGCAGAAUCUGCCCCAAAAGAUGGAGGAGAUACAAAAGAAGCUAGAAGCUGCAGGUUAUCCUUCAAUACAAUUUUCAAUCGAAAUGGGAACUUCCUUCCUAUGUGGAACAACGUAUUUGUAGUAUCUUGUGUGUUUGCUGUCUCCUGUGAUCCUUUGUUCUUCUACAUUCCGAUCAUUAACGAGAAGAAGAAGUGUCUAUAUUUUGACACAAGGUUGAAGACCGUAGCCCUCGUCUUACGGUUACUCACAGAUCACUUCUACAUUGCGGACAUUAUUAUGCGAAUUUUGACCAGUAUACGUCAAAUCAAGUUAUCAAAGGCUUCUGGGGUGAUGAAAGCACAAUUAGGAUCUCCUAAUUUGAAUGGGAAGACAUCAGUUGGUGAUGUUUUUGAAAUAGCUAAGAGGGCUUGGGCGAAAACUAAUAGAUUAUACGUCCUGAUUGACAUUUUAGCUAUUCUUCCCAUACCCCAGGUAAUCAAGAGAACCCUUUCAUGGUGUAAUGUUGUUUAAUUUCUUUCUUUCUAGCUAGUUGCUUGAACUUAUACUUGCCAUUUGCAGGUGGCAAUGUUCAUUUUCUUUUCGAAAAUGAAGGGUCCGGGAUGUUCAAAAGAAAGAAGGUUUUUCGACACUCUUAUUAUAUUCCAAUUUGUCCCACGAGUUCUUCCCGUUUACUUAUUGUGCAGAGAACGCAAGAGAACUCUUAAUAAAGCAAGCAUGUGGACUAAAGGUGUUUUCAAUUUCUUCCUAUACAUCCUUGCAAGUCAUGUAAGUCCUACUACUGAGGCCAGUUACAUUUCUUUUAUAAGUUCCACCUAUAUGCAAUUGUCUUAAUUUGCAGAACAAAUGUUAAGUAGUUUUUGGUUUUAAGGUACUCGGAGCUCUUUGGUACUUCUUUGCCAUUCAACGAGAGAUGGAUUGUUGGCAUUCUGUUUGCCAACAUCACAAUAAAUGCCAACUCAGUACCUAUAGUUGUAGCGCAGGACAAGAUAGAUUGAGAAAUAUCCCAUUGUUAGACAUAAAAUGUCCGAUAAACCUGCCGGAAGAAAAGAAAGGAAAGCCCUUUGAUUUUGGUAUAUUUGCUGAUGCGCUUGACUCCGGCCUAGUGCAGACUACUGAUUUUCCUGAAAAAUUCUUGAAUUGUUUCUGGUGGGGGCUGCGAAAUCUGAGGUUUGCACAUAUUACUAGUUCUGUGCUUUGUUUACAUAUCUUCAUGACCUAGGAGAUGUUCUUAUAUACUAAUUGCUGCAUUUGUUUUGUUUCUAAUUGUGCAGCUCUCUGGGUCAAAACCUCCAUACAAGCACCUAUGCAUGGGAAAACCUCUUUGCUGUGUUUAUUUCGAUCAUAGGCUUGCUAUUGUUUAUAUAUCUCAUCGGAAAUUUGCAGGUUGGUGUCCAGUUUAUGAUACCUUAAUGCUCAUGUAUUACAUAGAAAUGCAUUUUGAUCAGUACUAUAUGUUUAAUGAACUAAACCUAUGCUUCUUUUGUCGUGGACUAUCAUAUUGUAGACAUACUUGCAGUUUGCGACUACAAGAUCAGAGAAGCUCAGAAGAAAGAUGAAAACGAAAAAUUUAGAGGUUGAUUUGCGGCUAUCAAGAAAAGGCCUCCCUAGCAAUUUGAAGGUAGUGAUAAUGCAAAUCAUACAACAAAAACUUGAACAGAACAAAGAUGUUCAAGUUGAGGACAUCCUUUCUGUUCUUCCUUCAGCACAUAGUAAAUAUAUCAGACGCUAUCUUAGUUUGGCUACACUCAAGAAAGUAAGCAAUUUCCUUUGUGAAUAUAACAGUGGAAAGGCCUAGCCAUCGUNNNNNNNNNNNNNNNNNNNNNNNNNNNNNNNNNNNNNNNNNNNNNNNNNNNNNNNNNNNNNNNNNNNNNNNNNNNNNNNNNNNNNNNNNNNNNNNNNNNNNNNNNNNNNNNNNNNNNNNNNNNNNNNNNNNNNNNNNNNNNNNNNNNNNNNNNNNNNNNNNNNNNUUCUCAAAUGGGCAUCCAAUUUCAGCGGUCACCAGGACUUACCAAUCUCAACGAGAAUGGUUAAGCCUGUCACUAAAGUUGAAGCAUUUUUCACUGAGUAAGGACGACUUGAAGAGUGUAGCCAUCAAGUACUGGUGGAAUUUCACCAAGAACAAGGAUCCGAAGGAUUUCGACCAGUCUGUGUUGGAGGAGUUUGCAGUAUCUUCCAUAGAAAAAGAAAUCCGUCGCCGCAGGCAAGUGAAGAAGAAGCAUACAAUAAGGUCUCUUCAUAAGUUGGAUACUCAGGGUAGUGCUAGCCAGAAGUUGCAGAAGGUUAUCAGUAGGGUCAUGAAGGAUCAGUUGCCUUCACCUGUUUGUGCUCUAGAUGGCAGGUAAUUAAUUAGCUGCCUAAGCUAAGCUUUUUUGAGUAUUAUUAAUGGAUCUAGCUAGUUUCAAAGAUCAAGUGUAAUUAACAAAUAACAAGCCCCUAAUCAGAAUAAAGUACCUCCUUUUGGAUAGCUCUGAUUUUGAGCACGUGCGUAGUGCAAAAUCCUACAACACGUACACAAGGUCUCCCGUGAUUCAGACCGAGUCGGGUAUAUUUGAGACUGGACUCAUGGAUUUGAAGGAGCCCAAGUGUGGAGCCAAUAGCAGCCCAGUAGCUAUUUAUGCCAUGCACAGUAUGCACUACCCUGGCCUCCGAUGACCGAAGCAAGAGGACGACAUCAUGAGUCAUCAAUCAUGACAACUCGUUACGAUUAUGGUGUUAUUUACAUAACAUUAUAUAUAGUUUAACAAACACAGAGUCUAACUGGCCGGGUUUAAUUGUGUUGAUUUGUUAUAGUUCACGAUGAUAGAAAGCCUCCAACUAUUACAUACUGACUUAAAAAAUGUAAGGACAGCAAGAGAUAUGGAGUGCUUGGAGUUCUAAUGACUUUAACUCCUAGAAGAUCGAAGAUCGAAAAAACAAUUAGACCAAAUGCAAAUGUAGUGUGUAUGGUUCUUCUUUUUCUUCCAUCAACACACAACAGGUAACUAAACUAUCACAAGUGGUUAUCCAAAAAAAAUAAUUAAUAUCACAAGUGGACAUUGUCAACCAAAUUAUAGAAUUAGAGGUUGAUGAUUAUAAAUUAGUUUCUAAAGAAUGAGGUAAUGUAGUGGGCAUAUUUUGGUUUAUCAGUGGUGUUCACAUAGUCACAUAGUGACUAAGGAAAUUAUAAUUAAUCAUUGUUUGAUGUAAAUUCAAGGGUGGAAAUGUGGAAAACAAAACAACUUAAUUUUACAAUAAUACUUCUCAUAUUUAGAUUUACAUUCAACAGUAAUUGACCAUGAUUUCUUUAGUCAUUAGGUGACCAUAUGAACACUACUAUUUGGUUUAUAACAACAUAUUCCCUCAAAAUGCCCCAACAUAUCCCCAACAUAAGCUAGAAACUAAUAUCAAAAUCAAAAUAUGUGUACAUGUUGAGGUUACUAUAUUAUUAUCUACAGAGGGCCGGUUGACUCUGAAGAGGAGUGUUGUUUAAGGUUCCUAAUUAACUUAACCUCCAAUGUCUAAAGGUCUAAGCAGGAAUUAAGGGAGGAUAUAUAUAUAUAUAUACUACCAGAAGAAAGACUUUAGCCGAAACGAAAAAAAAAAACAGGCCGNNNNNNNNNNNNNNNNNNNNGUUCAUUUCUAGGGAUAGAUCAUUUGACGAACUUUUUUAUCACAAAAUCAAAUCUCCACCGUUCAGUUCGUUGGGCUAUAUGAGUAGAUCACUUAUGCAAAUUUUCAGAAAAUUUGGUGAUCGUUAAGUCAUCCAAAUGAGGGAUUUAUUUUUAAUGAUUUUGAACGGUGUAGGUUUGACAUAAGUGUUAAGUUUUUUGUUUUAAUCUCAACCAUUCAAGCCCAUUAAAAAACAGAUCUAAUGUAGUGGACCUAUCCCUAAAAAUGAAAAAAAAUAGGGAUCCCUCAUUAGAAGGGCCCUAUAUAUAGCAGGGAUGUGAAGUGGACGUCCGCACAGUCCUUAAAGUGCAGACGUCCCUCCGUUCUCCACCGAACGGCUCCAACGACGCGGCGCCUCCACCCCAGCGGCCUCCAGCAGCGUCCCCGAUCACUUUUCCUCCUCGGCGAGUCCGCUGAAUUCCAGUUUUCCGGUGAGAUUGAUUUUGUUUGAAGUUUUGGGUGAUCUCGGCGGACUCGCCGGGGAGGGAAAGUGAUCGGGGACCCUGCUGGAGGCCGCUGGGGUGGAGGCGCGCCGUUAUCGGAGCCGUACGGAGGAGAACGGAGGGACGUCCGCACUUUAAGGCCGAUGCGGACGUCCACUCCUCAUCCGGCCUGUAUAUAUAUAAACAUAAACCCAUCAAGGUUUUACAUCAAUUUAAAUAGUCACAAAGAAAGUACAUUAUAAAGACCUCCACUUUUGGUUCUUUUUCCAUGUGGGAUAAAUCUAACACAAGUUCCAACAUGACUCUAUCCCAGAUGUUUGAAGAUUGGAUCACUGAACACGAUCUUAUCUACGUACGUACUCCAACAAUUUGAAGAGAAAGCAAGACGGUAUCAGAUUUUUAUAGCCAAAUAUCUCUCUCUGUAAAAGUUCAACAAAGAAGGUGCGCAUAGUGAUGAUAUUCGGCUUAAAGAUUUGAAACCGCCUUGCUUCGAUCUCUUCAUUGUUGGAAUAAACACAAUAUGUACAGUACUUUGAAUUUUUAUGCAAGGUUGGAUUGGGCCUUGUAAACUUGGGUUCAUGCAUUCAUUUUACAGGAUUAGAUAGACGAGCUAACUCAUCCAAGCCACAAAAAACAACCCAAAUAGAUUAGAGGCCCACUGGCCCAUAACCCAUCUCUCUCUUCUCCUUUCCUUCAAAAGUGUUUACCUUGUCUUCUAGCUACAAGGUUGUUUAAGAUUCCAUAAGAAAUUCUACUUAUUGAAGAUGAUAAUUCUAGAUAGAAAAAUUAUUGGUUUUAUAAAAAGAUUCAGUUUUAAGCACGUACUUGGUAAAACAAAAACGAUAAGAAAAAAGUUGUAAUUUGUAACAAUAUAUUGUCUUUUAUUGUAAUUCAGUAUUAAGGUAAUUUAAUCUUUUAAUAAAUCAACAUCUUGUAUGAUAAGUAAAGUGGAUGAUAAGGUGACAAUAGCCACACCCUUUGAAGUCGGCAUAUUCUGUCCAAUCUGAAGUCUAAUACAUUUUGAAAUCCUAAUCAAAUCUUAACUACUCUACCAAACACGGCCAAAAUGUAAAACUCCACUUUGAUAUAGUUGGGUGAUUUUUGGACUUCGAUAAAAGUGGCGGCAGGGCUUACAUGUCCUCUGAAAUGGUUUUCAAUGUAAGACCUGCUACCAUGAUACCAUCCUACCCAACUUCACUAGAGAAACCUGUUAGUUUGCUACGAUAAGUCGAUAACUAAAAGCAAUUUAGACUUCCAAUUCUGAAACUACAAAAACCAUGUGGGGGAUGACAAAUGCAAACACAAAUCUUUCCAUUAUAUAUAAGCAUGCAUGAACCUAUGGAGCCCUAACUGCAGGAGCAGGCACCAAAAUUGCCUCCUACCAAAUUGCGUAUCAUACCAAUAACACCAUUUACCUAAUCAGCCCCCGUUGUGAUUUCUUCAUUUUCCUAAGGAUUGAAUUUAGUUGGGCCUCUUGAUUUAUCAAACAAUGGGCAUCGGCGCAGUUAAGAUGAGGGAUAAGUUCAUUCCUAUAUGUUUACAAGCUUUCUUGUAGCCUCUCAAACUGCGAAACAUAUGAAACUGUAUACAUCUAACUUGGCUUUUCUAGUGCUAGACAAAAACCAAUUUCACGUGUAUCAUGAAGUUUGGUUUCUCCGACUCACAGUUUCUCCCUAGAGAGGAAUGAGUUGUUAGGGUUGAGAUAUAUCGUAAUUCGUAAGCGGUUGUUAAGCUCAUAGAGCUGAGUAACCUCGAUGAAAAUGGUGAUGAACGAGCUAAUGAUCAAGGAGCUACAGCAGUUGAUCAAAGUCAGAAGAAGUCAAAAGUUUGACCUUGACGGUGGGCGCGUGGCUUUCAAAUGUGUAGGUGUUCUUGAGGAUUCUUGUGAAGCUGUUAUCCUUUCCCUCAUAACAACUCUUCAGGAGCAGCACUCUCGUGACCAAGAAGAAAAGAUCUAGACCCUACACGUGUCCCUUUUGUAGCUGUCAAGAAAGAUAUUUUCUCUGCAUGGUGAAAUCUAGCAGCGGUUACAGUGCGAGGGAGGACCUGUUUAAUUUCAUACCACUCGUUCACGGUUCACUGUAAUAAUUCGUACACUCAACCAAAAAAAAAAAAAAGGAAAUCAUUGAUACCAAAAGGAAAAACUUCACCAAAUGAAGUGAAUCCUGAGCUUAUAUCAAACAAAAUUGCAUGUCAAUAUAAUAGAAUGUGGUGCUAUUGAUUCACACUCAUAGUUGAUCGAGUAUAGUGCAUGUUUCUCAAUCUUUGUUUCGAAGGCGAUUCAGUUGCUGCAAAAUUGAGGAUUGUUAUAGAAAAACGAUUCAGUUUCGAGUCAUAUGGCCAACCCUGAAGUAGCUGUAAAUGUAGAGCACUUGGAAGAAGAGAAAACUCAGAGGUCAGUCGUUCUUCACCUCACUUUAAGAUUAUGCAUUUUCUUCUUGUAUAUUAUAGUGAUGAGUGUAACUUGUGGUCUUAUUGUGUGAUUUUAGAUCGGUUGUUGAUGAACAUAGCGAGUUAGAGACUACUGCAACGGCAGAAUCUGUCCCAAAAGAUGGAGGAGAUACAAAAGAAGCUAGAAGCUGCAGGUUAUCCUUCAAUACAAUUUUCAAUCGAAAUGGGAACUUCCUUCCUAUGUGGAACAACGUAUUUGUAGUAUCUUGUGUGUUUACUGUCUCCUUUGAUCCUUUGUUCUUCUACAUUCCGAUCAUUAACGAGAAGAAGAAGUGUCUAUAUUUUGACACAAGGUUGAAGACCGUAGCCCUCGUCUUACGGUUACUCACAGAUCACUUCUACAUUGCGGACAUUAUUAUGCGAAUUUUGACCAGUAUACGUCAAACCAAGUUAUCAAAGGCUUCUGGGGUGAUGAAAGCACAAUCGGAAUCUCCUGAUUUGAAAGGGAAGACAUCAGUUGGUGAUGUUUUUGAAAUAGCUAAGAGGGCUUGGGCGAAAACUAAUAGAUCAUACGUCCUGAUUGACAUUUUAGCUAUUCUUCCCAUACCCCAGGUAAUCAAGAGAACCCUUUCAUGGUGUAAUGUUGCUUAAUUUCUUUCUUUCUAGCUAGUUGUCUGAAUCUUUACUUGCCAUUUGCAGGUGGCAAUGUUCAUUUUCUUUUCGAAAAUGGAGGGUCCGGGAUGGUCAAAAGAAAGAAGGCUUUUCGACACUCUUAUUAUAUUCCAAUUUGUCCCACGAGUUCUUCCCGUUUACUUAUUGUGCAGAGAACGCGAGAGAACUCUUAACAAAGCAAGCAUGUGGACUAAAGGUGUUUUCAAUUUCUUCCUGCACAUCCUUGCAAGUCAUGUAAGCCCUAAUACUGAGGCUAGUUACGUACUUACAUUUCUUUCAUAAUUUCCACCUAUAUGCAAUUGUCUUAAUUUGCAGAACAAAUGUUAAGUAGUUUUUGGUUUUAAGGUACUCGGAGCUCUUUGGUACUUCUUUGCCAUUCAACGAGAGGUGGAUUGUUGGCAUAUGCAUUCUGGUUGGCAACACCACAAUAGAUGCCAACUUAGUACCUAUAGUUCUAGCGCAGGACAAGAUGGAUUGAGAAAUAUCCCAUUGUUAGACAUAAAAUGUCCGAUAAACCUGCCGGAAGAAAAGAAAGGAAAGCCCUUUGAUUUUGGUAUAUUUGCUGAUGCACUUGACUCCGGCCUAGUGCAGACUACUGAUUUUCCUGAAAAAUUCUUGAAUUGUUUCUGGUGGGGGCGGCAAAAUCUGAGGUUUGCACAUAUUACUAGUUCUGUGCUUUGUUUACAUAUCUUCAUGACCUAGGAGAUGUUCUUAUAUACUAAUUGCUGCAUUUGUUUUGUUUCUAAUUGUGCAGCUCUCUGGGUCAAAACCUCCAUACAAGCACCUAUGCAUGGGAAAACCUCUUUGCUGUGUUUAUUUCGAUCAUAGGCUUGCUAUUGUUUAUAUAUCUCAUCGGAAAUUUGCAGGUUGGUGUCCAGUUUAUGAUACCUUAAUGCUCAUGUAUUACAUAGAAAUGCAUUUUGAUCAGUACUAUAUGUUUAAUGAACUAAACCUAUGCUUCUUUUGUCGUGGACUAUCAUAUUGUAGACAUACUUGCAGUUUGCGACUACAAGAUCAGAGAAGCUCAGACGAAAGAUGAAAACGAAAAAUUUAGAGGUUGAUUUGUGGCUAUCAAGAAAAGGCCUGCCUAGCAAUUUGAAGGUAGUGAUAAUGCAAAUCAUACAACAAAAACUUGAACAGAACAAAGAUGUUCAAGUUGAGGACACCCUUUCUGUUCUUCCUUCAGCACAUAGUAAAUAUAUCAGGCGCUAUCUUAGUUUGGCUACACUCAAGAAAGUAAGCAUUUCCUUUGUGAAUAUAACAGUGGAAAGGCCUAGCCAUCGUUAACGUACAACAAGUUUUUCUUGAACUUAGGUGCCAAUGCUUCAAACUAUGGUGGUAAGAAUGCUAAAAGCAAUCUGUGAACACCUUACGCCGGUGGACCAUCCAGAGGACAGUUACAUUAUCCGAGAGGGGAAGCAACUCCAUCAGAUGAUUUUCAUCACACAUGGUACUGUACAGACCUACAAGACCAAUGGUAAAGGUGGAAAAAUUGGUUCCAAGUUUCUUGAGAAAGGGGACUACUAUGGAGCAGAAGAACUUCUCAAAUGGGCAUCCAAUUUCAGCGGUCACCAGGACUUACCAAUCUCAACGAGAAUGGUUAAGCCUGUCACUAAAGUUGAAGCAUUUUCACUGAGUAAGGACGACUUGAAGAGUGUAGCCAUCAAGUACUGGUGGAAUUUCACCAAGAACAAGGAUCCGAAGGAUUUCGACCAGUCUGUGUUGGAGGAGUUUGCAGUAUCUUCCAUAGAAAAAGAAAUCCGUCGCCGCAGGCAAGUGAAGAAGAAGCAUACAAUAAGGUCUCUUCAUAAGUUGGAUACUCAGGGUAGUGCUAGCCAGAAGUUGCAGAAGGUUAUCAGUAGGGUCAUGAAGGAUCAGUUGCCUUCACCUGUUGGUGCUCUAGAUGGCAGGUAAUUAAUUAGCUGCCUAAGCUAAGCUUUUUUGAGUAUUAUUAUAGCUAGUUUCAAAGAUCAAGUGUACUUAACAAGCCCCUAAUCAGAAUAAAGUACCUCCUUUUGGAUAGCUUUUGAUUUUGAGUACGUAGUGCAAAAACCUACAACACGUACACAAGGUCUCCCGUGAUUCAGACCGAGUCGGGUAUAUUUGAGACUGGACUCAUGGAUUUGAAGGAUCCCAAGUGUGGAGCCAAUAGCAGCCCAGUAGCUAUUUAUGCCAUGCACAGUAUGCACUACUCUGGCCAUGAGUUACAGUCUCAGCUCCUAGCUAGCCUCCGAUGACCGAAGCAAGAAGGCGACAUCAUGAGUCAUCAAUCAUGACAACUCCUUACGAUUAUGGUGUUAUUUACAUAACAUUAUAUAUUGUUUAACAAACACAGAGUCUAACUGGCCGAGUUUGUGUUGAUUUGUUAUAGUUCACGAUGAUAGAAAGCCUCCAGCUAUUACAUACCGACUUAAAAAAAAAAAAAAAUGUAAGGACAGCAAGAGAUAUGGAGUGCUUGGAGUUCUAAUGACUUUAACUCCUAGAAUAAAAAAUAAGGAAAAAAUUCAGUUUACUACCCUGAACUUUAGGUCUAAAAUCAGUUUGAUACCUCAUCUUUUUUUUUAAUCAGUUUCAUACCUAAACUUUCAAAAUGACAUCAAUCUCGACCAAAAUGACUAAAAUAGCCCUGGUUAAUCUUUUUACCCUCUCUAUCUCUCUCUCCCUGCCUCCAAAUCCACCACAUGGCUGGCGCCGGCAUCCACCCCUACCACCAGCAAUGGGUUCCGACGGCAGCCCCUCCUCCUCCCCCGGCAGUCGCCGUUGCCAUUCUUAACUCUGAGAAGGUAAAAAGAUUAACCAGGGCUAUUUUAGUCAUUUUGGUCGAGAUUGAUGUCAUUUUAAAAGUUUAGGUAUGAAACUAAUUAAAAAAAAAGAUGAGGUAUCAAACUGAUUUUAGACCUAAAAUUCAGGGUAGUAAAGUGAAAUUAUCUCAAGAAAUAACAUAUUAGACCAAAUGCAGAUGUAGUGUGUAUGGUUCUUUCUCAUUACAUUAUUUUCUUUUUGUUCCGUCAACACACAACAGGUAACUAAACUAUCACAAGUGGUUAAAAAAUAAAUAAAUAAAUAAAUAUCACAAGUGGACAUUGUCAACCAAAUUAUAGAAUUAGAGGUUGAUGAUUAUAAAUUAGUUUCUAAAGAAUGAGGUAAUGUAAUGGGCAUAUUUUGGUUUAUAACAACAUAUACCUCCCCAAGGCCUCAACAUAUGGGAAUCUCCAACGUAUGCCAAAAACUAAUAUCAAAAUCAAAAUACGUAUACUGUACACAUGUACAUGUUGAGGUUACUAUUAUUAUCAAGCAUCAACAGAGGGUUGACUCUGCAGAGGAGUGUUGUUUAAGGUUCCUAAUUAACUUAACCUCCAAUGUCUAAAGGUCUAAGCUAGGAAUUAAGGGAGGAUAUAUAUGCAUGUGAAAUGUAAGACAUCCAGCUAGAUGGAUUAAUUAAUCAACUUAAACUCCCAGAAAGAAAUUAAAACAAAGACUAAGACUUUAACAUUUCCUAGCUAGUUAUCUUCAAUUCAAUUAUUGUUGAUGCUUUCUCAUCAGUACUUUAGGUCAGUGACCGAGCAAAGAAUUUGCAAGAAAAUGUAUAUAUAUCGAUCAUACGUACUCCAGCUUUGGUGUGAUAUGAAACCUUAUAACGUAUUAUAUAAAAUAGAGAAAAUGAAAAAUGAAAAUAAUAGAAAUUUUAGCAUAUAUACAAGAGAUACCUUUUGGUUUUUUUUUUUUUUUUNUUUUUUUUCCCGAUUUCAAGAGAUGCCUUGGUUAGAAAAACUAAAAAAUUGACACUAGGCCUUUGUUCGACUUUCUGGGCAUUUGUCUGCAAGAGCAAUCAACGGUAGGGCGAGCCUUUGUCAUUUGCAAAAGAUACUAAUAAAAAAAAGAAAAAAGAAAAAAAAAAACAAGAAUUAGCAAAUGGACCAAUUGACAAGGCAUUUUGCACACACUCAUUUUUAUUCCACACUAGCUACUAUAAAUCACCAUUCAAGCUAACCUUGCCUUCUCACAACUUCAACACAAAACAAUCAAAUUUUGCAGCAGCUAGCUAGCAUUGUUCUUCCUCUUAUAUAUUGUGUUACAUACAUAGAAAGUGAGCCGUGCCAUGGCCUUACAUGGGAGAAUGCUUCUUUUGCAACUCUCUUUGGCCGCAGUGCUAUUAGCAAGGACAAUGCUAGCAGCUGCUCAAGCCCCGCCGCCUGACUGCAAUGAGAGCUGCGGUGGUGUCUCAGUUCCUUAUCCAUUUGGUCUCAGUGAUGGUUGUUACCUACAUGUGCCGGGACAAGAUUCUCAGCAGCCAUUCAAGAUCACUUGCAACACCACCACCUCGCAACCAUCCCUACAGUUCUCGGACAGCGAUAACUUCCCCACAAAUAUUGCCAACAUUUUUGUGGAAGAGAGUGCGCUGCAAGUAAUGAUGGCCCCAUCCUAUAACUGCUACACCAACAAUACAUACGACUCCUCCAUGGACAAAGUCAUGGACCUCAAUCUUCCGCCUUCUUUCACCCUCUCCGACAGAAACAAGGUUUAUAACCUUGGGUGCAACAAAGUAACCAAGCUCAUAGGUUAUCCUCUUCAAGUUACAGACCCUGAGCAGCUCUUUGAAGUAGCGUUCAGCGGUGUAAGCUUGUGUCAAGAUGAAUUUGGCAAAAGAUUCCCCGACACUUGCACCGGAUUUGGGUGCUCCGUAAAUCCUAUCCCUAUCGGACUGCAGAAUAUUACGUUGGGUGUGUGGACACUCGGUACCAGCCUCGGAACAACGGCGCAGUGGGGCCUGAGCUACCCUUGCAGUUACGGCUUCGUUGUGGAUGAACGCAACUUCACAUUCGCCGGGAAUCAAAGUUUUGAUGCACUGAGGUCCGGCGCAAUAAAGAAGCUUCCGGUGCUUGCUAAUUGGGCGAUUGGGAAUGACAACUGCGAAGCAGCAAAGAAGAAGAACGAGACUGCUUUUGCAUGCAACACUGUGAAUUCCAAGUGUGUCGACCGUGCUGGUGGUGGUUACUUUUGCCAGUGUGAAGAUGGUUACGAAGGGAACCCAUACCUCCUCGAUAAUUGCCUAGGUAAUUAAUUACACAAAUCAUCUUAAUUUCGCGUUAAUUUGUGAUCUAUAUAUAGGAAAGUGAUUCUUUCUAGAUUUGCUUUAUAUAUAGCUUCCCCUAAAUGUGAUGUCUUUUUGUUUCAGAUAUCAAUGAGUGCAAGAACUCAACCCUUUGCAGUGGUCCUGCAACUUGCGUAAACUCAAUUGGAAGUUACAUCUGUAAAUGUCACAAGGGCUAUAGAAAUGAUGACCACGACAAGAAUAAGUGUGUCCAAAUCACUGAAACCUCCAGCAAAAAUGACAAAGAAAUGAAAAUUUCCCUGGGUACGCACUCUCAUCUUUUUUUCUUUUUCUUUUUCUCUCUCGAAGUACUCUCAUCUCUAUUAAUCCAUUAUUGACAAGUUUGUCAAUUCUAUCUAUCAAUUUCUAAAUUUGUCCUCUUUAAGUAUUAUGUUUUUUUUAUACGAACACUUUAACUAUUGUAAUGGAGCUCAUAUUUACUUUAAAAAUUAAUAAAUUUUAACGGUUUCGUUUUAACAAUUCUAUUGGAGAUGCUCUUAACAUAGUCAAGUUGUAGGAGUGGAUUUGACUACGUUGUGCUAAUCCGUUCUUUUGAAUUUUUGCAGGUGUCUCUUUGAGCUUCCUAGUCAUAUUGAUUAUAACUUUUUCGAUAUACUGCGUACUGAAAAGAAGAAAGUUCAAGCAGCUCUGUGACAGGUACUACAAAGACAAUGGGGGCUUCUUGUUACCACAAGAAAUGCAGAAGUACAAAGGGUCUCAGGCACCCAGAAUCUUUAAAUUAGAAGAGCUUAAGAAGGCAACCAACAAGUUUGAUCCCCACGAAAUAAUUGGAGAAGGAGGCUUUGGAUUGGUUUACAAGGGAACAUUGCCAGACAACAAGCAGGUGGUUGCCAUAAAGAAAUCAAAAACUGAUGCUCCCACCAUGACCCCCGAAAGUAGGAUCGCCCACACUAAGCAGUUCAUUAAUGAGAUGAUUGUUCUCUCUGGAAUCAAGCAUAGAAAUGUCGUGAGGCUUUUAGGUUGUUGUUUGGAGACCAAAACGCCUAUAUUAGUGUACGAGUUCGUCAGCAAUGGCACACUUUAUGAGCACAUUCAUAAACAGAAAGACAAAGGACCUCUUUCCUUUGAGCAACGAGUGAAGAUAGCAGCAGAAACAGCAGGAUCCCUAGCAUACUUGCACUACAGCGCUUCUUCCACGCCAAUUCUGCAUCGAGAUGUCAAGGCAUCUAACAUCCUACUGGAUGAGAAUUGCACAGCCAAAGUAUCAGACUUUGGAGCUUCAAAAUUGGUUCCUGAAGAUGAAAAUACUCAAAUGGCUACUUUAGUGCAAGGGACGCUAGGGUACUUGGACCCUGAAUAUCUUCAGUCACACGCACUGACGGAGAAGAGUGAUGUCUAUAGUUUCGGGGUUGUCCUUGUGGAGCUAAUAACAAGUCAAGUGGCAAUUUCUAACAAGAAGCUUGAGGCAGAGAAAAACCUAGCAAACUGUUUUUUAAAGUCGGUGGCAGAUAAUAACUUGGAUCAGAUUCUUGAUCAUGAAAUUAUCAAAGAAGAAAGCUUCGAAAUAGCCGAACAAGUAGCCCAUCUUGCCAAAAGAUGUUUAAGUUUGAAAGGAGAAGAUAGGCCUACCAUGGAAGAAGUAGAAACGGAGCUUAAGGUAAUAUUGGCAGUUAUGGCAAAGCAUCCAGGAGGAAAGCCUGACUCCUCCCCCAAAGAGACAGAUUACUUGCUUAGAGCGUCACCUUCAAACGCUUACGUUGUUGAUGUUAGAAGUGAUGAAGGUGAAGUCAUAACCAGCAUAGAUUAUGACAAGAGCAUGCAGAAUCAAGCCCAGAUGAUGAAGCCUUAUGAUGGUGGGAGAUAGUUCAUCAAUUGGCAAGCUAGCUUCGAAUCUCUUUCAUAGCUAGUUAUGUAUGGAGUUGUUCUUUUGAGUGUGUUGUGUUUAAUAAAAGAUAAUGUAAUCAUACUGCUGCAGUUGAGUGCAAUGCUGCAUGCAUGUAUUGACAGUAAGUCAGUAAUAUCGGUCCGUCGUAAAUUUUCCUUCUGGCCAAAAUGUGAGUGGUAAAAUAUUACUAAUUGCCUUGUUUUAGUAACAGAAGAGGAAAACUAAGUAUUACAAUUACUUGAGCUGAUUGGAUAUCACUGCAUCAACACCGUGUUCACCGUUCAACCGUCCGGAAAUAAUAGAUAAACACCUCGAUGAACAUGAGGCACAUGAACAACAUUAUUGGAGCAGACAGAUAAGCAUAGACGACUCCAGCAUAUGCAUGAUGGAAGCCGGAGCCCUAUCGAUCGAGUUGGUGACGUAGAAGGGAUUUACCUGCUUCUUCUUUAUUCAUCACUCCCUAUCACUUAAGCAAGCCAAUACUUUACUUUAUGUACAAGUUUUGUAGUGGUAUAUAUGAACGUGGGAAAAUUCUAUAAUGAGUUAAUGCAUGUCAUGUAUCAAUUCUGUCAUAAAGUUGUAAAAUGAGUUCUUAAAAGUCUUGAAAGUUGUAAUAUGAGUCUUUAAAGUUGUAAAAAAAUAUAAUUACAACAUCAGUCCUCAUGUAUCGUUAAAGUGGUAAAAUGUGUGCUUAAAGCCUAAAAGUGAUAAUUGAAUCCCCAAAUGAUAAAAGAAAAGUUGAUGUAACUUUAAGGACUCAAUUACUAAUUUAAGGACACAUGAGGAAUAAUGUUGUAACUAAAAUUUUAUAACUUUGAAGACUAAUAUUACUACUAUGAGAACUUAUUUUACAAUUUUGAAGACUAAUAUUACUACUAUGAGAACUUAUUUUACAACUUUAGAACAUAAUUAAUAUAUGACAUGCAUUAACACGUACACCCUAGCCUUACCCAUGAAUGUGUGAUAACAAAUGAUUGUAUAUUAUACGUUUGAUUAAUUAGUCUAGUUAGUAAAUUAUAUGUAAAUGAAACGUACGAGUUCUUCACGUCGAUUUUAUUUCAGGUUAACAUACAUGUCGACCAAAACCAAUUCAGUACGUUAAUGGAGUUUCUUUCCCCUGCAACCAAAGCAGUACGUAGCUUUUUUCAAAGAGACCCUUUAAGAAUUAAUUCUACGAAGGAAGAAGAAUGGUCUCGCAAUUUUCACAUCUCUCUUUAUUAAGUAGUCCCUCCAUGAGUGACUGAUUAAAUGCGAAAUGAUUAAUGGGAAGAUCAAGGCUAUCAAUUUUCAUGAAGCGAACAAAGAGAACAAGAAAUAUGUUCACGUUUACUUAACAAUUUUCUUGCUUCAGCAAUACUUGCGCGUUAUGAACAUAACCAGGUUAUUGCUUGCUUUCUCACUUGGCCGGGUCAACUUAAUUUCUUACAGUACGUGUAUAGUAUUAACUUUCAUUACCAAGUAAAAACUAAAAUUUGUGACACUAGCUAGGCCUUUGUUGACUUUCUGGGCAUUUGUCAUGACAGCAAGAGCAAUAAUCGGGUCUUUGUCAUUUGCAAAAUAUACCAAGGAAAAAAGAAAGACUGAGCAAAUGAACUAAUCGACAAUUUGACAUCGCAUUUGCAUACUAUAGAGUAUAGACUCGAUAUUAAAAUAAAGAAGUGAAACUCCUUUCAUUUGUUUAGUAGGCAUACCAUCUCCAUCUAUAUAUCACCAUUCAAGCUAACCUUAGCUUCUCACAACUUCAAACACAAACAAUCAAAUUAGCCGUGCCAAUGGCCUUACAUGGGAGAAUGCUUCUUUUGCAACUGAUCUCUUUGGCCGCAGUACUGCUGUUAGCAUCCUCAAUGCUAGCAGCUGCUCAAUCCCCGCCGCCUGACUGCAAGGAAACCUGUGGUGGCGUCUCAAUUCCAUAUCCAUUUGGUCUCACUGACGGUUGUUACCUACAUGUGCCGGGACAAGAUUCACAGCAAUUCAAGCUCGCUUGCGACACCACCGCCACCUCGCAACCGUCCCUAAAUUUCUUGGAUAGCUAUAACUUCCCCACAAACAUUUCCAACAUUUUCGCGGGUGAGAGUGCGCUGCAAGUAAUGUUGACCACGUCCCGAAACUGCUACAACGACACUGUAUACAACUCCUCCUUGCACAGAGCCAGUUACCUAUAUCUUCCGCCUUCUUACACCCUCGCCGACAAAAACAAGGUUUAUAACAUUGGCUGCAACAAAGCAACGAAGCUCGUAGGUUAUCCUCUUCAUGUUACAGGCCCUGAACAGCUCUUUGAAGUAGCGCUCAGCGGUGUAAGCUUGUGCAACGAUGAAUUUGGCAAAAGAUUCCCCGAGACUUGCACCGGAUUCGGAUGCUCCGUAAAUUCUAUCCCUAGUGGACUGCAAAAUAUUACGGUCGAUGUGUGGUCACUCGGUACCGGCCUCGGAACAUCGGCGCCGUGGGGACUGAGUUACCCUUGCAGUUACGGCUUCGUUGUGGAUGAACGCAACUUUACAUUCGCCGGGAAUCGAAGUUUUGAUGAACUGAAUCGCACAAGAUUGGAGCUUCCGGUGCUUGCUAGUUGGGCGAUUGGGAAUGACAACUGCGAAGCAGCAAAGAAGAAGAACGAGACAGCUUUCGCAUGCAAGGGUGAGAAUACGGAGUGUGUCGACCGCGCUGGUGGUUACUUCUGCCAGUGUUGGGAUGGCUACGAAGGGAACCCAUACCUCCUCAAAGAUUGCGUAGGUAAUACACAAAUCAUCUUAAUUUCGUGUUAAUUUGUGAUGUAUAUAAGUGAUGGUUUCUAGAUUUGCUUUACAUAUAACUAUACUUUUUUGUUUUCAGAUGUCGAUGAGUGCAAGAAUAAUUCAACCCUUUGCAGUGGUCCUGCAACUUGCGUAAACUCAAUUGGAAGUUACAAAUGUAAAUGUCACAAGGGCUAUAGAAAUGAUGACAACGACAAGAAUAAGUGUGUCAAAAUCAACGAAACCUCCAGCAAAAAUGAUACAGAAAUGAAAAUUUCCUUGGGUAUGCACUCUCUUUUCUCUUUUUUUUGUCGAAGCACUCUUAUAUUCAUUAUUGACAAAUUAUCAAUUUUAUCUAUCAAUUCAUAAAUUUGUCAACUCUUGUUUAAGUAUUACGUUGGUGCUCAUAUUUACCUUUAAAAUUGAUAGAUUUUAACUUUUUAAAAAAUAAUAAUAAUAAUAAGGGUAAAAUAUUGUAUAGUCCUUGUGGUUUGAAGUCGACAUUUGUUCAGUCAUUAUGGUUUUAUUUUAAUCUGAAUAAUCCUUAAAGUCAUGAUUUUUCAUCAAAAUAGUCUUUAUGACCUUUAAUUAACUGAGAAAAUGAAUCGGAAAGACUAUUUGGAUGAAAAAUCAUGACUUUAAGGACUAUUCAGAUUAAAAUAAAACUAUAAUGACUAUUUGGAUGAAAAAUUGUGACUUUAAGGACUAUUCAGAUUAAAAUAAAACCACAAGGACUAAACAUAUGUCAACUUCAAACCAUAAGAUCUAAACAAAUUUCAAUUCUAGUGAUAAUAACUCUGCUGGAGAUGCUCUUAAUUAAAGUCAAGUUGUAGGAGUGGAUUUGAGUACGUUGUGCUGAUCCGCUCUUUUGAAUUUUUGCAGGUGUCUCUUUGAGCUUCCUAGUCAUACUGAUUAUAACUUUUUCGAUAUACUGCGUACUGAAAAGAAGAAAGUUCAAGCAGCUAUGUGACAGGUACUACGAAGUCAAUGGGGGCUUCUUGUUACCACAAGAAAUGCAAAAGUACAAAGGGUCUCAGGCACCCAGAAUAUUUAAAUUAGCAGAGCUUAACAAGGCAACCAACAAGUUUGAUCCCCAUGAAAUAAUUGGAGAAGGAGGCUUUGGAUUGGUUUACAAGGGAACAUUGCCGGACAACAAGCAGGUGGUUGCUAUAAAGAAGUCAAAAACUGAUGCUCCCACCAUGACCCCCGAAAGUAGGAUCGCCCACACUAAGCAGUUCAUUAAUGAGAUGAUUGUUCUCUCUGGAAUCAAGCAUAGAAAUGUCGUGACCCUCUUAGGUUGUUGUUUGGAGACCAAAACGCCUAUAUUAGUGUACGAGUUGGUCAGCAAUGGCACGCUUUAUGAGCACAUUCAGAAAAAGAAAGGCAAAGGACCUCUUUCCUUUGGGCAACGAGUGAAGAUAGCAGCAGAAACAGCAGGAUCCCUGGCAUACUUGCACUCCCGCGCUUCUUCCACGCCAAUUCUGCACCGAGAUGUCAAGGCGACGAACAUCCUGCUGGAUGAGAAUUUGACAGCCAAAGUAUCAGACUUUGGAGCUUCAAAAUUGGUUCCCGAAGAUCAAAAUACUCAAAUGGCUACUUUAGUGCAAGGGACGCUAGGGUACUUGGACCCUGAAUAUAUUCAGACACACAAACUGACGGAGAAGAGUGAUGUCUAUAGUUUCGGGGUUGUCCUUGUGGAGCUAUUAACGAGUCAAAUGGCAAUUAAUUCCAACAAGAAGCUUGAGGAAGAGAGAAACCUAGCGAACUGUUUUUUAAUGGCGGUCGAAGAUAAUCACUUGGAUCAGAUUCUUGAUCAUGAAAUUAUCAAAGAAGAAAGCUUUGAAAUAGCCGAACAAGUAGCCCAACUCGCCCAAAGAUGUUUAAGUCCGAAAGGAGGAAAUAGGCCUACCAUGAUAGAAGUAGAAACAGAGGUAGGGGCAAUAUUGGCAGUUAUGGGAAAGCAUCCAGGAGGAAAGCCCGACUCCUCCCCCAAUGAGAUCGAUUACUUGCUUGCAGCGUCACCUUCAAAUGCUUUCGUUGUUGAUGUUAGAAGUGAUGAAGGUGAAGUCAUAACCAGCAUAGAUUAUGACAAGAGCAUGCAUAGUCAAGCCCAGAUGAUGAAGCCUUAUGAUGGUGGGAGAUAGUUCAUCAAUUGGCAAGCUAGCUUCGAAUCUCUUUCAUAGCUAGUUGUUCUUUUGAGUGUGUUGUGUUCUUAUGAUGGUGGGAGAUAGUUCAUCAAUUAGUUAGUUCAUCAAUUAGCUGGCUAGCUAGUUAAUUAUGGAGUGUUGUUCUUAAUUUUCUUUACUACGUACUUUUGAGUAUGAUGUGUUUAAUAAAAGAUAUGGAUGUAUGUAAUGUCAGUGAUAUCGAUCUGUUGUAAAAUUUUCCUUUUGGCCAAAAUGUGAUCGAGGUGGUAAAAUAUUUGUACUUAGCUUGCUUCAUGCAUAUUCCUCUUCUUGGUACUCCACAUGUAUAUAAUUAAUCCUUAUUACAACAACACUCCGAUUUAUGUUCAUAACCAAUUGUGACUUCAACAGAAAAUGAUACGAUUAGUACCAGUACAUGCCCAUUUAUAUUCAACGGUAGGGGAGUCAUUUUCAUUGUAGUCUGUCGUACCUCUCUAAAGAAAUAAUACGCACGCUUAAUUUGCUAUUUAAUUAGAAGAGAAGGAACAUAAAAUAGGACCAACUACAACAAAAUAUCCUCAAACAUAAAAUGAGAUAUGAGAUACAUAGUUGCAAUGAUUGUAAGAGAAAUUCUUAGGUGCAACAGCCGCACCAUCUGGCAUUUGCGCACCCAACCAUUCUUUGACACGUGUUUUUUUUUUUUCCUUCCUUUUCGACGCCGCCGAAGGUCCCCUCCGGCCAAAGCAUACCAGGUCCCUCUGCCAGUCGUCCCAUGGAACCCCCACGGCUGACAACCGCCAUCGCCUCCACCAAGAGAGAGGAAGGAAGAAGAAGAGGAGGGAAGAAGAAGAAGAAGCAGAGAGGAAGGAAGAAGAAGAGAGAGGAAGGAAGAAUAAGAAGCAGAGAAGGAAGGAAGAAGAAGAGGAGGGAAAAAGCUUCGCCGGAGAAGGGAGAGGAAGGAAGAAAGAAGAGCUGGACGAAAAAAAAAAAAACACGUGUCGCUGUGUGACUGGUGGGUCGCACAUGACACGUGGUCCGGCUGUCGCACGUAAGAUUUUCUCUGAUUGUAAUGAUUGGUUAUUAUUAUAUAAAAUUUUACUUUUCUAAAAAAAUGAUACAACGUAUAAGAGCCAUUAGUAACUUAACUUUUGUCUUCUUAUGAAAAUAAUGACUAAAAAUAGAAAAUGAGAGUGUGGAUUACAAUUUAAGGAAUGUGGAUUUCACAUCCCUAAUUUAAUCUACAUAGCAUUAUAUACCAAACAAACAAACAAACAUAGUGUACAUUAUGUCAACCAAAUUCUAGAAAAUAGAGGUUAAUUAAUUAUCAAUUAAUUUCUAAAGAAUGAGGUCAUGUAAUGGGCAUAUAUGUAUAUUCACUACAACAAUAAUCAGUAAUGCCCACACAAUGUGUGUGGCUUCUGGAAGUGUGGCUCUUAAACCAUAUGUGGGUAUUGGUGGGGGUAUGAGGCGAAAAACCACAUUUAUGUAUGUCAUAUGUAGCUAUAGUUUAAAGGCCCAAUUCCUAGAGGCCACGUACAUUGUGUGGGUGUUGCUCACUAAGUAGUCCGUGUCGUAGUGAUUUUGGUUUAUAACAUAUAGCCAACAUAUGUAAAAAACUAAUACUGUAUGUUGAGCGAGGUUACUAUAUCUCAAAGGAGUGUUGUCCAAGGUUACUGUAUGUCUAAAGGUCUAAGCUAGAAAAGGGAGGAUAUGCAUCUGGAUGUGUCCAGCUGCUAGAUGGAUUUAAUCGACUUAAACUACCAGCUCCCAGAAAGAAAAACAAAGACUUAGACUUCAACAUUUUCUAUCUUCAAUUAUUGUUGAUGAUUUCUCAGUUUGGUGCUUUCAACAACUUUAGGUCAAUGACCGAGCAAUGACUUGCAAGAAUAUUAUCGAACAAAUACGUACCUCCACAACGCGCAAGAAGCUAAAGUUCUAGUUGUUAUGAUAUAUUUUUUUAAUUAAUUUUUUUCUCUGGUCAAAGGUCGAUGCUCAAGUUUAAAGUAAUUCAUUCAUAUCAUCAAGAUAGAUCAAUUAAGGAAACCAAACUAAUCAAGGGCAGUUGACGUAUGAUACAUAUAGUUAUGCGCUGAGUUUGGACAUCCAUGUCAUUAUUGUAUGCUGUUCAUAAUUAAUCCUGGCAUACCAUCUAAAGUCACAGACUAAAAAUCUAUUUCACAAAAGCAUAAACAUACCAACAUGAAGAUCAAGAACAGUCAUGUGAUCUGCAUAAUAGAAUUUUCCUAGAAACACCAGGAACAUACGUCCCUUCAUUGCAGCCUUUGAUGCAACCAUCCUGACAACCUUAUUAGAGCAACUGCACACCUACAAAAAGAAUCAAAAGGGAGAUGCAAAGCCAAUGAGGAUUCUGCUCUCAGUGCAAAAAAAUGCAGAAGACAGAGACUUACCCUCCUUUAUAUAAUGAUCAAAACCGGAUCCAAUCUUUAUUCAACUCUAUGUUAACACCUCCAUAGGCAUAAUCCUAUCAUAGUACUAAUUCGAUACAACUCGGGUUUAAUACAAUGAACUUCUAUGUAAACCAACCAAUAUACAACUUGAAAUACUUACGAAACUGAGUUGAAGUCUCUUAAGCUUCUUGUUGAAUGAUCCAUGUCCGAUACUAAUUGAUUAUAUAUUAAACUAACGGAUAGUGUCUGAGUUCAAUAUUGUUCUAAGUUCUAACAUCCAUCGCAUUUCAAUCAGCUGGUUCCUCGUGUGCACGAAUCUUAACUUGAAGGCCUACAACCAACUACCGACACAAAACAUGUACAGGUUCCUAUAAGUUUUACUCACUUGUAUUAACAGACAUUUUAUGUUCUAUAUGUGAUUAAAUCCUCUUAUAUGUGCAAGUAAUUCAUUGAAUUUUUGCUGCACCUGCUUUACUAGCUAGUUUAUUGACUUUAUUAAUUCAUUCAGGCAUGAGGAAUAUAUAACUGGGGAAAUGAAAUUCGCAUGUUCUACGGUUGGCAACGAAUUAGUAACUGAAUUAAAGAAAAUCUAUUAUUGAUUAGUUAAAAAAUUAAGAAAAACUAAUUGACUUGUUAGGACUUCGUUCACACCCCAACUCAUGACUUGAUUAGUCCUAGUCGUUUUUAAUUCCUACUAUCAUUGUUGAGUUAUGAGUAAUAAAUGAAUUAGGGUCCCAUGAAUUAGUGCUGCAUAUAUCCAGGUAAAUAAGUCUAUAUAACUUAAUCUGGACAUAAUUGGGUUCCAUAUAGGCUAGCUAUUUCAGAUUAAUCUGGUUUCAAGAAGUUAAUGAUCAAUUCCAGCUGAAUUUCCAUCUUGCAAUCUUACAAUGUAUGCUACUUCAAUUCUAGAGCGCCAAUCUUUGCUCUAUAGCUAGUUACACAGUACUACUAAGAGUAAUGCUAGAUGAACCAUUUUUUAGGGAACCAUUUUUUUUGGGAAACUAUCUUAAAGCUCACCUUAGGUAGCAGCUUAUGUGGCAUUGCCACUUCAUCAAACCAUAAUUUCAUAAUAUUUUCUUAUUUUUAUUUUUUCUUAGUUACAAUUUUCUUUUCUUUUUUUCACUUUCAUGUUAUUGUCUUAACCCUAUUUUUUCCGCUUCUUCUCUCAAAUCUAUAUUUGUCGUCUUCAUCUCUAUCAAUCAGACUUUCGACUAAGCUAUUCUUUUCUCCUCUCUCACCAAUACUGCUAGAAAAGGGGGCUAAGGGGGGACAAAUAAAAUGGGUAUAGAUAUCAUUUGCUCCAUCUAUGGCUUUUGGUGUCGAUUUCAUCCAUAGUAAUUAUCUGAGAAAUUUGCAGUUGAUAUUCCUUCAAGAUGAAGGUAGUUUACAUGUUGACUAGAUUAUUUGAAGUAAAACCUAGGUAUUUGCUUAAGUUAGGGUUAAAUUUGUAUACGAGUAACAGACUUGAUGAAUGUUCUAAUUUUUUUUUUUUUUUCCUAGAUCUCAAAUCAAUUACGAACACUCAUCUCAAGUCUAAAUAUAGUUUUAGAAUUUCAGAAAGCAUCAUCUGAUGAUAGAAAGGAUAACAACAAGUCGGCGGUACAAUCUGGCAAACAAUGAAAAGUCAGGUUUUUUGAUUUCCAACCGUCGUUACAAUACUAUAGAUAUGAUAAGCAUAGGUAAACAGGCGUUGAGGUUGUUUGAUUUUCAACAGUAUACACAAAUUAACCAAAUGCUUCAUUAAUUAUCAUAUAGCUAUGGCCAGAGAUCAAGAGACUGCAUGAUAAAGUUCGAGUUCACCGGUCGAUCAAUUUUCAACGCAAAUUAUGAUCUACAACUGAUCUACAACUCUGUUCUAAUGUAUUGACAGAGAUCCUGAAUUCCGAACAUGUACUUUCAUUAUUUUAAUUCUUUACAGUCAUUAAUUUCGUAAAACAUCAAUAUAUCAUAUAUAAAACGAUUCAAACACCAAAUAGACAUGGUCAGGAAACCAAUCUACAAAUUAAUAUUGUUGAAGAUGGAUCAAAGCUUGUAUAUGCUUGGGUUUGGAGAUGAAGACUACAGAUGUAGAUUUGAGAGAAGAAGGGGGAAAAAUAGGGUUAAAAGACGUACAAUAACAUGUAGGUGAAACAAAAAAAAAUUGUAACUAAGUAAAAAUAUAAAAUAUAAAUAAUCUGAAAUUAAGGUUUGAUGAAGUGGCUAUACCACAUAAGCUGCCACUUAAUUAAGAUGACUCUAAGAUGGUUUCCGAAAAGAUGGUUCAUCUAGCAUUACUCGUACUACUAAUUGUCUAGUUGAUCGAUCCUGCUUUCCUCAAGUAAGAAAACAUACUCUUUCUCUGCAUAUAUCUUCCUUAAUUGGUAAUUCUGUCUCUAUGCUUGAUUGUAAACCGUAAACUAACAAUUUUCUAGCUUCCGACCACCGUUGUUCCUCUUUCUAGCACCAGUCAUGUAACUAAUUUUCAUAUUUAUUUAUUUUCAAAUUUCAGUACUGCGGAUUGGAAAAUUGCUCGAGUACGAAGACUACCAUCGCGAUCGGCUGUGUUAGUAAUUCUGAGACCAUCUCAUCCAGCAUAACAGAAAGUGUUGGUAUAUGAUUAGUUGGCAUUCCUAUACAAAAUAAAAGAAGCAUGAGCAAAGAAGUUCUAAUUUGAUUAGAGCUUUAUAUGAGAUUAAAUAUAUAAUUGAUUUAUUUGGUUGUGUAUUUUCCGUGAGUAAUUGGAAUCCUAAUUGUUUUGAUUAGGAUAUUAUCUUAUUGAUUAACCGAUUCUAUAGCUUGGUGUUUGCUUGAGAAAAGGAAGAAACCUAAGUUGAUUAGGUUUAUAACUUGGGUGCGUGGAAAGGAAAUGAACCUAUGUAAUUUAGGUUCUCUAUUCAUUUAUUAUCAUAUUUGAUCUGAUUGAUAUUAUUUAAUCUCAUUGAUCUAUCUUCCUAAUUGGGUUGAGACGUGCUCAUGGAGCAUAUGGAUUGGUUAUAUGUGAUAUUAUCAUGUUGAUUUGAUCAUAUAUAUGAUUAUGUGUUAAUUGAUAUAAGGAGAUUGCAUGUGUAAGAAAUCCUACGUUGUGGAGGAUAUUAAUUCUUUUAUGUUUCAUUGGAUAAUAUCUUCUGAUUUAUAUUGUGAUUUGAUACUAAUAAGAAUUCCUAUUUUGGAUUUCUAUUAGGGUUGCUGGCGCAUGAAUAUUAAAGUCAUAUAUAAAGGAGACGCCAGUUAUAUGGAGACACACCUUUGCACGUAUAACGUUUGAGAAAGCAACUUCCGCUGCGAACUUUGUAAGGUCAGAAGUUCAACUGUUUCAUGUUGAGUUGAACUUCUUGUUUAUGUGAUUGAAGAACCAAGGAGGUGGUUCCUUGGAGAUUGAAGGACAAAGUUUUCAUUGAGUUAAAAACGUAUUGCUAUAUUGUUGCUUAGUCUACAAUUAAUAUCAUUUGGAAAACUCUUGUCAAAUUAUAUGCUUGUAUCAUUGCAUAUGUCAUUCUUAUAGUGAUCAAGAUCAGUGGCUUGGAAAGCAUUGAAGGCGUGUUCAGUUCCUUUAUAUCCGUAUCAAAUUCAAGAAGAGUUAGAAUAGAGUUAUCAGUUUGUAAUCAAGUUAGUUUGUAUACUAGUGAAUGUGAUUGUGUUGAAUAUCACUACUUGAUAGGUCUGUAAUCAUUCUUACUCUAUAGUGGAUUUGAUUUAGUGUGGACUACUUUAAAAGUCUCACAGUGACGUUUCCUCGUGGGAGGUUUACACUGUUAUUAACAAAAUCUCGUGUUCUUGUAUCUGUUGCUUUUAAUUUAUCAAAAGAUUGAAUCUACAUAUUCAAUCAUUUCAUAUUCUGUUCCAUUCUAUACUUUCAGAAAGGCAUAAAAUAAUUAUGGCUAAACAUCAGGGACCAAACAAUGAAAUCCAAAUGAGGUUUGUUUUAUUAACCUAGCAAUAAGUUAGUUUUCUGCAAUAUAUAGUACUGUUUCUUUUCCUUUAAUUUGGAAAGGAUCGACAUCUCCGUUCGAGAGGGUAUCGACUCUGAUAAAUUUAGGUUACGGAUUCGAUCGUUGAGCUUUUUGUUCAGUGGUCAGUUGUAGUUGAAUUAUUGCUUAUCACUUAUCAGACGGCUUCGAUUCAUUUAAUUUACAUUAUUUUUGUUUUUCUUCUAUCAGCAUUACACCAGAAAUGUCUUAUGAUUUCCAUAGUCCUGAGGCUCUAUGGCCACAUCGAAAACCGACACCUGAACAUGGACAACCUCAAGCAAGCAGCAAAAGAUGGAAUUGGCCAAUAGAUGCCGGAAUUUCUUCAGCUUUGAACCCAUGGUGGAAUAAGAUACUGGUAACCUCAUGUGUGAUUGCAGUUUUAUUUGAUCCCUUGUUUUUUUACCUUCCAUACACCAGCGAGGAAAAAAAGUGUAUGGGAAGCGACGAAAGAGUGCAGACUGCAGCUCUGAUUUUCCGAUCAGUCACAUACAUCACUUUCCUGGUGCAUAUCAUAUACCAACUAUAUGUGGCUAUCAAAUUUGCACUCUCAAGGGUGGAUGAAAGUUUGGUUUUUAGAUAUGAAUCGGUAUCCCGAGAACAAAUGAUUCAGUUUGCAAGGGCAUUUUCUCACAAGUUGUCAUGGCACUACCAGGACAAGCAUUUUAGCCGACGAAAGUUAGCUUAAUUUGUCGGCUAAGAUCUUAGCCGACGAGCCUUCGUCGGCUAUAGUUUCGUCGGGAAAAUGUCGUCGGCGAUUACUUUAGCCGCCGAAACUAGAAGACGUCGUCGGCUAUUGUCCCAGAAUUUAGCCGACAAAUAUUUUAAAUGUUUCAUCGACCAUAGUCUGAGACUUUAGCCGAUGAAACAGAUAUUUUUCGGCUAAAGUAUGUAAUAAAAAAUUAAAAAAAUAACUAUAGCCGACGAAAUAUAGUCUGUUUCGUCGGCUUUAGAAAUGUUUAGCCGACGAAAUAUGCCAUAAUUCGUCCGCUAAACCUUAUAAAAAAAAUUAAAAAAUAUAGCCAACGAAUAUCUUCGGCUAAAGUAUUUAAAUAUCGUCGGCUAAAGUUGCUGGUUUUUUUAAAAAAAACUGCAGAAACUUUAGGCCACCUCCAAUCACCACCAAAAUUUGACAGAAUCUUCCUCUGAACAUUUCGAUCAACAUUUCGAACAACUUUCAGAAGAAGUCCAAGCCCAAUUCUAAAGCUAAACAUUUCAAUUGAAUCAAAAUAUAAAAAUCCCCAAUUUUAAACCCUAAAAACUUCAAAUCUUCGAUUCUCCUCACACACACCGAAUCGAGCUACCAAAUUAUAAAGGAAUGUAGUACUAAUCAAACUCAACUUAUCCAUAUAUAGAACUCACCAAAUGGUGACCUGAGGAAGAAGAAAUUUGAUCGACACCGAAUCUGAACCGACGGAGUUUUGGAGCUCGAUUUAUCUCUCACGGCGGUGCCACUCAAUGCACCACCUAUCCAGGAAUGAAGUAAAGACGACGGCGAAGCUUUUGGGACAAGUGUGGCGGUCUCCGGUGGCUUGACGGCGGAGCUAGGCCGAGAAGAAAAUCCGGCAGGCGAAACAGUAACUUUUUCUAAUUUUCUGACUUCUUACCAUCCACCUCCGGUAAAACUCCUAUAUAAAGAACUUUACCCGACGAAAUUCUUAAUUUUCGUCGGCUAAACUCUUUUGAAAAUUUUGAAAAUUUUGGUUGACCGCCAAAAAUAUUUUGACAAUAGCUGACGAAAUCAUAUAUUUUCGUCGGUUUAAGUCCUUUGAAAAUUUUCCCCCAAAUUUGGUUUGCCGCCAAAUUUUUUCGACUUUAGCCGACGACUUUUCGUAUAUUUUCAUCGGCUAAAGUCAUUUGAAAAUUUUUCUCCAAAUUUGGUUUACAGCCAAACAAUUUUUGACCUUAGCCGACGACUUUUUUAAUAUCUCGUAGGCUAAAGUCUAUAAAUUCACGAAAACGCUCAUAUCUCCCUCUAUAUUACGUAGUUUGGUCAAACCUUCCACACGAAAAACUUUCAUGUAGAUGAGACGCAACCGCCUAUAUAAAAAUUUUGAGACAUUUACCUUCCGACGAUAUGGCUCCCCAUAAGGAAUAAUAACGGUAAAUAGGGUUGACCGCUACUAUCAGCACCGAGAUGUUACCCGAUUUACGUGAUUUUUGAACCAUAGCCGUAUUUCACUAUUCUGAACAUAUCUUAUUUCACGAUAUUUUUGAUAAUUUUUCUUCCUAUGUAGAGUUGGUUCACAAAGUUGUAUAACCUAUUAAAUAAGUUAUACAACAUUAGUAGACACGUUGUGAUUCCGAUGACUAAAAUUUACAAACCAAAAUUCGACCGUCAGAUAUGAUCAUUAUGACGAAAGAUGUCUAUGAUAAAAAAUUCAACUGGAUCCGACAACGUUAAGGGCUCGAUCGAAACGGUCAACCCUAAUCCAUCGUCACUUAUCACACGAAAACGCUCAUAUCUCCCUCUAUAUUACAUAGUUUGGUCAAAUUUUCCACGCAAAAAACUCUCACGUAGAUGAGACGCAACGGCCCAUAUAAAAAUUUUAAGACAUUUAUCUUCCGACGAUAGGGCUCCCCAUAGGGAAUAAUAACGGUAAAUAUGGUUGAUCGCUACUAUCAGCACCGAGAUAUUACCCGAUUUACGUGAUUUUUGAACCAUAGCCGUAUUUCACCAUUCUGAACACAUCUUAUUUCACGAGAUUUUUGAUAAUUUUGCUUCCUAUGUAGAGUUGGUUCACAAAGUUGUAUAACCUACUAAACAAGUUAUACAACAUUAGUAGAUACGUUGUGAUUCCGAUGACUAAACUUCACAAACCAAAAUUCGACCGUCAGAUAUGAUCAUUAUGACGAAAGAUGUCUAUGGUAAAAAAUUUAACUGGAUUCGACAACGUUAAGGGCUCGAUCGAAACGGUCAACUCUAAUCGAAAAUAAGAAAACUGCAUUUUGAAGCCCUAAACGGACUCGGAUGGCCAAAAAGGCCCAUAUUUCAUGGCAAAGUGAUGAGUUUGACUCGUAGGGCUGUUGUGCUUCCGGAAAGGUAUCACAAUAGUCAAUCGGACACCGAACACCAAAUCUGCAGCAUACCGGGUUUCGACUAUUCUACAUCAGAGAUGUUACCCGAUUUAAGUGAUUUUUGAACCAUAGCCGUAUUUCACCAUUCUGAACACAUCUUAUUUCACGAGAUUUUUGUUAAUUUUGCUUCUAUGUAGAGUUGGUUCACAAAGUUGUGUAUUUGUUUAAAACCUACUAAACAAGUUAUACAACAUUUUAUUGUUUUUCUUUUAGCUGACGAAAUAAUAGUCGACGAUUUUUUUCGAUAAUAGCCAACGAGAUUUUUUUUCGUCUACUAAAAUACUUUAGCUGACGAGUAAAAACUUUGGCCGACGAAGGAAAAUUUUGGCCGAUGAGUAUAGUAUAGCCGACAAAAAAAUUUCUUUAGCUGACGAAAAUUUAAAUUAGCCAACGAAAAAAUAAUUUGUCGGCCUGGUUUUUUAUUUUCGUCGGCUAAAGUAUUUCUUCUAGUAGUGUGGCGUUCUUUCCUAUCUGACGUUUUUGCUAUUUUGCUCAUACCACAAGUAAGACAUAUCGUAACUCUCUUUCUAGUUAUUAGUUAGAGAUUGGCUAAUAAUUAAGGGCCAAUUACAUAUAAGUCCACUUUGAGACAUUUUUUCCCACAUAGAUCCACCCCAACAUUUUUACCCACAUAAGUCCACCCAAGUCUAAAUAAAGUUUUGUAUUAAGUAUUAAAGUUCAACAUAAUUACAGACUGCCAUCCAACAAAAAAAUUAGAUUUUCUCCUUUAUAUUUACAAGAAUGCCACUAGUAUAAAAAGUCAACAACCACUCUCAUUUCGGAACAGUCUCCGGCGGACCUCCGGCGAGAUUUCCGACUGACCUCCGGCGAGGUUUCCUGCCGACCUCCGACGAUGACAAAAAUUACUACUACCAGCUAAAAAAGCUACUACCACCAGCUAUAAAAGCUACUACCACCGCCUACAAAAGNNNNNNNNNNNNNNNNNNNNAAAUAUCAUUUUAUUAUAUUUUUAAUAAAGAUUUGUGUAUGUUAGGCUUAAAAUAAGUACCUUGUAUUCAAAUGAGCUAAUAAAAAAGAUUAUCAUUGAAAUGAGGUUUGACUUUUUCUAUUUUGUGCAAAUGGUCUUAUUCCCUAAUUAAAAUCCUUCUUCUUAUUACUCCACACGCAUAUAAUUAAAAUCCUUAUUUACAACAACACUCCGAUUUAUGUUCAUAGCCAAUUAUGACUUCAACAGAAAAUGAUACGAUUAGUACCACUACGUACCCAUUUAUAUAGAUCAACGGUAGAGUCAUUUUUCU
rnacentral:lncRNA from 1 species